CCUUCUCUCCUCCCUCAAAAGUACCACCAUCUUUUCCGACAUGGCAGCUUCUUCAAUCUUCAUGGCAACUCCCAUCACACUCCUCAAAAAAACUCCCACCUUCUCCGUCAAAUGCAUGUCACAAACACCUCAAAGCGGUGAACCGGAGAUUUCAAAACCAGCAACCACCCCAACACCACCAAAGAUCAACAUUCCUCCUCCUCCGCCACCUGCUCCAAAGGUCAGCACGAAGUUCUCUGACGUGUUGGCGUUUAGUGGACCUGCACCGGAGAGGAUCAACGGAAGGUUAGCCAUGAUAGGGUUUGUGUCGGCGAUGGCUGUGGAACUGAGCAGCGGUCAAGACGUGUUCACCCAGAUCGGCAACGGCGGUGUUGCGGUAUUUGUCGGGACAAGUGUGGUGUUGACGUUAGCGUCGUUGGUGCCGUUGUUUAAAGGAGUGAGUGUGCAGUCGAAGUCGAGUGGACUGAUGACAUCAGAUGCAGAGCUUUGGAAUGGGCGGGUUGCGAUGUUGGGUCUGGUGGCUUUGGCUUUUACUGAAUAUGUUAAAGGCAGUGCCCUUGUCUAGAUAAUGUAUCAUAGACUUUUCUAUUACAGAAUUACAUCUAAGAUAGGCAAAUGUAUAUUCUUUUGAAUAUUUAUGUGUAUCGAUUUACCAUACAUAGUUCAAAUCAUGAAAAUCAAUUAAUCAUGUUUUUUUGAUAAUAUAGUAUAAAACAAAUAUGAUCAAUCAAAUUGAACGAUUGUGGUAUCUUUCAAUAUAAAAUUCUUUUUAUAAAAUUAAACAAACAACAUACUAAGAUAAAUUUUAGAGGCAUGAACCUAGAUUAGCAAUAUAAGAGUCAAAGUCUACAAAGAUAUUGAAAUCCUAGUUUCACAACUUCCUCUUUGAAUGUUGAACUGAGGUGAUCUUCAUUAAUUCAGACCAAAUAUGUGCAUAAGUCCAGCCUAGUCAAUUAGCCAAUUUAAGAUGACAAGUAUCCAAAAUUCAAAUACAUUACAUACCUCAAUUUCAAACAAAACUGAAAAAUAUAAUGACUAAUGCUCACAAAAUGAUCACUUUCGGGGAGUGGUCACAGUUAAACUACCGGAAAAGCGCUGCAAACUCAACGUUACAUCUGCUCCAUCACCAAUUCCCUAAACAUUGGAAAUAGUUACCACUCUAUAUCAUUUAUAUUUAUAUUUUAUUUAUUUUUUAAAAUUAGAUUAAAUAAAAAACAUAAUUAUAAACUUAAGUAAUCAUUUUACUAAUUAAAAAAUCAACUAAACAUAUUAUUAAUUUUUAAAAUUAUUAAACAUAUCUAGUUAUAUAUAGUUGAGGGUUUAACUUAAUUCAAAGAAAAAUAAAAGGGUAUAAUAAGAUUAAAAGACACAAUUUUAGAGACCAAAUUUGUAACUUCAAUUAAAGCAAAUUUGAAUCGUCUUCUUCACCUGUCUUCUUCAACCUUUUUCUGAAAAACGGGUCAUUGCUCAAUACCAUUUUUUUUUCUUUUACUUUGAUGGAUACAAAAGAAAAGGAAAAAAGGGUUAAAUACGUGACCUUUGUUGUUGCUACUUUCUUAUUCGUUGUCUUCAUCCGUCUUUGCACCCACGUUACACCCAAACCACUGGCCUUAGGGGCGGUGUGGACAUAUCCUUAGGCCGGACACAUCAGCAAGAUGCGUGGGUUAGUCCUCCCACUCCGGUUAGCCUUAAACACUUAUUAAAAGCUAGUGGACGUCUUUGCACCCACGUUACACUCAAACCACCGGCCUUAGGGGCGGUGUGGACGUAUCCUUAGGCCGAACACAUCAGCAAGAUGCGUGGGUUAGUCCUCCCACUCCAGUUAGCCUUAAACACUUAUUAAAAGCUAGUUUAUUUCUUGUUAGUUUGAAAUCUAAUGUUAUCAUCAAAUCUAUACAAGAUUGAGAUUGAUAUCAGAGUAACAAUCUCCAAAAGAAAAAUAUUUUACUCAAAAGAAUAUAUAUAUAUAUAUAUAAUGAAUUAUAUCCUAAGAAGUACUAUGCAUGAGUAUAAGAUUACUAUUAUCUUGGGAUCUAUUAAUUGGUAACUAAGCAUACUUCCAAGUUACUAUAUGAAAUUUAGUUAAGGAUUAAUGUCAAGUUGGGUGCAUGCACCUCACUCAAAGGCCUUGUAUUUUUAUCGGUCCCAAGUGACAUCUUACAAGGGCCGUUUUGGAGUUUUUUCUUUCCCCAAUGUAUUAACAUUUAUUUUUUUUUGAUAUUUUUGAACUUUUUAUUUUCUUAGAAAAGUAUACAAAAUAAAAUAUAUACAAGUUUACUUGAAGAUAUGAGUGUUUAUCAGGUUAUUCUCUUGAACUAUCUAUUCUUAGAUAUGAAUAAAUGUGUUUGUCUUUAUCAUUUUUCCCCUUUGUCAAUUCUUGACUAAUAAGGUAAUAGUCGUUCUUGGUGAGGGAUUCACCUCUCUAUUGAUUCUUCAUUCUAAUUAAAUGUUUGGAUUCAACAAUGUCCGAUUGAGUAGUUCUUUAAAACCGCAUUCUACCAUUUGCAUCUUUAUAUUAAUCCCAUGAAUUGGGGAUUCCAUAAACUGAAACUCUUGGAGCUCAAUAGUGUAGUUGAAAAACAUUUGUCGAGCCUACCACUUCCAUGAAAUAGGAGAAUUUUUUCAAUAAACUAAGUAGUUCCUUCUUUAUGGAUCAUCUUUUCGUUACUCGACCCCUGCUUACAUGCGAUUCCUACUAGAAAAUAGAAUUGCAGACUAACUGCAGCUGCAGACAACCCUUCGUUUGGCCAGAAGGGGUUUGAUAUUCCUUGGAGAAAAAUCUCAUCCUGAAAAUAACAAUAUCCAUGAACACAAUGGCUACGAAAUACUGAUUUUCUUAACCGACGAACCGAAAUGUUACAGCCAUAAUGCUGAAACCUCAUUACUUGCCCGCCCUUUAAACAGGUAGAACCAUCCCUGAGCAUAGAAACAUAAACUAAAUCCUGAACCCUCCAGCUGAGGUCUUUGAUAUCCAAUUUUCUUGAUCCACAUCUUUCUGAGUAUAGAUGUUGCACUAAUACACUCGCGAUUCCCAAUGCGAGCUUUCACCAAAAACCCACUCGAAUAUGGCCACUCAUAUUCUUCUCGAAGACCCUUCCCUACAUCUAAUGAGCGUCCAAUUAUGAAUCUGCCCGCAAUUCCUGACUGGAGACACUAACAGAAACAUGCAUAACUGAUCCUCGAAACAUACCGACCACGAUCUUCACCCAAAACCAAACCAUAUGAUGUACCAAAACCUUAUUAACCCUUGAUCCUCUUCUAUUCCAUUACUGACCACUGCUUCGCCGAGCAAGAGAUAAAUCCAAGAAUUUCUGCUUUACAUCCAACCCCUUAUAGAAUCAGGUGUACCCCCACCUGGACAACCACUUGAGACAAUCAUAAAGAACUUUAUGACUUGCGACUUUCCAACCAAUCCCAACUUGAAAACCACAACAAUAGCAACAACUUGCGAACAACCAAAAAUAUAAUGUAUACAUCCCAUAAGGACUUUCUGAUUCCUGACAGAUACUCCCAACAACCUUUACUACUUCCUUUAUCCAACCAAUAGAUUUACGACUCGCUCGUCUCCCAUCAGUGUAUCGAUACCGAAAGCACCACAAGCAGAAUAAAUGAACAACCAUGUUCACUAGGCCCUCAAAGUAUGACUGGAAUACCCCUUAUAAUGUCCUCUGAAUAUGUUUGGAUUGCCUCUGAGCCCACAACAUGAAUCUGGAAUGCCCUCCCUGGCCUUCAGCCCAUGUCUGGAAUGCUCUCGAUAUCACAACGACCUUGACGCCAUCGCAUCGCUCGCCCAUCACUCCAGGCCCACAGAUACUCACCUCAUUCCAUUCCCUUGAAGGGACUUAAUCAAUUCCCUCACCACGCCAAUUGUGCAUCACAAAGAUGCCACCAAAGCAAACCUUACAAAACAUGGACGUACGCGACCCGUGAAUAGGAAAAUAGAUGCACCAUUGGCCCGAUUCGAAGGCUAAAAUCCAAAAGAACCAUGCACAUGAUUCGAACCAAGUGCUCCAAUGCUAUCUUUACCAGAUUACAUGAACUACCCCCAUACACAUACUUAAGAAACCUAGAAUAUCAUCCAGAGAGAGAAGGAAUGUCAGAUAUAAUCUAAAAAUACCUCAAUUAAUAACAUAAAACAUCCCCAUGAUCAGUUGAAACAAGAUCCCAUACUUGAUUGAGACUGAACGGAUUCCAUCGCUACACAACUAGGUUGAGAAGACUUCCGCGGAUAUCGAAGGUUGCCUAAACCUGAGUCUGCUAUUAACCAAGUUCCCACUCCACCAUUGAGGGUAAACACACUCGAAGGACCAAAGAACAUAGAUCAUACCGAACUUGAUGACAGAUUGGCCCGACCACUGCAUCUCGGCUGACACAAUUAAACUUCCGAGUGAACUUUUAUUGAAUGAUGAACCCCAAAAUUAGUGGUCGAGGACACAUUGACACUUAAUCCAGAGAAUCAAGACCCACAUGGAACUGAACAUACCCGCUUCUGGAAAGAUCCACUGACUAACGUCUGCCUAACUAAUCUGAAAAUAGCAAUCCAACAACAAACUCGCAUAUCCCUCAAUGGCUAAAAAUACUCAACCUUAGAAUCCCUAUUCUCCCCCACUUUAGGCUCAAACUACCACUUACUGGCGCUAAAACCAAAUCAUAACUCAAACCAUCUUGAGCAUGUACUACCCUUCCUAACCCUGGAAGUUACGAGUCUGCUCACUGCUUCCCCGAACUCGGAAAAACUGAAAGGGCGUAACCCUAUAUCUUAUAUUCUUCAAACCUAGAGAUAUGAGUUGUUACUAUGAGUUGGUUAUACAUUUGAUUGCACGAAAACGCAUUGGUAACUCGAUGAUAUAAAACGUGCCUUUGUGUAUGAUUCAACAAGUAGUAGAACAAGCCAUAUGAGUCGAAGUUUAUCCAUUCCUUUUACCUUCAGGAUAAAAGCGAUAUCCAUGGGCCCCUCGAUGAUUUAUUAAUGAUGACACAUGUGAGUGCUUGGGCAAGCCAUGACUGAUUUGAUCUGUUCAAUCAGUCAGUCAUCAUGAAUCGGAAAUCAGGAAACAAUAAAUGGAUAGAGAUAAUGAUUUAUAAUCCAUGUCUUAGUCCAUAUGAUAUUUAGAAUGGAGGAAUAUAUGAUCCCUUAUCUAAUGGACUAGUCAUUGACAAAGGUCAAAGUUCAUCGACGAGGUCAGAGUUCAACAACGGCUUUUGAGAGUUACGAUUGCCAGUUGGUUUUUGAAGUCAUCCUCAAUAAUAGUUUUAGACUUAUCCAAGUAGGAGACUAUUGGAUUAGUGUCUAAGUCCAUACCUAUAAUUGGUAUGUACUUGACCGUACUCGUCAUUGUCCAUUUGGGUUGCAUGGCAUCGGAACAUUUGGAUAAACUGUUUGUGAGAAAAGGACAUUUGUGACAUAUUAAUAUAUUAUAAGUUCUAAUAUAUUAAUAUUAAAUCAUGUUAUUUAAUUAGUAUUGAUCAAGAAUUAAUUCAGACUUAAUUUAGUGAUCAAAAGAGACUAAUUAAAUAUAUGGGGAUUGAUUGUGUAAAUCAUUCAUUCUUAUAUAUGUGGGGUUAUGAUCCAUUAUUCCUUAUGUUGGGUUUAACCCAUGUGGUGAUCCAUGGAUACUCCAUGGAGGUUAAAACCCAUGAAGCAUAAGGAAUUCGUAAAGUCAUGGGUUACAUAGUGUAACCCUAAUGCGCACACUAUAUAAGGACCCCUUUAGCUCAAGAAACGGCACUAGUGAUACUUAUAUGAGGGCUAGCCGAUUUCAACAUAGGGUUCUUCUUCUCAUGGUUAUUCCAAGUGUUGAUGAUGUUGUGUGNNNNNNNNNNNNNNNNNNNNNNNNNNNNNNNNNNNNNNNNNNNNNNNNNNNNNNNNNNNNNNNNNNNNNNNNNNNNNNNNNNNNNNNNNNNNNNNNNNNNUUUCCAUUGCAGUCAGAGGGGCCACAAGAAGGCCCAGUGUCCGAGAUUGUAUCCAGUAGGGCAGGUGCCAGCUCCUGCCCUUGGGAUUUCGAGUACCGCCAGCAGUUGUCGAGGCCCGGCAAGGGUGCCUACGGCUCAGAGCCGAGUUUUCCGGUAGAUUUCAGCAGGGAUUCGAGCAGCACUGAGUAAUGAAGGUACGUAACUUUUGUUUUUCUGUCAGCUUAUGUCAUGAUUAUAUUGUUAUGGUUCUGCAUCAAAUUGUGGUAUAAGUGUUGUGUUAUAGUGUGGCUUGCUUGUGAUUAUGUUAUAUGCCAUUUGCAUACCUCGGAUAAUUGGUUGGUAGUUAGGGAAUGUGCUCUUAUGGAGAAGGUUUCGGAGGAUGCAGNAUGGUUGGGAGAGAUUUGGUUCGUUUCGCGAGUUCGGAGUGGUUAGUGUUGGGUUGGAUUGGUUAGAUCCCUAGCUAUGGCAGGCUUGGGCUCCUUAGCAGAAUGAUUAUGGAAUGGCAGCAAAGAUCGGGAUCUCUUUUGAGUGUGAAGCAGCAAGGGGUAAGCAGGAUCGAAGUGGGGGAGAACCCUCCGGGUAUACAUGGAUAAGAGUCUCGUAGACUCAGAAUGAGUGCGCGGCCUCUGAGAAGAAAUGGUAGUAGCACAGUGAUGGAUGGAUUGAGAAGUUCAGAAUUGGGAGUUCGAGAACUUUUCCCAGCAGUUAGUUCAUGUAAUCGAGAUGGUUAGAAGCUGGUUGGGAAUCCAGGAUUGGAGGACCACCUGUCGGACGCAUGAGAGUCGGAAUGAAGAUCCUGAGAACGGGUAACAAGAGAUGUUUUCGUAUUAGUAGCCAGUGUCUGAGGCAGCAUGCAGGUUGUGUAGAUUCAGGAGUUGGGAGGUUGGAAACUUCCCAACAAUAGCUUCUUGUAUCCGGAUUAGUAGACGGUUGGUUUGGGAACCAAGCCGAAGGAUUCCUCGACGAAGCGCUAAGUAUAUCAAGGAUAUAAGAUGUCGAGGAUGAUGCAGAAUUCAAAGUCUAAGGACUGUUUUUUUUGAGAAAUCGGGAUGAGGAAUCACUAGCAGGACUAGGGAUAGUCAGGAUGUUCUCGAGAUAGUAGUAGUGUUGUAAGUCUGCGGGGGUAGCCGUAGCAUUCACUAGCAGUCAGAUAGCAGUAGUAGUGUUGUAAGUCUGCGGGGGUAGCCGUAGCAUUCACUAGCAGUCAGAUAGCAGUAGUAGUGUUGUAAGUCUGCGGGGGUAGCCGUAGCAUUCACUAGCAGUCAGAUAGCAGUAGUAGUGUUGUAAGUCUGCGGGGGUAGCCGUAGCAUUCACUAGCAGUCAGAUGGUAGUAGUAGUGGUGUUGUAAGUCUGCGGGGGUAGCCGUAGCAUCCACUAGCAGCCAGAUAGUAUUAGAGAGUUGUAAGUCCGCGAGCGUAGUCGCAGCCUUUUAUCAGAUUGGUAAGUAGCAUGAGCGCGUGUUAGACGCGGGAAAGCAGUUGUACCCACCAGUUCGGGUGUAGCAGUGAGGAUAUGGGAAUCCACGGGUUAGAUUUCGGAUUUCCCAAAGGGAUCAGUUACGGCUAAGUUAGCAAUUUGGGCUUUGGAUCGUCACAUCAGUUAUGAGAUCAGAGUAGCAGUGGACCGUUAGGGUUCAGGUAUGUUGCGGACUACAGUCAGUCUGGGAACCAUCAUGUUGUUAGUCGUGGAAUUGAUGAUGUCAGGAUGUGACGUAUGGACCCGAUCGGUUGGAUCGGAAAGUUGCUAGAGCCUCAGUGACAGGAUAACUAGUGGAAACUAGUCCUAGAGGAAAAUUUCGUUCAGAAGUCGUGGAAGCGACUAAGUGAGGAGUCCCUUGACUCCACAGUUGGGUUGGAGUUCAGUGUUCCAGUCAGUUCAGUGUUUCAGGCAGCUCAGCGUUUCAGGCAGCUCAGUGUUUCAGGCCGUUCAGCGUUUCAGUCGGUUCAGCGUUUCAGGCAGGUUCAGUAUUGCAGCUAGUUCAGUGUUUGGAAGGUUUCAGGGUUUUGGGUUAGUAUUGCAUUUGCGUUGGAAUGCAAGUGCUGACGGUAUAGUUGGUUGAUUUGGAAUUGGCAAGUCCCUCUCAGCAGGAUCAGUUGAGCCUUUUGCCGAGUAUAAGUGAUUGGUAGGGAUGGCUAGGCAGGUAGCUUUUCAUUCAGGAAGAAAGGCUCGAGUAAGUAGGAGAUGAGUAAGCAGGUGGGAUAAAAGCAAGCUGGUUCCAGCAGCAUCGUUUCAGUAUGAACGGCAGGAUGGAUAGAACAGUUAUAGAUAAUCAAAGUAUCUUUAGGAGUCGCUGGAAGAGACUAGGAGUUUGCGAUGGAGUGUAGUGACCGGUGGGAGUCCGGUAACUCAGAUAUAGGGAGAUUGGUUAGACCAGAGUAGUCUCAGUACAUCCGGUAGGCGGAUGGGAGGCAGCAGGAUUUUCAGUCGGAGGAAGUAACGUUGAGGAGAUUAUGGGAAAGAGAAGGAUUUAGUAUGUUCUAUCGGUAGUGAUCGGCACUGUGAGUGGCCGGAGUGAUGGGCAAAAGAGUGAGGGAUUUUCCAGACAAAGAGUUGGAGGCAGUUCGCAGGCAGUUGAUCAUAGCAAACUUCGAGGACGAAGUUUAGUUUAAGUAGGGGAGAGUUGUAACACCCCAAAGAUUGGAAAGUCAAGAAAAGAAAGAAGACCUCAAUUUUAAGAAGAGACUCGGCGAGUCCAAGGAGGGACUCGGCGAGUCCNNNNNNNNNNNNNNNNNNNNNNNNNNNNNNNNNNNNNNNNNNNNNNNNNNNNNNNNNNNNNNNNNNNNNNNNNNNNNNNNNNNNNNNNNNNNNNNNNNNNNNNNNNNNNNNNNNNNNNNNNNNNNNNNNNNNNNNNNNNNNNNNNNNNNNNNNNNNNNNNNNNNNNNNNNNNNNNNNNNNNNNNNNNNNNNNNNNNNNNNNNNNNNNNNNNNNNNNNNNNNNNNNNNNNNNNNNNNNNNNNNNNNNNNNNNNNNNNNNNNNNNNNNNNNNNNNNNNNNNNNNNNNNNNNNNNNNNNNNNNNNNNNNNNNNNNNNNNNNNNNNNNNNNNNNNNNNNNNNNNNNNNNNNNNNNNNNNNNNNNNNNNNNNNNNNNNNNNNNNNNNNNNNNNNNNNNNNNNNNNNNNNNNNNNNNNNNNNNNNNNNNNNNNNNNNNNNNNNNNNNNNNNNNNNNNNNNNNNNNNNNNNNNNNNNNNNNNNNNNNNNNNNNNNNNNNNNNNNNNNNNNNNNNNNNNNNNNNNNNNNNNNNNNNNNNNNNNNNNNNNNNNNNNNNNNNNNNNNNNNNNNNNNNNNNNNNNNNNNNNNNNNNNNNNNNNNNNNNNNNNNNNNNNNNNNNNNNNNNNNNNNNNNNNNNNNNNNNNNNNNNNNNNNNNNNNNNNNNNNNNNNNNNNNNNNNNNNNNNNNNNNNNNNNNNNNNNNNNNNNNNNNNNNNNNNNNNNNNNNNNNNNNNNNNNNNNNNNNNNNNNNNNNNNNNNNNNNNNNNNNNNNNNNNNNNNNNNNNNNNNNNNNNNNNNNNNNNNNNNNNNNNNNNNNNNNNNNNNNNNNNNNNNNNNNNNNNNNNNNNNNNNNNNNNNNNNNNNNNNNNNNNNNNNNNNNNNNNNNNNNNNNNNNNNNNNNNNNNNNNNNNNNNNNNNNNNNNNNNNNNNNNNNNNNNNNNNNNNNNNNNNNNNNNNNNNNNNNNNNNNNNNNNNNNNNNNNNNNNNNNNNNNNNNNNNNNNNNNNNNNNNNNNNNNNNNNNNNNNNNNNNNNNNNNNNNNNNNNNNNNNNNNNNNNNNNNNNNNNNNNNNNNNNNNNNNNNNNNNNNNNNNNNNNNNNNNNNNNNNNNNNNNNNNNNNNNNNNNNNNNNNNNNNNNNNNNNNNNNNNNNNNNNNNNNNNNNNNNNNNNNNNNNNNNNNNNNNNNNNNNNNNNNNNNNNNNNNNNNNNNNNNNNNNNNNNNNNNNNNNNNNNNNNNNNNNNNNNNNNNNNNNNNNNNNNNNNNNNNNNNNNNNNNNNNNNNNNNNNNNNNNNNNNNNNNNNNNNNNNNNNNNNNNNNNNNNNNNNNNNNNNNNNNNNNNNNNNNNNNNNNNNNNNNNNNNNNNNNNNNNNNNNNNNNNNNNNNNNNNNNNNNNNNNNNNNNNNNNNNNNNNNNNNNNNNNNNNNNNNNNNNNNNNNNNNNNNNNNNNNNNNNNNNNNNNNNNNNNNNNNNNNNNNNNNNNNNNNNNNNNNNNNNNNNNNNNNNNNNNNNNNNNNNNNNNNNNNNNNNNNNNNNNNNNNNNNNNNNNNNNNNNNNNNNNNNNNNNNNNNNNNNNNNNNNNNNNNNNNNNNNNNNNNNNNNNNNNNNNNNNNNNNNNNNNNNNNNNNNNNNNNNNNNNNNNNNNNNNNNNNNNNNNNNNNNNNNNNNNNNNNNNNNNNNNNNNNGUCAGCUUCGGACUUCGGUCCGAUGGAGGGGGCAAGGCCCCAGUCAGUUAGCUUCGGACUUCGGUCUGAUGUCAGCUUCGGACUUCGGUCCGAUGGAGGGGACAAGGUCCCAGAUAGUCAGCUUCGGACUUCGGUCCGAUGGAGGGGGCAAGGCCCCAGUCAGUUAGCUUCGGACUUCGGUCCGAUGUCAGCUUCGGACUUCGGUUCGAUGUAGGGGGCAAGGCCCCGUUAGUCCGGACUUCGGUCCGAUGCAGUGGGCAAGGCCCAAUAUGUGCUUUAUAUGUUUUGUAUGAUAUGUGGUAGAUUGGGGGAGCUCACUAAGCUUCGUGCUUACGGUUUUCAGUUUUGUUUUCAGGUACUCGAUUUCCAAAAGAGGAGCUCGGGAAGAUUGCAGAGCACACACCAUAGUCAGUUAGCCUGGGAAUGUUUGACUCUGAUAAUGAUAUUAUGUUUUGAAUUGAAUACUCAAAAGUUAUGUUUGACUUAUGAUACGUUGUUAUAAAUCUAUUUUUAGUAAUGUUUAAAAGAAAUUUUUAGUCAUGAUUUUUGGGUCGUUACAAAUACCUUGGAAUAUUCAUAUUUGCAUGUAUAAUAGAGAAAACGUAGAUCCAAGGUAUUUAGGGUUGCAUGUACACCAUAGGAGUGAUAGAGUGCUCAAAACCCAACAAAUAGGUCCGAGUCCUUCAUUCUAAGAUUAUUUAACCUUCAUAGCAUGUAAUUUAUUGUAUUCACUUGAUGGUUAACUCCCAUCAACAUGGGUUCCACAAAGCUCAAAGCAAGGAACAUUCGGGCAGAGAAGUCGGUUGUCACUAAAACGCAACAAAAUUUGACAGAUCCUCAUACAAAAUCCUCAAUCUCAAACUCCCCGCACCACGGGUGCACCUUUGCCCUGCUCUCACUCUCCCCAGAGUGGCUAAUCAUUCCUCGUGCUGACCAGCUAUACACUGUACCCACUCAUGAAACUUCCACCAACCCUACAACACUCUUGUAUGCUAGCUGUACAUAACACUGGAUCCUAUAGACAGUCGAAUAUCUGAUCCGAACCUAAGUCCUUCAUCAAACAAGAACAGAAAAUAAGGCCGAAUGAAACAUUCUCAGGCUAAAGAAUCUUAGUUAUGUACAACUAUAAUGCAUACUCUAAGCAAUUGUAGUAAUGAUGUCAAUUUCAUCUAAGGAAGAACCCUAGGCUAUCAUGCAUCAUAUAAUCAGGAAACUCUAUCAUGCAAUUCCUAUAGAUCCCUAGCCUAUCACUAACAUGCUAUUUUAACAUAUCACAAGAUCAAUAACAGUGUAGCAAUUUGGGGUCUACUUACUGGCUCCGACUGAUCUUACACAUAGUAUCCUCUUUAGUUUGAAAGCGACUUUGAAAGUUAUUUUUAAAACCUUUACUUUGAAAAUUAUUUUUUAAAAAACCCUUUUUCCUUAGUUUGAUACUGGAUUCACACGAGUGUUCCUCCAAUUCACUCAAACCAAGGCUCUGAUACCAACUUGUAACGUCACAAAAAUUUCAACAAAUUGAAACCUUUCGAAACAACCCAUUUAUUAAGAAAAGUGUUUUGACCCGUAGGCGCUUUGUACGCCUUGAACUCCCGGAAUGAGGGAGUUCGAUUCCUAAUCUGACCCGUAGUGAUCUCAGCUCAGAAAGAACAAUUUGCUCCUCUAUAAUCUCCAUGAUCCCCUCCUUGACGGUAUUGAAAAUCACUGGGGUAGCGUUAAGGAUGUCGCGAGUAACAUCGACUACGAUAAUCUCAUGCAACCUCUCAUCAAUCGGCUUUGCCGCAGAUCCUGAGCCCGAUCCCGAACCUGAACCUCCUCGCGUAGCCAUCACCAUCCUCAACUGAAAAAUACAACGUAGAAAGCAAUUGAUAAGGAAUAUCAAAAGGAUUUCUCCCCACCAGACUGAUGGUUUUUGAGCACUACACCAUUCCUAUGGUGUACAUGCAACCCUAAUGCUUCAGAUCUAUGUUUUUCUCAAGUUAUACAUGCAAAUCAAAUCAUCCAAAGCAUAAACCCUAAAUAGCAUACAAUUUUUGGAAUUUGUAACUUAAAAAAAAAGUUAGAAGAAUACAUUUUCCUUGUAGCUUGUAGAUCUUGACCUUCAAGAGCUUAGUGCCUCAAUUGUUGCACUCUAGUGAGUCACAAACACCAAGUAGCAAUUUGGAAGAAUAUGAGAGAGGUUAGGAGGCUCAAAAUCGGCUAGGGUAUUAUCUUAGAAGCAAUUGACUAAUUUCAAGGUGUCAUGGGGUAUUUAUAUAGUUGUGCAAUUAGGGUAUUUAACUGAAACCCUAAUUCUCUGCUUAGGCCUUAAGCAAUCCAGUAGAUCCUUCCAGAAGGCCUCUUAUGGACGAAAUCUAUGUGGGCUAUACAUAAGAUUUCGUCCAUCCCUUCUUAGGGAUCCACAUGCUCAACUUGGCAACUACCAUAUAAUUGCAAUAUCAGUCCUUGUAAUCUAACCAGUCUCUUUUGAUCACCAAGUUAAUUCCAAAUCAAUUCCUGAUCAAUACUAAUUAGUUAAUCUGAUUUCUCAAUUAAUAUACCAUUCUUAUAAUAUAUUAAUAAAUCAAAAUUAACCUCUUUCUCCAUAAUUCAUCUAGUCAAGUUGCUAUGGUGCAGGCAACCAAAAGCACCAUGCUACUAUCGGGUCAAGUACAUACAAUUUAUAGUUAUGGGCUUAGACACCUAAUCCAACAGUCUCCCUCUUGGAUAAGUCUAAUAACUAUAACUACAAGUAUGACUUCAAAAUCCGAUUAGCAAUCGUAGCUCUCAAAAGCCGCUGUUGGAAUCUGACCUAGUCAAUAUGUAACAUCCAUAAAUUUUACACCAAAUUUAAACUUUUCAAUCAUAAAUAAAAACCAAAUAGCAUUAUGUUUUCAAAUCAUUAUCCAUCAGAGUGUCCCAAAAUCAUAACAUAAGGAUGAGGAGUGGUAGGUCACGCCUACGCGUUGCUAGAUCUCCUGAAGUACCUGGAACAAUAAACCGAAAACUGUAAGCCCGAGGGCUUAGUGGCUACCCCCAAAAUACCUAUACCACAUUGACAAUACCAUAUCAGUAAUAAUCAAUCAAUCAACAUGCAUAUCGGGCCAUCGGCCUGACUGGACCGCCCUAUAGGGCCUACAGUCUAUCUGGAUCUAUCCCGAGCCUUCGGCAUGACUGGUCCGCCACAUGGCCCUACAGUCUCCCCGGACCGAUCAUAGGGUGUGCAUACUUUCAGCACAAAGCAGGACCGCCUCAACCCAACUAACAAUCAAAUAACUAUGUGCGCAUAACUAUCAUAUACUGGCAUAUACAAACAUCAAGCAUAUCUAUCACUGGUCAUCAAUCAUAGAAUUCCCUCGUAACUAGAGUACCGACCUAGCAGGUCACUAACAUACCAAUCCCUACGGAUCAUAAGAGCAUAACAUACUGUCUACCCUGAUUCCGAUCAAACAGAUCAUAACCACAUAUAGCAUACCAUAACAAUAAAAACUAAAGGGUCGACCUUGGUGCUGUAGACCCUAUCGAUAUAGUGAGGAUAACUCACCUCAUAGAUGUCGACUCGGAAGGUAAACUCCAAAUCUCGGAUCAAUUGACACAGGCCCCACCACAUAUCGCAUAACAUACACGUAAGUCCUUAACCUUAUAAGGUACUCCAUAACCUACUAGUCAACCCCUGAUCAAAGUCAAAGUCCUCAGUCAAGGUCAACAGUCCAUGUUGACCUCAACUCGCCGAGUUCCUUGAAGCAUAUUCAAACUCGCCGAGUCAUCGGGGUGACUCGUCAAGUUCCUUUGAUUCUCGAUCAAACUUUAAGGCCACCCGUCGAGUUCCCUCCUUGCAACUCGACGAAUACACAUGCAUACAUAUCCAGGAGAAAACUCAUCCGCCUCGCCGAGUUGUUCUUCAACUCGUCGAGUCUAUGGAAAUCAUCAUCGGACUCGUCGAGUUGUUUAUCCAACUUGUCGAGUUCACGACCAUCUUCAUGUGACUUGCCGAGUCAACCUUGCGACUCGCCGAGUCCAUUCAGUCCGUUUUCCAUACAGAUCUAUUUUGAGUCAUGCAGCGGCUCCAACUCACAGAUCUAAGCUUCUAGGACAUGCUUAUCACGUAAGGAUGCAAACUUUACGUGCAUGCAUGGCUUUAAAGGCUCCAAAUGCCAAAUCUAAGAUCUUAAUGAGGCUUCAUGCUCAAUAGGGACCUCAAUCACGACCAAAAUUGUAACUUUAUGCUUCUAGAAUCCGAAGAGGGUCCAGAUCUGAAGUUACAACUUCAGAUCUAGCCCAUAGCUCAUCAUACCAACUUGAUAUUACAAGAAAACCCUAAAACUCAACCAAUAGAGGAGAUUCAUAAGGAAAAUGAUGGUUUGGGUACGUCUGGAAGAUGAUAUCUGAGAUGAGUGUUGAUUUCCACACUCUAAAUGCUCCAAUCUCCUUCUCCUCCAAGUCUUCUCCUUCCAAAGAUCCUCUUUUCAAGCUUCAAACACACACAAGGCACCCACACACGAAUAAGGGCUCUCAAGGACUCUUUAGAACUGUAAAUAGGUCCAAGGGAGGCUAAGGCCCCUUUAAAUAGGGAUACAAACCCCAAGAUUUAGGGUUUCAUCUGCCAACUCCUACUCACCAAGUCCCAAUAUGGAAUCGUCAAGUAGGUCACUUAACACGGGAUCUCACCCCGCUGCUACUCGACGAGUAGGGCAACCAACUCGUUGAGUAGAGCGUAACUCAAUACAUCUUAUUUAAAACAAUACCUAAGAACCGGGGCGUUACAAAUCUCCCCCACUUGAACUAGACCUCGCCCUCGAAGUCCGCUGGAACAAACAAUGUCGGGUAAUGCUCGCUCAUCUCCGCCUCCGGCUCCCAUGUCCACUCGGAUCCCCUCCGAUGUUCCCACUGUACCUUUACCAAAGGUAGUUCCUUGUUCUGCAGAAUCUUCUUCUUCCUUUCCAAAAUAGCCACAGGCCUCUCCACAUAGUUCAGGUGCUCAUCGACCUGAAUGUCAUCCAACGAUACCACUGCCUCCUGGUCCAUAAUGCAUUUUCGCAAUUGCAAAACAUGAAACGUGCUGUGGAUCCGGCUGUGCUCCUCCGGAAGCUCUAGCCUAUAAGCCAGCCUGCUAACCCUGGCAACAAUCCUGAAUGGCCCAAUGUAACGGGGACCUAAUUUUCCCCUCUUCCUGAAGCGGAUCACACCCUUCCAACGUGAAACCUUCAGGAGGACCAUGUCACCCACCUGAAAUUCCAGUAUAGAUCGGCGUCGGUCGGCAUAACUUUUCUGCCGACUCUGAGGGGUCUGCAAUCGCUGUCUAAUCUGUUGUAUCAUCUCGGUAGUUUGCUGAACUACCUCUGUCCGACCCAUUACCCUGUGGCCAACCUCGCCCCAACAGACUGGGGUCCUACACUUCCGCCCGUACAACAGCUCGAAAGGCGGGGCGGGAAUACUGGAAUGAUAGAUGUUGUUGUAGGCGAACUCUACAAUCGGUAGGUGGGAAUCCCAACUACCAUCGAAAUCAAUGACGCACGCCCUCAAAAUAUCCUCGAGGGUCUAAAUGGUCCGCUCACUCUUGUUGGAUAAGGUGUCUAAGUCCAUAACUAUUUCUGGUCAGUACUUGACCCGACCCGACAUGGUCCAUUUGGGUUGCAUGGCACCAUGCAAUUGGAUAGACUAAAUGAGAGAAAUAACACUUGGAGAUUAUUAAUAUAUUAUAAGUUCUAAUAUAUUAAUAAUAUUAUUUAAUUAGUUUGAUCAAGAAUUAAUUUAGAAUUAAUUAAAUGAUCAAAAGAUAACUAAUUAAAUAUAUGGGUUGAUUAUGUAAAUCAUCCAUAUCUUGUAUAGUGGGCUAAGAGGCUCCAUGGAUUAUCAAGUUGGGUUCUACCCAUAGGAUGCUCCAUGGAUGCUCCAUGGGAGUUACAAACCCAUGGGUCAUGGAAAUGAAGAGUCAUGACACAUUAGGGUUUACAUGGUGUAACCCUAGAUGUGUCAACACUAUAUAAGAAUCCCAUUCUCCACCAAAAUCUGACACACAUAUGAAACAAGAGGGCUAGUCCGAUUUCAAGAAGUGUGUGUUCUCUCAAAAGUCUUUCCAAGAGCAUUUGGUGUUGUGUGAAGCAUUUAAGGCAUCACACUUGGGGUGCUAGGCUCACAAGGUUUCAAGGAACAUAAGCAACAACAAGGUAAGUUAUUCUAUCUUUCAUUCAAGUUAAAAAUUGUUCCCCAUGUAUGCUAGAUAGGAAUAUAACCUUGGAAUUCAACUUUGCAUGAUAAUUAGACAAACAUAGAUCCAAGGUUAUUAGGGUUGCAUGUACACUUAGGAAGUGUUAGAAUGCUCAAAACCCAUCAGUGGUAUCAGAGCCUAGGCUUGUUUGUUUGUUAUUUGUGCUUAAAAGUUGAAGAAAGUCGAAAAUCUUGCUGUCUGACUGAUGGACUCGGCGAGUCCAUGGGGAGGACUCGACGAGUUCAUGUGUAUCUUCAACCUACUCGGCGAGUAGGUUUAUGCACUCGGCGAGUAGGGUCGACAGAGUGCAGAAUUUCGACUUGUGUUGCUGGAAAUGGAUUAGAAUCAUUACCCUAAAAUGUUUUGGUACUUGAAAACUUAUUUUAGAAGGUGUAAUGUCUUUUCUAACUCAUUUACAACAACUAGUUAUCAAAAUUACAAAGAUUAAAUGUGAUUUUGAUUCUUGAAAGUGUUCAUAUUCAUAUUCUUGUUCUUAUGAUGUUUAGAUGAUCAUAGGAAUUAUUUGUAACCUAUGUGGUAGAUUAAUUCAUGAUCAUAAUGUGUUUUAAUGGAGUCCAUAACUUGUCCUCAAGUUAUGGAAAACCAAAAGUCUCUUGGAUUAAAAAACAUUAAAAGAACACAAGAGUUAGGAAAAAUGAAAAGUCCUCAUUUUAUUACUCUAUUAAACUCAUAAGUUACAAGAAAUGAAAAGUUUUGAAAGUUUACAAAACUUGCCCUCAAGUUUUGGAACAAGUAAAGUUAAGUUAAAACUUUAGUUCCAACCCCUAGAAUUUUAAAAGUUAAAAUUCAACCCUUAUACUUAUAUUAUUAUGAUUUAAUAAUUAUAUAUAUAUGUAUAAGAACAAAGUCGUCUUACCGCUAGUACGCCUCAUUCACGAAGCCGGUCUAUAAGGUGGGUAUAAGGUUGUUGCCUAUAAAAUGGUGACUUAAUGGGUGUCCACUCUCACCCACCGCUUGCUUGAUCGGUGGAGGGUCGUUAGCCGAACGGGUAAGACAAGGACUUAUUAAUUCUCAUUCAAAGUAUGAUGAAUAUUAUAAAGUAACUAAAUGUUUUAUUAAAUUCCCAAUCUUAGUUACUUUAGGAAAAAUGUGAAUAAGGUGCUAUUCCAUGAAAUUACACUUUACACUUUGAUUAAGUCGUUGGUGGAGCGUGUGUGGUUAACCGGCACACUAACUUGGACUUAACAAGGUAGGUAAAGGGUGACUUAGGGUUUAUUAUAGUAUCGAUGGAGCGUGUGUGGUUAACCGGCACAUCGAUUGAGUGAUAAACUUUAAGGGUACCAAGUGAUUUGCAUGGUUACUUCACACCUCGUUUUGUGAUCCUCGGUAUCCCAGUCACAAAACUUGGAGGGCACACUCGAGAUUGAAACAUGCCUUUGAAAAGUUCAUUGAAUCUCAAAGAAUCUAGGAAUUUCUAAGAACCAUUCAAAAACCUAAUACUAAAAUAUUGCGGUUUUCGUGGUGGAAAUUGGUGAAUCGUCAUUCACCUACCUUUCAAAUAUGAUAUAGCUUAGAUUACGGCAUACCUCUUCUAAGUUAUAUUAUAUUGUGAUUGGAUCCUAGCCUUAAUAUUACAUUUGGGUGUUUUAUUAAGGACUCUCUUAUAUCUAAACUAAUCUUGUCCUCUUUCCUUCAGAUGUCUUUCAACAAUGCUUCUGGCUCUAAUCCUAAUGGCUCCUUUACCCUUAUGAACUUGUGUGGGAAAGUCACCUUUGAUGGAUCCAACUUCAAUGAGUGGAUCAGAAACAUCAGGAUGAUUACCCGCUACGAGGACAAAGAAUAUGUCCUUGACAAGGAGCUUAAGGAGAUUGAUGAGUCCACUGCAACUCCUCAGGAGAUCGCUGAAUUUCGGGCACAUGAAAGGGAUGCUACGAAAGUGGCUUGCAUCAUGAUGGCCACGAUGACAGCGGAACUCCAAAAGUCUUAUGAGGAUUUCUACCCUUAUGAAAUGCACCAAGAUUUGAUGGAAAGAUACCAUCAAAGUGCAAGACAAGAGAGGUAUGAAAUCAUCUGCUCCAUGAUAACAACCAUGAUGAAGGACGGGGAAUCCGUCACGAGCCACAUGCAGAAAAUGCAAAGGUAUGUGGAUCGUUUGCUGAAGCUUAAUGUGAACUUCCCGGAGGAUCUUGCAAUAGAUAUUAUUUUGCAUUCCUUACCAUCGUGCUAUGAUCAAUUCCGCAUGACAUAUCACAUGAACAAGGAAGAAGUCACCCUCAGCAAACUUCAGGGACUUCUCAAGACCGCAGAAUCAGGUCUUAAGGGGAAGUCGGUUGCUAUCACUCCUACUCAAAACUCUACUCCGGUUUUGGCAAUCGGGAAAAGUCGAGGGAGGAAGAGAAAGAGCUCUUCUAAGGGUACCAAGGUUCGGACCCUUGAUGGCUCUUCUUCAAGUGGAACCAAGAAAGGUUUCAUUACUCCUUCUUCUGACCCAAAAGAGGCUGAAUGCUUCUAUUGCCAUGAAAAAGCUCAUUGGAAGCGGAACUGCCCAAAAUACCAGCAAGAUGUGAAGGAUGGGAAAGUUAAACCCAACCAUGCAGGUAUUUACACUAUCAUUUCUAAUAACUCACCCCAUUCUAAUUCUUGGGUCCUUGAUACCGGGUGUGGUAUUCACAUUUGUUGUGACUUGCAGGGACUAAGAAGAAGUGAGGAUGUGGAGCAAGGAAGGAUAAACUUGAUCAUGGGGAAUAGGAAAGCUAUACCUGUUACCAAGAUUGGAGUUUAUACUUUAUCGCUAAGUAGUGGGUUUAGUUUAGAUUUGAAUAAGUGUUGUUAUUCGCCAGGAAUGGCAAGAAAUAUUAUUUCCUUUCAUGCUUUGUACAAACAAGGGUUUACCUUUUCAUUUAAUAAUGAAGUUGGUUCUAUAGAUGUUUUCUAUAAUAAUGUCUUUUAUUUUAAAGCAUUACCUUGUGAUGGUGUGUAUGAAGCUGUAUCUGUUGUAGAUAACUUGGGAAAUAAUGUUUUGUGUAUUGAUUCUACUAAUAAUAACUUGGAUAAAGCAUCUUUAUGGCAUUGUCGUCUUGGACAUAUAAGCAAGAAACGCAUAGGCCAACUCCAAAAGGAUGGAGUCUUGGAGUCGUUUGACCUAAAGUCAGAUGAUAGUUGCGAAUCAUGCUUACUUGGAAAAAUGACAAAGUCACCCUUCACAGGUUCGUGUGAGAGGGGUGAAGGUUUGUUGGACCUUAUACACACGGAUGUGUGUGGACCAUUCAAACAUGCCACAAGGGAUGCUAAUCGUUAUUAUUUGACUUUUACUGAUGAUUAUAGUAGAUAUGGAUAUGUCUACUUGAUCAAGCAUAAGUCAGAGACUUUCGAGAGGUUUAAGGAAUUUAAACAGGAAGUCGAGAAUCAAUUGGGCAGGAACAUUAAGAUGCUUCGAUCCGAUCGUGGUGGUGAGUAUCUUAGUUCAGAGUUCCUCGACUAUCUAAGGGAAUGUGGGAUAGUCUCACAAUUGACACCUCCCAGGACACCACAGUUGAAUGGUGUGGCUGAGAGGCGUAAUCGAACCUUGUUAGAUAUGGUUCGUUCCAUGAUGAGUCGAGCUACGCUACCAAUCUCAUUCUGGGGGUAUGCCUUAGAGACUGCCGCCCAUAUUCUUAAUCUAGUCCCUACAAAGAAAGUUGCCAAAACUCCUCACGAGAUGUGGACUGGUAAAGUACCUAAACUAGACCACAUCAAGAUUUGGGGUUGCGAGGCUUUCGUGAGACGCGAGACUCAUGAUAAGCUCGAACCUCGAAGCGAGAGGUGUAUUUUCAUCGGUUACCCACAGCGAUCCUUUGGUUACCUCUUCUACAGACCUAGUGACAAUGUGGUCUUUGUAGCAAGAAGAGGAGUCUUUCGAGAAAGAGAGUUUAUAAGCCAAGGAGACAGUGGGAGGCAAAUUGAUCUUGAAGAAAUUCAAGAAUCAAGCGGUGAAGGAACUUCAAACUCUAGCCCUCAACUUGAGGAGGAAACUCCUGUUGAGCCAAUUGACAAAUCUGUACCUCUGAGACGUUCCACGAGAGUUAGGAGUGCACCUGAGCAUUACUAUGGAUUCCAUAUUACUGCAGAAGGUGAGACACUUAUUAGUGAUGAGACACUAGUAAGUCAAGAUGACCCUAACAGCUACGAGGAAGCCAUGGCAGGCCCCGAGUCUGCUAAAUGGAAAGAGGCUAUGGAUAGCGAGAUACAAUCCAUGUAUGACAAUCAAGUUUGGAACUUGGUUGAAAAUGUACCAGGUCGUAAGACAGUAGGGUGCAAAUGGGUCUUCAAGAAGAAGACCGACAUGGAUGGUAAAGUACACACUUAUAAGGCUAGACUGGUUGCAAAGGGCUUCUCUCAAAUUCCUGGAGUGGAUUAUGAUGAGACCUUUUCUCCGGUAGCCAAGAUUAAGUCUAUUCGGGUUCUGUUAGCCAUAGCUGCAUUUCAUGACUAUGAAAUAUGGCAGAUGGAUGUCAAAACCGCUUUCCUUAAUGGAAAGUUGGCUGAAGAUGUUUACAUGAGUCAGCCAGAGGGUUUUGUCAGCAACGAGUACCCUAAUAGAGUGUGUAAGCUUGAGAAAUCCAUUUAUGGAUUGAAGCAAGCACCUCGCAGAUGGAAUCUUUGCUUUGAUGAAAAGGUCAAGGAAUUUGGCUUUUCUAGGAGUGAAGAUGAAUCUUGUGUGUAUGUCAAGGCUAGUGGGAGUAUAGUUAGCUUUUUGGUAUUGUAUGUGGAUGACAUACUACUCAUAGGAAACGACAUUCCAACCCUGCAGGAAGUAAAGUCCUGGCUUGGGAAGUGUUUCGCUAUGAAGGACCUUGGUGAAGCUGCCUAUAUUCUAGGGAUAAGAAUCUUGAGAGAUCGGAGUAAAAGACUAAUUGGACUUAGUCAGAGUACCUACUUGGAUAAGGUGCUGAAGAGAUUCAGCAUGCAGGAUUCCAAGAAAGGAGAGUUACCCAUCCAGAGUAACACCAGAUUGAGUAAGACACAAAGCCCUAGCACUGAGGCUGAGAUAGCAGAAAUGAGUCGAACACCUUACGCUUCGGCUGUAGGAUCGAUCAUGUAUGCUAUGACGUGUACUCGACCCGAUGUAGCUUUUGCCUUGAGCAUGGUUAGCAGGUAUCAGGCGAACCCUGGCAAGGCACACUGGACUGCGGUAAAGAAUAUCCUCAAGUACCUACGGAGGACUAAGGACUGGGUCCUUACCCUCGGUGGGAGUGAUGACUUGAGAGUUGUAGGGUAUAGUGAUGCUAGCUUCCAGACUGAUAGGGAUAAUUUCCGCUCUCAGUCGGGCUGGGUCUUUACCCUAAACGGAGGAGCAAUUUCUUGGAAGAGUUCCAAGCAAGAGACAGUGGCAGAUUCUACUUGUGAAUCAGAGUAUAUUGCAGCUAGCGAAGCAGCAAAGGAGGCGAUAUGGCUGAAGAACUUCAUUGGAGACCUUGGAGUUGUACCAGCUAUUAAAGAGCCAAUGGAAAUUUUCUGUGAUAGUGAAAGUGCUGUUGCCUUAGCCAAGGAACCAAGGGAUCAUGGGAGAUCCAGACACAUCGACAGAAAAUACCAUUUCAUUAGACAUCGGAUCGAAGAAGGACUCCUCGUGGCAAAGAGGGUAUCAUCGGAUGAGAACCCAGCAGAUCCCCUCACGAAGGGACUGAGUAGGGUUAAGCAUCUCCAGCAUGCUCGGAGCAUAGGGCUGAAGGAUGAUAUAAGUUUUAGUAGUUAGAUAACCCAGAAAUUUGUAAAGUGUAAUUGACAUUUGAUGAUGAAUAAAAGGUGUUUUAUUUAUGAGUAAAGUGUUGCUAUCUCUUGUCAAUCGUUUACUAUAUUUCUUUUGCAUGUUUUGACUUCCAGAAUAAUUUUGUUUGGUGUAACAUAUUAUUCAAACCUCCACAGUCGGUCAUAUGUCGGAAGUAGGUAUGAAUCAAGACUGUCAUGAUGGGUUGUAGAGGUCUAAGGUGUUGGACAAGGCUACAACAAUCAUGAGUGCUCAUAAGUUCUGAGCAUUGGACUCAACCCACGCUCACUGGAAUCACUUCAUGGAAUUCUAUCUCGAGUGAUCGUGAGACGGUAAUAUCAUAUAAGUCUUCAAACCUAGAGAUAUGAUUUGUUACUUACAAGUUGGUUAUGCAUUGACUGUACGAAACCGCAUUGGUAACUCGAUGUUAUAAAACGUACUUUUGUGUGUAAUUCAAUGAGUGGUAGAACAAACAUAUGAGUCGAAGUUUAUCUGUUCCUUCUUGGAUUAGAAGCUGAUAUCUGGGCCCCUCGAUGAUUUUGUUUUGACCCAUGUACCGGGCCCGGUCAGAACUAAGUUGAUGUGUUCAAUUAAGUUCUAUGUCAAACAAAUCGGAAAUCGGGAAACAAAUGCUGGACAAUAAGCAAGACAAUGUUCCAUGUAUUUGUCCGGCUGAUAUCUAGAACGGAGGAUUAUAUGAUCACUUAUCUUAAAUGGCGUACCAUCAUCUUCUCAGUUCCGAGAGACCUUGAAAGAGCUACGAUUGCCGGUCGGUUCCUGAAGUACUAGAGAUAUAGUUAUUAGACUUAUCCAAGUGGGAGACUGUUGGAUAAGGUGUCUAAGUCCAUAACUAUUUCGGGCUUGUACUUGACCCGACCCGGCAUGGUCCAUUUGGGUUGCAUGGCACCAUGCAAUUGGAUAGACUAAAUGAGAGAAAUAACACUUGGAGAUUAUUAAUAUAUUAUAAGUUCUAAUAUAUUAAUAAUAUUAUUUGAUUAGUUGAUCAAAGAAUUAAUUUGGAAUUAAUUAAGUGAUCAAAGGAUAACUAAUUAAAUAUAUGGGUUGAUUAUGUAAAUCAUCCAUAUCUUGUAUAGUGGGCUAAGAGGCUCCAUGGAUUAUCAAGUUGGGUUCUACCCAUAGGAUGCUCCAUGGAUGCUCCAUGGGAGUUACAAACCCAUGGGUCAUGGAAAUGAAGAGUCAUGACACAUUAGGGUUUACAUGGUGUAACCCUAGAUGUGUCAACACUAUAUAAGAAUCAUAUUCUCCACCAAAAUCGGCUACACUAAGAAACUAGAGGGCUUGGCCGAUUUUGAGAAGUGUGUGUUAUCUCAAGAGUCUUUCCAAGAGCAUUUGGUGUUGUGUGAAGCAUUUGAGGCAUCACACUUGGGGUGCUAGGCUCACAAGGUUUCAAGGAACACAAGCAACAACAAGGUAAGUUAUUCUAUCUAUGAUUCAAGUUAAAAUUGUUCCCCAUGUAUGCUAGAUAGGAAUAUAACCUUGGAAUUCAACUUUGCAUGAUAAUUAGACAAACAUAGAUCCAAGGUUAUUAGGGUUGCAUGUACACUUAGGAAGUGUUAGAAUGCUCAAAACCCAUCAACUCUGCCCAUCAGUCUGCGGAUGGAACGCCGUGCUAAAAUGUAGUCUCGUGCCCAGUUCCUUGUGGAACUUCUGCCAAAACGGGAAGUAAAUCUGACAUCCCGAUCGGAAACAAUGGAAAAUGGGACCCCAUGGCGAGAGACAAUCUCGCGGACGUACAGGUCGGCCAACUUCUCUGCCGAUGAACUCUCCCAUAUGGCUAGGAAAUGGGCACUCUUGGUCAAUCGAUCCACGAUGACCCAUAUAGCAUCAAACCCCUUUUCCGUCUUCGACAACUUCGUGAUGAAAUCCAUCGCGAUCAGUUCCCACUUCCACAUGGGAAUCUCUAGAGGCUGCAGCUUACCGUGCGGCCUCUGAUGUUCGGCCUUGACCAUCCUACAGGUCAAGCACCUCUCAACAAACCAAGCGAUAUCUCGCUUCAUACCAGGCCACCAAUAACUCGAACUCAAAUCACAGUGCAUCUUGGUGGCUCCCGGGUGAAUACAAAACUGAGACUUAUGAGCCUCCUCCAUCACUGUCUGCCGGACCCCUUCGGACAUCGGAACCCAAACCCGACCGUAACGGGUCAACAAUCCGCGGCUAUCCUGAACAAACCGGGCGCUUUCACCCUUAAUCCUUUCCAACUUCCAGUUCUCCGGCCUCAUACCCUCAAUCUGAGCAUCCCUGACCAAACCCACCAGCGGGGAAUCCACCGUUAUCCUCAUACACUUGGCUGGGGGUAAAGGACCCAACUGAAUUACGGCUCAGAGCAUCCACAACUACGUUCGCUUUACCAGGAUGGUAAAGGAUCUCAUAAUCAUAGUCCUUGACCACAUCCAGCCACCUGCGCUGCCUCAUGUUCAGGUUCGGCUGAUUCAUGAUGUGUCUCAAACUCUUGUGAUCCUUGUAUAUAGUACAACGGACCCCGUACAGAUGGUGCCUCCAAAUCUUGAGAGCGAAGACCACCGCUCCCAACUCAAGAUCUUGCGUGGGGUAUCUCAUCUUGUGCGGCUUCAAAUGACUCGAUGCAUAAGCUAUCACUCAUCCCCUCUGCAUGAGGACUGCCCCCAAAUCUGUGAUGGACGCAUCACAAAAUACCACAAAACCCUCAACUCCCUCGGGGAGUGUCAACACCGGCUGAAUAUACUGUUGAGCCCUAGCUGCCGAACAAAACCCUGAUCCCAACCUGGUGCCCUCACCAUAUGUAGUGACAAAGAACAUGGUUUGGCAUGCGGAAUUAAAGCUUGCACAAUUGAACAUGGUGAUUUGGGUGUUUAAGAGAUAUAUUGAAUGUAUAUGGUGUUACAAAAAGGACUAGAUCUAGACUACAUAAUUAACACACACUUACACACUCACUUCUACAUCUCUCAAGCACACCUCUAUAAGUGGACAAACCCACCUUAUAUAGAGGGGUUUACAUGCCUCUCUCUCACUCUAACAAUCAAAUGGGUCUAAAGGCUAAAGCACCACAUGCAAGUGGGUUUUACAAAAGUCAAACAUUUACAAAGUCAUGAAUGAAGAGCUUUGCACCCCAACAUUCUCCCCCUCAAAGUUAGGAAUGAAUCACCCAUUUCAAAUCUUCCAAAAUCAAGCACUACGCGGUUCGAGCCUCAAAGGUGACACAUGUCGAAACGAACUUCAAUCUUCAAUUCUUCCAUGACUCUUCAAUUUGGGCUCUAGGAUGUGAGACCUUACAAACCGAGCAGCAACGAAUGAUUAAGAGUAUUCCAAACUCCAAAUAAUCACCCAAAAGUUGCGCAUAAAAACACACCCCAAAAAUCUUCAAUAAAACCAAACCCAUUUCGAAUACAUCACUUCCGAACAUCCAAUUACAUCAUCUCGUAGGCUUCAAAACUUCAAGAUCACUUCGGUCUUCAAAUCCGCGUAAUAUGAAAAAUUCAAGUUCGAAUUUCCAUAUAAAACUUCUCCCCCUUUUUAUAAUCGAAAUUUGAUUAUAAAACUCCAAAGGAAAAAGAACGUGCUAUAUUCGGAAUUUUUCAUGUCAAAACUCCCCCUUAACAUGUGGCAUAAACUUUGAGCUUCAAUCCGGAAAACCCAAAAAAUAAUCAAUUUGUUUUUCCAUUGCUGUUCAUUGAUCUUGAAGCCCUUAACAUGUGGAAUUUUUCACGGAUCGCCUUUGACAAAAUUUCUCAAAAAUGGGUAGAAAUUGUCAAUUUCAAAAUUCUGCAGUGACCCGUUGCGCCCAAAACAGCAAAAUAUGCAAAACUCUCCCCCUUUUCCAAAUCUGGGUAGAAAGCGUCAAUUUGCACAAACUGCAGGGGCCUGAAAUGCACAAUCUUCAAAUUUUAGCAAAAAAUAGUCCUUUUUCGAUUUUGGGUGAAAACUGCCAAAAAUUCGAAGUCUGAGGGACCAUUUUCGAAAUUCUGCUCUUUGUUCACAAUUCAUACGAAGAUUCCGCAAAUAUUCGAAGCUCCAAAUUUUUUUUUGAAAUCGGGUGAAAAGUGUCAAAUAUUCAGAAAUUGUGUUAAUGUUCGAAGUGCCAAAAAUUCGAAGGAUCAGGGGCCGUUUUCGAAAACUUGCCAUUUCAUCAAAUCAUACGAAGCCUUUUUCCAUUUGUCAACUAUUCAAAACAAUAAGGGCCAUUUUCAAAAAUUCUAUCUUCCUUCUUUUUAAUUCAUAUGAAGACUUUUUGACAAAACAUAUCAAGCAUACGAAGAGUGACUGUGAACAGUAAUGCACAAUGAUACCCUUCGUAUGUUAACCCAGUUCUUCGUUUUUUUUUUCAUCUAUUACCCUUCGCCUUUUGCAAUCCAUUCAUAUACCCUUCGUUCCAAAAUCAUCAAAAUCAAUAGAUCCUUCGUUCAAACACCCUUCGUAUGAAUCUUUUAACAUCUCUUCGUACAAAUCCAAGUUUUUCCCAAACCAACACCAACUUAGUCUUCGAAAAUUAGUAACCCAAACCAAUUCUUCGCUUUUUGGUGUAAACCAUCUGUUCUUACAGUUCUUCUUCACUUCGUACAUCAAUCACCAAAAACCAAUCCUUCGUUCAUUAACCAUGUAAUGCCCUGUCGUCCAAAUUGAUUUCAUUAAAAUCCAAAUAGGCUUCGCUUUUCCAGUUGAUGCCAAUGAACAAACGUGAUCAACCAUUUGAUUUUACAGUUCACUCUUCGAAUCUUAACCCAAAUCGAUCAUUAACCCUUCGUUUUUUCAGUUUAUCCCAAAACUGAUUCCACUACUUUCAUUCUUCACUUUUCAGUUUAACCCAAAACGAACGAAAUCGUUUCUUUGUUCCUUACAGUUCUUCCCAAACUCAUCGACAUCAAGAACAAACACAUCUAUUCGUUCACUACUUCAAUCGAUAUCAACUUAAUCAACACAAAUCAAGCUUGCAAAAUCACAGAAUGAACGGAAUCAACAAACCAAACUUGAUUAUCAACCAUACGAAAUCAAAAUCAUCAGACUUCUCUAUUUAUGUAAACUCGAUUUUGACUUUUUGGUUGACCCUGACAAACAACAAAACUAUUGAUCUUUAAUCCAAUUUUGGAUCAAACACCCAUUUUUAACAUAAAUCGUAACAUUCUUCAACUGUUCUUCAUCGAGUUCUUGACCGAUUUUAUCAAAAUCAAAAACUAAAUUGUUGACUUCUCAACUACAACUCGAUCAUAAUCGACUGAUAAUUAUCCAAAUCAGAUUCAGUCAAUUCAUAAGUUCAGAAUCGCAAAUCGUUGAUCAACUUUCAUAAGCGAAAAAGAAAACUCAAGAACAUUAUGAUUACAAGUCAAAAUAUGUUUGAGCUGAUUACAAGAACAUUAUGGUACAACCGAUAAAAGCGUACGUACAUAUCAAACAAAGAACAACGAAUUUUAGAAUUAAAUCACAUUGGAUGAAUUUUGGGUUCCAUCAAAGAUAUCGGAUAAAAAAAUAUGUAUGGGCUCAAAUUUAAACAUGAACAGUGACAGAUUCGUACAUUGGAUCAUAAACGAACAAAAUAUUGGGCUGUUGAUAACCACACAUAUCGAAAUUAUCAAAUAAGAGUAUGAAUUGGGCUCCAAGUUCAUUUAUGAACAGUAAGAUGUCAAAAUUUUUGGCUAAAUCAAAAUAAAUGGAUCAUAAUGAAUUUUGAGCUCAAAUCUCGAUUCAAACGAACAACUGUAAAAUCGAGUCGAACAAACAAAUAUGAGAUUGGAUCGGACUUUGAUCAACGAAAAAAUUAUUGGAUCAUAACAAAUGGGUUUUCAAAGAACAUUUGAUCCAAUGAGUCAAACGAUCAAAAAUUAAGAACGCAACGCACGAUUCAAAGAGAUUAAGAGAGAUCAUAGAGAGAGACUCACCAAAAUUGAUCAAAUUACGACAAAAUUUGCCAAACCGGGAAUCAUUCUUCAAAUAUCACCUUGAUCUUGAAGACCCGCUCUGAUACCAAUUGUUGUGACAAAAAUACUACAAGUUCUCCCCCACUUGGGGUUCGAACCCCCACCCGCUAUCCCUCAUAGUCGAUCAUGGCGCCAAAACGGCUAAGCCAAUCCAUCCCUACAAUCCCAUAUACAUCCCCCAUGGGGAUAGGAAUCAAAUCUAUCGGGAAUGACACCCCGAAAAUCUCCAACUCGCAUCCCCGGUAGACCGAAGAAAUAGAAACCCCGUGCUCUUUGGCGAUCGAAACUCGCAACGGGCACUCAAGAUCAUCCAUCGGCACACUAAACCCUCUAGUGAAAGUCUGAGAUACGAAUGACCGACUGGCCCCCGAGUCAAACAAAACCAAAGCAGGCAAAGAAUUUACUAAAAACGUACAUAAUCAUAGGUACAACCAAUAAGUACAACACAAAUACGAUAACUGAGACAGAGAAUAGAAACGUACCAGCAACCAUAUCCGGUGCUGACUUGGCCUCCUUGGUCGUGAGCUGGAAGGCACGACCCUGAGCCUUCGGAGGCUCCAACUUAACUGGCCUCCCGUCUCAAAUCAUUACAGUAGCUGGCACAGAACCCUGCACCGACUUCGCGGCGAGCUGCGGACAACUGGUCUUCACAUGACCAACCUGAUGACAAUGGUAACAAAUCCUCAUAUCUGUGGGAGGGGCGGGCUGAUGGUAGCCCUGGCAUAGUGCCCCUCCUUUCCACAUUUGUGGCACCCACUUCCUGCUCUACAAGUUCCCGAAUGAACCCUGCCACACUUUCCACAAGUGCGGCUCUGCUGACCCACACCGUGUAUCAGCGGUCUUAGCCCGCUUAGGCGCCGGCUGAGACUGUGCCGGUGCCUGACGCUGCUCCUUCAGCUGCUGCUCUAUCUCAACUCACGCUGCCUCGCGGCUUCCUGAAGGUCCCGGAGGGUAUCACAACGCUGUGUAGCCACAAACUGCCAUAUAUCCAUCUUAAGCAUACUCAGAUAACGAGUCAUCUGAGACUGUUCUGACGCAAACUCUGGGCAAAACAUAGCCCUCUCAGUGAACAUCCGGGUGAUCUCCAUCACCGACUCCCCAUCUUGUCUCAAUGUCAAAAACUCCUGAGCAAGCCACUCCCAUUCCACGCGCGGAACGUAGCGGGUGCAAAACAUAUCCCGGAACUGCUCCCAAGUAAUAGCAUCCCACUAAUCAUCAGAAUAUGAACCUGUCUUCAAUCUCCACUAGUCCUUUGCCCCGAGCCUAAGCAGUUUCAGAGCACACCUGACCUUCUGGUCAGCAGGACAUGAGCACGUGAAGAAACAGCCCUCCACGUCAGACAACCACCACAUAGCCCUGAUCGCAUCCUGUGUACCAUCAAAUGUCGGGGGCUUCGUAUUAUCGAAGUCCCGAUACUGGAAAGCCCUGCCGGCUCCUCCUCCAACCCCUGCCGCAGUUACAGCCUAAGUGGCUGCAACGACAGCUAUCUCUGCUAGAGCUGCAUAUCGCUCAACAAAAUACUCAACCAUUGCGGUCUUAAUCGACCCAAACAUCUCUGGCAGCUGUGCUCGGAACAUAGCAACAAUCUUGUCUUGCAUGAUCUCCCGGAUCCUGGCAUCCAACUCCUUGGUCCCUAUUUGUACCACGGGCUUAGGUGCUACCGGCACCUCCAACCCUCAGUCUCCCGACCCCGAUCCUGAUCUUGAUCCAGAAGCAACACGUCUCGUCACCACCAUACUGAAAUAUAUAUACAAGUCAUCAAAUAAAUAACAUAAUGUCGGGAGACCAAAACCCACAAACCCUAGGGGGUGUGAUUUCCUUGCUAAGCAUAUGGGUCCUGUGCUUUAAGUAGUACGGGCCCAUACUACCUUCCACACCUACCCAUAUUUGUCUCAAGUAACACCACAACGCCCUAACAAUAUUAUCAACAUAGAAAUGCGCUCAACCCUCACUUCUAGGGGAAUACCAACUAUCUCGCACCUAGUCUCACCACUUAUCAUGACUCACACAUCCAUGAAACUUCCAUCAUCCCCUGCCGCGCCAGUGCAUGCUAGCUGUACGUAACACUGGAACCAAUAGACUUUCGAAUAUCCAAUCCAACCCAAAGGUCGAAUCAACAUUUUCAGGCUAUAAGGUCUUUAUUAUGAACAACCGUGAUGCAUACACUAAAAAUCUACAGUUAUGAUGUCAAUUCCACAUACAAGAAACCCUAGGCUAAUAGGCAUCAUGUAACUAGGCAAAUCUAUCAUGUGAUUCCUGAAGAUCCCUAGCCUAGCACUAGCAUGCUGUUCUAACAUAUCAUAAUAUCAAAUAACUAUAUGGUAUUUUGGGGUUUACUUACAGGCUCCGGCUGAUCGUACCCUCUACAUCCUCCAUCCUUUAUUUUGAAAACCAUUUCAAAAACUUACUUUCUGAAAAUCUCCUUGAUUUGAGACUGAAUUCACACGAGAGUUCCUCCAAUUCACUCAAACCAAGGCUUUGAUACCAACUUGUAACAUCCAUAAAUUUUACGCCAAAUUUAAACUUUUCAAUCAUAAAUAAAAACCAAAUAGCAUUGUUUACAAAAAUGUUUUCGAAUCAUUAUCCAUCAUAGUGUCACAAAAUCAUAACAUAAGGAUGAGGAGUGGUACGGUCACGCCUUCGCCACUACAAGAAAAAGACCCUUUUACGACGCGCAAGCAACGACACUCGGAGAUUUAUGUUACGCAAAAGAGAGUGACGUUAAAAAAAAUGUUAUCUCUUUAAAAAAUUUAAGAAUUUAGGUUGCACAUUAUUGCGUGCCCUUAAAUUAGUGUCUCAUGUAAAAAAAUUAAAAACACGAAGGGCACUUUAUCUAAAAGGUGCGCCGUCUAUGAAUGUCGUUUUAUAUUUUUUUAAGGAACGCGCUUCUCCUUAGAGGGAAAAUGAAAUCUCCAAAUUUUUUAAACCCCCACCUUCUUCUCCCUCGUCUCCACCCCCUAAUCGAAGCUACCAGUUGAACAACCCCUAAUCCACACCACCACCUUCUCGUCUCUCCUUCUCCACCAGGUUUUCUCUCAUCUCUAUCCUCCACCUUCUGGAUUGUAAAGGCGUCAUUUUAUAAUUCUUUUACCAAACGCACAUCCAUUAUCCUCAAUUACAAAAGGCGUCCAAAUCUAGGGGUUUUUUUUCAAGAAGAAACCAAACGGGAGUGCUCUCUUCAACAUUCGAUACCUCCGCUCGCCCCACCUGCUGGCGACCUUGGUUCUUAUAUCCUCCCAGUUUUUUGCGUUCUUCUUUCAGAAAUUUAAUCGAACAAGAUCUUGUGCCAGGCAGUUAAUCUAACGAUGGCGACAUUUUGAUUUUGAUCUCAAAAUACAUCAAAUACGAGCUUAUGUUGGAACUGAUUACCUAUAUAUCUUUUCCUUUAUGGGAUAAAUACAUCGAAUACGAGUAACAACAACAAUAGUGUUCCAAUCUUGCAUUGAUAUACACACACGGAUAUCGGAGCAUCCUAAUCAGCAAUUGGACCGCUAUUAUAACAGGUGAUAUACAAUUUUUUACGUAGAAGAGCCUCUAGCUUUUGUUAGGUCCAAAAUAAACUAAACAUGGUCAUACUCUUUCCUACAGUUUACAGCUUUAGGGAUUAAUAGCAAGUCGCCCUUUAUCUGAACUAAAAACCGCUGAGGAAGUUGCAGCUGCAACAAAUUCUAAAGACGAAGCCAAUAUUGAAGAAAAUGAAUGGGAAUUUCAUCCGGAUGCAGUGGAAAAACCUUCUAAACCUGUAAGUGAAGGCGUAAUAGAAGCUGAAGAGGUGGAGUCUUAUAUUGCCAUUAGAGAAGAGCUGUACAAGAAGGCUAAAGAAUUUGAUUCAAAGAUUAUUGAUUUUGGGACUGCUAUCAGAAGACCCUACUUGCAUAAGGUUUUUAACAUUUUUUUUGAUAAUGUAUACAGAGGCAACCGGAGAUUCACUUAUUCACUUGAUCUUACUUGUGAACUUUGAAUAUGUGUGGGUCCGAAGGGCUUCAUAUGGACGGAAAAGUGAUAUAGGAUAACGAAAGGAAUAUAACUGUUAACAGUUGAUCAAAAUCAAAAGAUACAAUUGGUAUUCUUUGUUUAGGUUUUGUUACUGCUUAAUAUAUAACUUCUGCAUGUUAAUUGCCACAGAGACGACAACCUUUAGGGUUUGCGUUAAGGUUGAUUGUUACAGAGAUAUGGAAACUUUAAUGAGAAAGCUUAACUGAAGAACUUAUAAAACGACUAGAGUAUAGAGUUUCCUUGGCUGAUGAAUGGAUUAUCUCUAAUUAUGUAGCAGGUACUCCACACUCAAACAAACACUGAUAUAGUUUCGUAGGCUUUCAAGUUUCAAUAUUGUAUUCCUAUUUAACAUACUGAGUCUACUCUUGCAAAAGUUGUGGCGAAUUUUUUUUUCUUCAUGCAACUGUAUCACAAAUAUAGCUAACUGGAAAUAUUAUUAUGAUUAGGUUAUCUAGUUCUUCAUUUAGACCUCUACUUGUAUUGCCUAGUUAAAAUAUAUAACUUUUAGCACUUUUUGUGUUUAUUUGGACUGAUUAGAUGUUACAUGGUUGAGAAUUUGGAACUGCUAUCACCUUUGUAUGGUUACCUUGGUUGUUCACGGUUGUUAUCUUCUAUACAGGUUUAAGAUACAAUCAAUCACCUAUUUACUAUGGGUGAUAGUGAAACAGUUGUUGCUCAAUCAUCAGCUAUCCAAGAGCAUCCAUCAACUACAGUUAAUAGAGAUUUGGCUGCUUCUACAGGUAUCGAUACCAUGGAUGUAGACAAUGUCAUUCCUCAUGAGGAUGAUCGAGCAUCCAUCCAGGUAGUAUCUUACUGCUGCUAUAGCAACCCCCUAUGUUCUUUAGAGUUCUUGGGCAUAAACUUCCUCUUUUUGGUUCAUAUGGUGGCUUUUUUAUAUAUAUUAGUAGAAAACCAUGUUACACAUCACCCAAAAAACAAAAUGAAAAGAAACUGAACAAAAAACUAUGAGUUUUGAUUUAUGUUAUAGAUAAUAACGGGCAUUUGAUUACUUAAUAGUUUUUAGAAUCAGUCGGGAGUCUUUCCAAGAAUUCAGAAAGUUUUCAAGAAUCAAAAGCUACAGAGUCUUCUUUGCACUUUUUGAAUAGCAACUAGCAAAUCCCUUCUAUCUUAAUGUUCUUUAUAUAACUUAUUUGCUGCAUGAAAUCUUUUCUUAAUGCAUAAGAAUUUCAUGCUUUCAGACUUUACUUACAUGGUUGCUUUUUAUAUCAGGCAUCACCCGAACAUUGUUCUAUUGCUUUUUAUCAAGAGGGGUAAGAACUAAGAAUUACUUUCUUAUUUUAUCUUUUUCUGUUAUUUUUUCAAUCUGAUAAUUUAUAUAUAUUUAAAAUGACUUGUGAUAUUAAUUUGUCCAAUAACUUUUGAUGAGCAUGUGCGUAGGGGUAAAACGGGAAGAGGAAAUGCUCGGGAGAUGGGCUUUGAGAGUUUCCUUGACUUUGUUCUAGCCCUGGAAAACAAAGACACUCCAGAGGGAAUUACAUAUCUUUAAUGAUGUUUAGAUCUUAAUGGAAGAGGCUUCUUUACAACAGCUGAUAUUCACACCCUUUUCAGGUAUAACUAAUUAUUAUUAGGAAAUAGGAAAUUGAAAAUUGGAAGUAAAGGAGGGGAGCAUUUAAAGUUUAAAUGUUGCCUGAUAUACCCUUCCUACAACAAAAAAUAAAAAUGAAAAAUCUCUGCUUUUCCUACUUGUUGCACGCGAGACACGUCUGCAAGCCUCUUGACUAUGAGAUACAUAUUUUCACCAUAUAUUAGUAAUAAAAAAAUAAAAAAAUGAUUUGAUAAUUGAUUGGUACACUACACUACAGGGAUGUGCACCAAAAUUAAAUUUAUUUACUAUUAGUGGAAUUCAAGAUAUGUACAGGAGUGUUUGUUGCCUUUAUAAUUGGUACAAUGCUAACAUGGAGGACCUUGGCAUUGACAGGUUUUAAAUUAGUCUAAAUUAUAUUUAUUUACUACUAGUGGCAUUCUUAUGGAUAAAGAAAAUAAAAGGUGAUGAAUUCUAGUGUUCUGUUUGCAGGAUUAAUCCCUUGUGCUGUUCUAUUAGUGGGACUUUUCUUUGUACCAGAAUCUCCUAGAUGGCUGGUAUGUGAAGUAUCAUGAUUCAUGAAGCUGUUUAAUUUAUCUUCAAGAAAUUAUGUUUGACAUCAUGCAUGCAGGCAAAGAUUGGAAGAAAGAAAGAGUUUGAUGCAGCCCUAAGAAAACUUAGAGGGAAGGAUGCUGAUAUAUCUGAGGAGGCGGAUGAAAUCCAGGUGUUCAUUUCAAAGCUCUCAACUUUUUUUCUUAUUUUUGUUAACGAAUAAAAAUUAUAGAAUUCUUUUUAUGUGUUAUCAAUGGGGUCUUGAAUAUGUUGAUAGGAUUAUAUAGAAACACUACAAAAGCUCCCGAAGGCCAAAAUAUUCGAUUUGUUUUAGAGAAGAUAUUUGCGAUCUGUCACUGUAAGUUUAUUUUCUUGAUAACUCUUGUUGGCUACUUUAAAAAAAAGAUUUUUAUAAUUGUAGUCCGAAUCUUGUUUUGACCAUACAUGGUACUUUUUUUUUUUUUCUGUAAUUGUAGUCUGAAUCUUGUUGGCUACUUUAAAAAAAGAUUUUUCUAACUUGCUCCUGGACGUGAUUGUGCUAUUGAGUUUGAUCUUGGAAGUGGAAGCUAUAAUGUAACUUGCUAUUGCUCAUACAACUUUUGUUGGAAUGUGAGUAUCAUAAUUCAUGCAUUUUUAUAAAAGUUUAAAAUAUUAGUUUAUGUUUUUUCUAUAUAAAAGAUAAAAUAUUUUUGUUGCUAUUGUUGUAGUGUACAAAAGAAACUCAUCGCCUUGUGGACUGUGAAACUGUGUCCAAAUGGAUUAUGAAGAAAAGUGCAGAGUCUGAAAAUAUGAAUUGGUAAAGGUCUAAAUUGCCCCUUGGCAGGUAUGCUGAUCGAAUUGCUAAUGCUAAAUGGGAAGUUAAAGAACAUGGAAUGGAACGCAAAGGUGAUUAUUUUUAAUUUUAGCACCAAAUAUUUUAAAAUAUCAUUUUUUUUAUGUUAAAUCAUAACUAUAACUCAAGGUGCUAUAUCUUUUAUCUGUUGUUUGUAAUGUUGAUAUGAUAACAUUAGUUAAUAACAUAUUUAUAUAACAACUCUAUCAGUUAGCUAAAACUGAUUAUGUCAUUAAUAUAUUAAAUUUCAUAAUUAUUAUUUAUUACAUUAAUGCUUUUAAUAUGUUCUUUAGUUGCUUACACCAUCAGUUCUCAAUGGUCGAUUAGUUAAUGCCCACCAACAUCUCCUAGCACUAAGGAUAUCAGAUUAUCUUGGAAUACACCAAGUUCUGUGAUAUUUUCAAUACCAAUCAUAAGGAGGAAUUACAAUAUGGUGUUAUGGAAGGAGUCAAUCUCUUAGGGAAGUAAUGGAGCCAAAAGAAGGUAGUCUACUCUAGGUGCAGUUUGUUAUUAUUCUAUUGGUGAUUUGAAGCAUGGAGUUGAUUCCUCCUGCAAGUGAAGUUACUUAGUUGGAAUUUGAUGUACAUAGUAGAUUAGAUGCAAAUUUAUUUAUUGUAAGAAAUAGAAUUGUAUGACAUUAAAUUUAAGCAAUGGAUUCUAUUUUUUGUAUAUAAUAUUUUAUUUUCAGUUAUGAAACAUUAAAUACAAAUUUAAUUAGAAAAUAAGUAAACCUAUAAAGAUUUUUUUUAAACAUUUAAAAUUAUGAUACGCAAAAAUGUGUGUCAUCUUCAUUUAUGACAUGGCCUUUCUUGACAGGGGCUUUCUUAAUACGCAUUACGUGUCAUUAACACGCGCGGCGUAAGGUUACGACACGCGAAUGCGUGUCAUCUUCCUUUAUGACAGGGUCUUCCUUGAUACGCAUUGCGUGUCGUAAACGCACGUCGUAAUUGCGCGUCGUAAAUGAGCGUCGUAAAUGCGCGUCGUCUAUAAACGACGCGCAAAAGCGCGUCGUCUCUCUUUAUGACAGGGCCUUCCUUGACACGCAUUUGCGCGUCGUCUGAGCCUUUUACGACGCGCAAUGAGCGUCGUAAAAGGCUGUUUUUCUAGUAGUGCGCCCUAGCGGCAUAUCACACACACUCUUGUUUCCGCAGUUAUGAGUUCAUUAUGGGAUUGAUACUUUGAUAUUUUGGUUGUUUACAUGUUGUGGAUUUCAAAUUUGGGUUUUCGAUGUGAAAUGGUUUAAUUGAACAAUGUUUUNGGCCAUCGGCCUGACUGGACCGCCCUGCGGGGCCUACAGUCUAUCUGGAUCUAUCCCGAGCCUUCGGCAUGACUGGUUCGCCACGUGGGCCUACAGUCUCCCCGGACCGCUCAUAGGGUGUGUGGGCCUUCAACACAAAACAGGAUCGCCUCAACCCAACCAAAAACAAAUAACUAUGUGCGCAUAACUAUCAUAUACUGGCAUAUACAAACAUCAAGCAUAUCUAUCACUGGUCAUCAAUCAUAGAAUUCUCUCAUAACUAGAGUACCGUCCUAGCAGGUCACUAACAUACCAAUCCCUACGGAUCAUAAGAGCAUAGCAUACUGUCUACCCUGAUUCCGAUCUAACAGAUCAUAACCACAUAUAGCAUACCAUAACAAUAACAACUAAAGGGUCGGCCUUGGUGCCGUAGACCCUAUCGAUAUAGUGAGGGUAACUCACCUCAGAGAUGUCGACUCGGAAAGUAAACUCCAACUCCCGGAUCACUUGACACAAGCCCCACUACCUAUAGCACAAUAUACUCGUAAGUCCUUAACCUUAUAAGGUACUCCAUAACCUACUAGUCAACCCCUGAUCAAAGUCAAAGUCCUUAGUCAAGGUCAACAAUCCAUGUUGACCUCGACUCGUCGAGUUCCUUGAAACACAUUCCAACUCGCCGAGUCAUCAGGGUGACUCGUCGAGUUCCUUUGAUUCUCGAUGAAACUUUAAGGCCACCCGUCGAGUUCCCUCCUUGCAACUUGACGAAUACACACGCAUACAUAUCCAGGAGAAAACUCAUCCGCCUCGCCGAGUUGUUCUUCAACUCGUCGAGUCUAUGGAAAUCAUCAUCGGACUCUCCGAGUUGUUCAUCCAACUCGUCGAGUUCACAACCAUCUUUAUGUGACUCGCCGAGUCCAUUCAGUCCUUUUCCCAUACAGACCUAUUUUGAGUCAUGCAACGGCUCCAACUCACAGAUCCAAGCUUCUAGGGCAUGCUCAAAAGGGACCUUAAUCACGAGGCGAUCCUGUUUUGUGUUGAAGGCCAAGUUUCUAGGGCAUGCUCAAUAGGGACCUAUUUUGAGUCAUGCAAACUUUACGUGCAUGCAUGGCUUUAUAGGCUCCAAAUGCCAAAUCUAAGCUCUUAAUGGGGCUUCAUGCUCAAUAGGGACCUUAAUCACGAUCAAAACUGUAACUUUAUGUUUCUAGAAUCCAAAGAGGGUCCGAUCUGAAGUUACAACUUCAAAUCUAGCCCAUAGCUCAUCAUACCAACUUGAUAUUCCAAGAAAACCCUAAAACUCAACCAAUAGAGGAAAUUUAUAAGGAAAAUGACGGUUUGGGUACGUCUGGAAGAUUAUAUCUGAGAUAAGUAUUGAUUUCCACACUCUAAAUGCUCCAAUCUCCUUCUCCUCCACGUCUUCUCCUUCCAAAGAUCCUCUUUUCAAGCUUCAAACACACACAAGGCACCACACACGAAUAAGGGAUCUCAAGGACUCUUUAGAACUGUAAAGAGGUCCAAGGGAGGCUAAGGCCCCUUUAAAUAGGGGUACAAACCCCGAGAUUUAGGUUUUCAUCUGCCUGCUCCUACUCGCCGAGUCCCAAUAUGGACUCGUCGAGUAGGUCACUUAACACGGGAUCCCACCCCCGCUGCUACUCGACGAGUAGGGCAACCUACUCGUCGGGUAGAGCUUAACCCAAUACAUCUUAUUUAAAACAAUACCUGAGAAUUGGGGCAUUACACAAUAACGCGUCCUUUAGAUAAGGGAUCAUGUAGUCCUCCAUUCUCAAGAUAUCGUGUGGACAAAGACAUGGAAUAAAGUCAUACUCAUUGUCUAAUAGUUUGUUUCCCGAUUUCUGAUUUGUUUGACAUAGAAAUUAAUUAAACACAUCAAUUUAUUCCUGACCGGGCCCAACACAUAAGUCAACACAAAAUCAUCGAGGGGCCCAAUAUAUCGCUUUUAAUCCUCUUAGGAUAAAAGGAAGAGAUAAUCUUUGACUUAUAUUCUUGUAGUAUUUACUUCUUAAAUCGUACAAAAUAAUACGUUUAAUAACAUCAAGUUAUUGAUGCGUUUACACACUAUCAAUGCACAACCAACUUGUAAACAAUAACUAAUAUAUCUCGGUUUAAAGACUAUGCUAUUAUCGUCUCACAAUCAUUCAUGAUAAAUUCCAUCAAGUGAUUCAUAUGAGCUUGGGUUUAAUCUAAUACUCAAAUAUUAUUUCAGGAGCACUCAUGAACAUUGCAACAAACCUUUGCUAUGUCCAAACACUUAUACAAUCUACAAACCAAUUCAUGAUAGUCUAACCUCAUAGCCUACUUCCAAAGUAUGAUCGACUGCGGAUAAUUCGAAUAAUCCUAUUAUUCUGGAAGUCAAAACAUGAAAAAGUGAAACAAUAGUAAACAAUUUACACAAGAUAGUAACUUUACUCAUAAAAAAAAACCUCUUUAUUUAAUCAUCAAAUGUCAAUUACAUUUUAUCUAUUACAAGUUUCUAAACAAUUAUCUAACCACUGAAACUAAUAUCAUCCUUUAGACCAAUGCUCCUCACAUGCUGUAAGUGCUUAACCCUGCUUAGACCCUUUGUGAGGGGAUCUACUGGAUUCUCCUCUGACGAUACCCUCUUGAACACGAGGAGUCCCUCCUCUACCUGAUGUUUGAAGAAGUGGUAUUUUCUGUCGAUGUGUAUGGAUCUACCAUGAUCCCUUGGUUCCUUGGUUAACGCAACUGCUCCUUCGUUAUCAUAGAAAAUUUCCAUAUGCUCCUUUAUGGCUGAUACAACUCCAAGGUCUCUGAUGAAGUUCUUCAACCAUAUUGCCUCCUUCGAUGCUUCGCUCGCUGCUAUGUACUCUGAUUUGCACAUUGAAUCAUCUACAGUCUCCUGCUUGGAACUUUUCCAAGUCACUGCUCCUCCAUUCAGGGUAAAUACCUAGCCCGACUGAGAGUGGAAGUUAUUUCUGUCGGUCUGAAAACUAGCAUCACUAUACCCUAUCACUCUCAAAUUUUCACUUCCACCAAUUACAAGGACCCAAUCCUUCGUCCUUCGUAGAUACUUAAGAAUGUUCUUUACUGUUAUCCAGUGAGCUCUACCAGGGUUCCUUUGAUAUUGACUAACCAUGCUCAAAGUAAAAGCCACAUCAAAACGAGUAGACGUCAUAGCGUACAUGAUCUAGCCAACGACAAAAGCAUAUGGUACUCGACUAAUUUCCACUAUCUCGGCAUCGGUACUCGAACUUUGAGUCUUACUCAAUUUUGUAUUGCCCUGGAUUGGUAACUCCCUUUCUUGGAAUUCUCCAUGCUAAAACACUUUAUCCAAGUAAGUACUUUGACUAAGUCCUAUUAGUCUCUUACUCGUAUUUCUCAAUAUCCUUAUCCCUAGAAUAUAAGCAACCUCUCUGAGGUCCUUCAUAGCGAAACACUUCCCAAGCCAGGGCUUAACCUCUUGCAAAGUUGGGAUGUCGUUUUCUAUGAGUAGUAUGUCAUCCACAUACAAUACCAAGAAGCUAACUAUACUCCUACUAGCUUUGACAUGCACGCAGGACUCAUCCUCGCUUCUUGAAAAACCAAACUCUUUGACUUUCUCAUCGAAACAAAGAUCCAUCUGCGAGAUGCUUGUUUCAAUCCAUAAAUGGAUUUCUCAAGCUUGCACACUUAGUUUCGGUACUUUGCAUCCACAAAACCCUCUGGCUAAUUCAUGUAAACAUCCUCAGCCAACUUUCCAUUAAGGAAAGCAAUUUUGACGUCCAUCUGCCAAAUUUCAUAAUCAUGAAACACAACUAUGACUAGCAUAACUCUUAUAGAAUUGAUGUUGGUCACUGGUGAGAAGGUGUCGUGAUAGUCAACUCCCGAAGUUUGAGUGAAACCCUUCGUAGCUAGUCGUGCCUUGAAUGUGUCCACUUUCCCAUCCGUGUCGGUCUUUUUCUUGAAGAUCCACUUACACCCGACCGUCUUACUACCUGUUAUAUUGUUAACCAAGUUCCUAACUUGAUUUUCAUACAUGGACUGAAUCUCGUUGUCCAUCGUCUCUUUCCAUUUUGCAUACUCUGGGCCUGCCAUGGCUCUCUUGUAGUUGUUAGGUUCAUCCAUAUUUAUUAGUGUACUAUCACUAAUAAACAUAUCACCUCAGCAGUUAUAUGGAAACCAUAUAACACGGGCGGAUCACUAACUCUAGUGGAACGUCUAAGAGGUAAGGACUCGUCGAGUCCCACUAUGGACUCGUCGAGUUCAUCUGUCAGGGGCCAGAAAUCGAUUAUUUUCAGCUUUGAACAAUUAACCAUGACAUCAAAUACAACAUAAAAACAGCCUAGGCUCUGAUACUACUGAUGGUUUUUGAGCACUACAACAUUCCUAUGGUGUACAUGCAACCCUAAUGCUUCGUAUCUAUGUUUUUUUCAAGUUAUAUAUGCAAAUCAAAUCAUCCAAAGCAUGAACCCUAACUAGCAUAAAAAUUUGGAAAUUUGUAACAUAAAACAUAGUUAGAAGAAUACUUUUUCCUUGUAGCUUGUUGAUCUUGACCUUCAUGAGCUUAGUGCCUUAAUUCUUGCACCUCGAUUGAGUCACAAACACCAAGUAGCAAGUUGGAAGAAUAUGAGAGAGGCUAGGAGGCUCAAAAUCGUCUAGGGUAUUCUCUUAGAAGCAAGUGGUUGAUUCCAAGGUGUCAUCGGGUCUUUAUAUAGAUGUGCAAUUAGGGUAUUUGAUUGAAACCCUCAUUCUCUGCUUAGGCCUUAAGUAAUCUAGUAGAUCCUUCCAGAAGGUCUCUUAUGGACAAAAUCUAUGUGGGCUAUAUAUAGGAUUUCAUCCAUCCCUUCUUAGGGAUCCACAAGCCCAAGUUUGCAACUAGCAUAUAAUUGCAAUAUCAGUCCCCAUAAUUUAAUCAGUCUCUUUUGAUCACAAAAAUAAUUCCAAAUCAAUUCCUGAUCAAUACUAAUUAAAUAAUAUGAUUUCUCAAUCAAUAUAUCAUUCUUAUAAUAUAUUAAUAAAUCAAAAUUAACCUCUUUCUCCAUAAUUCAUCCAGUCAAGUUGCUAUGGUGAAGGCAACCCAAAUGAACCAUGCUACUAUUAGGUCAAGUACAUACCAAUUAUAGUUAUGGGCUUAGACACCUAAUCCAACACGGGCUCCUUAGAGCUUUCAGGUCUCUCCUUGUCUCGGGUACAAGUCUUGUGCUUUUAGUAGUACGGGCCCAAUACUACCUUCCACACCUACCUGUACAUUCCCCCAAGGCCAUACCUGAUACCUCUAAUUCACCAAAACAUAGAUAAAACAUGACAUACGAAACACAACACAUAUCCUAGAAUCCUUGGGGAUUUCUCAAUCCUCAUAGAACCAGAAGUCUCAAUCAACACCGCAGGUUGCCUUAUGCAUGCAAGUUAUACAUACAUAUAAUCACAUAGACUGUCAAGUGAAGUUUCUACCCUAAGACCAAAAUGAAGCAAGGAACAAGAAGUAAGGAAGAAUCCAUCGUUCUAGGGCUAUGAAAUCCUACACGUAUACAACUUUGAAAGAAUACACUUAGCAAAUAACAAAGACAACAUCGAUUUCAAGCAUUAUAUUCAUAGCAUUGAAUUCUAGCUAGUAGGCUACAAGGCAUCACACAAAUCAGACAAUUCUCAUAACUCCUGAAGGUAUCCUUAGCCCUAUUCUAGCAUGCAUUUCACACAUUAACAUACUGGUUGUAAUUCAUAAGCUUGGUUAAAUUUUUGGAAACACUUACUUGAGCUUGGCCGAUUGCGUGCAUUGCACUCUCCCUUUUUACUUAAGAAAACCGGUUUAAGAAAAAAUUUACUUUUGUUUAUUUUUUAAAAAGGGUUACCAUUUCCUUAGUUUGAGUUCUGACACACCUUCGAGUGUGGCCGAAUUUCUCAAACCAAGGCUAUGAUAGCAACUUGUAACAAUCCAAAAAUCUAGAUAAAAAUUUUCAUUUUUUUAAAAAUAGAAAUUACAAUCAUAAUUUGUUUAUGAAAAUCCAUUACAUGAUUUCAUAUCAAAAUAUCAGAGUAUCGCUAUCGAUAAAUGAGGAAAUUCUUGGGAGUGAUGUUGCGCCAUCAAGCUGGUCCAUUCCCAUCAAUACCAGAAGUACCUAAAAACACCCAAAUAAACUAUAAGCAAAAUGUAACAUCCCAAAAAUACAGGCAAAAAAUUUCAUUUUUAAAUACAUUAUUAUAACACCAGCAGUAUAAUAAGACAUCCAUAAUAUCAUGUCAUGUCAAAACUAAAGUAGAAAUAAUCAAAACAUGUUAUAAUAAAACAAUAUCAAGGUGUAAUCUCAAAGAUCUCAUGUGCGGAAAACCAUAGCGUGAUGCACUGUGAUCAAGCCGACUCCUUUCCUUUAAAAACGAGUACCUGAAACCAAAACUGUAAACCGUAAGCAUGAAGCUUAGUGAGUUACCCCAUCAUACCACAUACCAUACAACAUACAUGCUACGAAGCAUAUCUGGGUGUUGACAUACCCCUUUGGUAACUUUAACCGAUAUCCGGGGACUGUUUCACCCCUAUCACUACCACAUAAUAACAUAGCAUAACAUAUAUAAAUAUACUGUCAUGCAUAUAUGGGUGCCCGACCUACCCCUUCGGUAUCUUUCAACCGGUAACCGGGAGCUAACCUCCCCAUCGGUAUCUUUCAACCGGUAACCGGGAGCUAACUACCCCUUCGGUAUCUUUCAACCGGUAACUGGGGACUAUUUCACCCCUACCACUACCACAUAAUAACACAACAUAAUGUACUGCAAGGCAUGCAUGGGUUCUGACGAUCCCUUCGGUAUCUUUCAACCGGUAUCCGGGGACUAAUAUUUCACCCCUAAUACUACUAACUCAUAUAACAUAGCAUCCUAGAACAUAGAGCAUAUCAGAUAGUUGUAAACUAGACAAUUAUCACAAAGACAAUCAUCUCAUACAUAGUCACCUACUAGUGGGUCAGCAUUGGUGCCUUAGACUGUCACACCCCAAAACCGAGAACGGCGGAAAUGUUCUGGGGCGGAGGACGUCAUGUAUAAUAUCAACAACAAUGUAAAGUAGUAAACAAGCAACAACAUCAUCCAUUGCAUUAAUAAAAUAAUUAUUAUACAAUUGUAUUCUGUCAAAUUUUGAUAAACACUAAAGCAUAAAUCAAAAUGAAAGAUAAGUCUUGAACAAGCUCCAUCUUCCUUUCUCCUUGCAUCGGUACCUGUCUAUGAUGACCUGAGGAUACAAGUAAUUUUGAAAGCGAGUAUCAGCUUUAAAGCUGGUGAGUUCAUAAGUAUAUAAGUGUCAUUGCCUUGUUUGUGAAAAGCUGUUAUGAAGGCCAUGAAAACCUUUAAAUGAAAAUGUUGAGGUAAGUAUGAAAUCCCUAGAAAAAACCCUUAUUUUCUAUAAGUAUGAAAUGUAGUCUUCUACUAAGACCCGAAUGUUCUGUACGUAUGAAGUGUAGUCUUCUACCAAGACCCGAAUGUUUUGUAAGUAUGAAGUGUAGUCUUCUACCAAGAACCGAAUGUUCUGUUUGUAAAAUGAUAGUUUUCCCUUUGUAUUGACUAGUACUAAAAGUGCUUAGUCUAACUCAUCGUCUAUGUGAAUGCAUCACAAAAUAAAGUAAACAGGAAAAUGUACUACUGUAAGUGUUGUCACUGGGUACUAGGACCAACACAGCCUAGGUAAAUAUUAUCCCGAGGUACUAGGGUUAACACUACCUAAAAAUAAAGUAAACAGGAAAAUGUACUACUGUAAGUGUUGUCACUGGGUACUAGGACCAACACAGCCUAGGUAAAUAUUAUCCCGAGGUACUAGGGUUAACACUACCUAAAAAUAAAGUAAACAGGAAAAUGUACUACUGUAAGUGUUGUCACUGGGUACUAGGACCAACACAGCCUAGGUAAAUAUUAUCCCGAGGUACUAGGGUUAACACUACCUAAAAAUAAAGUAAACAGGAAAAUGUACUACUGUAAGUGUUGUCACUGGGUACUAGGACCAACACAACAUCGCAUUAAGCGAAAUGUAUAACCUAAUGAACAUCCGAAGAUUGUCCAAUUGUCCUCUGUAGCAGCAGCAGGUGGGUGGAAGGGUUAGUCCCAAAUCGAUCUUCCUAAUAUAAGUAGUAACCUUAGACCUCCGUAGAUGGUCAUCGACCACUGGUGCUAAUCAGUGGGGUUCGGAAUGGUGAGUCCCGCCUAGAUAUCCCAUUGAACCGGGAUAGGAAAGAUAAUUUACACAGAAAGUACUAAUAAAUUAUCCUCUUAGUUCUAAGUACAAGUAUCCAGGUAAGUGAAUACAGGAUAAUGCACCUAUGUAAAAGUGUUCCUGUAUGGCAUUCAUGUAUGUGCGUCCAUGUAACAGGUAAGUAUAUGUGAACAUAUUCAUGUAUCAGGUAAGCAUCUGUAAGUACUCAUGUAUCAGGAAAUGUACUAGUAUAGACUCAUGAAUGAACUGACUCUUGUGUGAUUCUUUGUAAUAGAAAUAAUGUUUGAUAUCUUCAAAUUAUCCCUAUGAUAAUUUACUGUAAUAUAACUGGAUGAUCAUGUAGGUUUAUACACUCUUACUACUCAAGGGUGUGGGAAACUAAAUGAAAGAUGUAAACUAUAAACUCAAUACAUAUAUAAGAAUAUAAGUGUAUAUGCAUAGUUUAGUUCAAGAAUGUAAAAAUGGUUUUGUAAGACCUCUUAUGGGUUUUGAACAAUAAUUAACAAUGACUUGAUGUCAUUUUAAUAAACAUUUCAAAGGUAAAACAUUUGGUAACAAUGUGUUUUUAAUAUGUAAAACCAUUUCAUGCAUCACAUUUUGUAGCAUGUGAAAUCCGUUAAAUGACAAACAUAGUUAUAAAAUGCAUAUCAAUGAUUCAAUAACAUGUAUGUUUCUACUUGUAUUCCCCCCAUUAAAGCAUUUAAAAUCAUUUAAAAUAUUGAUUAGGGGUAUGAACUCACUUGAUUGAAGUGGUUGAUUUGAAAUAGUCCAGAGAAGAAUCAAGCAGAACUUCGACAGGAAGAGCUGAAAACGCGGGAAAAUCUCAGGAUUCUCGGGAAUCUCGGGAAUCUCGAGAACACAAAACCUUCCUUCGGGACUUGAAGGUGAAAACCGGGGCUUUGGGAGGGUCUCGGGGGCUUAAACGCAGAGUUUCGGCGCGAGAAAGAAAGGAACUGAGCAAUGGAACUCGGAGCCCUUGAAAUCUAUUUAUAGGGGCAUUUUUGGGGUGUGCCACGUCGUGGCAAGUGAUGGCCACGUCGUGGGGAGUCAAACCUAUCCUCUUCCAUUGAUUGGACGCCCUCAGUCACUUGCCGGGUCGCGGCAAGCUUGUGCCACGUCGUGGGGCCUGACAGCAUCGGAUUUUGGGCCCCGAACUUGUAAAAUCCAUAACUUUCGCAUACGAGCUCCGUUUUCGACGUUCUUUAUAUGCACACAUAGCUAAAAAUAUGAUCUACAAAUCUCGUUUAGACUUCAAUUGCAAAUUUUGACUUUAUUUUUAAUUAUUUAUUUUUAACGGGUCGGGACACGAAAAGUCUGUUAAAAAUCCAUAACUUCUUCAUCCGGUGUCCGUUUUCGUCAGACUUUUCGCCGUUGCGCUACUAAUGUUGAGACCUUAGAUUCUCAUUUAGGUUGUUUUGGCACNUUUGGUCAAAAGUAUCUCGAGCUCUAUUUCGAGUUUUUAGCUGUCUACUGCUAUACUCGAAUCUUGGAAAAAUCAUAACUUUCUCAUACGAAGUCAGAUUUGGACGUUCUUUUUAUGUACGCUCACGGUUUGAGGUUAUCUAUAACUUUCAUUUAGAUACUUAAGGCUAAAAACUAUUGUAUUGAAACUUCGCGUUUUUCGUUUAAUCGGUGUUGUCGGUUUUGCCGAGAAUCUUCGGUUGGUCAUAACUUCUUCGUUAUAACUCGAAUUUUAGGGUUCUUUAUAUGUACUAAAACCUUGAUACGAUUCCUACUACUUUAUUUAACCCAAAUAAGAUUUUAGGAAAGUUAUAUUUUGACCUAAAUUUGAUUGGUUUUACAUUUCAUUGUCUCGAAAUAUCGGGUUGUCACAUAGACCCACCUCUACUGGAAGGUAAUUCACCUCGAAUGCAGAAGCUUCCUAAAGAAAUUCUUAUUGCUGCCCUGCCCACUUCCCGAGCUAUCAAUACCAAUCAAUAUACCAAAUUAGCAAUUGGUUCCCAUACCAAAAUCCUUAAUCCAUGCAUGGGAUAAAAUGACCAUUCUACCUAUGGCCCAGUAUGAUCCGGAAUUAUGGCCAUAACCCAAACAAAAGCCCAACACUAUAAUGUCCAUAAUACAAUCAAUGGCCCAAUUUUCUAAAUUGGGCCCAAACCUCUACGUGAGUCUUGCCAUGAGGCCCAAUCAUUCUUUCCAGUCCAAUACACCUCAUAUUCUGAUGGCCCAAUAAUAAUCCAAACAUUUAAACCCAAAAUGCUAAAACUCACUCAUGGCAUGGUCCAUGGACUAGUUUUCCAAAUUGGGCCCAAGACUUUAGUGGGCCUCUACAAAUAAAAUAUCAACCCCAAAACUGAUGGCCCAAUAGCGCCCAAAACAACAAGCCCAAAAGAUGGCCCAAACUGAAGCCUAAAAACCAAAGUCCCAUUCUGCUGAGUACGCGGGGCGUACUCAGCUUGUACGCUAAGCGUACUGGCUUAAGGGCUUGUACGCUACAUGUAGACGCUUGUACGGCCAGCGUACUCCUCCUGUUGACCAACUCUCAAUCCUAGCUCUUAAUCCAUUAAGCCAAGACGUCCAAAACCUCAAAAUGGCUUAAUAUAAGUGACUUGACCCGUAAAGUCGAAUGCUUUAAGCCUUUGCAUGGCUUAUUUAAUCCCAAACACUAAAGAUGAAUUCCAAAAGGUCAAAAUCACUCCCAAAAUGUCUUAGAACUUCUUAAUACCUUAAGACCUCAGUCCAAACUUCCAGAUCUGAUUUCAAGGGACUUCUUAAGUCAUAAAUUUUCCAACUUUAUGACUUAGCAUAACUCAAUGGGGCCUAAAUCUAAAACCUAAGUUCCAAACUUCAUUAAAUGAAUACCAAAUCAUGCAUGGAAGGUUUAUACCUCUCAAGAUCUAGACUUUAUGACUCCAUAACCUCAGUAAGGACCAAAUAAGAGGCUCAAAGGUUCUGGAGUAACUUCUACUCACAAGAACCACCUCAAAGGGACCAAAAAAACAUAACAACGUACCAUUUUGCUAGAUCUACAUGAAAAAGUUGUCAAUGUUGAGACUCUAUACCUUCAGAAGAUAGAUCUAGGUGCACAAAGCUUGGAUUCAAAAGCUCCAAGUCAAACAAUGACUCUUCAAGAAGUUCCUUCUUCCUCCUCUAGCACCAAAACACACCAAAAAUCACUUUGAAGCUCUAAAAUUACUCAAAUGGGGGCUAAGGGUCGAUUUCUAGGGUUUGGAGGGAUGGAGGAUGAAGGUAUUAGGGUUAGGUUAUGAGAUAAGGAGCUUAAAUAUGCUCCAAGACCCUAAAAUAGGGUUUUGAUCUAACUGGCGUACGCUCAACGUAAUUAUGGUACACCCGACGUACUCCAAAGAACAUUCGCGACCAUCCUGGUCAGUAUGUCCAGCGUACUCUAAGGUACGUCCAACGUAUUGCCUUCUUCACUAGUACGCCCUGCGUACUCUUUGUGUACGCCAUGCGUACUCGGCUAACCCUGAAAACCAUGAAACUUCUGAAGGCCAUAACUUCUUCGUUAUAAGCCCGAUUCCAAUGAUCCUUAUAUCCACGGAAAGGUGACGAGAAACUCUAUGCAUCCAUCAACUUAUUCUCACCUCAAAACCUUCUGAAAAAAAAAUCCAAAAUUUAUAAAGAUCUUCAACUACCACUUUACCGAUAUACCCCUUGGCUCCAAAACACGAACCGAACACCCGAAUCACUUAUAAUACAUCACCUGCACCCAAAUGGGCCUAGAUACUACCUUUUCAAAAGCCCUAAUACUUUUGAUGACCAGCCUUCAGGCCACAUCGUUAGACUAGAAGUCAAUCCGGAACAGGGCGUUACAUAAAAGCUUAGUGAGUUCCCAAAAUACAACAUAACAUAUAACCACAGAAUACCACGCUAUAUACAUAAGAUUGCCAUAGGAAACCCCUAUGGUCUUUACCUGGAAUGCCAUGGGCUACCCCCAUGGCCUGAUAUCCAAGUUCCAUGUGCUACCCCCUUGGUCUUUACUUGGAAUGCCAUGGGCUACCCCUAUGGUCUUCACACAAGUGCCACGGGCUACCCCUGGGGUCUUCAAAUAAUGAAUUCAUAACAACUAUCAAUGCACAUGUCAAACAAUGGGCCGAAAUUAGUGCCUUCGACCCAUUGAUAUAGUGAGAAGACUCACCUCAGACUGCUGAUAAAAAUACUACUCGGCUAUCGGUCCAGAUAUCUCACACUGAAUAUACACAAGUUAACCUAAUUAGAAUUAAGUCACAAACUCAAGGCAUAGGCCAAAACCCUAAUUACAAACUCCUCCAAUAAGGCCCAAAAGCCUUUCUCCUUUAAUGGGCCUAACAUCCAAGCUCCAAAACAAUUAUAGGCCAUAAGGCCCAAAAGGCCCAAACAUGCCACCUAUGGUCCAACAACAAGUUUAAAGGCCCAAAUACUCUAAUAGAUCCAGGCCCAAGGCUAAGUAGGGCCCAAAUGGAUCAAAGGCCCAACAAUAGCCUAAAACUCACUGGAAGCAUACGCCCAAUGUACAACAUAUAUACGCUUAGCGUACUGGGUUAUUUGGUGGUACACACAGUGUAAAAGCUAGUACGUCCAACGUACAAGCUGCUUUGCACAAAUAGCCAUUAAGUGCUUACUUCAUGAAGCCGCUUCGUCCGAUUCCAAAUCUUGGUCAUCAUAAAGGUUGUAGGGCAAAAAUUUUGUAACUUUAUGCCUUUGAAUGCCAUAUGGGAACCUAACACCUCGUUUUAUCCUUUAAGACUCCCUUUAAGAUCUUAAACUCAUGCAUGGUGUCAAAACAACCAUCAAGUUAACAUUUUUAUGGUUUUAACAUGCCAAAGGAACUCAAAUCAAACAUUUCUAACCUCUGGAGUUGCUCAAACUCACAAAAGAGGAUCCAUGGACCAAAAAUGGACUUAUUACCAAACCCUAACUCAAACUAGCGAAAGGAUAAGCAAGGUCUGGACUUUUUACCUCCAAAAGUUCCGCAAGAUGAAAUAGAUGCAGGAUCUAGAAGCUCAACCACGUAUAAGACUUGAUCACAACCUUCUCCUUCUUGCAAACACACUAAAAUAGCCACCAAAAUCACUUUUAAUAUCACGAAUCACACUCACUUGCAAAUUAAGGUUUAGGUAUGAUAAGAGGCAAUAGAAGUUGUUUAGGGUUAGGUCUAAAUGGCAUAAGAGUGUUAAAAUGGGGCUAAAAUUAGGAUUUUUGUCUUAGGCCACGUACGCCCCGCAUACAUUGUGCAUGUCCGAGUCCAAACCACCCUAAUAUGCUAAGCAUACACAUAUGUACACCCAACGUACGUAGGGACCUCCUUUGCAAAUAAGUUUCAUUCCAAGGGUUAAAAGGGUAACUUGCAUUCCGAAUGUUACAUAUAGAUAAUCAAAUACUUGAUUCUACCCUAAGCCCUUCAUCAACCAAGAACAUGAAAUAAAGCUAAACCAAAAAUUAUCAGGCUAUAGAAUCUUAAUUAUGUACAACUAUGAUGCAUACACUAAGCAGGUACAAUAAUGAUGUCAAUUCUAUAUAAGAAGUAAUCCUAGGGUAUCAAGCAUCAUAUAUGAGGAAAUUUUAUCACGUAAUUCCUGACGAUCCCUAGCCCACCGCUAGUAUGUUGUUGUAUCAUGAAUAACAUAUCAAAUAACAGUGUGGGUAACUUGAGGUAUGCUUUCUUACCGCGGCUGACCGUACACAUCACAUCAUGCAUUCCUUGGUUACUUUUGAAAACCAUUAAAAAAAACUUUUACAACUCCCUAGUUUGAGUUUGGAUUCACACGAAUGUUCAUCCAAUUCUCUCAAACCAAGGCUCUGAUACCAACUUGUAACACUCCUAAUAUCAUAGAAAAUUAAAAAUUUUAAAUUUCAACCAUUAACCAACAUUGUUUAUAAAAAGUGCUCAUUGCUUCAAAAGUAUUAUUCAAAAUCAUAGUUUUUCCCAAGACAUAAAAACACAAAACAGGAAGAUGUGCACGAUCACGCCUUUGCCUUCCCGCGAUUAUCAGAAGUACAUGAAAUAAUAAACUGAAAUUGUAUUUCAAAGCUUAGUGAGUUCCCCCAAAGUACCAUCAUGAAACAUAUAAAAUACAUAGAUUAACAUGAUGGGCCCACAACCUCCCAGUUGGAUUACCUUGGCCCACAACCUCCCUGUUGGAUUGCCCUGCAUACCAUAUACUGGGUCCAUAACCUCCCAACCGGGUUGACUUGGCUAGUUUGUGGAGUUUGACCUAUUUUGAGCCAAGUAUAUUUUGGAUAAUUUGGUAUUAAUUUAAGUUGGGAAAUAUUUUGGGAUAAUAGGUGUUGAGUAGAGCCGGGUGUCGGGGAAGACAUUUAUUCAGCUUGUGUUUAGACUGAGAGGUGAGUUUUCCUCACUAUACUUACAAGUCGAAGGCAUCAAGGCCGACCUAAUGGAUUGAUAUCCUGUUAGAUACUAAUUGAAGAUAUGUUGAGUAUGCGAUACAUCUGUAUGAUUAUAUGAUAGGUAUUGAUAUACAUUAGACUGGUAGAUCUGUAGGACUACAUGUGAUUAUUGGUUGUGUAAUCACCUGUUUGUUGUAUGUAUAUUAUCUAUUAUAUGUCGACAUGUUACUUUAGGGUUGAGAAUAUUGCUUUGUGCUGUCAUUCGACAGACCGUGACAAUCCAACCAGAAUGUUUUGGGCCAGAGUAAUCCAACAGGGAGGUUGUGGACACAACAUGCUAAUCUAUGUAUUUUAUAUGCUGCAUGAUGGUACUUUGGGGGAACUCACUAAGAUUUGACUUACAGUUUCAGUUUAUUGUUUUAGGUACUUUUGAUGAUCAUGGUACGAUGAAGGUGUGAUAACGCACAUCUUCCUAUUUUGUGUUAUUGUGUCUUGGGAAAAACUCUGAUUUUGAAGAAUACUUUUGAAGCAAUGACUCUUUUUUUAAACAAUGUUGGUUAGUGGUUGAAAUUUAAAUUUUUUAAAUUUCUAUGAUUUUUGUAAUGUUACAUUGGUUUGGCUUGUAACCGAUCUAAACCCCCCACAUACCCUUGUUAAUCAUAAAAGAAGAAUCCAUUUAGAACUAACUAUGUUCAAAAAUAAGAACCAUAGUGUGUUAAAUAUUCAUUACCUCAAAUGUAGGGAUCUUUUGAUGUCGAAGAACAUUAGUUAAGAUAAAUUAAAAAGGAUAUUCAACUAAACCAAAGGUCUUUUGGCCUAGCACUAUCAUAUGUUGGAAAUGUGACCCUUCCUAAUAUCAGAAAAACGUGUUAUUUCGAUUGCUUGGAUUACACUGAAAGUCAUGAUACACUUACGUAUUAAAGUAUUUCGAUGGUACAAUCAAAAUUUAAAUUGGAUAAAAUUCUGUGAGAACAACAGAGAAUGAAAAUGUUAUGAUUCUUGUGUGUACCAGAUUCAAAUGACCAAAAAGGGAUAUGACUCCUUGUCCGAAAAUUGUCAUAUUUCCAGUUACAAACUGCCACAAAACCAUCACUAAACUGACUUAGUCGGCUUAACAAACAAGAACUACAUAUUUAACAUACAAAGAAAAGCUAACAAGUCUCCUGAUACUUGUAAAAAUCAAAUGAUGUAAAAAAAUUAGAUAUCAAAAAAUCUAGUAUUAACAUAGAUUUAAUUAAACUUAUAGAUUAUCUGUUUAUAUAUCAUGGAAAUUUAUUCCCAAGGUCAUCCUUAACUCGUUAACAAGUUUUGGGUGUAACGAUAUAACAAUAUCUAAUCAUUACUCCUCUGAUAAAAUUUUGGAUUCUGUGGUCUAUAGGUUGCAUUUUUUGUUGCUAAUAGGAGUAGAAAAGCUAAAAUCAUUUGGGUCGAUUGGAUUCAUAAUCCUACUUCAACUUGCACUCUUAUGUAAUGUUUUUUUUCCUAGCUUACUGCUAGUUUUUAUAAAAUUUUAUCUUGUUCCGAAAAAACUCCUCUUAUAUAUUGGUCAACUUUGAGAUACAAUUAAAAAGGUUCUCUUGCCACAUCACACGCCAUCCACCCCAACGACCACCACACAAUAAUAUCGAUUUGGUAUAGACCAACAACUAUCUCUUUCCUCAUCUCCCUCAAAUCGGUCUUCAUUUCCUUUCUUUUCAGUUUGCUUUUUAAUAUUCAUACAUAGAGACUCAUUUUUGAGAAGUUAAGACACAUAAAUGUGUUUAAUAUUGGAAUCCCACAUGACAAAGUAGCAUCUAGGGAUGUCAAUGGGGGCAAACGGGACGGGGGUUGCAUUCCCCACCCCCACCCCCAAAANNNNNNNNNNNNNNNNNNNNNNNNNNNNNNNNNNNNNNNNNNNNNNNNNNNNNNNGCCCCCGAUUGAUUUUGGGCUACCUUAUUUGCACUAAAAGAAGUUCUUGUUUGGACUAAUAGAAACUAUAUUUUGGGUUAUAAAUAGAUAUUUAUAACAUAAUUUUACAUGUACAAACAACUUAAAACAUGUUUUAUUUUGAAGUUUUGUAUGCAAAAAUCUUUUUAUUGUUUAUUAUAUUUAUAUAAUUAAUAUAUGUCAAUUUAUAUAAUUUAUUAACGGGGCUCCCAUGGGGGUUUCGGGACGGGACUACCAACCCCUGCCCCAGCCCUUGAAAUUAAAACGGGGGUUAACCUUGCCCCUGCCCCCGUCCCCGAUUAUUUUCAACAAAUGCCCCCAUACAAGAUGGGGUCCCCGCGGGAUCGGGGUCCUACGGGACUUUUUGACAUCCAUCGUUAAGUAAAGAAUGUUUGUGACGAUGUAACUUCCUCUUGAUAUACAUAUCUUUUAUUAGAGACCGACCGAUGUCAUCCUUUAACACUGUAAAUUUUCAAACAAAGUUUUCAUUUUAAAACACAAUAAAACACAUGUCACAUUCCUUUCAAAAAUCACAAGUAUCAAUUUAUCAAUACAUUUUAAAAGUUGUUUAUCGCAAAUCCAGAUCCUCAAACAUAACUCUUUUCUCUUGUGUGUACAAUCAAACCGGUGCCUUAUCGUGAUCCUGAUAAGAACCUGAAACACAUAACACAUAACAUGGUAAGCAAGAAGCUUAGUGAGUUCCCCAAAACACCACAUACAGCUCAUUAGCCACUCGAGGCUAUAACACAGUAAGACCCUCCGGUCAAUGUAUCUCAGUGGGAUCCUCCGGUCCCAAACUCUGAUGGACCCUUCGGCCGAAUAGAAUUUUCCACCCGCGUCCAAGAUUCACAUAUACUCGACGAGUUUGGGGACUCCAACUCGUCGAGUCCCAAUGCAAAAAUGCAAAAAUUCAUAUGUAUAAUACGUAUCGGGAACCGGGCGUUAGAUAUUGGUUGUAUAAUCAUUUGUCUGCUGUAUGUAUAUUAUCUGAUAUAUGUCAACAUGUUACAUUAGGGUUGAGACUACUGCUUUGUGCUAUCAGUCAACAGAGAGUGGCAAUCCAAGCAGGAUGUUAUGGGCCAGGGUAAUCCAACCGGGAGGUUGUGGACACAACAUGCUAAUCUAUGUAUUUUAUAUGUUGCAUGAUGGUACUUUGGGAUCACUCACUAAGCUUUAGCUUAUAGGUUCAGUUUAUUGUUUCAGGUACUUCUGAUGAUCGCGGUAUGACGAAGGUAUAAUCAUGCACAUCUUCCUGCGUUGUGUUAUUGGGUCUUAGGAAAAACUCUAAUUUGAAUAAUACUUUUGAAGCAAUGACUUUUUUAAACAAUGUUGGUUAAUGGUUGAAAUUUAAUUUUUUAAAUUUCUAUGAUUUUUGGAGUGUUACAUUGGUUUUGGUUUAUAACCGAUCUAAACCCCCACACACGCUUGUUAAUCAUCAAAGAAGAAUCUAAUUAGGACUAACUGUGUUCAACAAUAACAACCAUAGGGUGUUAUAAAUCCAUUACCUCAAAUGUAGGAAUCUUUUAAUAUCGAAGAACGUUAAUCAAGAUAAAUUAAUAAUGAUCGUAACAUCCUGUUUAUUAAAUAAAUAAAUAGAUAAAAAUUUGAUGAAAGAAUAGUCGCCCUAAAUUCAUAUUAUUUAGUGGGGCGCUGGUUUUGGGGAGCCGAAUGGUAUAAUUUGGAUUAUUCGGAGGUUAAAAGUGUAAGUUCUAGAUUUAAUUUGAAAAUGAUUUUAGAAGUCAUGGUGUGUUUAGUAAUUAAUGGACUUAAAUAGAAAGGAUUUGAUGGCUUAAGGGGGUGAUUGGUAAUUUCGGGACCUAUUAUGAAACGACUUUCAGAGAGAGGGGUUAAAGGGGUAAAUUUCUGAUUCAUUUUGAAAAGAUUAAUAGAGGGAAGGCUACUGUUGUUAUUAUGGGGAGAAGUUUUAUGGGGAUUGGGGUAUAAGACCUGUCAGCCCGGUAAACCCUAAACCUAGCCAUGUGUCCCAGCCGCCGCCACCUUAUACCCCCCCCCCNNNNNNNNNNNNNNNNNNNNNNNNNNNNNNNCUCCGGCGCCGCCGCCAUCAUCCCGUUUCCGAUCAGCGAGCUGCCGAGAAGCUACUCCAUUGGACUUCUGCCACUCUUCUCUUAUCCUUCUUCAGUCGUUGCCAUGUGAGGCCUCAUCCACCACCCGCUACUUCAUCGUUGGAGUGCUACCACCACUGUCGGUGCACCAUUGUUGUCGCUGCUGUUGAGGCCAAGGAUGAAGACGGAUGUUGGGACGUCGGGAAUGAAGAAGAACAAGCCACAAGUCGCUGUAACGUUGGUUGUAGCGCUGCUGCUCCGCCACUGCCCAUUUCCGUUAAAGACAAGGUCGUCACUUGUUUCUCGUGGAUGGCUUAGUCGGAGGUGUCGUUCGUUUCCGUGUGGUGCUGUUCCUCCGUGAGCUGCUGCACUGGUGGUGCUGCCACUGUUGCCGUUAGUGUUGCUGCCACUCUCUACCGUUGUCGCCGUACGCCACCAGGUGGGUGGCAGGGUUCUUUUGCGAAUGAAAACAGUUUGUUUGUGUGUGUGUGUUGUAUGUGGUGAUGUUUGGCCUGAAUUAACGAGAACAAUCACCACCACCUUCGUGAGGUGGUAGCUGCCACCAUGUACCACCACCGGCCACCACAAGGGUGGAUGUGUAUGUGUGUGUAUUGGCAUUUAUGUUGUAAAUUGUAAUUAGUGCUAGUGUAAUCAAAAGAAAAACUCAAAACCACCACCGUGAGGUGGUGGCUGCCGCCACCAGUCGCCGUGUUGGAUGGCGGUGUGCUCUGUUUAUAUUUAGACUUUGUUUGGGUUGGACAAAAUAGACUAGACCCAUAACCACCACCGUGAGGUGGUGGCCGCCGCCGUGAGCCGUCGUUGACCACCACUACACGAGGUGGUAGUGGGUGGUGCCUGACUUAGGAACACCCUAAUUGUCUUAAUGAAACCUUAAUGGGCCUAAGGACUUAGCUUUUGGGCUUAAUUGGAUUGUAAUGGGUUGGAAACCCUAAUUAGGGUUUAGAAAACCCUAAUUUUGGAAUUAUUGGUUUGGACUUAUCGGGACCCACAUUUGGGACCAUUGGAGUGAUGACUCAAGCCCGUUUUCAUUGUAUGCUUGGACUUAAUGGAUUAAUGUAAUGACCAAAAUUCUCUAUGUUAGUGAAGUUGGUUUUCCGUUACAUAGAAUUAAGUCGUACAUGCGUCUAGGAUGUGAGAUUAGACCGGUUUAUAUAAAAAAAAAUAAUAAAUAAACAAAAACAUAUUUUUUAACAUUUUAAGAAUUUAAUAGGGAUUAAAAUAAUUUAUAAGAUUUAGUUAAUAAUUAUAAUGAGCUAAAGAUAUUUAAGUAAUAUUACGAGUUAAAUAAAUACUCAAAUUAUUAAAAAGUGGCUUAUUUUAUGUGUAAAUUAAUCAAAUUAAACGACUAUAAAGAAAUAAAAUAAAAGAAAAGGUAAAGUAUAUAUAAUAUGGCCAGGGUUAAUAAUGAAUUGAGUAUAAAAGAUCAGGGACUAUAACUGUAAAUUGGAAUUCAAUCGGUGAAUUGAAUUCUAUAAGCUCGUUACCACUGAUAAUAAAUUUGUUUUAAUUAAUUCUAUUCGAUUGCCGCAACCUAUGUUCUUCUUAUUCGUUUCCGUUACCAGGCAACUUAUUCGCCUUGCCGAUUACACCUUCUCUUUAGGGUUGCCAUAUUUGUGUCGACCAGAAAAAAAGAGAGAGAAUUGAGUGUGAGAGAGUGUCUGCGUGAGAAGGAAUGAACGAGGCUCACAUCCUACUGCUAUUAGAUCGAAACAAGGUAAGCUCUUGAUCCCGAAAACCUGUCAUGUUUUUUUUGUUCAUCAAUGGCUUAUUGUGAAUAUCUUGCUGCCAAAAUACUUGUUUUUAGAAGCCACACAAACCCGUGAACUACUUCAAUUCAUCUCUGUCAAGCCUUAGGGAUGAAGCACCCAUGUUUGAGUCGUGUCGGGCUUAGUCGAGACAACCCCAUAAGCCAUCAGAACACCAGAAUCACAUUUUGGAAUGGUGUCUUCUCUAAAGCGUAGCCUCAAGUCCCUUAGACGCUUUGUUAAGGCUUUGAAACAGAAGCAGGGGAAGCUAUAUGUGUUCUUUCGCAAUUUUAAUGCAUGCCUCUGAAUUGCUACCGGACAAUCAAAAUAGACUAAUGCUUGAUGGAAUAUGAUAGUUACAGACAUAAUGGUUGUAUAGUUUCACUAAUGACUAAUUCAUAUCUAGACUUAGCUAUUUAAAUCAAUAGAAAGAGUCUGGAUAACAUAUUUCAUGAUAAACACUUAAAGAUUAAUUCAUCGUCUUGUGUUAAUGUAUGUAAUUCCAUAAAAGUUAAGAUGUUAAAAAAAUGGAUUGCCUACGUAAUAUUGUCUAAUUAGAAGUCUACUUCACACUAGGGUGUCUUAUAAAUAUAUGAGUGUAAUUUAUAAAAGAGUUUCAGUAUUAUAAAAAGUGAUUUAAUCACUAAUUAUAUGUCAAGGAGCAUGAUAUGAAAUAGUUGAUUAAAAGCAAUUGAUUACAAAUCAGUGUCAUCGGCUAUAAGGCUUCCUUAUGGUUAGUUAACAUUACAUUAUUCAUGAUACAACUUAAUUAUACUAUAGAUUAAAAUUGUCUAUCCUUAGCUACAGUAAAUAUGCUAAGGAUUUGGCAAAAAUGAUCCUCCAUCUAUAUGGGUAUUUAUAAUUCUGGAUCAUUUCUUUUAAGAGGUUAUAAUUUGCUAUUUUCUAUAUUUUGUGUAUACGUGUCGUUCUUUUUACUGAUCAAAGGUUUGAUCGUGUGCGUGUCAUGGACACGCGUUUUUUUCCUGUGUUUAUUAUCGAUCACCCUAUUCUUUUCAUCUGCCCACCGCCCUUACUUCCAACAUAUAUUCCACCGGCUUCCUCAUUCAUUUUUUCAUUAUCCCACCCCUUCAUUGACUAACUUCACCAACUGUGUUAUUCUUUCUUUAAAGAAGCUCAUCGGUUCCUUAUAUGUUUUUUUCAGGGCCUAUGUUUGUUGGAAUCCUUACGCUUGCUGACGUCUUUUGUGAUUAAGGGAUAAUUUUGUUCCUGGUUGCAUAUUUGAGUCUCAGGCACUCACUUCCUUUCUCUUUCUCUGUUUUCUUUCUACUCAUGGCAUCUCUAAUGGCAUUCUAUUACCGUGUUUGUAGGUUUACGCUUCGAAUUGUGUGAUUUUGUAUUUUUCAUUUCCGCUUUCGCUCUUGAAGAUGAGUAGUAGAAAUCGAUUGGAUGGUGAUUACAAAUACCUCUUGUCAUAUCGAUUUGAUUGUAAGUAUCUCACCUCUAAUUUGUUUUCUUUUUUUGGACUUUGUUGUUUUUUCAAAUAACACUUCUUACCUUCUAAAGCUCGGUUUCAUACACUUCUAUCACUUUUCUGUUAUCAAAGCUUCUUGACUAUGGUAAAUAUGGAAAAUCCUGUGACAUGUAUGUUUAUGCCCACAAAGUGUUUGAGGAAAUGCCUUUUGUGUUUAGGUGCCUGAUUGUUAUUCUGUUGAGUGUAUAAUUUCACAAUAUUGCGUAAAUUUUUAUUAUUGAGGCUCAACUGUGUAACUUGAACUGUUUUAUUGUAGUCUUACGGUUCUCUCCGUUCGAGGCAACAUACGACACUCACAUUCCACUACGCUGAAGCAUGAGACUUUCCGAUUUGUUGGUCUUGCCAAGUAGAUUCAGAUAACAUUUUCUUUCCAUAUAUUCUUCUAAAAAGCAGUAAUUUAUGAAAUUCUCAUUCUACAAUCCAGAAAACUGUUAAAAAGGAGCUUGAAAAUCUCCAAAAAGAUUAAUACUUUUAUUGAUUUGGCUAUUACCAGUGCUUUUUCAAGGGAAAUUAAAACAAUCAAAGGGAAUUUUCUACAAAAUACGUAAAUAUGUUAAUAGCUGUGUGUUUUUUAUUUUUUUUUUUGAUAGCUAAUUAGCAUUGAAGUGGUAGAAUGAAUUGGUUAUUAUUUACCCAUAUACCAGAUUAUGUCAUCUCUCUAUAUGUUUGGAAUGUUUGUGGGUUUGAUAUGUUUGCUGCUACUGUCACACCACAGUUGAAAAAACAUAUUUCCCUGCUAAAGGGGUUGUGUAAUUGUGACCAUUUUACAGUUUUGAUUUCAAAAUUAUAUUAAAAAAUUUAAAUUGCAAUCAAACUCAUAACAUGUGCAUGUUUGACUGAUUGAGUUGUCCUACAUCUCAAAAAAUCAGGGAACAAUCGACGGUGUUGACAUUAAGCCAACUUCAAAUUCGUGGGUCACAGUAACUGGAGGUAAUUUUCUUUCUUGAAUGCUUUUGGUUCACCUGUCAAUUUUAGUAUUUAUUUGAAGUAUAAUUUGUGUUUUGUAAUGUAAUAAUAUACUCUCACACAGAAGUUUUUAAAGCAGUGCUAUAUAGGAAAAAAUUAUUAAACUUCUACAAAGGGCAUUAGCAAAGUUAUGGGAUAAAACUUUAAACGGCCUAAAACAUUAACAAACUGUGAAACAGGGAAGACAAAAUUCAAUGGUUUUUAAAGAUUUUUGUUUUUUGGUUGUCUACGUUAACGAUCCUGCUGUUAAAAUGUUAUGAUUAUGACUAUUUUGUCCUUCCUUUCAUUACUUUCUGAAGGUGGUAAAGAAAAGGGAUAUAAUCCAAGGGUAAAAUGGUCAAUUUACAAAUUUCACAGCUGUGAUGUUAAGUUAGAUGGCCUAGGGAUGAAACACAUUACCAAACAGUGACAUAUGAAAUUUUUGUACGACGUUAAAGUUUCAUAUCUAUAUUUCAAAAAAAAAAUUCAUUUGCAAUUUUCAUCUGUAGUUCCCUGUUUUUGACUAUUUAUUGCCUCUUUUAUAUUGUGAAAAUUAUGUUUGGGUUGUUGUUUAUGAGGUAAUUGGUAUUGAUGUCAAUACAUAACUUUCAAAAGUGUUAUCUGCCAUACAGGAGAAUUUGGGAAAACAAGCACAUAAGCAAGAAAAAAGAAGGGAAGGUCAUAAUGUAAAAAGAGAAGGUUAUGACGAUGAGAAUUUAAUUUUGCACCUUCAACUUUAGUCACUUUCAUCAUUUUUAAUGACUCAUAGUUUCUUGCCAUUCUCAGUCUAUUUUGAUUUUUAGAUAAACUUAUUUUAUUGAAAACUUUUUUGUAUUAUCAAGGAACAUCAUUCGAUAUCUCAACUGAAAAUUAUGAUAACAACAUUACUAGAUGAGGUUGUUUAUGAAUUUUUAGCUAUAUAUUUUGCUGCUAAAAAAAAGAUAAGAAUACCUUGACAUUCUGACCCUCGCGAAGCGAGGCUCACCCUCUAGUUAAUAUUAAACCAAGGUGAUUUGUAAUUUAUAAACUACGAUAGACUUAUCUAAUCAAUUAAUAUGACAUAAACUAAAUAUAGUUUAAUAUUAAUCAUGUUUAUCUUAGCCUAAACUAAAUAAAUAUAUACUUUUUGUUUAGGUAUUUGUUGAGUAAAAGAGCUACGAAUUCACGUUUUGAAGUGAUUUCACUACCGAACUAAAGGUGAGUCAAUAGACUUUUCAUAAACCCUAUAUAUAGUCGAAAACUACUUUCCGAAAAUGGCUCGAUUAGUCAAAUUAGAAUAUUAUUAAUUGUUGAUAUUAUGCCUAUAUGUGCAGUAUGAGAUAUGCCAUUGUUUUGCUUUCUGUGACAUUUACAUGCUUAGUAAAUUUGGUUUAUAUGUCUAUCUUGGUACUUGAUACGAUUAAUUGCAACUAUGAUAUGCUAUAUGAAAUGUUUGAUAUUUGACUAUGACCUUGUUGAGUAUCUUUUAGUAUAAACUAGGUUACAACCCGUGGAAACCAUGGGUAAAAAAUUUAAAAACAAAUUUAUAUUAUUAAUAAGAGUUAAGAUUGUCAAUCCUUUUGUAUUGAUUAUUUAAAAUUAAAAUUAAUACAAAUUUGUAAAAAAGUAUAUAAAUUUGAAUAUAUGUUAAAUAGAAACGCAAUCAAUCCAUCGAAAGUUAAAUAUGAAUAUAACUAAAAUGCAUCUUUGAAUAUGUGAAUGAUUUAUGAAGUGUGAGGGCAAAUCAUUAUUUUUUGUAAUGAGGGAGCAAUCAAGAAACACCAUGUGGCGUCUAUUAAAGUCUGAAAAUCAAAUAUCGAAACGAACUGAAUAUUAUGGAUUACAAUUACAAUGCUAUAUAAAGAAUAAAUUAUUUAAAAAAAAAAUGUUACAAAAAAUAGAAAAAAACACAAUUGUUAGAAGUUAAUGGGUACGAAGCAUUUAUAAAUUCCUAAAAACUUCCUUAUACACAACAUUUGAAGUUUUGUUUGUAAGUCUACCAUCCUUAUCUAAAAUUAACAAUUUCAAUCCUUCUCUACUUUGAACUCUAGAUAAGGCAACAUACUGUUGUCCAUCUGAAAAAAGGAUCCUUGAGAUACAGACCAACCUUUAAUAACGACUGGCCCUGACUUUUAUUAAUUGUCAUUGCAAAACAUACAGCCAAUGGAAAUUGUCUUCUUUGAAAUUUGAAUGGAAUUUUCUUUCCAGAUGGACUUAAAGACAUUCUUGGAAUAAAUGUUUGCUUUCCAAUAUUAGUUCCAGAUAUGAUAAUUGCCUCAAUAACACGUUUGCCCAGAGAUUUCACUUGUAGUCUAGUGUCGUUUCAUAAUCCAUUUUUCUGAUCAAUGUUUCUUAGUAACAUAACUGGAACACCGACUUUUAGAAUUAACUUGUGAUUUGGCAAACCUGAUACUUUAAGACCAUUUAAAAUAUCCUGGGAGUAUAAAUUGGGAUCAAACUGAUCAUGAACAAACUCUGAUUGGCAAAGAGUAUCUGAACUUAAAUAUUCUACUUCAUCUUCGGGAAACAAUGCUAGCAAACGAUCAUUGAUUUGUUGGACAACUUCAUUUUUUGGAGCUAGUAUAGCUCUUUCUUGAAAAUAACUCGUACCGUUGAAUUUUUCAAAGAUUGAAGGAUAUACAAACUCAAUUAAUGAACCUAUAGGAUCAUGUGGAUCAUUAAUGAGAAUAUCAUUCGGAACAUCAAUAAUCGAUUCACCAUCCUUCAAACCACCAACUUUUCCUUCUCCUAUGUCCAAAAGCCAGUUUGCAAAAUUAUGUAUUUUUUGAAUAUCAUAUGGAUCCUUUCCAACGGUUAGUCUCAUCUUUUUUGUUAAUCUAUGGACUUUGCAUUGUUGCCAUAUAUAUGAAGAGCUUAAAGAAGCAUUAACGAUAUUUUGUCUGCUACCUCCUUGAACAACAGGUAGAAUCUGUCUAAAGUUUCCUCCAAAAACAAUCGCUUUCCCUCCAAAUGGAAUAUUUGAGUUGGUAGACUUAUCAAACUUACAUACAUCUCUCAGAGCUCGAUCUAAAGCUUCAAAUGCAUGUUUGCGGACCAUAGGUGCUUCAUCCCAGAUAAUCGAUGAGCUUUUUCUUACUAAUCUGCUGAGUUCACUAUCAGGCGGUAUCUUACAAACAGAAUACUCCGUAAGAUUCAACGGAAUUAUAAACCGAGAGUGUGCUGUCCUACCUCCAGGCAAUAAUAAAUAUGCAGUACCACUUGAAGCAACAUUUAAAACUAUAUCACCAUUACAUCUAAUUGCUGCAGAUAACGUCUUCCAAAGAAAGGUUUUGCCUGUUCCACCAUAUCCAUAAACAAAAAACACACCUCCUUUAUUAUCAUUGACUAUAGUCAUGAUAUCAAGAAAAAUAUUGCUUUGCUCGUUUGUUAAUGCAUGAAACAUACUAUCAAACUCUUUCUUUAAAAGCGGUAUGUCAUACUCUAGCUCCUCCAUGAUAAAUCGAUUUGUUGAAGAAGAAACUGUAUCGAAAUCAGGGUAAGGCCUUUGUUUAUAAUUUUUAAGACUGGUGUUGUUAUGAAGUAAAAUCUGUUCGAUCUCGAACAAAGUCAGGUUUUUGAGUUGAUCCUUAUUGAGUGAUAAACCUGUAUAAAAUGAACAAUAUGUCAAAAAGAAUAUAAUAUUAAACAGUUUAAUGGUAAUAAAAAAAUUAUACCGUGCAUAUUGAUAAUAUAUAGUAUCCGUUUUUACAAAUACUGAUAGGAAAUUAUAAUACCUGGAGACUUUAAUCUACGCUGUUGGUUGUAAAGAAUACCAUCCGACAAGUGUUGCCAUGUAUUUUCCCAAACAAACUCUGGUCUACCCAAACUGUUAGACAUUAACAUCGUAGCAAAUAAGAAACGAAGAUAAAAACCAGUUCCUGAAUGACUUGCUUCCUUAAUUGCAUCAACGUAUUCUUUGUCAUCAUCUAAGAGGCCCAAAGCAUAGCAUGCAUCUCGAAAAGUAGGAAAUUCUUCACCGUUUACCGUGCGAAUUUCUUCAAAUGAUUUUGGACCUUUCACUUUAUUUAAAAGAAUCCGUAAGAAGUAGACUUCGCCAAGUUUAGGUGAAACAGAGUGAAUCCUUCCUAUUGAACGUCCAAUUUUCCUUGGCUUCCACAACUUAUCAUCAGGUUUCCAAACAAACUUUGUAGGAAAUUCAACAUAUGUAAGUUUUCGUGCAUCUUUAUUAAUUUUAUUACAUUCCAUCCAAGAUGUGAACAUAGAAGCAGCAACUGAAGGUUGUUCAAGAACAUCGUCAAUAUCAUCGUCUGCAGCAUAUAUGACUUGUUGUUGAUCAGGAAGAUAAAAAGGUAGUCGCAUCACAGAAGGAUAUCGGUAAUGGACAUCGUAUUUAAAUAUUCGCCAUGAUGCUUCACAUGCAGAUAUAUAUCUACAAUCAUAAUAAUCUUUUAUUUCAUCGACAACCUUUUCGUGAUUAGAAUCAGCGUUGAUGUCAUCAACAAUUAUAGCUCUAUCUGGACCUUUGUUUAUAUAUUUAAACAUAUACUUUAUGGAAGAUCCCUGAUUGCACCAUUCAACAUUAAUGUGUGCCUGAUAUCUUUUCAACAUAUAUUUGUUAUAUGGAACAACAUUUCUGUUGUCUAACUUGACACCUGAUUUUUCGACAAAAUAUCCAUUGUUUCUUCUCAUAUAUAAGGGAUAACCGUUGACAUCAACCGAAGAAUGAUCACAUAAUUGCUUUGGAAAAUUUUUCGAACAUUGCUUGUCAACCAUGCAUGGACAAUUCAUAUUUUCCAGCUCCAUAAGGACCAUGUAUCAUGAAUUCACUUACAAGUGAAUACAAUUCUGGAUCUUCAUUGAUAUUUGGAAUCUCAGCAGAAAUAAUCGGAUCAAUAUAUUCAACAGUAGGCCGCUUGGAGUCGGCAUGCAUAAACAAACAAAUAUGACUAUGUGGCAAACCUCUUUUUUGAAAUUCAAUUGUAUAGACCACUGCAAAUUAAUUUUAUAAAUAAGAUAAUCUUUGUACUGGAUGAAAUAUAUUUGCAAAUAACAAAAAAUAUUAAGAAACUAAAUAAUCAUUAUAAAAAAAUAUUAGAAAUAAAUACAACUUUUAAUACCUCCUUGUACAAUGUCGAAAAUUUUAUUUUCCCGUAUGUCUUUAAUCAAAGCAUCGAGAUUUAUUUUGAAUAACCUACAUAAGAUAUCAGGUCAAUCUUCUGGAUGUAGUGAAGUGUUAUGAAGAAACCUUUUAACUUUAGGCCAUUUUGGAUUACAUGUAAAGGUUAUGAAGAAAUCAUGAUAUCCAAUCCAUUUACAUAAGGACAUGGCAUCAAGGUAGUUUUACAUCAUAUAACGUGCACCACCAGUGAAUGAAGAAGGUAAGAUUACACGUUGUCCAACAUUGGAUAUAUCUUUAUUCCCUAGGUCUUGUUGAUUACGUAAAUUUUCAUAAGACUCACAUCUAAGAAUUUGUUGUUUGCUCCUUAUGAAAUGUAAUCUCUCACUUUCAAUCAUAGUAUAAGCAUCAACCAAAAACUGUUGGAACAACCUUUUUGAAUUAAUAAUUAGUGAAAAAUAUUGAUCCCUGUCUUGUAUUCUAUAAGAAAAAAAUUCUCUCAUUGUACAGUUGGGCCUCUUGCUGUUGCUUAUUGGUGUAAUACCUCGAUGUGGUAUGUCAACCCUAUAACCAUCAUCACCAUAUGGAAACAGUAGUGGAUUCUGAAAGAGGAAGGUAUGAUGGAUGUAAUUUACUAAUACGCCGUAGAGAACCUGAUGAAGUUUGAACAACAAUAUAUCUUUUAUCAAUUGAAUCACCAAUAUCUCAAAUAAUUAAAGCGGCAACCUCAGAAGCAGAUGGUAGGUUGUAUAUCCUUCCAUCUUGGUCCCUGAUUCCAAUAAGUCUCAACUUGAUAUCAACAUGAGGUUUUUGAUGAAAACAAUCCCUAACCAUUCUAUAAGACUGAACCAAGACAUUAUUUGAAUCCAACAUCAACUUCAAAUCUUGUAUAAUAUCAUUAUCAAGGACAGAAGAAUUUGAUGUAGAUCGUUGAUUCUCUCCACUACAAGUAACAUGAACAUAUAAACAUAAGAUAAAUAAAUAAUAUAAUGUUGAUGAAUAAGAUAUCUAUUAAUGUGAUAAUUGUGAAAAGUGUACCCAAAACAUGUUCGUCUAUUCGCGAUCUCAUUAUCAGUAUCGUAUAUGUACAACUGAGAGAAUUUUGGUUUUAACCCCUGUUCCGGUAAAAGGCUUCCGAUACUAUGAUAAUUUUGACCGCUAAGUCUAAAAAUGUAUGGAGCAUUUCCUCUAUUGAUUGAGGAAUCAAUCUUUCCACCCAUUGACGUAAAAGAAAACAUAGAAUUGUAAGAACGAAUGUUCUUCAUGAAGUGUUUGCUUUUAGAAUCUCCCGAUGUAAAAAGAUGAACAUAACUUGAAGGUGAAUUCUUUAAAGCUGGUAGUUCUACUUUGCCAUAACCACAACAUAAACAAUAAUUUUGAUUCGACUUUUUUUUUUUUACAUCUGAUAGAUUCAUCUUUCCAUAAUUUUGCAAAACAUGUUUGGUAUACAACAAUCUGAUCACCAUGAUCCAAAUAAUCUGUCAAUUAAGGUUGACAUAAAAAUGUUAAUCAUGUAAGUUUAUAUAAGUGAAAAAUAUUGAAUGAACAAAUGUAAAUAUUAUAUUUUUAUCAAAAUUACCUUUUGAUAUACCGUUGUAUAUGUUUUGAUCAUUUUGGCCAUCGAUUUUGUCUUGAUCGGAUCUCAGACCAAAUAUUGGAAUAGGAGUUAAAUUUGGCAUUUUUUUCUUUGCUUUAUUAUUUGGAUUAGUUAACAUGACUGAAGACGAUUUUGAUGUUAUUGUAGAUGAUUUGUCGGAUGUGUCGCCAUUUGAAAAUACAGAGAAUUGUCUAAUAUUUGUUAACGGCGAUUGACAACUAUUAUUGAAAAUAUCCAUGGCUGGGGGAAAAAUUGAAAGUAUGCAUUGUUAAAUAUGAUACAAUAAUAAUAUAUAUUAUAAAAUAAAAUGGUAAAAUAAAUGAGUUACCGUUGGAAAUGUUAGAUAACGGAGUUCUAACAUUUAAAUGUGAAGGAGGAGUUUGUAACAUUGCUUGUUUUGUUAUAUAUGCACUUGUUUUAGAUCAGAAUGUGCUUUUAUUUCGAUGUACAACUCCUUUGAAUUCAUAUACAAAAAAAUGGUUAUGAGAAAUGUAAAAUUGUUUAAUAAUUAUUUUAAUAUUAUAUAAAUAUGAAUAUUGAUAAAGAGAUUAUAUAAAAAGACGAUGAUGUAAUAAAUUUUAUUACAUAUAUUUAAAAAAAACUUAAAAAGUUUAAAAGCAAUCAAGUAUGUUACCGUUUGAAUCCAAUCUGAUGUUUGGUAACGGUGUCUGAAAACUGUUAUUUGGAAUAUCGAUGACUGAGAAAAGAAGAUUGAAAUGUACAUUAUCAAAUAUGAUACAAUAACAACAUAUAUUAUAAAGUAAUAUGGAAAAAUAUAUGAAUUACCAUUGGAAAUGUUAGAUAACGGAGUUCUAACAUUUAAAUGUGAAGGAGGAGUACGUAACAUUGGUUGUUUUGACAUAUUUGUUGUUGAUGUAGAUGUGGAUACGCUUUUAUUUCGAUGGACAACUCCUUUGAAUUUGAUUGGAAAAAAAAUCUUAUAAGAAAUGGAUAAAUUUUAAAUAAUCUUGUAAAUUUUUAAAUAGUAUAUGAAUAUUAAUAAUGAUAAAUAGAUUAUAUAAAAAAAUGUGGAUGACAGAAUUUUUAUUUUACAAAUUUAAAAUAGAAAAAAAAAGUGUAUAAGCAAUCAAGUAUGUUACCGUUUGAAUCCAAUCUGAUGUUUGGUAACGGUGAUUGAAAACUGUUAUUGGAAAUAUCCAUGACCGGGAAAAGAAGAUUGAAGGUAUACAUUAUUAAAUAUGAUAAAAUAAUAAUAUAUAUUAUAAAAUAAAAUGGUAAGAUAAAUGAGUUACCAUUUGAAAUGUUAGAUAACGAAGUUCUAACAUUUAGACGUGAAGGAGAAGUUUGGAAAUUUGAUUUUUUUGACACAUUGGCACUUGAUGUAGAUGCGGAUAGGUUUUUAUUUCAAUGCACAAUUCCUUUGAAUUUGUCUGCAAAUAAAAAAAUUGUUAUAACAAAUGGAUAAAUUUUAAAUAAUAAUGUAAUUUUUCAAAUAUUCUAUGAAUAUUAAUAUACAAAAUACAUGACACAAAAAAUGAGCAUGUAAGAAUUUUCAUUUUACAUAUUUAAAUAAAGAAUAAAGAAUAAAAGUGUAUAACCAAUUAAGUAAAUUACCAUUUCCCUUCAUUUUAAAAAGAUGUGAUGUUGAUGAAGUUGUAUGAAUUCAUUCGGUCAUAACUUUUUUUUUAUUGUCCAAGUAUAAUUUUCUUAUUUUUCUUUUUUCUGUAGCCUGAACAUGAUAGAUGUUCCUAUUUGAAUCUGUAUAAGCAUAUAUACACACAUAAAAUAGUUAUAUUCAGAUUAAAAACAUUGAUAAAGAAAGUUGUAAAAUAUAUAAUGAACGUACUGUUAUCACCUGGGUUAGUAACAUUUGUAGAAGAUGGAAUUCGACCGACUGAUGUAGUGUACAAAGGUAAUUGUUUUGUAUUAUCCAGAUAGAAAUUAUUUAAUUUUAUCUUCUUAUUAGUCUUAAAAGAGUCCAUGUUAGUAGCUGCUAUCUGAAAUGGAAAAAGAAAUAUAACUUUAUACAAAAACAUUAUAUAUUGAAAAUUAUUUUCAAAUUUAAGAAUAAAUAAAUAAAUAUUUCAAAUUUAAAAUAGUAUGCAAUAAACCCAAAGAAAAGAAAGUAUUAUGUAUUAUUGAUGUGCACAAAAGUACCCACUAAUUUUAAUAUUUAUAACCUAACAAACUUAGAAUAACUAUGCACUUAUAGGCAGUGUACCUAGUCAGAUUACAAUAUAGCUUAGGUAAGUCGGGUGUCGAUCACAGGGAACGGUGGUGAAUUAAUUUAAUAUAUUUGAUUAUAGGUUACAGGUCACAUGAAAAGAAUAAAGAAAUAGUUUAAUAAAUCUCAAACUAACAAUUAAUUAACAACUUUGGAUAAACUAACUGGAAAGCAAAUCUCUUCAGGUACUUUGGUUUAGAUAAAUUACACCUUAAAAAACAUAGACAAUUGUAUACACAAGUUCAUUUAUUCAUGUUCACCGAUUCCUAAAAUGAUUAGAUUCGCGUUCACUAUAACUAAUCCUUUAGCAAACAAGUCAAUUCAAACAGUGAUCAGUUGAUUAAACUAACAUGCUUCCUAGUGUUCAGUUCGUAUCAAGCAAGACUUGUAAAUAUAGUUAAUCAAAUUACUAAUUCAAUUUAACCUCUUGUUGAUGGUCAUCAAACAAGGCUCACACAUUAACUUACUUAUUCCCAAGUUAAUCCUAGUUUCACAUUCGUUAUUCCUAGACUUAUAAUCUCGAUGGUCAUCAAAAUCAUAAGAGACAAGCAAUCAAACAGAUGUUCAUAUAACUCAAUUUACUUAACAAUUAACAUCAAAUAAUUAUCAUUAAUACGUAAGGAUCUUUUAACAAGCUUGGCAAGAUAAAUUAAACAUAAACAAACAAUUCAAUAUAGCAAUUAGUCUAAUAAUCAAGGUUUCAUUCAAUCAUAAACACAAAGUAAAAGGUUUUUACACCCAAAUCAGAAACUAAAUACAGAAUAGUAACACAAUGGAAUGCUAAACAUGGUCACGUUAACAACCCAUAUGAUUACCGACAUGUAUCCACUCUCCAACCCUUCCGAUCUUCACUCCUGUUAGCUUAACGGCCUUCCGGCCGCCUUCUAGACCCUCAAAACGGCUUAACAGAAGUUUAAUAUCGACUAAAUUAGGUUGGAAGUCGAAUCCCCCCUUCUGGUUAGCUGAUAAUCGACUUUUAUAACCUUUGUAACCGACUUACGUACGCUGGGCGUACUAAGGGUUUAUACGCGAUUGGAGUUAUCCGAUGCCAGCCGUUACGUGGGGCAUACACAAGAAUUACGCUGGGCGUAACUCGUCUUAGCCAUUACGCUUGGCGUACAAGUAAAUUACGCGGGGUGUAAUCGUUCCUCCAGCAUUUUCCUUUCUUUUAGCCUCUAAGCCUGAUUUCCGCUUCAGUCUUUUCUUUUGUGCUUUAUCGACAACGAAUAGCUGCAAAUCAUAAUUUAAAGCAUUAUGAGUACUUUUUAGUUCUAAAAGAGAAUAAUAAAGGCCAAAAUAUUAAGAUAUAAUGCAUAAAAAUAUAUAUAAAAAUACACAUAUCCAAAUACCCCACACUUAGUCUUUGCUUGCCCCCAAGCAAAUUUUAAUUUUAUUUUACCAUUAUCGCAUUAAACAAUCCAUUUAAAACUCAACCAUUAUGCCAAGACCUCAACGCAUGCAUUUGUGUCUAAAAUUUUCCUAAAAUACCCCCCUACUUUAAAUACUCACAAUCUUCAUAAACACUUGCCCACUUUUUACGAACAAUGCUCAUUUUAUGCAACCCUCCGAAUCCAUCCGCAGAAAACCUCCUUAUCCUCAAGGUAUUUUCCUUGAUAAUUUGAUCUUUGAUUUCUUUGAAUUCACCAUCUUAUUUGAAUUGAUUUCUGGUAUCUUCAACUUUUUUGAAUUUCUUGGAAUUUUGAUCUAAUUCUUCACUUUAUUCGCUCCAAAAUUCUUCAAACUUUUCUUGCAAUUCUUUUUUUUUUUCUUUUAACAUGUACCUCACUUUUUUCACUCAAAACCUACAAGCUUAAGCAGAGGCGCUCAACCUCAACCUUUAUCGGUUAACGAUAAUAAUUUUCCUGGAUACAUUUCAGGUUUAGGCUGCUAAACAUAUUGCAUCCCUCAAACCAAGCGGGGUUAUGUUUUUGUUCCAUGAUUUCACUAAAAUAAGGGAGGCCACAAAUGCACUAUAACGUAUAUUGGCUCAACUAAACAUUUGAGUUCUCAUCGGAUCAUCUCAUACAAUAUUAGCAAAAUUUAAAUUAUCACUAGAUUUUUCUAAAUUAAACUAUUAUUUCAAGUUUUAAAAUUUUUAAAUUUCCUAAAUCUAGCAAUUUCCUAACUAUUAUUUUAUUUUUAUAAUUUACUAUUACCGACCCCCUACCCCACACUUAUUUCAUACAAUGCCCUCAUUGUAUGCUAAAACGAAUUAAGAACAUAAAAAGGGAGAAAAAGGAACAGACUCCCCUGGGUAGUUGUGGCGAGAUCGAAUGGGGCUGCUACAAGUUGCUCCAAAUAUCGCUGAAAGACUGAAAACUGAACUGCUGCUUCUGAAUUUGUCGAAAAAUAAAAUCAAGACUGCCGACUUCAAAAAAUGUGGUGCACAAUAUUGCAAGUAAAUGCAAUGUGUAGUAACCAUGACGUGGGAAAGUGUUGACCACAUCAUGUCUUCAAAAAUGACAUCCUCUUCUCGCGAUGAAAAAUCCUCCACAGCAUAGGAAAGUGUCAGCCAUGUCGUGGCAGCCGGGAUGAUACGUCUUCCUCGCGUCAAAAUAGAACUCUAUGGUGUGGGAACAGCUCAUCAUACCAUAAAAGGUAAAAUAUCGUAAAAAUGCCAAUCGUCUAAAUGAACGCUCACGAAAUCAAUAUGCACCCCACACUUAUGACAAAUUGUGGGUCUUGACUAUACUUUUCGAACUCUCACACGACUCUCUCUAGCAACAGUCGGACCUAGCUGCUAAACUUACUGCCAGCUUUCUAAGGGCGAAAAUUCUGCAGAGAUCUAAACAACCAAAGAGCAUCAACAUGGAAAACAAAAAUAGAACAUCCUAAAUUAAAGUUUAAUUACAUACCAAAUAAAAAACUAAAACUAGAAACACAAAAAUAAACUAAAAAUAACAUAAAAAUAAAAAGGAUAACUAAAUCACUCAUCAUCUCCAUCAUCAUGCUGCUGUGUCCCAGAAGUACCGGCCCCAUCAUGUCGUGGCCGGAAUGGUGGAGGGUAAGGAACCGAGUACUGAAACCCCUAGUGGGAAAAGAAUACGGUCAACGCAUCCCCAUACCACUAUUGUUGCCUGUCCACAUGUGCAACAUACUCACUAAGGUUCUGAACCCUCAUGUCAAGACAGUCAAUGCCCUGAGCUAGGUAGCGCAUAUCAAUCUUCGGCUCAGGUCCCUGUUGCGCUCCCCGAGGAGCAGGUCUACGCUGCUGGACCCGUCUCGGCUGUGGCUCGGCAGCACCCUCCUCGUCCGCCACAUCAUCUGCUCGUACNNNNNNNNNNNNNNNNNNNNNNNNNNNNNNNNNNNNNNNNNNNNNNNNNNNNNNNNNNNNNNNNNNNNNNNNNNNNNNNUGAUCUCUCGUUAACAACUGAUAUGAUCGGGCUAGUCGCGUGAUAAAAUGCCCUCUGCACAUCGGGCUAUCCUCCCGAAGUCCCCUGGCCCUCUGUCCCAAAUAUGCAGCUAAAGCAACUGGAAGGUUCAGGUGCCUCCCUGGAGUAACAAGUGCCCAUAGGAAAUACAAGUCUAUCGAAGGCACUCUCUCACUAUUCUUAUGAUGCGUGAGAGUCAUGGAAAUCAACCGGUGCAACAGUCUAUAUGUAGUAGACCGAAUCAUCCUACCCCGUGCAGUAGAUGGCGUAUAAACUCCCCCUGUAAUCUCAGCCCAAAAAGUGUGCUCAUUAUAUUCAUCUGGCCGCUCCGUGAGACAAUCAGCAAGGAAUGUCGGGAAGUGGACACUCCUCGUCUCAUCUGCUGUGUAUAUACCCACUCAAGUCGCAAGCUCUAUGACACUGCACUCCCGACUCACACCCCCCAGUCUAAAGGCAAAAGUUGUCCUAUCAUCGGGUGCCUUCCUAGGAUCAUAGGAAACUGUAGCGUAAAACUCCAACAAAAAUUCCCGAUAAACAGGCUCCUGGAUCCUGAACAAUCGUGCCCACCCCUGCCAUACGAACAAUUCCACUCCAAUCGCGUCCGAGUGCGUGUAUUGCAAAAAAAUCCUGGAUCAGUGUAGCAAGUCCAGUCCAGGUCGCCAAUUCCCAGUCGAAUGAUGGUGCUAUGUCGAUCUCCUUGGUGAGCAGCAAACUCAAACUGUUGACAUAUCGUGCCCGGGUUGCAUCGUUCAGAGUUUGCGGAAAUUGUAAGAAACGNUCAGAGUUUGGGAAAUUGUAAGAAACGGUGAUCGGUCACAUCCUCGGGUGGGUUGGUCCUUUGAGUUCUUCGGGCCAUAAUCUGCACACAUAAACACAAAACCAAACAAAAUAUAACAGCAUUAAAAAAAUUUUAAACCAAAAAAAAAUGGUGCUGGAUAUGGACUGUACGCUGGGCGUACGUCCAGGUUCCACGAAUAUGUGUUCUGCUUCCUUUUCUUGUGCUAAAGUUAUAACCCAUAUCAAAAAAUUUCAAAUUAACCAACUGCAAGCAAUAAACACAGCAGGGCAAACACAUGGGGCAUAUCGAGCUUCGUGGUCCAAGACAGUAGAAAAACGGGACCACUCUAAAAAAUAUGAACCAUUCUCCUGUUCGUUCCUUAUCUUAUCAAGAUUAGAAAGCACUACAAAAGAAAAACUUCAUUGGGGCAGUCAAGAAUCGAAGUCAACAGGGUUACGCUUAGCGUCCGUCCCCGAGCUCAAAAUGAUGGGUCUAUCACGGGAUUAAGACCAAAUUAGGUACUAGGGUUUAGUCCAUUGAUGGAAAUCGGUCUUUUUAAGUCCUAAUCAAAACAUACAAUUAUGAAAUCGGCCCUAAUUCAAGAACCCUAUAAACCCUAGAUUUCGAACAAAGGCAUUUUGCAGCUUAUUCCAUCGAUUUAAACACAAAUCCAAAACAUUGAGUAACCGAAAAACUUACCUGUGUGCUGAAUUUUACAAGAAAAGAAGCAAAAUUGAAAAUCCUUGGGAGAGCUUGCCGUCACAGUUCGUGUGUGCGAAGGAAAGGAUUUUGAAAAAGUAACAAAAAAGUCAAGGGUCAAAAGAUAUAACCUGGUCACCGAUUUACGCUGGGCGUAAAACAAGGUUACGCUGGGCGUAACUCCAACUCCAUGAAAAGUCCAUCCGCGAUCCGGGGUUUAUUACGCUUGGCGUAAUUAAAAUUACGCUGGGCGUAAUGAAGUAUUCCUUUUCUUUAACUGAAAUUUCUUUUCUUUUAACUAUUUAAUUAAGGGACUAAAAACUUAAUUAUUUUUCUUUUUAAUUUCUUCAGCAACUGAUGACUUUCCGAUGAGUAAAAAAAAUGAGACGUCAUAAUCACUUAUCUUUGUCAAGAUCAAACAACAAUGGUUGAUUAAAAACCUUUGCACGCAAGAAUUGGUUUGCGAAAACACCCACUUUCGGGACCCGUUAGAAUAUUUCCUUUGUUUUCUUUGCACCUUUAACUAAAAGCGGAACAAGAAGUGACCUAACUAGUCAAGAACAGCAAGAGUUCGGUCUUCCACUUAACCACCACAAUACGCCUUACUAUACUACGCCUCAUGGAUUGAGUUGGACAAAUCAACAAAGUAGUAAGCCAACCAGGUCAAGAAUUUCCUAAUCGCUUGGAUUCUCGAAACCCAUGCAAAAAGUAAAGUCAAGCAAUGUGUACAAUCCCAAAUUCCUGCAAUUAACAACAAGAACCUUCCCGACAAGUGAAAUGAUAUCAACGAAAACCAAACUAAAAAUAAAAACUAACUAAAAACAAAUAACGAAUAAUCAAAAAAACUAAAUUAAUGACAAGCUGUUCCCGGCAACAGCGCCAAAAACUUGAUGUGCACAAAAGUACCCACUAAUUUUAAUAUUUAUAACCUAACAAACUUAGACUAUCUAUGCACUUAUAGGCAGUGUACCUAGUCAGAUUACAGUAUAGCUUAGGUAAGUCGGGUGUCGAUCACAGGGAACGGUGGUGAAUUAAUUUAAAAUAUUUGAUUAUAGGUUACAGGUCACAUGAAAAGAAUAAAGAAAUAGUUUAAUAAAUCUCAAACUAACAAUUAAUUAACAACUUUCGAUAAACUAACAGGAAAGAAAAUCUCUUCAGGUACUUUGGUUUAGAUAAAUUACGCCUUAAAAAACAUAGACAAUUGUAUACACAACUUCAUUUAUUCAUGUUCACCGAUUCCUAAAAUGAUUAGAUUCGUGUUCACUAUAACUAAUCCUUUAGCAAACAAGUCAAUUCAAACAGUGAUCAGUUGAUUAAACUAACAUGCUUCCUAGUGUUCAGUUCGUAUCAAGCAAGACUUGUAAAUAUAGUUAAUCAAAUUACUAAUUCAAUUUAACCUCUUGUUGAUGGUCAUCAAACAAGGCUCACACAUUAACUUACUUAUUCCCAAGUUAAUCCUAGUUUUACAUUCGUUAAUCCUAGACUUCUAAUCUCGAUGGUCAUCAAAAUCAUAAGCGACAAGCAAUCAAGCAGAUGUUCAUACAACUCAAUUUACUUAAUAAUUAACAGCAAAUAAUUAUCAUUAAUACGUAAGGAUCUUUUAACAAGCUUGGCAAGAUAAAUUAAACAUAAACAAACAAUUCAAUAUAGCAAUUAGUCUAAUAAUCAAGGUUUCAUUCAAUCAUAAACGCAAAGUAAAAGGUUUUUACACCCAAAUCAGAAACUAAAUACAGAAUAGUAACACAAUGGAAUGCUAAACAUGGUCACGUUAACAACCCAUAUGAUUACCGACAUGUAUCCGCUCUCCAACCCUUCCGAUCUUCGCUCCCGUUAGCUUAACGGCCUUCCGACCACCUUCUAGACCCUCAAAACGGCUUAAAAGAAGUUUAAUAUCGACUAAAUUAGGUUGGAAGUCGAAUCCCCCCUUCUGGUUAGCUGAUAAUCGACUUUUAUAACCUUUGUAACUGACUUACGUAUGCUGGGCGUAAGUCGGAUUACGCUGGGCGUACUAAGGAUUUAUACGCGAUUGGAGUUAUCCGAUGCCAGCCAUUACGCGGGGCGUACACAAGAAUUACGCUGGGCGUAACUCGUCUUAGCCAUUACGCUUGGCGUACAAGUAAAUUACGUGGGGCAUAAUCGUUCCUCCAACAUUUUCCUUUCUUUUAGCCUCUAAGCCCGAUUUCUGCUUCAGUCUUUUCUUUUGUGCUUUAUCGACAACGAAUAGCUGCAAAUCAUAAUUUAAAGCAUUGUGAGUACUUUUUCGUUCUAAAAGAGAAUAAUAAAGGCCAAAAUAUUAAGAUAUAAUGCAUAAAAAUAUAUAUAAAAAUACACAUAUCAAUUAUGUAUUAUCAAUAUUAAUUUUUCUUCAAAAUAAGUUGAAUAUAUCAAGAUAAAAAGUAUAUUCAAACUAAGAAAAUAAACCAGAAACACACAUACAAUAUUUUUGAACAACAAAAGCAUAAAAGUACAUACAAAAAAUAUAAAGACAAAGAAUUUACCAUUAUGUCCCUAGAGUACUAAUAAUGAGAAGAACAAAGAGAAACUGAAAUAUAAAUUUAUAUAGUUGCACUCAUGAAUGACUAAAAUAACACGAAAUGUAUUAAUUGUCAAUGUGGUUGAGCGCAAAUUACCAUUAUGUCCCUGGAGUACUAAUAAUAAAAACAAAAAUUAUAAAAUCCUUAAAAUAGUUCUAUAGAUGGUAUACUGGUAAUUAAAACAAUCAGUUUUUCCACAUGCCUCUUAAAAAAUCAUUUACAACCAUAAAUAAGUUUACCAAUAUACCCGUAACACAUUAAUUUUGUAUAUGUAAUAUGUAAGAUAUGAGAUAUAUGUGGCGAGGGCAUUUUCGUCCUUUAAACAUACUUAUAACAAUUAACAAACCUCAUGAUACAUUAUAACAGUGGAUAAUGGAUCGACAUACAUAUAUACUUUUCCUUUUAAUGAAGAGGCGUGAAAUAUGCAAUUGACAGAAAUGCCCCUUCUACAAGACACACCUAUUUAAAUUGCAUAAAACCACACCGCUUAACCUAUUUAUUCAUAUUUGAUGUUAGAGUUCUAUAAUUACCAAGGUGUUUUUAUCUUUUACUUAAUAGAAAUAUGUCUCGAUCAAGUAAGUUCAGGUAUAUGUUUUUUUUAUCUAAUGCAAAUAUAAUGACAUAAUAAGUAAAAUAAGAGAAAAACUACAAAAUAUUGGGUAAAAUUAAAAAACGAGCCACACCCUUUAAACAAACCAUCAUUGGGUUAUCAAAAUCAGUAACAUGAAUGUAGUCACUAUAAAUUAUAUGCAAAUAGGUAUACAUGAGAAAUAGCUAAAAUGAAAAAUGAUAACUACCUCCACCUUAUAGUUUAUAAAAAAUAAGGCAAACACCUUAACUACAUGCAUAGAUACUCUACUCCCAAUACUAAAGAAAUUAGUCUACAAAUGGCUUUAGUUAAUAUGUUUUUGGUUUAAACCGGUUCAGAUCAAUGACAAAAAAAUAUAAUUAUAGUAAAACAUGACAGAAAUGCCCCUUAAUUCAAAAUGGGACCAAUCAAUCAAGUAAUACAAAAUACAAUCACGUAAUACCUAAGCAGAGAAAAUAUAACACAAAAAACAGAAAAAAAAUUUAUUUCUAUAAAACAUGACAGAAAUACCCCCGAACUAAAAAAAUAAAAAUAAUCAAAAUUACAUUUCUAUUCGUAUGAGUUUGACGGUACUUUUAGGUUUCUUUGUGUAAUCCGUCAAUGAAUCUGGCCUAUGAGUUUGACGGUACUUUUAGGUUUCUUUGUGUAAUCCGUCAAUGAAUCUGGCCUAUAAACAUGACCUGAACCAAUUUUUUUACUUGGUGAACCAAUUUAAUAGAAAAAAAAAUUUGUUCUAAUUACCAUUCUACCAUUUGUAACUUGGGAAUGAUUAAUUAACAUACAAAGGUGAAUUUUCUCUACCUGCUGCCUUACGUUCAAAAUGACAAAAUUGUAUUGGUAAACAUGAACCAAAAUGGACAAAGGUUUCAAUUUUGGACAAACACAGUAAAAAUAUGAACCAAAACAAUAAACAUUGAUAUAAUUUUGCGAUGGUAUUAUCUCCAAAAGAAUAAAAAAUUUCAAUUUUGCGAUGAUAUAGUUUCAAUUUUGCGAAGAAGCAACGUAAGCAGUAAACCAGAUUGCGGUGAGAGAGAGAGAGAGAGGGCCUGCCGCCUGCGAUUGGUAAUUUGUGAUGGUAUCUCUCGACCGAGAAAGGGGAGCGAUUGAUGAACAGAACCAUAUUAAGAGGAAUUAUGAUUGUCAAAUAAGUUUUUGAUCGUUCUUUUGAUCGUUGUUAUUUAGGACAAUAUCUCAUAGUGAAAUACGAAUAAGGUAUCAGUUAAAGUGUCACACACACGCAUACACAUUAAGAAGCAUAAAUAACUUUCAAUUUUGCGAUUAACACAGACAUUGAGAAGCAGGGGCUUACAUAUACACAAUGAGAAGCAGAAUUGAGAAGCAGAAACUUACCGAAGGAUUGAAGUCGUUGACACAGACUCCAAUAACUGAAGUGUCGAUGAUGCUUGAUUGUUGGAAGACAAUGCUGUAAAGAACCUUGGAAACACGAUGCUAUAAAUAAAUUAAGAAGCAGAAUUGAGAAGAAGAAACUGAAAUCGAGAUUGAAGUCUAAGAUUGAAUAUCCGAUAAAUAAUUAGUCCAUGAUUCAGAAACUUGAAAACAUAAUGCUGUAAAGAAAUAUUGAUUAUCAUAUUUUUGAAAUAUAUAUUGACAAUAAUAUGAUCAAAUCGACAUAAUAAUCAAAAUUAAAUGUAAUCGAUGUGAUUGAUAUGGAUACCAUAAUAACAUGCUCUUAAUCGGGUAAGAAAUGAUUUUGAGUUAAUGUGUACAACUGGUAGCAAAGAUAAAAAUCGGUAAUUAAAAUAGGGAGUUAUAUGGAUUCCAUAUUGGAUUCAAUAUUCAAUUUCAAAUUUCCAUAUUCCACAUCGAUUACUACGUGAAACAAUAAAAUAACAAAAACGGUAUUUUACAUUUGUAGAAUACUAAUUAAUUGCAGAAUACUGAUUUUUUGAAGUUUAUAAUUUCACUAUAAAAAACUGUAAUAACAUAACCAUUUUUAUUUUUCUGAUUUAUUUGAAGUAAUUUAGACUUAUAAUACCUGAAAUAGUGGUAUGUGUUUUAGAGUUUUGUACAAGAGCAUUGUGUUUUUUAAAAGUAUUUACAUAUCUACGGUACUUUUAAAUUUAUUUACUAAAAGAUUGUAAAAUUUUAAAAUUCAUGUGGACCUAUCCCUUUUAUACCAAAAAUAUAAGAAAUUAAUUAUGCGCCUCCCCACCGCUCAUUUUUCUCGCAUUUGUCGCUGGAAAAUGAUGGCCAACAAGAUAAUUUCAAAACAUUAUAAAAAGAUUUCUCUUUCGCUUGUUUGCUCGCUAGAAAAUGAAAACAAACAUAAACGGUCAUAAAUAAAAACAACCAAACACGAAUUAAAUAUAUUGACAGAUUUAGAUUCUUCCGGCUGCGAACUUGGUUUGCUCAUUGGAAUAUGAAUACAACCAAACAAUUUGGAAAUCGAAAAGGAAAUUGUUGGAAAUGCACCACGUUCAUAGAUCUUGUGCCAAAACAUUUCUCGUAUAUAUUUGUUUCAAACAUUGGUCGUUCAAUCAAUGUCAUAUAACUUGGAAAUUUGGAGGGGGGAGGGGUUGUUUAACAGAUGAUACCGAGGGUUAUGAAUGGGUUAGUCGGUGGCAAGGCGGAUGUAGAGGUUCAUCCGCAGUGUGGUUUGGGGAGAAUUUCAGCAGUGUUUUGGAGUUGACGAUGUCGGACGGUGAUCGUGUCAUAGGUGUAAACACUGCACAACACAACAUGUAGACUAGGUAUUACUGGCAAUGCUUGUUAUGAAAAAAAUAAAAAACCAGUAGACUUCAAUCGUUGAAGCAGGGAAAAUGUGGUUGUGGUAGGUUCAAUGGAUGUAUGCGCACUCAUGCACAGUAGGGGUUUGCAGCGGUGCUAAGGGUUGCCAAAUGGUUUUGCAAGUAAUGUGAGCAUCAAAAGACAAUUAACAUGAUUUCAUUUAUUUUAUUUAAGUACAAUUAAAUGGGAAAUAAUUUUAAAAGUACUAUAUUAUAGUAAAUAUUUUUCUUAACCGCUACCUUUUAGUAAAAAACUAUGUGUUUUAAACAGGUAUAACUGUAUAAAAAACCUAAGAGUUUGCAGAGGUUCAUGGGAUUACAUCUUAGUGGUAUGUGCUUUAAGGGUAAACACAUUUUUCUUCUUUUAGGCUAGAUUUAUUACAUCACAAGGAAUCCCGUGGCGAGGGCAUUUUCGUCCUUAGGAUAUAUAAAUUUUGUUUCCGGUACUGUUUUGUACUUUGUAGUGCUUAAGAAACGGGAAGAUAUGAUUAAGUUGUGAAUGAUCUGGAUCCAUAUCAAUGAUCCGGUACUAUUCUACCCUUUGUAAGAGAAAAACACAUAAAGUCACAAACUAUAUACCCCUGUUGUGAAAAUUACCAAUAUGUCACUAUAAAAAAAUGAGCAUUAUUUUGAACAGGUUGUUCUAAUUACCAUUCUACCCUUUGUAACUAGAGAAUGAUUAGUUAAUAUGUCAUGCAUUGUUUCCUCCUGUUGCGUGUUCAAUAUUAUAACAAUCAAUAAACAAUUUUAAUGGAAUUUAAAUGAUUGAAAUUGUAGAGAUGAACAAAAGAAUUGACAAAGGGCAAAAUUGACAUCUAAUGCAUUGUUUCUUCCUGUUGCGUGUUCAAUAUCAUGACAAAUCUCAUUUGACAGCUUCAUUACAAUUUUUGUUUCAUACAUUACCUCAAAUAAUAUACAAGCACAUUCCCAAGAAUGCAUUCACCGAUAUACCAUUUUAUUGUGAAAAUUACCAAUAUGUCCAUGUACAAAAAAUGAGUAUUAUUUUCAACAGGAUUUUAUUGAAUUUAUUCAUAUUUGAGACAUCUUUUUUAUAGAGCAAAUAUACUUAUAACACGAAAAUGAAAAGUAGAAUGGUAUAUUUUUUAAUUUUUUUGAAUUUUAUUGCAAAUAUAUUGGUAAAAAAAAUCUUUAAAAACAUAAUGGUUUCCUUCUUUUACACUAUCAAUAGACACACAUAUAUUAAAAGAAGAUUAAUCUAAUUACAGGCAUAACCCAAAAAGCAGUUUUUUACUUAAGAUAGAGAUUAGCAGCGUAAAGAAACCAAGAACUAUCAAUGUUUGAAUACUGAACACCACGAAGAGCAAAACUGUCAAACAAAAUCCCCAAAAAAAAUAAUUCAAGAAUAUUGUUGGUGCAUAAAAAGGACAAUCUAAAAUUACUUUUCAAGCUUUGGUAUUAAUAGACCUGUGUUUCCAUCCACCCUGGAAUUCAAGCGAGGUAUUUUUGUCGACGAAUUCACAUUAUCAUACUCAUCAAUAUCAAUGCUAUCUCCAACGUUUCGCUUUUUUACCAUUGUGGGCGAAUUAAACUUGAACGGACUUGUAGCUUCUAUUUGUCAUGCAUGGAAGGGGUCAAAUUAUCACUGGUUUGUUAUAUCGCGUCCUUAAAGCAAAAACCCGAAACAGCGUUAGUACGAUAAUAUUAACAAAUUAACAAAAAAAUAAUUUAUAAAAGGAAUUUAUAUAAAAUUAAAAAAUGUGGAUUUAUAUUAUAACCUUUAAUGACUUUGUUUCAUGAGAUGCUUCGUGAGAUGCGAUUUUGUAUCGUCAGCAUUUGUAGAAUUACCUCCCUGCUUCAAAAGUUUAAAUAUGUAUUAUCAUUUGUGGGAUUAAAUUUUUGUUCCAUCAAGAUUUACAAUUAAUUAGUGACGAUCAUUAAAUAAAAGUAUGCAUCAUAAUAAUUAAUUAAUUUUCAAAAAACAUAAAAAUAUAUGUAUAUAAAUACCUCAACAGCUAACUUUUUUUCCAAAACAUUGAUAAUGUUACUAUCAAGCGUAUAGCCAAGUAUCCCAAAACGAUUGUAGUUAUUGGAUACGUUAAAACUAUUAACAUCUAACACGAAUGCCAUCUUUUUAUGCACCAGACAGUUGAGGUCAUAAGGAUACAAUCUCGGAUCAUCACCAGCCUGGAAAGAAUGAGUUAUGUAAUAUUAUUAUGGUUAAAAGCACAUUAAUAUAGAUAAAAUCAAAUAGAUAAUAGAAUUUAAUAAAACAAAUAAUAUAUUUAUAGUAUGUCUGUUUGAUUUUCUCUAUGGGUUCACUUGCACGUUUUUUGACGAGUUUAUAAGCAUCUCUAUCAAACAUAGUGAGUGUGAUUGUUCCAGAUUCAUCUUGGACACGAAUAGGUAUUUUAUACCUACAAAAAAGUACGACAUAAAUAUCAUAUUAAAUAUUAAAUAUGUUUAAUGUGUAAUGUUUGUUAAUGUAUUUAAUUUGUGGGUGAACUAUUGUUAAAUUUUAAAAACCUUGGAACUGAAGAUAUCUCCUUUUUUUACACUUAGAAUUAUAACAUUCAACAACCACACUUGCAUCACCACUAUCUGGACCGCUGAAAACGUUUCUUGGUUCAACCUUCCUUCCACAUUUUGAACACGCAUCAUAAUACCAAUCAAUAUCUUGUCGGAUACCAUAAAUGGUACCAACAAUGAUAUAUUUCCCGACCUUAAAAAAUAUAAAAUACAAAAAGAAUCAUAAAAAAAAAUACAAUUAUAAUAUUAUAAUAAACGAAUAAUAGAUAACAAAAUCACAUUAAAAAAAACUAAAUUAUUCACAUACCUCUUGUGGUUCUAGCAAAUCGACAACAUUUUUAACGUUGUGAUUUGUCAAAAAGUCAUCAUAUUCAUUGCAUGAUUGAGAGCUAUCAACGGUCAAAGAAGAAGAAGGAUUUUGAAUUCCUCGUAAUCCAACCAUGUUGUUUUUUUUAUUUGAUAGAUUAAUUAUGAAAUUAGUAAAAUUAUUAAAAAGAAACAAAAAAAACAAUGAAUUAUUAAAAUAGAUUGUUACCUAUCUGUGAAUGUAACAAUUUCGGGAAGAUCAACAUUUAUGAACAUCGGUGUGUGUUUAUAAUAACUGUUAAAAUAGUUAAAAUAAUGAGCAAUAUAAAAGCCUAAAAUAACAAAGGGGUCCUUUUAUAAGAAAUGUACCGUUAUAGACAUUAAGUCUUGCAAACUGCAAAAUAACAACCACACGACCAACUUCUUUAUGUGCUUCAAGAUAAGAAAUCAAUUGGUAUGCAAUAUCUCCAAACAAUGUGACGUUAACCUGCAAACCUCUGCAAAAACAGUACGGGUUAAAUGAUAAUAUAAUAAUAAAAUUACAUAUGGCAGUUGUAACCUAAUCAAUUUAAUAUAUAAUAAUAAUAAUAAUAAUAAUAAUAAUAAUAAUAAUAAUAAUAAUAUAAGAUAUAAUAUAAGAAAAGUUAUGAUUUGUAAAGUUAGCCGAUGUUUGGAUUUGCUGACAUCACGGGAAUCAAGCUUUCCUAACGAAACAACUUCACCAAUAACAUCUACAAAAUGAUAAUACAAUAUGUCAAAAUGAUGUAAAAUUAAAGAAUUAAAUAUAAGAUGCAAUUAAAUAGGGGAAACAUUUACCAAUUGAGUUAUUAGAUGUAGCUGUUGCAGAAAUAAUGCUUUCAAACGAUACACAACAAAAGUCAUAUGUUGUUUUGGACUAAAAAGUUAGACAAUCAUUAACAGUUUUUCGUCCAUGCAAGUUUAACUUGGAGAGUACAUCACUUAUUUUAAAAAUGUAUCUGUUUGGAGCUAUAGUGGGGGAUCGGAUGUAAAUUGCUUUAUCUUCUUUCAGUUUUAAAAGUGUAUCUCUUGGGUAGACACUUGCUCGGAUUUUUGUACCCUAUUCACAUAUCGUAAGAAUAUUAUAUAUAUUGCGAAACAAUUGUAUAUUAAUUUAUAUAAAUUGGUCAACAUUGAAUCAAUUAUUUGACCAUGAAUGAUUUUAAAUAAUAUUAUUGGAAUGAGCAAAUAAACAAAAAAAAAUAAUUUUGAAUAAUGUAAUUAGAAUAGGAUAUUUUACCAUCUCAUCCAUUAAUAUCAUUUCAAGUGCUUUGACAAUACUAGGGUUAACUUUGGAUAAUGAUCUCCACAGCCGGAUAAUACACACUUUUAGUGUUUAAUCAUCCCUCAUGUUGUCUAAGUCUUUGAUCAAAGUGACAUUUCUAUCUGCCAUUGUCACUAUAAUAGAAAGACAUAACAUAUUAAGAAAAAAUAAUGGAACAAAAUUACACAAAAAAUAUAAAGACAAACAUAAUUACAAUUAUGUCCCUGGAGUAGUAGGCGGAUAAAAAGAUUCUGAAUAAUACAAUAAAUUAUUAUAAAACAUUCAAACAUAUUCAAACAAACUAUAUACCGCUGCUGUGAAAAUUACCAAUAUGUCCCUGGAGUUGUAGGCGGAUAAAAAGAUGAAAAACAAACAGGGCAUUUUCGUCCAUUGAACUUACUUAUAACAUGAAAAAUAAAAGUACAAUGCCAUUAUAUGUAAUAUUUUCGAAUUUUGUUGCACAUAUAAUUUUUUUUUUUGUACUGUACUGUUGGAAUACAUUUUUCUUUCCUUCUGUUAUUUUACUUUGUAACUAUUGGAACUAAUGUUUAUUAUGUUAUAUAAAGAUAAGCAUUGAUGGAAAGGAUACUAUUAGGGAGGAUGAUGUUGAUGAAUUGACUUCCAAUUCCAUAGUUACAGAUUAUGAAAUAUCAAGCAUAUCAGGUUCAGAACUAAAAUAGAACAAAAUUACACAGAAAGACAUAACAUAUUAAGAAAAAAUAAUGGAACAAAAUUACACAGAACAUAUAAAGACAAACAUAAUUACAAUUAUGUCCCUGUAGUAGUAGGUGGAUAAAAAGAUUCUGAAUAAUGCAAUAAAGUAUUAUAAAACAUUCAAACAUAUUCAAAUAAACUAUAUACCCCUGAUGUAAAAAUUACCAAUAUGUCCCUGGAGUAGUAGGCAGAUAAAAAGAUGAAAAACAAACAGGGACAACCUCAGUGAUUCAAGCAUAUCAGGUUCAGAAAAAACAAAAAACAGAGAAUUAGAUAAAAAGAUGAAAAUACAUUCUCCAUAUUUUACAGAUUUACAGAUUAUGAUAUAUCAAGCAUAUCAGGUUCAGAAAAACAAAAAACAUAGAAUUUGACAGCCUCAGUGAUAAAAUCGGUAAUUAUAAGUAAAACAAUAACAUACAACGUUAAUGUGGCCUAAGUCCUAAUUCAUAUAAAUCUGAUUAUUUACCAAUCGCAGGCGUACCUUCAAUAGUUCAAUGGGAUAGACUCGAAGAAGCAACGUAAGCAGUAAAGCAGAUUGCGAUGGGGGUAGAGAGAGAGAGAGAGGGCAUGCCGCCUGCGAUUGGUAAUUUGCGAUGGUAUCUCUCGACUAAGAAAGGGGAGCGAUAGAUGAACAGAACCAUAUUCAGACGAAUUAUGAUUGUCAAAUAAGUUUUUGAUCGUUCUUUUGCAAUUAACACAGACAUUGAGAAGCAGGGGAUUACAUAUACACAAUGAGAAGCAGAAUUGAGAAGAAGAAACUUACCGAAUGAUUGAAGCCGCUGAUUGAAUAUCUAAUAACUGAAGUAUGGAUGAUGCUUGAUUGUUGGAAGAUGAUGCUGUAAAGAAUGAUUCAUAUUUGUAUGCUUCAAGUAUAUAUUGAACAUAAUAAGAUCAAAUCGACCUAAUAAUCAAAUUUAAAUGUAAUUGAUAUGAUUGAUAUUGAUACAAUAAAAAGAUGCUCUUAAUCGGGCAUAUAACGAAAUUGAUUCAAUAUUCCAUUCGAUUUCCAUCCAUAUUCCAAAUUCCACAUUCAAAUUGCCAUAUUUCCAUAUCUAAUUUCCGUAUGUAAUGCUACGUGAAACCAAGCAGGGGUAAAAAUGGGAUUUAACAUUGGCAAGAAAGUGAAUUUUUGUUAGGACACGUUUCAAACAGGUUUUGUUUAUUAGAUAGGGAGAUGUUAUGAAUCUUGGUUAUGAUAAUACGAAUAUUGUAUGCUUGUACUUGAUUUACGAUCGAUUAUGUGGGGUUAUGCAUAGAGGGCAAGGGUAGGACCUAACACUUAGCAUGAAACCCUAUCCAGAUACAUUCGAGCCUCGUUAGUUGAGAAAUACCUUCUAGGAAAAGAGAUUAAUCCAUUUACGAGUUGAUCGGUCUUUCUAGAUGCCCGUGCGACACAUUGUACGCGUACACUUCGGUGUUUGCGGAUUGGAGUGAUGUUGGCCAUUCGAACGAGGCUUGUACAGACAUCACGUAGGUGUUGGGAGGUGGCGGACGAAUGCCACUGCUUGUACCAACACCAGAACGGCACCGCGAUGUACUUGUACAUUACAUAGUCGGAGUAGUGAAAGUGGAGUCUUGGGGUCGGUGUGGCAGGGGGGGGUCACGAACCACCUAAAGCACUUGGUUGUCCAGACACACAAGUAGCGAACGGGUUUUCCUUUUGGGUUAGGUAUUACUACGAGACUACCUAUGCCUAUACGAUUAUGAUACAUUUUUUUUUAUAUGAUGAUAUACGAUUACGAUAUGAUUAUGCAUGAAAUACAAUUGAUGUUACAUAAAUGAAUGAUAUGUGAAUGGAUGAUACAAAGUUGAAUGAUUGAAUUUUAUGUGAAAUAUGAUUGAUUAUUGAUUGGUAUGUGAAUUUUGUUUAUAUGAUUAAAAUAUGAAUGAUUGACCCGUUAAGGGAUGGUAUGUUUUCCCUUUGAUUGUGUACAAACUCUUAUUGGCUCACGAAGCAUUUGUUGACACUUGUUUCUUUGCUUUGUGCCUUUAUGAUUGGUACAGGUAGCUUAAGAGCUUCGCUUGGUGAGAUGGGGUCAUUUUUUGGUAGUUUAUCCUUAGAAUAAAGAUGCCACUUGGAAACGUUAUUUAUUUUUUGAUACUUAUGCUUCCACUACAAUUAAAUACUUUUGAUAUUUUGGUUUUAAAUUGAACGUAACUUGGUGGUUUGAAAUGUUUUUAAAAUAAAUAAUGUGUACACUCUUCCGUUGCAUUUUCCGUUAAAAGAUUUUAAAAAUAAAUGAAAUUUUUUCGCGAAAAAUCAUGACUUUACAAUUAAAUCCUUAAUAGAUUAAGUCCUUAACAGGUUAAGUAGGAACACUUAACCCUAAUCGUCAUUUUAUGUGAAAAACCCUAAUUGGGUUUGGGUUCUUAUUAGGUCACUUAUUGGACUGAGUUGUUGUGGGCCUUUGUGGGCCAAUUGGGAACAUAUUUAUGGACUAAGGAAAUUAUUGGUCUUUAGGAUAAGGCCCGUUGGAAAGGCUUGGGCCCAAUUUGGAAAAUUGGGCCAUAAUUAGGCCUUGAUGAUUAUGAGACUGGAUUAAAUGGUUGGGCCUUAAGAUAAGCCCAUGUAGAGGUUUGGGUCCAAUUUGGAAAAUUAGGCCAUAUGUUGGGCUUUGGUCCAUAGUUUGACUUUUGGGCUUUUGGAUUGGGCCUUGGAGUUGAAUAAAGCUAAGUCAGGGGUAAAAUAGUCUUUUACCCUAACCAUGGAAUUAUGGUUAUGUAUUGGAACCCAAUUAUUAAUUGGGUGUCGUUUUGAUGUUGAUAGUUUAGGAACCUAUCAACCAGCAGCUAAGAUUUUACCCGUGGAACUUGAGCAAUGCGAAGUGAGUCUCCUCACCAUACCAACGGGUCGAAGGCACCAAUGUCAGCCCAUUUUAUGUUAUGUGAUACACUAGCUAAAGUUGUAUUAUGUGGCAUGUUAGCUGGUUAUGUCAUAGGAAGUAUGCUAGUGGUAUAUGUGGUAUGCUUGUAUGGAAGACCAUGGGAGAGCCCAUGGCACCUGGAUGUAAGACCAUGUGGAGAGCCUAUGGCUUUCUUACUAUGUUUUAGUGUUAAUGUAGAUUCACUAUUGAUAUGUUUGGUAUGCACGUAUAUGUGGUAUGCUAGUGAUUAAGUGAUAUACUAGCUGACUAUGUGGUAUGUGGUAUGCUAGUUGUCUUUGUGAUACUUGCAUGAAAGCCCAUGGGAGAGCCCAUGGCACCUGGAUGUAAGACCAUGCGGAGAGCCCAUAACUUUCUUACUAAAGACCAUGGGAGAGCCCAUGGUAACCAGAUGUAAGACCAUGUGGAGAGCCCAUGGCUUUCCUAUUAAAGACCAUGGGAGAGCCCGUGGCAUUUAGGUGUAAGACCAUGUGGGGAGCCCAUGACAUCCUGGAGUAAGACCCUGGGGACGAGCCCACGACAUCCUUAUAUGUUUAUAUUCAUGGCUUAUAUGAUUGAUAUGACUUAUGUGGAUAUGUAGCUAAUAUAACUAAUAAAUAUUAUGAGAUUAUGUGGAUUGUAUGAGGUAUGCUCUGGGGAAUUCACUAAGCUUCGUGCUUACAGUUUUGUUUAUGGUUUCAGAUAUUUAACUUUAGGAAAGGAAGGGCUCAGCUUGACCGCAGCGUACACACCCAUGCUUUCCACAAUGAAUGAAAUGUUUUAAUUAACAAUGUUUUGGAAUGAUUGGAAUAAAUGAUAUCUAUGUUUGGGUUAUAUUAAAAAUGAAAUUGUUACCCCUGAUUUUUGGGUUGUUACAAUGAUAUUCAAUUAAAACACAGGUCUUUUGGCCUAGCACUAUCAUAUGUUGGAAAAGUGACCCUUCCUAAUGUUAGAAAAACGGGUUAUUUUGAUUGCUUGGAUACCAUUGAAAGUCAUGAUACACUUUCAAAUUGAAUUAUUUUGAUGGUACAAUCAAAAUAUCAAUUGGAUAAAAUUCAGUGACAAACAGAGAAUGAAAAUGUUAUGAUUCUUGUGUGUACCAGAUUUAAAUAACCAAAAAGGGAUAUAACUCCUUAUCUGAAAACUAUCAUAUUGACAUUUACAAACUGCCACAAAACCGUCACUAAAUUGACUUAGUCAGCUUGACAAACAAGAACCACAUAUUUAACAUACAAAGCAAAGAGAAAAAGUUUCCUAAUACUUGUAAAAAUCAAAUGAUGUAAAAAAAUUAGAUGUCACAAAAUCUAGUAUUAACAUAGAUUUAAUAAAACUGAUAGAUUACUUGUUUAUAUAUCGUAAAAAUUUAUUCCCAAGGUCAUCCUUAACUCACUAAUAAAUUUUGGGAGUAACGAUAUAACAAUAUCUAUUCGGUACUCCUUUGAUAAAAUUUUGAAUUUUGUGUGGUCAAUAAGUCGUAUUUUUGGAUUGCUAAUAGGAGUAGAAAAGCUAAAAUCAUUUGGGUCUAUGAGCUUCGUAAUCCUAUUUUAGCUUGCACUCUUAUGUAAUGCUAUUUUUCCUUGCUUCCUGCUAGUUUUUAUAAAAUUUUUUGCUGUUCCAAAAAAAAAAAAAAAAAAAAACUCCUCUAAUAUAUUGGUCGGUCGACUUUGAGAUACAAUUAAGAAGGUUCUCUAGCCACAUCACACAUCAUCCUCCCCCAAUGACCACCACACAAUAAUAUCGAUUUGGUAUAGACCAACAACUCUCUAUUUCCCCAUCUCCCUUAAAUCAAUCUUCACUUCCUUACUUUUCAGUUUGUUUUUUAAUAUUCAUACAUAGAAACUCAUGUUGGAGCAGUUAACACACAUAAAUGUCCUUAAUAUUGGAAUCCCUCACCAACAAAGUAGCAUCGUUAAGUAACUAAUAAGUUAGAGACCAUACGUACAAAUUAGCCCAAACCAUAGGGACCAUUCGUGUAAUUUACUCUUCCUCUUAAUAUACAUAUUUUUUAUUAGAGACAGACCGCUGUCAUCCUCAAUAUAAUACAUGUGUCCCCAAGUCCAUUUUGCAAUUCUUUUUGGAUUUGGCAAACUUGUAUAUACAAUUUCCUCUCUUUACUUUUCAUAUGUCAUAACCUUUGCUUUAGUUAUUGCUUUCUUCUUCCAAUUUCUUGUCACCUUGUAAAUAUUUCUUUGACCUCUCUUCUUUCCCAAUUGUCACUACUUAAUAGAAAUUCUUUAAAAGGAGUUUCUUUAUUUUGACCUUGAACCUUCUUGCUCCACCAUUCCGAUUAUUAGCUUAGCCUUUCAUCCUUGACGGAUAUGGCCUCCUGCUACAAUUACCAUGUAACAGAGCCGGCCCAAAGCAAGUUCAUCCAGUGCCUUUGAACAUGGCCCAAAAAAUCAGAGGGCCCAUUUUUUUUCAUUCUUUAAUAGGGUAUGUUCAUUUGGCCCAAAAAAUUUAGGUUAUAUCCAUCUAUAUACUCAGUUAACGAAUGCAGGAAGCAGGCAAGAGGGAGCAGGAACUCAAUUUUCGGGAAAAAGAGAACUCUUCGGUUUCUUCAUUGGUAACGCACGCAUGGAUAAUAGGAAUCAUCAUUGCUGGAACGGUAACAUCAAUUUACAUUCAUUUAUCAUUCAUUCUAUUCCAUCAAUUUACCUUCACUUCUUAUUUCUUCCUUCUUUAUCUUCUUCUUCACUGAUCAGUUUUUACAAAGAUUACCAACAAUUUUAGAAGAUUCAAAAGAAGAAAUUCAAAGCCAUCAAAUUUCGAAAUCAGAAGGUUCAAUAUCAGAAUUCAGAACAAUCAAAAUUCGAAAUAAGAAGCUUCAAAAUCUUACAGUCUUACAGUCUUACAGUUUGAGUUUCGAAAUCAAAGGUAUAAUACUAAAAUUAAACUUUAGUUUAUUGUUUCAUGGGUUUGUUUUUUCUAAUUGAGUAAUUUGAUAAUUUCAGAUUUCUUAUCGGUUCUUCUUUUUUCAUUUUCUUUAAUUCCAAAUUACUAAAUCAGGAUGAACAAUCAACAGUGAUAUCAGUUUUCAAAAAUUUGAACUUAGAAGGAACAAGGAAUUGAGGUAAAUUCUAAUUCAGAUUUCUACUUUUUAUGUUUUUUUGUUUAUGAUAAUUUCGAAUUUGUAAGAACUAAGAAGUAAUUAUGAAUUUAUGAUCUCAUCAUUUCAGAUUGCAAAUUUUCUGAUUUCCUUAGAAUCAUAUUCUUGUUUUUUUGAUUUGAAGUGUCGAUGAUAAUAAGGUAAUUUUUGGAUUUCUUAUAUGAUAUCAUUGCAGAUUUUGUGAUUUCUUUAGAAGCAUAUUCUGAUUUUUUUUCUUUGCAGUUUUGUUACAUUCUUUUGGUGAUUUGAAGUGUGGAAAAUCUGAACCAAGAAGGAAUCUAUAAAUUGGAAGUCAUAAAUAAGGUCGUUUCUUUCUUUUCUAUAACUUAUUAUGCCUCCUAAAAUAAAAAAAUAUGCAUCUGGAUAUGAAAAACGUAAGAAAAAACAAAAAAUUGAAGAAGAUAAUAAAACUCAAGCAGGAUCUAUGGAUAAGUUUAUAACAAAAAAAACACAAAACUUUACGAAAAAUGAAACACAAAAUGUUAAUGAAGCUAAUCUUGAUAAAAUGAUAAUGUUGAUGUUGAUGUUGAUGUUGAUGUUAAUGAUAAUGUUGAUGUUGAUGUUAAUGCUAAUGUUAAUGUUAAUGUUAGUGAUAAAGUUGAUUUUAAUGAUAAUCCUAAUGUUGUUGUUGAUGAUAAUGUUGAUUUUCACACUUUUGAUAUAUUUGAUCCAAGAAAUCGGGAUGCUCUUGAUUCUAGUAUGAUAAAUAUUUUAGUGUUGAAAGGUCCUAAAAGAGAUUUGUCUCUUACAAAAGGUCCUAAAGAUAAAUAUUUAAGAAGAUUUUCUGCAACAUAUUAUACUAAAACUUUACCAAAUGGGGAAAAAUGUGAUAGAGAUUGGCUUGUUUAUUCUAAAGAAAUUGAUAAAAUUUUUUGUUUUUGUUGUAAAAUAUUUCGAAAAGGGUGUCGGAAGGGUCAAUUAGCAAAUGAGGGUUUUAGGGAUUGGAUACAUCUUAACACUAGAAUUAAAGAGUAUGAAACUAGUAUGAAACAUGUUAAAACUAUAAAUACUUGGUAUGAUUUGCGUUUAAGAUUACAAAAAAAUGAAACUAUUGAUAAUGCGGCUCAAAAACAAUUAGAAAAAGAAAAAGUUCAUUAGAGACAAGUUUUGUUGAGAAUUAUUUCUAUUGUGAAAUUUCUUGCUAAACAUAAUCUAGCUUUUCGUGGUACUAAUGAGAAAUUGUAUGAAGAUAACAAUGGAAAUUUUUUAGGCUUAUUUGAAAUGUUGGCUGAAUUUGACAUGGUUUCUUAUGACCAUAUACAACGUAUUACAAAUGAAAUUGGUAUCCAUAAACAUUAUCUUGGGCAUAGGAUACAAAAUGAAUUAAUACUUUUGCUUUCUUCAGAAAUAAAGUCUAUGAUUAUUAAAAAGAUAAAAAAUGCAAAAUAUUUUUCUAUAAUACUUGAUUGUACUCCUGAUAUAAGUUACCAAGAGCAAAUGACUAUUAUUUUAAGAUGUGUAGAUGUCUUGUCAAAUGUUGUUUGCAUUGAAGAGUCUUUUUUAGGGUUUUUAGAUGUAAAUGAUACAACCGGCCAAGGACUCUUUGAUGUUUUACAAAAUGAAUUGAAUUUGCUUGAUCUUGACAUUAAUAAUAUACGUGGCCAAGGUUAUGAUAAUGGAUCAAAUAUGAAAGGAAAACAUCAAGGAGUGCAAAAAAAGCUUUUAGAUAUAAAUUCAAGGGCUUUUUAUACUCCUUGUGGUUGUCAUAGUUUGAACUUAACUUUAUGUGAUAUGGCUAAUACUUGUGGUAAAGCUAAAGGUUUUUUUUGGAACAAUACAACGUAUCUAUACAAUUUUUGCAAAUCCCACUAAGAGAUGACAAAUUUUAAAAGAUAAUGUGAAAGGGGUAACUCCUAAAUCGUUGUCAUCCACUCGUUGGGAGAGUCGUGUUGAUAGUGUUAAAGCUAUAAGAUUUCAUAUACAAAAAGCUUUACUUCAAGUAGCCAAAAAUGAUAAUGAUCCAAAAAUAACAAGUGAAGCUAAAUCCUUAGCAAAAAAUGAACUUGACAACUUUGAGUUUAUAUUGGCAUUAGUAAUUUGGUAUGAAAUGUUAAACACUAUUAAUUUAAUUAGCAAACAAUUGCAAUCAAAAGAUAUGUUUAUUGAUGUUGCUAUGGAAAAAAUAAUGGGGUUAAUUUCGUAUUUUAAGGAAUAUAAAGAAAAUGGGUUUUUAAAUGCUUUACAAACCGCAAAAGAUAUUGCCUUAGAAAUGGGGAUCGAUCCAAUAUUUCCUAAAAAACGUGAACCUAAAAUAAAAAAACAUUUUGAUGAGAUUUCAAACGACACUUCUUAUAGUUUUUCACAAUCCGCCCAAGAGAAAUUUAGAGUUAAAUAUUUUAUUUAUAUUGUUGAUCAAGCAAUUAGUUCUUUAACUACAAGGUUUGAACUAUAUCAAUAAUAUGAUAAAAUAUUUGGCUUUUUAUUUAAUUCAGAAAAAUUGCUUUCAUUAGAUGAUAUAACAUUAAAGUCUUGUUGUAUGUCUCUUGAAACUUCACUCAAGAAAGAUGAGCAAUCGGAUAUUGAUGGAAAUGACUUAUAUGUUGAAUUAAAAUUACUUUUACAUCUCUUGCCUAAGGAAAAAUUGACAGCAAUUGAUAUUCUAAAUUUUUUAAAACGUGUUGAUUGUUUUCCUAUUACAUCUAUUACAUAUAAAAUUAUGUUGACUAUUCUUGUUACUGUUGCAUCUGCAGAACAGAGUUUUCCAAAAUUGAAGAUUCUGAAGUCCUACUUAAGAUUUACAAUGACUCAAGAACGACUUAAUGGAUUGGUUUUGAUGACGAUUGAGCGUAAUAUGUUGGAUAAAGUUACUUAUGAAGAUGCUAUUGAAAAAGUUUAUUUCAACGAAUAUUAGGAGGAUGACUGUUUUCAAGUAGAAGCUAAUUUUUUUUUGUAUUAUUUUGAAUGAAAUUUUAAUUUUAUGUAUUUGCAAUAGAAAAUUAAACUAUAAUUUUUUUUUUGCUUAAAUUUUGAGAUCUUUCAAAUUUUAGAGCCUAUUUUUUGUUAAAUCGCACAUGGUCUUCAAUAUCUCAGGGCCGGCCCUGCCAUGUAGACCGAGACCCCUACUUGUAACUAACCUUUUCGGUCCUAAUAGAUACACAUGUAAAAAACUAAUAACUACUAACUAACUAUUAAUUAUUUAAUAUAAAAUACAAAUAGAACAUCAAUGAUAAAUAUUAAAAGGGUGUUGCUAAAUUGACACCCCUUAGACACCCUAUAAACACUUUUAUUAAAAGUCAAUUUAUAAUAAACUAUUCACAAUUUACUUUUUCAAAAAACAAUGCAAAUUAACUAAUAAAAAAAUCUUAAAAAUCAAAUAAGGUUUCAACAUGAGAGAAAUUAUAUUGCAAUAAGUUUGUUGUCAGGUGAGGAAUACAAUGCAUAAAUGAUUUACAAAAUCGAAAGUUCCAGACACAAGUUAAAACUUAAAACCCUAAAAGACCACACAAAUUUCAAUCGUCGACAUACCCCACCACAAAGGCACAAACAAUCAAUGAAACAAGUGUAGAUGUAGAGGCCUUUUUCACCACAAUCACCCUUCAUCGGCCAUUUCGAAGGCCACGUGAAAUGUCACUAACGUGGCCCUCUAAAUAUCCACUACUUUGUCUUUAACCCCUCCCCCCUCCCUUAUAAAACACUCCAUCCUCCUCCUUAAUCACCAUCACCAACAACCUUCUCUCCUCCCUCAAAAGUACCACCAUCUUUUCCGACAUGGCUACUUCUUCAAUCUUCAUGGCAACUCCCAUCACACUCCUCAAGAAAACUCCCACCUUCUCCGUCAAAUGUAUGUCACAAACACCUCAAAGCGGUGAACCGGAGGUUUCAAAACCAGCAACCACCCCAACACUACCACAGAUCAACAUUCCUCCUCCUCCGCCACCUGCUCCAAAGGUCAGCACGAAGUUCUCUGACGUGUUGGCGUUUAGUGGACCUGCACCGGAGAGGAUCAACGGAAGGUUAGCCAUGAUAGGGUUUGUGUCGGCGAUGGCUGUGGAACUGAGCAGCGGUCAAGACGUGUUCACCCAGAUCGGCAACGGCGGUGUUGCGGUGUUUGUCGGGACAAGUGUGGUGUUGACGUUGGCGUCGUUGGUGCCGUUGUUUAAAGGAGUGAGCGUGCAGUCGAAGUCGAGUGGACUGAUGACAUCAGAUGCAGAGCUUUGGAAUGGGCGGGUUGCGAUGUUGGGUCUGGUGGCUUUGGCUUUUACUGAAUAUGUUAAAGGCAGUGCCCUUGUCUAGAUAAUGUAGCAUAAACUUUUCUAUUACAGAAUUACAUCUAAGAUAGGCAAAUGUAUAUUCUUUUGAAUAUUUAUGUGUAUCGAUUUACCAUACAUAGUUCAAAUCAUGAAAAUCAUGUUUUUUUGAUAAUAUAGUAUAAAACAAAUAUGAUCAAUCAAAUCGAACGAUUGUGGUAUCUUUCAAUAUAAAAUUCUUUUUACAAAAAUAAACAAACAACAUACUAAGAUAAUUUUUUGAGGAAUGAACCUAGAUUAGCAAUAUAAGAGUCAAAGUCUACAAAGAUAUUGACAUCCUAGUUUCACAACUUCCUCUUUGAAUGUUGAAGGUGAUCAUUAAUUCAGACUGAAUAUGUGGCUAAGUCCAGCCUAGUCAAUUAGCCAAUUUAAGUUGACAAGUAUCCAAAAUUCAAAUAAACUACAUGGCUCAAUUUCAAAGAAAACUGAAAAAUGACUAAUGCUCACAAAAUGAUCACCGAAUCAAUUUAGGCUAUGAGGAGUGGUCACAUUCAAACCACCGGAAAAACGCUGCAAAGUCAGUGAUAUGUCAACUCCAUCACCUUCUAAACAUUGGAAACAAUUACCACUCCGUGUCAUUUAUAUUUUCAUUUUUUUUACAUUAGAUUAAAUAAAAAACAUAAUUACUAACUUAAGUAAUCAUUUUACUAAUUAAAAAAUCAACUAAACAUAUAUUAAUUUUCAAAAUUAAAUAAACAUAUAUAGUAUAUAUAGUUGAGGGUUUAACUUAAUUCAAAGAAAAGUAAGAGGGUAUAAUAAGAUUAAAAGACAUAAUUUUAGAGACCAAAUUUGUAACUUUAGUUAAAGCAAAUAUGAAUGGUCUUCUUCACAGGUCAUUGCUCAAUACCAUUUUUUUUCUUUUACUUCGAUGGAUACAAAGGAAAAGGGAAAAAAAGGGUCAAAUAAAUGACCGUUAUUGUUCUUGCUUUCUUAUCCGUCGUCUUCAUCCGUCUUUGCACCCACAUUACACCCAAACCACCGGCCUUAGGGGUGGUGGUGUUCACGUGUCCUUAGGCCGGACACAUCAGCAAGAUGUGUGAGUUAGUCCUCCCACUCCGAUUAGCCUUAAGCACUUAUUAAAAGCUAGUCUAUUUCUUGUUAGGUUGAAAUCUAAUGUUAUCAUCAAAUCUAUACAAGAUUGAGAUUGAUAUUAUAGUAACAAUCUCCCAAAGAAAAAUAAUAUAUUUAAAAGAAUAUAUAUAUANNNNNNNNUAUAUAUAUAUAUGAAUUAUGCCCCAAGAAGUACUAUGCAUGAGUAUAAGAUUACUAUUAUCUUUGGAUCCAUUAAUUGAUAACUAAGCAUACUUCAAAGUUACUAUAUGGUCGUAUGAGACCCGCGAAUAGGAAAUUGGCUGCACCCUUGGCCCGAUUCGAAGGCUAAAACCCAAAAGAACCAUGCACAUGAUUCGAACCAAGUGCUCUAAUGCUAUUUUGCCCAACUUACAUGAACUACCUCCAUACACAUACUUAAGAAACCCAUAAUCUCAUCCAGAUAGAGCAGGAAUGCCAGAGAUAAUCGGAAUAAUACCUCAAUCAAUUACAAAAAACAUCCGCAUUAUCGGUUGAAACAAGAUCCCAUACUUGAUUGAGACUGAACGGAUUCCAUCGCUACACAACUAGCUCGAGAAGACUUCCACGGAUCUCGAAAGUUGCCUAAACCUGAGUCUGCUAUGAAAUAGGUUCCCACUCCACCAUUGAGGGUAAACACACUUGAAGCCCCAAUGGACAUAGAUCAUACUAAGCUUGAUAACAGAUCAGCCUGACCACUACAUCUCGACUGACACAAUUAAACUUCCAAGUGAACUUUUAUUGAUUGAUGAACCCCACAACCAGUGGUCGAGGACACUUUAACACUUAGUCCAGAGAAUCAAGACCACAUAGAACUGAACAUACCCACUCAUGGAAAGAUCCAUCGACCAACGUCUGCCCAACUAAUAUGAAAAUAGUAAUCCAACAACAAACUGGGAAAUCCCUCAACAGCUAAAAAUACUCAACCUGAGAAUCCCGAUUCUCCUCCACUUAGGGCUUAAACUACCAUUCACUAGCGCUAAAACCAAAUCAUAAAUCAAACCAUAUUGAGGAUAUACUCCCUUCCUAACCCUGGAAGUUACGAGCCUCUUCACUCCUUCCCCGAACUCGGAAAAAAUGAAAGGGCAUAACCCUAGCCAUUGAUAAUGACGUUCCAAACCAACAAUCAACCACUUCCAACUGUAAAACCCAAGUCAAUCUUAAUCAUCGUCCCCUUCACGAGUCCCGCGACUCGAAUACCCGACCUCAAGCAAAACCCCCGAGGCCUCAAACAAAAAAGCUCCCUAGGUCUGCACCAAACAAACAAAAUCACUAACGCCACUGGGGCUCAAAACACUUACCAUAUCCAUCCGCAUGUCGGAGCAUCCACAAGCAAAAUAUUAACAGGAACAUAAACACUGCCGCGAAUCAUGGUAUCCAACCAUGCUAUCUUCACCGACCAACCCUUAGAAUCCCCAAAACCUUCCUUGAUUAGAUUAUGGAUCCUGUGCUUCAAGUAGUACUGGCCCAAUACUACCUUCCAUACCUAUCCAUACUUUCCUCAAGAAUCAUCCCAAGUCUUUUAAGUCCUAGUCAUAAAAUACUCCUGAAACUUGCUUAACAAUGAAGCAACCACGCUAAAAUACUCACCUACACUCCCUCUGCCAUCAACUGCUGAUAAACCCCUACCAAUGCCAGCUAACCACUUCAUGAAUACAAUUACACACAACCAAGCUUAAAUAAUCCUUCGAAUAAAGGGCUUAGCCCUACAACGAUUGGACUCAAACGAGAGCUGCACAAUAGGUUUGAGUCCUUCAUUCUAAGAUUAUUUAACCUUCAUAGCAUGUAAUUUUAUUAUAUUCACUUGAUGGUUAACUCCCAUCAACAUGGGUCCCACAAAGCACAAAGCAAGCAACAUUCGGGUAGAGAAGCCGACUGCGACUAAAACGCAACAAAAUCAGACAUAUCCUCAUAGAAAAUCCUCGAUCUCAAACUCCUCGCACCACGAGUGCGCCUUCACCCUGCUCUCACUCUCCCCAGAGUGGUUAAUCAUUCCUCGUGCUUACCCGCUAUACACUGCACCCACUCAUGAAACUUCCACCAACCCUACAACACUCGUGUAUGCUAGCCGUACAUAACACUGGAUCCUAUAGACAGUCGAAUAUCUGAUCCUACUCUAAGCCCUUCAUCAAACAAGAACAUGAAAUAAGGCCAAACCAAACAUUCUCAGGCUAUAGAAUCUUAGUUAUGUACAACUAUGAUGUAUACACUAAGUAACUGUAGUAGAUGAUGUCAAUUUCAUUUAAGGAAGAACCCUAGGCUAUCAGACAUCAUAUAAUCAUGCAACUUUGUCAUGCAAUUCCUGAAGAUCCCUAGCCUAUCACUACCAUGCUAUUCUAAUAUUUCACAAGAUCAAAUAAAGUGUGGUAAUUUGGGGUCUACUUACUAGCUCCGACUGAUCAUACACAUCGUAUCCUCUUUAGUUUGAAAGUUAUUUUUAAAACCUUUACUUUGAAAAUUACUUUUUUUAAAACACCUUUUCCUUAGUUUGAGACCGGAUUCACACGAGUUUUCCUCCCAUUCACUCAAACCAAGGCUCUGAUACCAACUAGUAACGUCACAAAAAUUUCAACAAAUCUAAACCUUUCAAAACAACCCAUAUGUUAACAAAAGUGAUUUGAUCCGCAGGCACUCUGCACGCCUUGAACUCCCGUAAUGAGGGAGUUCGAGCCCCAAUCUGACCCACAGUGAUCUCAGAUCGGAAAGAACAAUCCGCUCCUCCAUAUCCUCCAUGAUCCCCUCCUUGACGGUACUGAACCCGAUCUCGAACCUGAACCUCCUCGCGUAGCCAUCAUAAUCUUCAACUGAAAAUACAACAUAGAAAGAAAUUGAUAAGGAAGUUCAAAGGGAUUUCUCCCCACUGGACUCCUUAAAGCCUUCAGGUAUGUCCUUGUCUCGGGUACAAGUCUUGUGCUUUUAGUAGUACGGACCAAAUACUACCUUCCACACCUACCUGUACAUUCCCCCAAGGCCAUACCUGAUACCUCCAAUUCACCAAACCAUAGAUAAAACAUGACCUACGAAACACAGCACAUACACAUAUCUUAGAAUCUUCGGGGAUUUCUCAAUCCUCAUAGAACCAGAAACCUCAAUCAACACCGCAUGUUGCCUUAUGCAUGCAAGUUAUACAUUAAUAGAAUCAUAGAGACUGUCAAAUAAAGUUUCUACCCUAAGACCACAACCAAACAAGGAACAAGAAGUAAGGCAGAAUCCAUCGUUCUAGGGCUAUAAAAUCCUAAACAUAUACAACUUUGAAAGCAUACACUUAGCAAAUAACAACGUCAACAUCGAUUCCAAGCAUUAUAUUCAUAGCAUUGAACUCUCCUAGGCUACAAGGCAUCUCACAAAUCAGACAAUUCUCAUAACACCUAAAGGUAUCCUUAGCCCUAUUCUAGCAUGCAUUUCACACAUUAACAUACUAGUUGCAAUUCAUAAGCAUGGUUAAAUUUUUGGAAACACUUACUUGAGCUUGGCUGAUUUCGCGCAUUGCGCUCUCCCUUUUUACUUAAGAAAACCGGUUUAAGAAAAACUUGACUUUUGUUUCUUUUUUUAAAAAGGUUUACCAUUUCCUCAGUUUGAGUUGUGACACAUAGUGUGCCCGAAUUCCUCAAACCAAGGCUAUGAUACCAACUUGUAAAAGCCCAAAAAUCCAGAUAAAAAUUUUCAUUUAAAAAAAAAUAGAAAUUACAAUCAUAAUUUGUUUCUUAAAAUCCAUUACAUCAUUUCAUAUCAAAAUAUCAGAGUAUCAAUAUCAAUAAAUGAGGAAAUUCUUGGGAGUGAAUGUUGCGCCAUCUAGCUAGGCCCUUCCCCUUAGUACCGAAAGUACCUGAAAACACCUAAAUAAACUGUAAGCAAAAACUUAGCGAGUUCCCAAAAUACAACAUAACAUAUAACCACAGAAUACCACGCCACAUACAUAAGAUUGCCAUGGACAACCCCAUGGUCUUUACUUGGAAUGCCAUGGGCUACCCCAUGGUAUUUACCUAGAAUGCCAUGGGAUACCCCCAAGGUCGGAUAUCCAAGUGCCAUGUGCUACCCCAUUGGUCUUUACCUGGAAUGCCAUGGGCUACCCCCAUGCUCUAAUAUCCAAGUGUCGUGCGCUACCCCCAUGGUCUUCAUAUAAGUGCCACAGGCUACCCCCGUGGUCUUCACAUAAUGAAUUGCAUAAAAACUAUCAAUCCACAUGUCAGGCAAUGGGCCGCCAUUGGUGCCUUCGACCCAUUGAUAUAGUGAGAAGACUCACCUCAGACUGCUGAUAAAAAUACUGCUCGGCUAACGCUCUAGAUAUCUGACACUGAAUAUACACAAGUUAACCUAAUUAGAAUUAAGUCACAAACUCAAGGCCUAGGCCAAAACCCUAAGUACAAACUCCUCCAAUAAGGCCCAAAGUCUUUUUCCUUUAAUGGGCCUAACAUCCAAGAUCCAAAAAGGGGCAUAAGGCCCAAAAGGCCUAGCCAUGCCACUUAUGGUCCAACAACAAGUUCAAAGGCCCAAAUACUAUAAUAGAUCCAGGCCCAAGUCUAAGUAGAGCCCAAAUAGCUUAAAGGCCCAACAAAAGCCCAAAACUCAUUGGAAGCGUACGCCCAACGUACAUCAUCAGUACGCUUAGCAUACUGGGUUCUUUGGCGGUUAGCGUAGUGUACAAGCUAGUAUGCCCAACGUACAAGCUACUUUGCACAAAAAGCCAUUAAGUGCUUAAUUCAUGAAGCCAUUUCGUCCGAUUCCAGAUCUUGGUCAUCUUAAAGGUCCUAGGGCAUAAAGAUGGUAACUUUAUGUGUUUACAUGCCAUAUGGGAACCCAACACCUGAUUUUAUCCAUUAAGACUCCCUUUAAGAUCUUAAACUCAUGCAUGGUGCCAUAACAACCAUCAAGUUAGCAUUUUUAUGCUUUUAACAUGCCAAAGGAACUAGGAUCUAACAUUUAUAAUCUCUGGAGUUGUUCAAACUUACAAAAGAGGAUCCAUGGACCAAAAAUGGACUUAUUACCAAACCCUAACUCAAACUAGCGAAAGGAUAAGCAAGUUCUGGACUUUUUACCUCCAAAAGUUUUCCAAGAUGAAGUAGAUGCAGGAUCUAGAAGCUCAAACACGUCUAAGAGUUGAUCACAACCUUCUCCUUCUUACACACACAUUAAAAUAGCCACCAAAAUCACUUUUAAGCUCAAGAAUCACACUCACUUGCAAACUAGGGUUUAGGGACGAUAAGAGGCAAUAAAAGCUAUGUAGGGUUAGGUCCAAAUGUCAUAAGAGUGUUAAAAUAGGGUUCAUGCGCAAAAAUUAGGGUUUUUGUCAUAUGCCACGUACUCCUCGCAUACAUGGUGCAUGUACGCAUCUAAACCACCCUAGUACGCUAAGCGUACACGUAUGUACGCCCUGUUGGAUUAGUGUUUAAGUCCAUAACUAUAUUUGGUAUGUAUUUGACCAGGUUGUGCAUGGUCCUUUUAGGUUGCCUUCACCGAAGCAACUUGACUAGAGGAAUUAUAUAGAAAGAGGUGAUUAUGGUUUAUUAAUAUAUUAUAAGAUUUAUAUAUUAAAAGAGAAAUCAUGUUUGAUUAAUUAACAUUGGUCAAGAGUUAAUUAAACAUUAGUUUUGUGAUCAAAAGAAGUUAAUUGAACUUAAGGGGCUGAACUGUAAUUAUGUGAUAGUUACAAAGUUAGGCAAGGAAACCCUAAUGGAUAGGGUGGAUGAAUUCUAGGGAUAUAGCCUUAAGAAUUCGCCCAUGAUAGGGAUUCUAGAAUUAUCUUAUGGGCUGCUUGGUGGCUAAGUAACCAUAUAAGAAUAAUGAAUGAAACCCUAAUUCCUAAACCUAUAUAAAGGACCCUUGGUCAUGGGAAUUUCGGCAACUUGAACCCUAGAAGUCCUAGAGCCGAAAUUCUCCUCUUCCCUCUCUUGCUUCCUCUAAUUGCUAUUGGUGUUUGUUAUUAAUUAGAGGCACAACACUUGAGGUGCUAAAGUUGUCAAGGCUUCAAGAUCUUCAAUCAACAACGAGGUAAGCAUCUUGAUAUACUUUGCUAAGUUAAUUUCAAUUAUAUACACUAGAUCUAGGGUUUGAAAGUCUUGGAUGAAUGCACGUACAAUUAGAGAAACCUAGAUCCAAGCAUUAGGGUUUGCAUGAGCACAUAGGAUGUUCUUUUGGCUCAAACCUAUCAGUGGUAUCAGAGCUUUUGUUUGGUUUCUAUUGUAUUGAUGCCUUGCUUGUUCAUCCUCUCUUGAAAAUCGUGAUUUUGUGUUCUCUGCCUGACGAACUCGAUGAGUCCCAAUGUGGGCUCGACGAGUAGGAUGAACUCGACGAGUCCAUAAGGGCACUCAACGAGUCGGAGCGUCAGACAUAGAUUUUCGGGAUUUCUUGUUGUUUUGCUUAAUGAUAAUUACCUAAAUCGUUUUUGACUAAUAAAAUCUGAAUUUUAUUACUGCUUUAUGUUUAUCCUUUCCAAAACAAAAGAUAAUUUCCAUUUAUUUGAAUAAUAAAUUCCUUAUAUGAUAAUAAUUGAUUAUUUAAAUUAUUUGUUGAAUUAUCUUAUGAAUAAAAUUGAUUAGGUCAAAUUUAGAUAAUCAUUAAAUUAAUUGUUUAAUUUAAAUUAUUUGCUAUUUGAUCCUUUAUGUUUUGAAAAGUUCAAAACUUGUCCUCAAGUUUUGAAAUUUAAAUUUGUGAUUAAAAGUUUAAUUUAAACUAUUUAAAUUUCAAACCCUAGAAUUUUACAAGUUUAAAAUUCAACCUUAUACUUUACAAUANUUAAACGCUAGUCUUACUGUUAGUAGGCCUCAUUCACGAAGCCGAUCUAGAAGGAGGUAUAAGGUUAUGACCUAUAAAAUGGCCAUUUAAUGGGUGUCCACUCUCACCCACCACAUCCUUGAUUGGUGGAGGGUCGUUAGCCGAACGGGUAAGAUAGGGCAACCCUUUCUCAUGAAUAAGUAUAAUGAAUUAUAAAAGUAACUAAAUGUUUUACAAAAUUCCCAAUCUUAAUUACUUUAGGCAAAAGUGAAAUUGAUGCAAUUCCAUUAAAUUACAUUUUGUACCCGUGCUAAGACGUUAGUGGAGCGUGUGUGGUUAACUGGCACACUAAUUCGGUUCUAAGAAAAGGUGGUAAAGGGUGACUCAUUGUUUCUCAUUGUUCGAUGGAGCAUGUGUGGUUAACCAGCACAUCGAAUAGGUGACUGUAACAAUGAGGGCACCAUGUAUAUUUGCAUGGUUAUUCAUACCCACUUUGUGAUCCUCAGCAUCCCAGUCACAAACUAGAGGGGCAUAUCAAGAUUUAUACAUGCCAUUGAAAAGUUCAAUGAAUCUCAAAAUAUCUAGGAGUUUUCAAUACAUUUAAAACUUAAUCUCUUUUUCGUUUUUCAUGGUGGAGAAUUAGUGAAUCGUCAUUCACUUACCUUCAAAUUAUUUGCAUGUUAGAUUACGACACCCCUCUUCUAAUAUGUAAAUAAUGUUGUUGGAUCCUAGCCCUAAUUUCUCAUUUAGGUGUUUCAUUAGGGAUUCAUUUCUAAUCAAACUUUGUUCUUUUUCCUUUUCAGAUGUCGAACAACAACAAUGCUUCCGGAUCGUUCUCACUCAUGAACUUGUGUGGGAGAGUGAUCUUUGACGAGUCCAAUUUCAAUGAUUGGAUUCGCAACAUCCGAAUGGUCACUCGUUACGAGGACAAAGAGUAUGUCCUUGAUAAGAAGCUGAAGGAAAUCAACCUCAACACUGCUACUACUGAAGAGAUCGCCACCUUUAAGGCUCAUGAGCGUGAUGCCACGAAAGUCCAUUGCAUCAUGCUAGCGACCAUAACUGCAGAACUCCAAAAGUCCUAUGAGGACAUGUAUCCCUAUGAAAUUCAUCAAAACUUGUUGGACCGGUACCACCAAAGUGCAAGGCAAGAAAGGUAUGAGAUCAUCACUUCGAUGAUCACUACCAGAAUGGGUAAUGGAGAGUCCCUUACCGCCCAUCUGCAAAAGAUGCAGAGAUAUGUUGAUCACCUGCUAAAGUUGAAAGUUAACUUUGAUGAAGAGAUGGCAAUCGACAUUAUCCUUCACUCCUUACCUCCCUGCUACAACCAGUUCCGCAUGACUACCACAUGAAUAAGGAAGAGGUCACCUUGAGCAAGCUUCACGGCUUGCUAAGAACUGUUGAGAGCAAUUUCAAGGAUAAGUAUGUUGCAUCAACUCCAACUCCCACUGCUGCCCUUGUCUUGGAAAAAGGGCAAGGGAAGGGUAAGAAAAGGAAGGCUCCCUCAAAUAUCCACCACAAGGGAAAGUCCCAAGAUGUUACCUCUUCUAGUGGAACCAAGGCUGGUUCUGCUAAACCCAACUCUAACCCUAAUGAGCCAGAGUGCCACCACUGCCACAAAAUAGGGCAUUGGAAGAGAAGCCGCCCAGAAUAUCUGCAAGCUAUCUAGGAUGGGACGAUCAAGCCAUCCUUCGCAGGUAUUUACACUAUUAAAUCUAAUGAUUCAUCGCAUGCUAUUUCUUGGGUUAUUGAUACAGGAUGUGGUUUUCACAUAUGUUCUGAUUUGCAGGGACUAAGAAGAAAUAGGGAUGUGGAGCAUGGAAGAAUAAACCUAAUAAUGCGAAACAAAAGAUUGUCGCCUGCCACCAAUAUUGGAGUAUAUAUAUUCCUUAAUGCUUAGUAAUGGAUUAGGUUUUGAUUUAAACAAUUGCUGCUAUUCGCCAGAUAUGGCAAGAAACAUCAUUUCAUUUCAUGGUUUAUAUAGGCAAGGAUUUAGAUAUUCAUUUGAUAAUGAAAAGGGUUCUAUUUAUGCUUAUCUUAAUAGUGUUUUAUAUUUUGAAGCAUUGCCUUGUAAUGUAAUAUAUGAAACUGUGAUGGUUGUAGAUAACUUAGGAAAUGAUGUAUUGUGUGUUGAUUCUUCCAACAAUAUAGAUAAAGCAUGCUUGUGGCAUUGUCGUCUUGGACAUGUCAACAAGAAACGCAUAGCCCAACUCUAAAAGGAUGGAGUGUUGGAGUCAUUCGACCUUAGGGAUGAUGACGUGUGUGAGUCUUGUUUACUUGGAAAGAUGACCGAUGUGUGUGGGCACUUGUGAAAGGGGUGAGGGUUUAUUGGAUCUCAUACACACCGAUGUGUGUGGGCCCUUUAGAUUACCACAAAAGAUGCAAGCCACUUCUAUGUGACUUUUACCGAUGAUUAUAACAGAUAUGGGUAUAUCUACUUAAUCAAGCACAAGUCGGUAACCUUUGAAAGGUUCAAAGUGUUUAAAGAAGAAGUGGAGAAUCAUUUGGGCAGGAAUAUCAAGAUGCUUCGAUCCGAUCGAGGAGGAGAGUACCUAAGUCUUGAAUUCCAUGACUAUCUCAAGGAAUGCGGAAUCGUUUCACAAUUGACGUCACCUAGGACACCGCAGUUAAAUGGUGUGGCUGAGAGGCGUAAUCGAACCUUGUUGGACAUGGUUCAUUCCAUGAUGAUUCGUGCUUCACUACCUAUCUCAUUCUGGGGGUAUGCCUUAGAGACUGCCGCCCAUAUCCUUAACUUAUUCCCUACGAAGAAGGUUGCCAAAACACCUCACGAGAUGUAGACAGGGAAAGCUUCCUCGUUAGCACAUAUCAAGGUUUGGGGGUUGCGAGGCUUUCGUAAGACGAGAGACUCACGACAAGCUCGAACCUCGUAGUGAGUGGUGUAUUUUCACCAGCUACCCACAAAAGACCUUUGGAUAUCUCUUCUAUAGUCCGAGUGAGAACGUUGCCUUCAUUGCGAGGAGAGGGGUUUUCCGUGAGCGAGAACUCAUAAGCCUAGGGGACAGUAGGAGGCAAAUCGAUCUUGAAGAGAUUCAAGAGUUGAGCGAUGAAGGAACCUCCAACACCGGGGCUUACCCGAGGAGGAAACUCCGGUUGAACCGAUUGACGAGUCCUUACCUCUUAGACGUUCCGAAAGAGUUAGGUUUCAACCCCAGUUAUAUGGCUUUCAUAUUACUACAGAAGGGGAUACGUAUAUUAGUGAUAUUAUACUAAUAAAUUUGGAUGAACUUAACAGCUAUAAGGAAGCCAUUGCAGGCCCAGAGUCUGCAAAGUGGAAAGAGGCGACGGACAGUGAGAUUCUGUCCAAGUAUGACAACCAAGUUUGGAAUUUGGUUGACAAUGUACUAGGUCGUAAGAUGGUCUGGUGCAAAAUGAUCUUUAGGAAGAAGGUACUAAAACGUUUUGUGACAACCCGAAAUUUCCAUUUUGUACGAACAUUAGCUAUUCAAUAGAAGCUAGUCCAAUUUCAAUGAAUUUCAGACUUUUCUAAAUAAAUUUGUGUACAUUAGGGUUUACGUUUAAGGAGAUAUCAGGAGAGUGGAUGCUCAUGGGUUUGUGAAACUUGAGCAUUUCAAAACUUCAUAAUGUUAGAGUCCAAUUCCGGAAUAAAAAUAUUUUCUGCCAAAAUAUUUCAGGACUAUAAAUAGAUUUCUGAACUAAAUUCAUUCAUUAUUCACACUUCCAACUAGAGAAAAGCCAUUUUCUCUCUCACAGAUCUUCGGGUUUUCAUCCCAAAUCGUGAGUACACUUCUUUAGUUGUUUUAUAAUGCUUGUUAUAUGCUUAAUAACAUAGAUUACAUGUCAAAUAUGUGAGAUCCGGGAGUUUACCGCCCAAGAACGUUCUUGGGGAGUAAACUCGAAAAUAAAGCUUUAAGGCUAUCUAGUCCCAUUUCCUUGUUAGGUAACUAGCUUAGGAUAAUAUGUAGGAUCAUUUGAGACAAGAAAACAAUCCAGAACACAUAGCUUUAGGAGUUUUCGGCCCAAGAGUUUCUUGGACCGUAAACACCAAAUACAAGGGCUUAAAUGUGCCCUAAUCACUCCCAAAGGCUUUAGACUUUAACCCUAAAUUACUUCUAGCUAAUAUGGGGACAUUAACACAUCAAAAAAACCCCUAAAAGGGAGUUUACGGCCAAGAAAUGCUCUUGGGCCGUAAACACCAAUUAAGGGCACCAAAGUGUGCCUAGGGCCCCCCUUAGCAUAAAUCAAAUGCCUCGAAAGUAUUCUACUUGUGUUUGAGACUUGAAAGAAUUAAAACAUCCAUCCCAUGAGAGUUUACGGCCGUAAACUCUAAGGGAUAUGGCCUUUUGGCCGUAAACUCCUCAAAGGAGUGUUAUCUAUGCCCUAAACUACCCAAAGGAUUAAACCACCAAACUAGGCUUAUUCUAGAAAUCAUUUAGCACUUUAAAACACCCAUUACCACCAAGAUUGGAGUUCACGGCCGUAAACUCAAGGUUUUACGACCGUAAACUCCUUGUGUGGGGUUUAUUGGGUAGUAAACUCUUAUACAAAGUCCUUGGAAGCUUUAAACCCCUUUAGCUUGUCCCAUAACAACUUAGAUGCAACCAUUAGGACCUAUAACACUUAUACAAGGUGUUUACAUGUUCCUAAGUGUCCCAACUUAUUUCAUUAAGUUAUUAUUUGGCUAAUUAGUUAUAUAUAUGCUCAUUAUAUGAUAACUAGGCUCGUGCGUGUGAACAAGUCUCCGUUUGCCACCUAGCACGGUAUCCGACACUACAAUCCAAACCACUCACCACAAGUGAGUUCAUACCCCUUUAAUUAACCUUUGAAAUACUUUUAAAUGUUUUAAAUACUUUAUGGGGGGGAUACAAGUUAAAUGCUUAUAGUUAUUGCAUCAAUCACAUGUGAUUACAUUAAUCAUAUGUGAUUAAUAACUAGAAAACCAAUGAUCUUAUCACUGUUUAAACUGUUUAUCAAACUGUUUUACUUCAAACUGUUUUACAAACUCUUUUACUCAUCAAAUACUUUUAUUUAAACUUUGUUAUACUUCUUAUAAACCGCAUGCCCAUAUAUGUAUAGAUAUAUAAGCAAUGUUUAAAGGGUUUAGGAAGGUCAUCCGCCCUAUUUCCUUUUUCUCGAUUUGGAUGUGGUCUGGUGGGAUUUCGGGUAACCAUCCGAAGGUCGUUUCAAUAUUAAUUAUAUAUCAAAUGUACAUAUAUAGACAUAAAAGUACUCCUUNUAUACUAGGAGAAGAACAUAUACAACUAUACUAGAGGAAGAACAUAUACAACUAUACUAGAGGAAGAACAUAUACAACUAUACUAGAGGAAGAACAUAUACAACUAUACUAGAAAGAGAACAUAUACAACUAUACUAGAGGAAGAACAUAUACAACUAUACUAGAACAGUUCAUUACAUUACACAUACUAGAAUACGUUCAUUAUUGUGAUAUGAAUCGGGGCAUGACUUAAAUGCCAUGGCCCGAGUUGUAGCCAGAGUCUCUUGAAGGGAGAGCGUGAGUUUGCGUAUAGAUCUAUACUGGAUUGACUAUCCUACACCUUGCUGCUAGCUACAGCCGGACCUGCAGGUCUGCGGGUGCCAAACGUCAUUCCGUUAUUACGACCAUUCGUAUGUCGUUGUUACCAGUCGAUAGUAUGGUGCAAUUAGUCACAUGAUACCUUAAUAUAAAUCCGGUUUAAGGUAGUUAGUACAACAAUAGUUCCUAUAAUACAACACUACAGUACUACAAUAAUUUACCCAUUACAUAUAUUUAGUGAUUAUUUCACUUAAACAUUAAUGUACAAACUAUAUUUUGUUAAAUGAUAGUUACACUUGGGAAAUUACACACUUUUACAACAAACGAGCAUACAAAACAGUUAAGCCUUGGUAGAAGGCUACUUUAAUAGAAAAUAUAGGUUUUUCUGAGAGAUUCAAACUUUUACAAACACUUACAUACAUUUUACAAACUUACACUUGAGACACGUUCAAACGUUUUGAUAACAAACAUCGACACUAAAAUACUUAUGAACUCACCAGCUUAAUGCUGAUAAACUCUUUCAAAAUAACUUGUAUUCUCAGGUCAUCAAUAGACAGGUACUUAGGCCAGCUUUUGAGAAGAUGGAGCGCAUUCAAGACUCAUCUUAUUAUUUUGAUUUACAUUAUAUUUUGGUGUCUAAAACUGUACAGAACACGCUUGUAUUAAAAUUAUAUAUUUAAUGCAAUGGAUGAUGCUGUUUGCUUAUUUACAUUUACUGUGUUGUGAUACUUUACAUGACGUCCUCCGCCCCACAACGUUUCCGCCGUUCUUGGUUUUGGGGUGCGACACGUUUUAGUAUGGAGAAUUCAAAGAAGGCAGAGUUACCAAUCCAAAGUAAUGCGAAGUUGAGUACGACUCAAAGUCCGAGUACUGAAGUCGAGAUAGCAGAAAUGAGCUAAGUACCUUACGCUUCCGCAGUUGGCUCGAUCAUGUACGCUAUGACUUGUACUCGCCCUGAUGUGGCCUUCGCUUUGAGCAUGGUCAUUAGAUAUCUAGGGAACCCUAGAAAAGCACAUUGGACCGCAAUCAAGAAUAUUCUUAAGUACCAUCGAAGGACCAAGGAAUGGUUUCUAGUCCUCGGUGGGAGUGAUGACUUAAAGGUGCGAGGGUAUAGUGACGCCAGUUUUCAGACCGACAGGGACAACUACCGUUCGCAGUCGGGCUGGGUCUUUACCCUAAAUGGUGGAGCAGUGACUUGGAAAAGUUCCAAGCAAGAGACCGUAGCUGACUCAACAUGUGAAUCAUAGUACAUUGAAGCAAGCGAAGCGUCAAAUGAGGCAAUAUGGUUGAAGAACUUCAUUGGAGACCUUGGAGUUGUGCCGACCAUACAGGAGCCUAUUGAGAUUUUCUGUGAUAAUGAAGGAGCGGUUGCCUUGACCAAGGAACUGAGGGAUCACGGCAGAUCUCAACAUAUUGACAGAAAAUAUCACUUUAUUCGAUAUCAGAUGGAAAAAGGACUCCUCGUAGUGAAGUGCGUAUCGUCAGAAGAUAACCCAUCAGAUCUGCUUACGAAGGGACUGAGCAGGGUUAAGCACUUGCAGCAUGCUAGGAGCAUCGGGCUGAAGGACGAUAUUAGUUUAGAUUAGAUAGUUUGGAAACGUGUAAUAGAUAAAUUAUAAUUAACAUCUGAUGAUUAAAUAAAAGAGUAUUAUUUAUUAGUAAUGUUACUAUCUUAUGUUAAUUGUUUACCUAUUGUUUCAUUUUGCAUGUUUUGACUUCCUGAAUAAUAAGAAUUAUUUAAAUGGUCUACAGUUGUUCAUAUGUUGGAACUAGGUAUGAAUGAAGACUGUCAUGAAUUGGUGUGUAGAUUGUCUAAAGUGUAUUAGACAUAGCAAAAGUUUGCUACAACAUUCAUGAGUGCUUAUGAAAAGUUUUGAGCAUUGGAAUAAACCCAUGCUUGCUGGAAUCACUUCAUGGAAUUCAUCAUGAGUGAUCGCAAGACGAUAAUAUAUCAUAUGGUCUUAAAACAUAGAUAUAUGGUUUAUUGUUUUCUAAUUGGUUGUGCAUUGAUAAUGCGUAAACACAUCAGUAACUUGAUGUUAUAAAACGCAUUGUUGUGUAUGAUUUGAUUAGUGGAUAGUAAAUGCAUAUAAGUCUAAGUUCAUCUGUUCCUUUUAUCCUAAUAGGUUAAAAGUGAUAUCAGGACCCCUUGAUGAUUUGAUUUGACUUAUGUGUCGGGCCCGGUCAGGACUGAAUUGAUGUGUUCAAUUACGUUCUAUGUCAAAUGAAUCAGAGAUUAAGAAACAAACUGUUGGAUAAUAAGUAUGACUAUGUUCCAUGUAAUUGUCCGCAUGAUAUCUAGAACAAAGGAUUAUACGAUCCCUUAUCUUAAGGACAAGUUACUGAUAAGAUCAAGAGUUUUGAGAACUGUGAUUGCUAAUCGAAUCCAGAAGUUGCAUUUGCAUUUAUAGUUAUUAUCAAGGUUGUAAAAAAUUCUCGACGUUAGCUAGUCGGUGGACUGGGGUUAAGAGAUUAAUCGGGUAGGCGGAGAUUAAUCGGGGGAUUAAUGGAGACCAUUAAUUGAUAAUUUGUUGAAUUUUAAAAAAUUGAAUAUGACUAAUAUCAUAUCAAAGUCCGUAAGUACCACUAAUAUCAUAACAAAAUAGGUUGAUAUGUUUAAUACAACAUUAAUCAUGCUUGAAAUAGUUUCUAUUGAGAUAAAACUUCUUAAAAAUGUUUAAAUUUCAUCGUUUUAUACAGUUUUACUCAUUAUUUAUGCAUGGAUUAAUCGCUAGGUGCCAUCUAGUUGGUUGAGUAAUGCCUAGGGAUUAAUCGGAGAUUAAUCGGGACCUAGUCAUGAUUUUUACAAUAAUGGUUAUUAGACUUAUCCAAGUAGGGGAAUGUUGGAUUAGUGUCCAAGUCCAUAACUAUAUUUGGUAUGUAUUUGACCCAGUUAUGCAUGGUCCUUUUAGGUUGCCUUCACCAAAGCAACUUGAUUGGAGGAAUAAUAUAGAAAGAGGUGAUUAUGGUUUAUUAAUAUAUUAUAAGAUUUAUAUAUUAAAGGAGAAAUCAUGUUUGUUUAAUUAACGUUGGUCAAUAAUUAAUUAAACAUUAGUUUUGUGAUCAAAAGAAGUUAAUUGAACUUAAGGGGCUGAACUGUAAUUAUGUGAUAGUUACAAAGUUAGGCAAGGAAACCUUAAUGGAUAGGGUGGACAAAUUCUGGGGAUAAUGCCUUAAGAAUUCGUCCAUGAUAGGGAUUCUAGAAUUAUCUUAUAGGCUGCUUGGUGGCUAAGUAACCAGAUAAGGAUAAUGACUGAAACCCUAAUUCAUACACCUAUAUAAAGGACCAUUGGGCAUGGGAAUUUCGGCCACUUGAACCCUAGAAGUCCUAGAGCUGAAAUUCUCCUCUCCCCUCUCUCUCUUGCUUCCUCCAAUUGCUAUUGGUGUUUGUGAUUCAUUAGAGGCACAACACUUAAGGUGCUAAAGUUUUCAAGGCUUCAAGAUCUUCAAUCAACAACAAGGUAAACAUCUAGAUCUACUUUGCUAUGUUAAUUUCGAUUAUAUACACUAGAUCUAGGGUUUGAAAGUCUUGGAUGAAUGCAUGUACAAUUAGAGAAACCUAGAUCCAAGCAUUAGGGUUUGCAGGAGCACAUAGGGUGUUCUUUUGGCUCAAACCCAUCACGCCCAAUGUACGUAGGGACCUCCUUUACAAAUAAGUUUCAUUCCAAGGGUUAAAAGGGUAAAUACCUACAUUCCGAAUGUUACAUAUAGAUAGUAAAAUACUUGAUUCUACCCUAAGCCCUUCAUCAAACAAGAAAAUGAAAUAAAGCUAAACAAAAAUUCUCAAGCUAUACAAUCUUAGUUAUGUACAACUACGAUGCAUACACUAAGCAACUACAAUAAUGACGCUAAUUAUAUAUAAGAAGUAAUCCUAGGGUAUCAAGCAUCCUAUAUCAGGAAAUCCUUUCAUGUAAUUCCUGAAGAUCCCUAUCCUACCACUAGCAUGAUGUUAUAUCAUGAAAAACAUAUCAAGUAACCGUGUGGGUAACUUUGGGUAAAUUUUCUUGCUCUGGCUGAUCAUACACAUCGCAUCAUUCCUUGGUUACUUUUGAAAACAAUUUUUGAAAACCAUUAAAAGAAAACUUUACAGCUUCCUAGUUUGAGUUUGGAUUCACACGAAUGUUCAUCCAGUUCUCUCAAACCGAGGCUCUGUUACAAACUUGUAACACUCCAAAUAUCAUAGAAAAUUAAAAAUUUUAAAUUUCAACCAUUAACCAACAUUUUUUACAAAAAGAGUCAUUGCUUCAAAAGUAUUAUUCAAAAUCAUAGUUUUUCCUAAGACCUAAUAACACAAAAUAGGAAGAUGUGCACGAUCACGCCUUCUCCUUCCUACGAUCAUCCGAAGUACCUAAAACAAUAAACUGAAAUUGUAAGCCAAAGCUUAGUGAGUUCCUCCAAAGUACCAUCAUGGAACAUAUAAAAUACAUAGAUUAACAUGUUGGGUCCAUAACCUCCCAGUUGGAUUACCUUGGCUCACAACCUCCCUGUUGGAUUGCCCUGCAUACCACAUACUGGGUCCACUACCUACCGACUGGGUUGACUUAGAUGGUUUGUGGAGUUUGGCCUAUUUUGACCCAAGGAUAUUUUGGAUAAGUUGGUAGUUAUUUAAGUCGACCAAUAUUUUGGGAUAAUAGGUGUCGAGUAGAGCCGGUUGUCAGGGAAGAGAUUUAUUCAGCUUAUGUUCAGACUGAGAGGUGAGUUUUCCUCACUGUACUUACGGGUCGAAGGCACCAAGGCCGACCCAACGAAUUGAUAUCCUGUCUAUACUGAUUGAAGAUAUGUUGAGUAUGCGAUAGAUCUGAAUGAUUAUAUGAUAGUUAUGAUAUACGUUAGACUGGUAGAUCUAUAGGGCUACCUAUGAUUAUUGGUUGUAUAAUCAUCUGUAUGUUGUAUAUAUAUUAUAUGUUAUAUGCCGACAUGUUACAUUGGGGUUGAGACUACUGCUUUGUGUCGUCAGUCAACAGACCAUGUCAAUCCAAUUGGGAUGUUGUGGGCUAGGGUAAUUCAACCAGGAGGUUGUGGACACAAUAUGCUAAUCUGUGUAUUUUAUAUGUUGCAUGAUGGUACUUUGGUGGAACUCACUAAACUUUGUGUUAUAGUUUCAGUUUAUUUUCAGGUACUUCUGAUGAUCGCGGUACGAUGAAGGUGUGGUCAUGCACAUCUUCCUGUUUUGUGUUAUUGGGUCUUGGUGAAAACUCUGAAAGUCAUGACACACUUCAAAUUGAAGUAUUUCGAUGGUACAAUCAAAAUCUCUAUUGGAUAAAAUUUAGUGACAACAACAGAGAAUUAAAAGGUUACGAUUCUUGUGUGUACCAUAUUCAAAUACCCAAAAAGGGAUAUAACUCCUUGUUCGAAAUAAAGCUAAACCAAAAAUUCUCAAGCUAUAGAAUCUUAGUUAUGUACAACUAUGAUGCAUACACUAAGCAACUACAAUAAUGAUGCCAAUUCUAUAUAAGAAGUAAUCUUAGGGUAUCAAGCAUCAUAUAUCAAGAAAUUCUAUCAUGUAAUUCCUGAAGAUCCCUAGCCUACCACUAGCAUAUUGUUCUAUCGUGAAAAACAUAUCAAAUAAUAGUGUGGUUAACUUGGGGUAUACUUUCUUACUCCGGCUGAUCGUACACAUAUCAUCAUUCUUUGGUUACUUUUGAAAACCAUUAAAAAAACUUUUACAGCUCCCUAGUUUGAGUUUGGAUUCACACGAAUGUUCAUCCAAUUCGCUCAAACCAAGGCUCUAAUACCAACUUGUAACACUCCAAAUAUCAUAGAAAAUUAAAAAUUAAAAAUUUCAACCAUUAACCAACAUUGUUUACAAAAAGAGUCAUUGCUUCAAAAGUAUUAUUCAAAAUAAUAGUUUUUCCCAAGACCCAAUAAUACAAAGCAGGAAGAUGUGCACGAUCAUGCCUUCGCCUUCCCGCGAUCAUCAGAAGUACCUGAAACAAUAAACAGAAACUGUAAGCCGAAGCUUAGUGAGUUCCCCCAAAGUACCAUAAUGCAACAUUUAAAAUACAUAGAUUAACAAAAUGGGUCCACAACCUCCCAUUUGGAUUACCUUGGCCCACAACCUCCCCGUUGGAUUGCCUUGCAUACUACAUACUGGGUCCAUAACCUUCCGACUAGGUUGACUUGGCUAGUUUGUGGAGUUUGACCUAUUUUGACCAAAGGAUAUUUUGGAUAAUUUGGUAGUAAUUUAAGUCGGGCAAUAUUUUUGGAUAAUAGUUGUUGAGUAGAGUCGGUUUUCGGGGAAGAGAUUUAUUCAGCUUGUCUUCUUACUCAGAGGUGAGUUUUCCUCACUGUACUUAUAGGCCAAAGGCACCAAGGCCGACCCAAUGGAUUGAUAUCCUGUUAGGUACUGAUUGAUGAUUUGUUGAGUAUGCGAUAGAUCUGUAUGAUUAUAUGAUAGUUAUUGAUAUACGUUAGACAUGUAGAUCUAUAGGGCUACCUGUGAUUAUUGGUUGUAUAAUCAUAUGUCUAUUGUAUGUAUAUUAUAUGUUAUAUGUCAACAUGUUACGUUAGGGUUGAGACUACUACUUUGUGUCGUCAGUCAACAGACCAUGAGAAUCUAACCGGGAGGUUGUGAGCCAGAGUAACCCAGCCGGGAGGUUGUGGGCCCAACAUGCCAAUCUAGGUGUUUUAUAUGUUGCAUGAUGGUACUUUGGAGGAACUCACUAAGCUUUGGCUUACAAUUUCAGUUUAUCGUUUCAGGUACUUGUGAUGAUCGCAGGACGGUGAAGGUGUGAUCAUGCACAUCUUCCUGUUUUGUGUUAUUGAGACUUAGGAAAAACUCUGAUUGUGAAUAAUACUUUUGAAGCAAUGAAUCUUUUUGUAAACAAUGUUGGUUAAUGGUUGGAAUUUUUUUUUUUUUUUAAAUUUUUAUGAUUUUUGGAGUGUUACAUUGGUUUUGUCUUAUAACUGAUCCAAACCCCCACACACCCUUGUUAAUCAUCAAAGAAGAAUCCAAUUAGAACUAAUUCUAUUCAACAAUAACAACCAUAGGGUGUUAGAAAUCCAUUACCUCAAAUGUAGGGAUCUUUUGAUGUCUAAGAACAUUAAUCAAGAUAAAUUAAUAAGGAUAUUCAAUUAAACCAAAGGUCUUUUGGCCUAGCACUAUCAUAUGUUGGAAAAAUGACCCUUCCUAAUGUUAGAAAAACGGGUUAUUUCGAUUGCUUGGAUUCCACUGAAAGUCAUGAUACACUUUCAAAUUGAAGUAUUUCGGUGGUACAAUCAAAAUCUCAAUUGGAUAAAAUUUAGUGACAACAAUAGAGAAUGAAAAGGUUAUGAUUCUUGUGUGUACCAGAUUCAAAUGACCAAAAAGGGAUAUGACUCCUUGUCCGAAAACUGUCAUAUUAACAGUUACAAACUGCCACAAAGCUGUCACUAAACUUGUAACACCCCAAGUUCAGAAGUGCAAGUUCAGGGUUCUUGGUGUAAUUAAGGAAGAUCGACUCGGCGAGUCGAGUCGUGAUUUGGCCAUGUGCUAAGUGACUGACUCGGCGAGUAGGCAGCUAGACUCGACGAGUCAGUGCUGGAGUGAGAAACCCUAAUUCAUGGGGUUUGCACCCUAUAUAAGGAACCUUAAGUCCCACCCCAGCCUCUUUAGGACUCCCUCUGAUGUCCAGAAACUUUCCACAUCGAUUUCAAACCCUAAAUUGAGAGUGAGAGGGAUUUAAGUGUGUUUUGGAGCUUGAAGAAGAAGGAUACUUGAAGCAAGAGUUGGUGGGAUCAUAGAGGAGCGAAGUGGAUCUGAUUUCCUUGCUUCUUGGCAUCAGCAUCAAGGUAAAAAGUUGUUGCCUUGACUUUGUUGUGUUUAGAUGGUUCAUGAAUGAAGUUUUAGGGCCAAUUUAUCAUAUAUGAGCCUCUUUUCGAGUAUUGGGUUUAGAUCUGUGGUUGCUACUACAGAUCUAGACUGGUCCUGACUCAUGAAUCUGGAAAGUGAUAGCUUUGGGGCUUGAUUGAGAGUGUCCUUGCCUUAAAACUUCACUUUAGCUUGAGUAGAGCUUGUUGAGCCUUGCAUGCACGUAAAGUUGGAAACUUUACAUGUAGAUCUUGCCCUAGGAGUCCAGAUCUAUGUAUUGAAAGCAAUAGUUUGGCCUGUGAUCAUCUGAAUGAAGGUAUUACGUAUGGACUCGGCGAGUCUGGGAGAUGACUUGACGAGUCGGACAAAAGAUUUGGAAUGAAUCGCGUAGUAACUCGGCGAGUCACAUGGGUGUACUCGACGAGUUGGAUGAAGAUAGGCAAGAACUCGACGAGUUGGAAGAACAACUCGACGAGUCUAUUGAAGAUUGCCUUGGGCUCAACGAGUCUGUUCUUGGACUCGGCGAGUCUGGUCGAGGAGUCCUAACCUUUUCUGGUUAAGUCGUGAAUCGGUGAGUCGAAGGAUGACUCGGUGAGUUGAGCAUGAAGGGACUCAGAGUUUGUUGGACUCGGCGAGUCUUGGGGCAACUCGACGAGUUGAGUCGUAAUAUGAGAGUUUUGAGUAUGGGAACUCGAAGAGUCAACGAGUUGACUCGGCGAGUAGGGUCAACCAGGAAGGUUGACCUUGACUGAGGACUUGGACUUUAACCAAGGGUUGACCAGUUGACUUCCGGGGGUAUUUUGGUAAUUAUUGGUAUUUAUUGAUUUGGUUUUUGGUAAUGAUCAGUGGCGGAGUUCGUGCUGGUGGUUGGAGCAGCGUGAUCUUAUUCUUCAGUCGGCAGUGACAGUUGAGUUAUCCUCACUAUACUGACAGGGUCUACGGCACCAAGGCCGACCCUCCAUCGGAUGGAAAUCCGGGUAUUGUUGUUAUGUUAUUGCUAUAUGGAGAUCCUUGUUGAUGGAAAGGCGGCCGACGAACGCUCGGUGGACUCUAUAUCCUCAAGGAAUCAAUUUGGAACCCGGAAAAUCAUAUUUAUUUAGGAAUGUAGCAUAUGGUUUUAGAGGUUGUCCUAAAUGGGAGGAUGUGGAUACGGUUAGUUAAGUUUAAUAAUUAUUAUUUUAUAUAUAUAAUAUUACUGAAAUUACUAGUAUUUAAUUUAUAUUUUUUUUGCAGGUUAUAUCUGUAAUAAAUGUUGUGCAUACCCAUUGGUUUUUGGUGGUUCUACAUUUAGAUACCUGGAAAGUAGAAAUUUUUGAUUCAGCACAAGUUGCGGGUUACUUCUCAACAUACAACACUAAUGGAGAAUUCAAAAGUUUUGGAGAUAGUAUUAUCUCAGAGUUGGAUGCCAUUGAUUACUGGAGCCAUUUCCCCCAUUGGACACAGAGACAAGCAAAGGUCGAGUUUUUUGAUGUUUNGACACAGAGACAAAGCAAAGGUCGAGUUUGUUGAUGUUGUAGACGCCCCACAACAAGAAUAUAGUCUUGAAAGAGGGGAUUGUGGAGUAUUUGUAUGCAUGUUUAUGGAAAUGAUUGUUUCUGGGGGUACCAGUGGCGAUUUCAAGGACAUGUAGAGAAGCUGCAUUUCUCUAUAGAAAUAAGAUGGCAAAUGUUAUUUGGGAUACUAUAUAAGUUGAUAUUAGGAACUUUGUAUAUAUAUUAAUAUUAAAUACUUGUUUCUAGUAUGUAAUCGUGUCACUUCUGGUAGUAUGUAAUCUUGUAAUUAUCUUUUAUAUUUUUUAAACAUAAUUCACCAAAAAAUGUUACGAAACCAUACAUUCAAACAAAAUAAACAUUACAAAUAACAUGAAUACAUUACAAUAGAGUCGUCUACAUAAAAAUAAGGUUUCUUACGACUAACAAACAUUAGAUAAAACAUUGGAAAUAAAAUACUCAUCUACUUGAAAAAAACUUUAUCUUUUACCAGAUUCCAAACGUCCGUAUACUCGAAAUCAUGUCCAUCAAACUUGCAUAGGUAAUAUCCAUUCACAUCUUCAAGAAGUUCUUCAUUAUCUGCUUGAGAGCGUCGCAUUUUCUCAGGAUUGUAGCAUCGAUUGAACCAUGUGACCUUAAACUUUAAAUCCAUCCAUUUACUAACAAUAGCAGGUUUUAGUCGUUCGUGUCCUUGCCCGACUUGAUAGUUGAACAAAGCUAUGAGGCGGGACCAUUCAUCACCUACAAGGCAAUUCAGGGGAGCCAUCACUGGUAGACCCUCGUAAAUGGUAAUCCAACUUUGUAUUAGGACCAACAACUCUGUUGGCGUCCAUGGAGAUGUACAAUUUGUUGGAGAGGCUGCAUUAGAUGGAUUUGUUGCAUUCGAAGAACUUGGUACAUUGGACGCCAUUUCUUAAUUGAUCUACUAUCAACUAAAGAAUUGAAUUUCGUAUAGACACUACGUUUAAUAUAUGUACAAACAUAUGUUAUACAAAGAUAUGUCAGUAACGCGGACUGACGAGCCAGUAACGCGGACUUACGAGCCAGUAACGUGGACUGACAACGAUUAAUAUAUAUAAAUAGUUUCUUAAUGCGGACUGACGAGUCAGUAACGCGGACUUACGAGUCAGUAACGCGGACUGACAACGAUUAACAUAUAUAAAAAGUUUCUUAACGCGGACUAACGAGUCAGUAACGCGGUCUUACGAGUCAGUAACACGGACUGAAAACGAUUAAUAUAUAUCAAAAGUUUCUUAACGCGGACUGAUGAGUCAGUAACACGGACUAACAAUUACUAGACAAAACAGUUUUGCGGACUGACAAGACAGAAACACGGAUUGACAAGUCAGUAACGCGGAGUGAUCAUUGGCUUUGCGGACUCACAAGUCAGUAACGCGGACUGACAACGAAGUAACACGGACUAACAACCCCGUAACGCGGAUUGAGAACGCAGUAACGCGGACUAACAAGUCUAUAUAAAACGACAAACAACAAUGUAUCACUUCAUCUAAGGUAUUUUAGUUCAUGUGCUUUGUAUGUUUUACAANUUCAUGUGCUUGUAUGUUUUACAAUGGGUUCAAACCAAUGGACCGCUAACGAGUAUUUCCUUCUAGCUCGUGCAUAUAUUAAUGUCAAAGAGAACACCAGUUUGGAGGAUAUAAUGUUUUUCUCCCAACUAACGAAUACCUUCAACACUGACGCUGAAACCACCAUACAAAACCAUCGCAACACGCUUGAUAUAGCUACAAAAUGGUAUGAAUUGAAAACGGAAGUUGUGUUAUUAAACGAUCUUUAUAAUAAGAUUGAAGAUGAUCAUGUCAAUGAUACUGAGGAAGAGAUCUUGGAGGUGUCUAAAGAAGAAUACAAAUCCAUUAGCAACGGACAGAGUUUCGAGUUUGAAGCCCCUUGGAAUCUUUUGAAAAAUGUACCGUUUUUUUAAGUAGAACUGCAUUUUGUAUUGUUCUUGUAUUUCUUUAUUUAAAUGUAAUAUGGUAUUUAUCCUUUAUUUUAAAAAAAAAUAUUUGACCAACAAAUGUUACAAAACCAUACAUUCAAAAAACAUUAUCUGACAAACAGCUUACGCGGACUGACAAAUAAGCUACGCGUAAUGACAACACAUUUACGCGGACUGACAAGUAAGUUCUGCGGAAUAAUGUAUACUAAUUCCUUAUAAAUUUUGACAACCAUGACGAAAAUUUACAAGGUGUCGAAAGUUGUGAAAAUGAGUUCAGUCAAUCAGGUAUUAAGGAAAAGUUUCUCCAGCCUACCGACUUUUUUCCAUAAGCUGCAAAGAAGCAAUCCUACCACCUUCACGUACAUUACGAAGGAUCGGUACAAUCGUUUCCAAAUUUGUUUCGUGGCAUUGGGAUGCGUGGUAUGUAAUCCCUUAUAGUAAAUAAAUAUUUAGUUAUUUCAAGUUGGUAUAUGCCUAAUAUUCUUAUGUUGACUUACAGAUUCGUACAUUUCUCACGUCUAUGAUAUCAAUCAUAUUCGUUGGUCAAGUACCUCUAAUUGGGGCAUAUGUAACAUCCAUGUACAUUGCUUUUGCUUUAGAUGGAAAUCAUGAACCCCUUCUCAUAGUGUUUGCCUUGGGAACCAUAAAUUGUGACAAUUCAUGGUUAUGGUUCAUAAGGAGGCUUAAAGACUGUUUAGGUGACAAUACAUAAUUUGGUUUCAUAAGCCAUAUGUCUGAUUCUAUGGACUUUGCAGUCCACAGAGUCUACCCUGAUUCAUAUCAUGGCUAUUGUUGUAAAAAUAUAGCCAAGAAAAUACGCGCUUCCAUCGGAACCAAUACAGUCGUAGAACAGUGGUUCUGUAAGACGUGUAAAGCAUAUAAUUUAUCUCAAUUUUAUGCAUGUUUGAACAAUUUAAAAAAUGAGGUAAAUGGGAAUGAUCUUCAUUGGCUUGACAAUAUUCCCAUUGCAAAAUGGGUACGGGCUUGUUUUCCAAGAGUAAGUUUCAAUGUUAAAUUCAUUGACAUUCCCGAUGUUUUCAAUUGGUUUAAAACAAACACGCAUGAGUUUCCAAUAACAACAAUCAUUGAAAUGGUUCAUGACUCGAUGUAAGAAGUUUAUCUUCGACGUGCUGUUUUUGGAGGUAAUUAUAAGUUAUGACAUCAUUAAAACGGUGAAUUGAUAUGUUUAUUAUACGUUAUGACCUUAUAAUUUUUUUUAUUGAUUCAGUUGAUUUCACAGGGGAUAUCCAUAAUCUUCUAACCCCUUAUGCACUUAAGGUGAUUCAUAAAAGAUUUAUCCACUCGGAUGGUUGUAGGAUUACGCAUAUUGUUGGCGAUAGAUAUGAAGUGACUAAGUAUUCAACAACCGAAUAUGUACAACUAGACCGUGGUAUUUGUAGUUGCGGUAAAUGGCAAAAAUGCGGUAUACCUUGUGAGCAUGCUAUAGCUUCACUACACAGACUCGAAAUUGCAGAAAUCCAUCAAAUGGUAAAUUUAAAGUUAAGUACAGCGGUGUAUCGAAAUGCUUAUCAAACUGAGACGGUCUAUCCUAUUCCAACCCUUAGGCAUUGGGAAAAACCAGUCGAAAGUGUUGUGGUCUUACCUCCACGCCAAUUCAAUUGAACUUUAUUGUAUGGAUCACAACGAAUAUUAGUUUUUAUUCAGUUCUAUGUUAACCGUACUUGUAAUGGUUUGUUGGCAUUCUUUACUUUUUAAUAAAAAAAAUGUUUACCUUUAAAUAAAUAAUUGUAUUUUCAUAAUUGUAAUAUGUAUGCAUGACAACGACUAGACAAAAAAACUAUGCGAACUGACAAACGCAGUAACGCGGACUGACAAAAACCUCUACGGACUAACAACAGCUCUCUGCAGAGUGGAAGGGACUAUAUAUAGUCAUGGAUGGUCGUCGGAUUUUUCGUAUAGAGUUAUAAUUUUUUAAAUUUAAAAUGACUUCAUCUUCAUCUUUGUAUAUUUGCUCGUGCAACGAAGUUGAUUGUUUCUAUUGUGAUCCGAUCGACCCUUUUCUUGCACCAUCACCAAAUUUAAGAGAGUCAUAUAUGUCGGAGGAUACUUUGCAACAACUACAAUGGGCUGAAGAACAACAAAAAAAAAGAUAAAGACUCGUCUCGGGCUCUCACUGAACGACGUGACCUCAUUGCGGCGGAGUGCAAAGAUGUUGAGGAAAGGAUGACGAUUACAAAAAAAAAUCAAAAAUCAUGGGGAAUGGAAAAAAAAACNCUAAGAAGAAUCUCAAACUGUCUGAAAAAUGGCUUGCUGACAAGGAUGCAGAAAUGAUAGAACUUGGUAGGCAAAAGGACCGUAUGGAAGAUAAAAUAAGAAUAAGGGACGACUACAUAACAAUGGAGAAAGAAAAGUAUCCUUUGCAAUUCCCUUAAGUUAAUUACCGUUGUUGUACGUUUACUAUAUGUUUCUAGUUUGUUGAAUGUAUUAACUUCGAGUAUUAGUUAUUAUUCUACUAGUAAUUAUGCAGUAAUAUAAUCAUAAUAUUACCCAUCAUCUUUAAAAUAAACACACCAGCUCAAAGUAGACAAAUUAAUGUCCUCUAAAACAAAACAUAAUUAAUUAUAAAUACAACAUCAAUCAUUCAAAUCAAACGUUGAACAAUAGUCUUCUCUCUACGUCCCACUCGUCCAACGCGUGUCUUGUGUCCCGUGCGUCUCUAGCGUCUCCUGAGUCCCUUCUGUCCCUUUCCCUUUUCCUUUUGUGUUACUACUUGAUGUCGUAUUAGUUUUUCUAGCCUUUUUUUGUUUCUUUGGGACCAAUGUCGGACAAGUCGCUGCAUUAUGUGUUGUACUAUCACAUCUACUACACCUUCUUAUUAUAGGUUCCUCACCUUGUGACGGAAUACGAUUUCUGUUUCUCGGUCUACCAGCUUGACGUGUAUCCAUUAUCGGGGGUUUCACAACCAUCAUGUUAGCAGGAAUCUCCCAAUCACACGGUUCUGGAAGGGGGUAAACCGGCUCCUCAUACGUACUUCGGUAUGUUUCCAUUUUGUAAGCAUCUAUAGCCAGAUGUCCGAAGUUAGUUUUUUUCAAGUGCUUCAAGACCAUUAUCACAUGACCACAAGGCAACCCAGUUCCUUCCCAAUAUUUGCAUGUACAAGUCUCUUGCCUCAGAUCAACUAUGCCACCAUGUUUGAAAUCAUGAACUUCAUAAAGUGCAUCUGAAACACCAGAAAUGGACCAUCCUGUCGUACGCUCUUCAUUUUUACUAACUACUUUUUCAGCCCACUCGGUUAGCACUGUUGAACGUUUCCCUAUAAAGAAGAUAUAUAUAAUUAACUAAUUAUUCGACCUAAUUAAAGACAAAAUAAAAUUCAUACCUCCUUCGAUGCGACGCUUGUAACACCAUUCCUGUGAAAGACGUCGGAAGAACUCAAGAAGGGGUAUUAUAGGCAUCUUCCUUGCAUCUACAGAUAAAGCAUUCAUGAACUCUGCACUGUUCGAGGUCAUGUAAUCGUAACGUUUCGAUGGCGAAUAUGCUCUAGUCCAUUUAACACAGGGAAUUUCACUUAGAUACGCUGCUACUUGCGGCCUAGUAGAACUAAAUAUAUACCACAAUUCUUCAAAAACAUUUCUUUUGUAAGCUUUCACAAGCCUCCAAAACAACCCUUUUGUUUUAUCAUUUUUCCCAAACUUGUGUACUAUGUUUCCUAGUGUGACAUCCCCAAAAUCUUGGCCAGAAAAGACCGAUUUCAUUGAUGCUUUUUAAAAUAAUUUCAGAGUAAAUCCUUUUGAUUUUAAAAGAGAUGCGGAAUUUGUUCCCAAAAACAAAACAUGAUAAAAUAGAUCUUUUAUCAAAACAUUUCAUAAAGAAAUAUAAUUUCAUUUCAUAAUCAAAACCGGGAUGUCAUGUUCCGAUACAGACCAUAAAGCAUAAACGAUAACAUUACAAGUCAUUCAACAAAUAUUAUACAUAUGCAGACUUGUAAACAAAACAACUUGAUGAUUCAUCCAUCUUAUGCCCUUACGCCACUUCCUGUAAUACAAGUAAACUGAGUGGGUCAGGCUUGGGAGCCUGGUGAGCAUAUAGGGUUUUCAACCCACAAUAAAUAAUUAUAUUUAAUUCAACAAUCAACAAUAACCCGAUUACCCAUUCCCGUUUUCCUUACUUUACGUCCCUAAAACAACAUCUAUUAUAAGGGACCUAAUCUAGGAGUUUCAUCGGGACAAACAUUACUGCAAAGGGGCUUCCUUAGCAAUAAAUAUCCUAAAGGCAACCAUGAGGGGGAUAUAGUUCACCGGUGAACACGUCGUUCACAAGACCUACAGGUUAUGAGCCUACUAGUGUUCCACAGGACUGUCUAGAAUAGUCCGUGGUCGUCAUCCAUACUCUGCUGAAUGACUAGAAUAACACCAACAACAUCGAGGCCUCUCAUCUGUUUAUUACACACCAACUAUCUACCCAUGUUCUACCCAACAUAUUAGUAGAUAAAAAUAUACAUUUGUAUACAUAGUUUAAAACCUGUAUAGCAUGCUCAAUCAAUACAUUUUUCCACAUAACAGAUGAGGUACACACACAUAACACGUAUUUCAUAGAGAAUAAAUCAGAUCUAUGAGAUAGAAGAAAGUGAAUAUACAUCCACACAUAUAGUCAACAAAGUAUACACGUAACACGUAUUUCGUAUAAAAUACUUCAUAAUAAUGUGUUAGAAGAAAAUGACUACACACUCACUUGAUCAGAAGAUGAUCGGGCAACACUACGACUUGUAGAAGUAGUGUUUCUCCGUAGAUCUGGAAGAUCUUCACAUAAACCGGGCUCCUCGCGGGCAGGUCUUCGGCUCUGAAAUCUCACUUCUCGGGAUUCUCGGGACUUCGGAUCUUGCUUCGGGGCUCGCGAAUAAUAUUGGGGCUUCGGGGUAUGAUUGGCAAGCAAAUCGAGGCAAAAACUAGAGAGAAGAAAGAGUUUGAACUAGAGAAAAUGGUUGAUCUCGCAUUCUAUUUAUAGGCUGCUGGGUCUAGGAUUAUGCCGGGCGUAAUUUCCAGGUACGCUGGGCGUACUAAGUACACUGGGCGUAAUUAGGUUACGUUGGGCGUACUUUGACGUCACUGCAUGCGUCAAUUGGUGGCACUCGAGUAUUGGUCAGACAAGUUGCACCCCUCUGAGUACGCUGGGCGUACUCAAAUUACGCUGGGCGUAAUUUGACUCGUCAAACUUCUAAAUUGCGUAACUUUGGCAUACGAGCUCCGUUUUCGACGUUCUUUAUAUCAACGCGUAGGUUAGACCAUACUCUACAACUUUCAUUUAGACUCAAUUUUUACUUUUAUUUUUAUUAUUUAUUUUUAGUAGGCCGGGACAGGAAAACUUCGUUAUAAAUUCAUAACUUCUUCGUUCGACGUCCGUUCUCGCCUAACUUUUCAUCGUUUCACUACUAACAACGAGAUAUUCGAUUCUCGUUUAGAUUGUUCUGGCUAAAAACCGCUCGAUCUCAAAUCGAGUAUUCGGGCUGCAUACUGCCAAGUCGAAACUUCAGANGAAAAUCAUAUUCCUCAUACGAAGUCAGAUUUGGGCGUUCUAUAUAUAUUUAGAAACCUAGUUUCAACUACUACAACAUUAUCCAAAGAUAUCGAGUUUAUUUUACACUUCAUUUUGACGCUAAUUUUUAUUCUUAAUUCAAUUAAAUUAUAAUAAUUAAGAAAACACACACAUAAUUCACAUAAUUCACAAAUAAUACAUUUUUAUUAUUUCAGAUUGGGUUACAAAGGUUAACCUAGACUAUUACAUUGCUAAAAAUGGCAAGCCCAUAAUCACGGGCGUUACAAUUUUCUCCACCUUAGAAUGAUUCCGUCCCUGGAAUCACACAUCAACAAAUAAAUGCGGAUAGCGACCCAUCAUGUCACUCUCCGUCUCCCAGGUGAGAUACGACCCAUUCGUGUGUUUCCAACGGACAAGCACUAACUCAACCAUCUUACGUCGCAAUUUCUUAGUCUUCCGGUCAACGAUUGCUUCUGGUUCUUCAAUCAAUCUUUUGUUUUCAUCAAUUAUUAACUCUGAAAGUGGAAUCAUGUCGGGAACUUCUCCCGUGAACUUCCUCAAGUAACACAUAUGAAAAGUGUUAUGAAUUCCAUUCAGUUCUUCGAGUAGUUCGAGCUUGUAAGCUUGGUUCCUAAUUCUCUGAAGAACUUUAAACGGUCCAAUAAACCUUGGACUUAACUUUCCCCUUUUACCACAUCUUAUAAGUCCCUUCCACGGCGAGACUUUAAGCAAAACCGAAUCUCCAACUUCAAAAGUCAUCGGUCUUCGCUUUUUGUCAGCAUAGCUCUUUUGACGGUCGUGAGCUGCUAACAUUCUUUCCCUAAUUAUUUUCAACUUUUCAGCCGUUUGAUGGACUAUCUCUGGUCCCAUAAACUGCUUUUCCCCAGCCUCAAGCCAACAAGACUGCGUACGACACUUCUGUCCGUACAAAGCUUGAUAAGGUGCCAUCUUAAUGCUCGAGUGGAAACUAUUAUUAUAGGAAAAUUCUACCAAUGGUAAAUGUUCAUCCCAAUUACCUAGGAAUUCCAAGGUACAUGCUCUCAGCAUAUCUUCAAGUGUUUGUAUCGUUCUUUCACUCUGACCAUCAGUCUGCGGAUGGUAAGCUGUGCUUAAACACAACUUGGUACCCAAUUCCUCUUGUAGACUUUUCCAAAACCGUGAGGUGAAACGACUAUCACGAUCCGACACAAUUGUUAACGGAACACCGUGAAGCCUCACAAUUUCCUUCACGUAAGAAUUCGCAAGCUUUUCCAUAGACCAUUUCUCAUUGGCUGCUAUGAAAUGCGCACUCUUAGUGAAUCGAUCAACGACCACCCAAAUCAUGUCGUGACCAUUCUUUGUUCUGGGCAGUUUAGUGACAAAAUCCAUAGCAAUGUCUUCCCACUUACCCAUAGGCACAGGCAAUGGUUCUAAACUCCCGUACGGUUUCUGAUGUUGUGUCUUGACUCUCGCACAAGUCACACACUCGGCCACAUACUUUGCAACAUCAAGCUUCAUCGUCGGCCACCAGUAGUAGGGUUUCAGGUCCCUAUACAUUUUAGUGCUACCCGGAUGAAUCGAGUACAUGGUCUUGUGAGCUUCUUCCAUCAGAAGAUCUCUGACUCCUCCUGUCUUAGGUAUCCAAAUCCGAUCUUGGAACACCUUCAGUCCAUGACUGUUUACACCGAACACCAACGUUUUGCCCAAACGUUCCUCCUUUCUGUCAUUCUUCUCAGAAGCUUCGCUCUGAGCUUUCUUUAUACUUUCCAAAAUAGUUGAGACAACUUCAAUUCUCAACGCUCUUGGCCUUUUCCUUUCGGGAUUGACUUUCCGACUGAGAGCAUCAGCAACAACAUUAGCUUUACCGGGGUGGUAAAGUAUCUCGCAGUCAUAGUCUUUAAGUAAUUCUAGCCAGCGUCGUUGCCUCAUAUUCAAUUCUUUCUGAUUAAAGAGGUAUUGGAGACUCUUAUGAUCAGUGAAAAGUUUGCACUUCGUGCCAUAGAGGUAAUGCCUCCAUAUUUUCAGAGCGAAAACUACCGCUGCCAACUCCAAAUCAUGAGUCGGGUAAUUCUUUUCAUGCUCUUUCAGCUGUCGAGACGCAUAUGCUAUCACCUUUUCUCUUUGGGUCAAAACACAACCCAAUCCAACACCAGACGCAUCGCUAUAAACAGCGAAGUCUUCAACUCCAUCGGGUAGAGAAAGUAUCGGUGCCUCGCAUAGCUUCUUCUUUAACUUCUCGAAUGCUUCUUUAUGCUUCUCACUCCAAGCAUAAGUAGCUCCUUUGUGGGUCAAAGCUGUCAAUGGAGUAGCAAUCGAAGAAAAGCCUUGGAUAAACCUUCAAUAAUAUCCGGCUAAUCCCAAAAAGCUUCGAAUCUCCGUGGGACUUUUCGGUUGUUCCCACUUCAUCACAGCUUCGAUCUUCGCUGGAUCAACCAUUAUCCCUUCUUGGUUGACCACGUGACCCAAGAAUUGUACUUCUCGAAUCCAAAAAUCACAUCUGGAGAACUUUGCAUACAACUUAUCCUUCUUUAAAACUUCUAACACUUCUCGCAAGUGUCUGCCAUGCUCCUCCUGGCUUUUCGAGUAAAUCAGAAUGUCGUCUAUGAACACUAUNGAACGGAUUACAAACCCUGUUCAUUAAAUCCAUGAAUGCUGCUGGAGCAUUGGUUAGUCCAAACGACAUAACCAAAAACUCGUAGUGCCCAUAUCAUGUUCUGAAUGCAGUCUUCUCUAUAUCCUGCUCUCUUACUUUUAGCUGAUGAUAUCCUGACCUCAGGUCGAUUUUUGAAAAAUAACUUGAACCUUGUAGUUGAUCGAACAGGUCAUCAAUCCUCGGCAACGAAUAUCUAUUCUUUAUUGUUGCCUUGUUCAGUUCUCUGUAAUCGAUGCACAUCCUCAUACUUCCAUAUUUCUUUUGACGAAUAACAUCGGAGCUCCCCAGGCCGAUGAACUAGGUCUUAUGAAACCUUUGUCCAAUAACUCCUGAAGUUGCAUCAUCCGCUCCUUCAUCUCCAUCGGUGCUAGUCGGUAAGGUGCUUUUGCUAUAGGCGUCGUUCCCGGCAACAAGUCGAUACGAAAUUCUACUUGUCGAUCAGAAGGUAAUCCAGGAAGAUCUUCGGGAAAUACUUCCGGAUAAUCACAUACGACAGGAAUAUUCUGCAUCACCUUUUUUUCCUUCUUAGCAUCGAUCACGAAUGCUAAAUAUGAUGUACACCCCUUGGUCAAACAUUUUCUGGCUUUCAUUAGAGAAAUGAUUCCAGAAUUUACUCUGCGUUUAUCUCCAUACACCAUAAACGAUUCCUUCCCAGGCGGGUUCACUUUCACUAUUUUCUUCUUGCAUAAAAUUUCGGCAUCAUUGGCGCUAAGCCAAUCCAUUCCCAAAAUGAUGUCGAAACUGUUAAGUUCGAUAUAAAGGAGUAGUUUUCUACCAAAUUCAUGCGAUAUAAAGGAGUAGUUGGCUCCAGAAUCAAAUAAAAUUUGGGCAGACGAUUUGUUUACGAGAAAGGUACCUGAACGACAUCAGCUUCAUCUUUAGCAGCUUCCAGUGUCAUCUGGAAUGCUCUCGCCUUCGGCUUUGGCGAAAUGUUGGGUUUUGUUGCCUCCUUCUUCUUCGGACAAUCUCUUGAUAUGUGCCCUUCCUCACCACAACCAUAACAAACAUUCUUGGUGAGGGUGCAGUCGUUGGCAUAAUGCCCUGGCUUUCCACAUUUCAAGCAUGUGGCUUCCCCGCCGCACUUCCCAUGAUGCUUCUUCUUGCAUUUGUCGCACCAUUUCGCUUCGCCUCCUCCACCCCCUCUCGAACUAGACUUCGAGAAUUUACCCUUUUUGCUGGACCCUGAAGAUCCCUCGAACUUCCUCUUUUCACCAACCUCUGACCUUUCCAGACCUUUUUCCCUGAUCUGGGUCUCAACAUUUCUAGCAGCCCAGAUGGCGGCUUUCAAUGUGGUUGCUUGCUUAACCAUUAGACCAUAGUCCGCUGGUAGUCCAAGGGCAAACUUGUUGACCUUAGAGAGUUCUGUAGGCACCAAAUAUGGGAUAAACUUCAUCUUUUCUGUGAAACUUGCAGCGUAUUCAGUAACGCUCAAUUUCCCUUUCUUCAAAUUCUGAAACUCAUUACUGAUUUCCAGAAGGUCCUGCUCGGAGCAGUAUUGCAGUUUUAGUUGUUCCACAAAGUCUUCCCAAGACAUUUUGCUUGCUUCUCCCUUGGGCAUAGAGUCAGCUAACAGCUUCCACCAACUCAACACGCCAGAUUUUAGCAGAGGGAUCGCAAGAGCGGUCUUCUGCCUGUUGCUGCAUUCGCAACUUUCAAACAUAGUCUCCAUUUCGGAGAUCCAGUCCAUAACUUGCACCGGCGUCGGGCUUCCGGAUAGACAUGGUGGUUUGGAUGCCAUGAAAUCCUUAUACUUGCACCCACGACCAUCAUUUCCUCCAUACUGGUUAUUGCGUCUAACCACUGGUUGUUCGUCUUGACCAAUGAUCCCACUAAAGUUUUCUCCUUCAGACUGCCCUCCAUUCUCCUCGGGCUCUUCCGCUUGAAUUGACGGUUCUUCACGAUUCUGCCUAAGCAGGCGUCUUGUUUCUUCCAUCUGACGAUCCAACAUCAUUUGAAUCAUCAUUUGUACACCAGCCAUUGUUAUCGGCUCAGGUGCAUCAGCUACGACAGGUACUUGUUGAAUUACAGGCGGUUGAUUCCUGUUUUCAUCAGCAUUUCCAACUCCGCUUCUUGUUCUCACCAUUUUUGAUCUACACACCGAAUAAUUUCACCUUAUUACUCCAAACGAUUACAUGCUAGUUCUAAUAUCGUAUACAUACGCUUAGAAUCCUAAACACAUAAACCUUCAGAUCCGGUUGGCAACAAACCGUAGAUCCGAACAAAUAAUAUCAUAUAUGGCAACAUAUAACAUUUAGCACAUAAAAGCAUUUUAGGCAACUUUCCUAAAAUAAACUAGUGCUCGUGUCUAAAAUUUAUCAGACACACAUCUCACAAUCUCCACUUAGCAUACUAAGUUUAAGUCUAGAAAUCCUACAAAUUCCUAGUUCGCUUAAACUAAUGCUCUGAUACCAACUGUGACAUCCCCAAAAUCUCGGCCAGAAAAGACCGAUUUCAUUUAUGCUUUUUAAAACAAUUUCAGAGUAAAUCCUUUUGAUUUUAAAAGAGAUGCGGAAUUUGUUCCCAAAAACAAAACAUGAUAAAAUAGAUCUUUUAUCAAAACAUUUCAUAAAGAAAUAUAAUUUCAUUUCAUAAUCAAAAAUCGGGAUGUCAUGUUCCGAUACAGACCAUAAAGCAUAAACGAUAACAUUACAAGUCAUUCAACAAAUAUAUACAUAUACAGACUUGUAAACAAAACAACUUGAUGAUUCAUCCAUCUUAUGCCCUUGCGCCACUUCCUGUAAUACAAAUAAACUGAGUGGGUCAGGCUUGGGAGCCUGGUGAGCAUAUAGGGUUUUCAACCCACAAUAAAUAAUUAUAUUUAAUUCAACAAUCAACAAUAACCCGAUUACCCAUUCCCGUUUUCCUCACUUUACGUCCCUAAAACAACAUCUAUUAUAAGGGACCUAAUCUAGGAUUUUCAUCAGGACGGACAUUACUGCAAAGGGGCUUCCUUAGCAAUAAAUAUCCUAAAGGCAACCAUGAGGGGGAUAGAGUACACCGGUGAACACGUCGUUCACAACACCUACAGGUUAUGAGCCUGCUAGUGUUCCAUAGGACUGUCUAAAAUAGUCCGUGGUCGUCAUCCAUACUCUGUUGAAUGACUAGAAUAACACCAACAUCAAGGCCUCUCAUCUGUUUAUUACACACCAAUUAUCUACCCAUGUUCUACCCAACAUAUUAGUAGAUAAAAAUAUACAUUUUUAUACAAAGUUUAAAACCUGUAUAGCAUGCUCGAUCAAUACAUUUUUCCACAUAACAGAUGAGGUACACACACAUAACACGUAUUUCAUAGAGAAUAAAUCAGAUCUAUGAGAUAGAAGAAAGUGAAUAUACAUCCACACAUAUAGUCAACAAAGUAUACACGUAACACGUAUUUCGUAUAAAAUACUUCAUAAUAAUGUGUUAGAAGAAAAUGACUACACACUCACUUGAUCAGAAGAUGAUCGGGCAACACUACGACUUGUAGAAGUAGUGUUUCUCCGUAGAUCUGGAAGAUCUUCACAUAAACCGGGCUCCUCGCGGGCAGGUCUUCGGCUCUGAAAUCUCACUUCUCGGGAUUCUCGGGACUUCGGAUCUUGCUUCGGGGCUCGGGAAUAAUACCGGGACUUCGGGGUAUGAUUGGCACGCAAAUCGAGGCAAAAACUAGAGAGAAGAAAGAGUUUGAACAAGAGAAAAUGGUUGAUCUCGCAUUCUAUUUAUUGGCUGUUGGGUCUGGGAUUACGUUGGGCGUAAUUUCCAGGUACGCUGGGCGUACUCAAUACACUGGGCGUAAUUAGGUUACGUUGGGCGUACUUUGACGUCACUGCGUGCGUCAAUUGGUGGCACUCGAGUAUUGGUCAGACAAGUUGCACCCCUCUGAGUAUGCUGGACGUAAUUUGACUCAUCAAACUUCUAAAUUGCGUAACUUUCGCAUACGAGCUCUGUUUUCGACGUUCUUUAUAUCCACGCGUAGGUCAGACCAUACUCUACAACUUUCAUUUAGACUCCAUCGGCUAAUUUUGACUUUUAUUUUUAUUAUUUAUUUUUAGUAGGCCGGGACAGGAAAACUUCGUUAUAAAUUCAUAACUUCUUUGUCCGACGUCCGUUCUCGCCUAACUUUUUAUCGUUUCGCUACUAACAACGAGAUCUUCAAUUCUCAUUUAGAUUGUUUCGGCUAAAAACCGCUCGAUCUCAAAUCGAGUAUUUGGGCUGCAUACUGCCAAGUCGAAACUUCAGAAAAUCAUAACUUCCUCAUACGAAGUCAAAUUUGGGCGUUCUAUAUAUAUUCUGAAACCUCGUUUCAACUACUACAACAUUAUCCAAAGAUAUCGAGUUUAUUUUACACUUCAUUUUGAUGCUUAUUUUUAUUCUUAAUUCAAUUAAAUUAUAAUUAAGAAAACACACACAUAAUUCACAUAAUUCACAAAUAAUACAUUUUUAUUAUUUCAGAUUGCAUUACAAAGGUUAACCUAGACUAUUACAUUGCUAAAAAUGGCAAGCCCAGAAACACAGACGUUACACCUAGUAUAUGAAAAGCACACAAGCCAUGAUGAGCAUGUGGAAAAACAUUUUCAAUACUAACGCGAAUUGUAUCGGCCCUAUCAGUUACAAAAGUCAAUUCUUGACAAUCACUAACACAUUCAUACAACUUUUCAAGAAACCAUGUCCACGUAAGACCACUUUUUUUUUUCAUAUUCCGUGCGUAAGGGGCAGUAUCUGGUUGUUCCCAUCCAUAGCUACUCCAUGCAAUAUGGUUCCCUUAAAAGCACCCUUCAAAUGGGCACCAUCCAUAAUUAUAACUUUACGACAAAAACUUUUGAACGCUCGUAUCUGCAAUAUAUAAAAAUGGAACACAUAAACACUCUAUAAUUUGUUUACAAAAAUUAUAUAUUAAAUAACAACAAGUUUUUUGUAUUUACCGUGCUCCCAAUGGCAUAAAAACAACACUCGAAACAAUCUUCAGAAUCUGUUUGAAUAUACGCAACUGUACCGGGAUUAUGCCUCUUCAAAUUGUGAAAAUAAAUAGGAAGUUUGGCAAAACAUUCUUCAGAGGAUCCCAACAACAGUUUCAUAGCAUAUUGUUUUGCACGCCAAGCUUGUUUGUAAUCUACGUUGAUUUCCAGCAAAGCAUUCAAAUCCCUUGAUAUUUCAUUAGGCCUCCAAACCUUGGAACGAGUUUUUCCCAUAAUCUCAUGCAAUAUAGUACCCAUGACUUUUUUAUUAGCAUGCUUAUGAUUAGGGUGUAUCUGUAAUGACGAACAUGUGUACACGUUGUUGAAAGUCCUGAUUUCAAAUUCAUCAGUGAGAUCAAGGCGUUUUGCAUACAAACGCCAACUACAGUUCUCAAUUUCACAAUAUACCUCAUAACGAUUUUUGUUAGAAUGUUUGGUCUUAAACUGAAACUUUUCUCUUGUUGCUUUAAGAAUCAAUGCAAAAAUUAGUUGUUGUUUGUUGUCAUAUGUUUGACGAACAAACAUAUCAUCAUUUGGACCUAAACUGUGAAAUGGUCCGGGUUCAACAAUAGGAUCAGGACAAUCAGGUAUGGGAGACAUACCGUAAAAAAUGUCUGAAGCUUUUUUCCCGUAUGUGAACUCAUCUUCUGACCAUCCUUCAUUUGACUCUUCACUGUCUGAGAAAGUUUUGUUAGUCAAUCUUCUAAACCCAUAUAAAUUUUUUUCUUCAACCGUAUUCAGUGCCACCGUUUCUUCUUCUGGACAAUCUUCAACAUUAUCAGAUACAAUGUUAUCAACAUUGUAUGGUACAACUUUCUCAGCUGCUUCUGUCUGUUCGACCAAUCCCUGAAACACCUCUAAAUACAAAUGCACAAUCUCCUUCGUUUCAGAAAUUACAUUUCUGAGUUGAUUAACAUCUGCUUCAUCUAAAAUAUUCAUCACAUACCCAUGAACCGGGUGUUGAAAUGACAAUGAUAUAUUACUAUUGAACACCUUAGCCUUACUUUUGACCAAAUCAAACAAUAUUCGAAAAUCAAAAUUAGGCGGAGGCAGUAAACCCAAGUUGUUUAACUUUGGUCUAACGUAGGUGUUAAUCGCAUUACUUAUCUGCAAAAAACCUCCAGUACAUAAAAUAACAAAACUCAUAUUUGGUUUUGAAAAUCAAAUGAAAACGAACUGAUCUAUCGACCAAAAUAAAACAAACAUAUGAAAAAGAAACUUUUGUAUCAAAAAACUCUUCAAAAUCCGCUCCAACCACCCAUUCCACGGAGGCAUUACUCUCUCCGCAGAGACCCAUUCCGCGGAGCAUGAUUAAAAAGGCUAACAACCUAUUGUUCGACCACUUCGCAGAGAUGACUUCAUUCCGCGGAGGUCCGCGGAGGGUCCUCCGCGGAAUGCAUGUCUAUAGCUGGAAUUUUUUUUUUGUGUCUAAAUUUUUAAAUUUCCCCCUUUUUUCGUCUAUAGCCUAUAUUUUCUCUAAAUGAUUUACAUAUUGAAAGUUCAGAAACAAGUUAAAACUUAAACCCUAAAAGAGCGUACAAAUUUCAAUCGUCAACAUACCCCACCACAAAGGCACAAAUAAUCAAAGAAACAAAUGUAGAUGUAGAGGCCUUUUUCACCACAAUCACCCUUCAUCGGCCAUUUCGAAGGCCACGUGAAAUGUCACUAACGUGGCCCUAUAAAUAUCCACUACUUUGUCUUUAACCUUUCCCCCCUCUCAUAUAAAACCCUCCAUCCUCCUCCUUUACCACCAUCACCAACUACCUUCUCUCCUCCAUCAAAAGUAUCCCCAUCUUUUCCGACAUGGCUGCUUCUUCAAUCUUCAUGGCAACUCCCAUCACACUCCUCAAGAAAACUCCCACCUUCUCCGUCAAAUGUAUGUCACAAACACCUCAAAGCGGUGAACCGGGGGUUUCAAAACCAGCAACCACCCCAACACCACCACAGAUCAACAUUCCUCCUCCUCCGCCACCUGCUCCAAAGGUCAGCACGAAGUUCUCUGACGUGUUGGCGUUUAGUGGACCUGCACCGGAGAGGAUCAACGGAAGGUUAGCCAUGAUAGGGUUUGUGUCGGCGAUGGCUGUGGAACUGAGCAGCGGUCAAGACGUGUUCACCCAGAUCGGCAACGGCGGUGUUGCGGUGUUUGUCGGGACAAGUGUGGUGUUGACGUUGGCGUCGUUGGUGCCGUUGUUUAAAGGAGUGAGCGUGCAGUCGAAGUCGAGUGGACUGAUGACAUCAGAUGCAGAGCUUUGGAAUGGGCGGGUUGCGAUGUUGGGUCUGGUGGCUUUGGCUUUUACUGAAUAUGUUAAAGGCAGUGCCCUUGUCUAGAUAAUGUAUCAUAAACUUUUCUAUUACAGAAUUACAUCUAAGAUAGACAAAUGUAUAUUGUUUUGAAUAUUUAUGUUUAUCGAUUUACCAUACAUAGUUCAAAUCAUAAAAAGCAUGUUUUUUGAUAAUAUAGUAUAAAACAAAUAUAAUAUCAAUCAAAUUGAACGAUGUUGUGGUAUCUUUCAAUAUAAAAUUCUCUUUAUAAAAAUAAACAAACAACGUACUAAGAUAAAUUUUAGAGGAAUGAACUUAGAUUAGCAAUAUAAGAGUCAAAGUCUACAAAUUAAGGUAUUGAAAUCCUAGUUUCACAACUUCCUCUUUGAAUGUUGAACUGAGGUGAUCUUCAUUAAUUCAGACUGAAUAAGUGACUUAGUCCAGCCUAGUCAAUUAGCUAAUUUAAGAUGACAAGUAUCCAAAAUUCAAAAACAUUAUAGAGCUCAAUUUCAAACAAAAGUGACAAAUGACUAAUGCUCACAAAACGAUCACCGAAUCAUUCAAAGCAUUUACUAAAAGCCAGUCUAAUUCUUAUUGGUUUGAAAUCUAAUUUUAUCAUCAACUGUAUACAAGAUUGAGAUUGAUAUCAGAGUAAUAAUCUCUAAAAGCAAAAUAAUGUAUUCAAAAGAAUAUAUAUACAAAAUGAAUUAUGUCCCAAGCAGUACUGUGCAUGAGUAUAAGAUUACUAUUAUGUUGGGAUCCAUUAAUUGAUAACUAAGCACACUUCCAAAUUUACUAUAUGGAAUUUAGUUAAGGAUUAAUGUCAAGUGGGGUGCAUCCACCCCACUCAAAGGCCUUGUAUAUGUUACGGUCCCAAGUGAUAUUUUAUAAGGGUCUUUUUGUAGUUUUUCUUUUCCUAAUAUAUUAACAUUUUUUUUUGAUAUUUUUGGAACUUUUUAUUUUCUGAGAAAAGUAUACAAAAUAAUGUAUAUACAAGCUUACUUGAAGAUAUGAUCGUUUAUGAGGUUAUUCAAGACUUAUUCUCUUGAAGUAUCUAUUCCUAGCUAGAUAUGAACAAAUGUGUUUGCAUUUAUCCUUUUUUGCCCUUUGUCAAUUCUUGACUAAUAAGGUAAUGGUAGUUCUUGGUGAGGGAUUCACCUCUGUAUUGAUUCUUCAUUCUAUUUAAAUGUUUGGAUUCACCUCUGUAUUGAUUCUUCAUUCUAUUUAAAUGUUUGGAUUCACCUCUGUAUUGAUUCUUCAUUCUAUUUAAAUGUUUGGAUUCACCUCUGUAUUGAUUCUUCAUUCUAUUUAAAUGUUUGGAUUCAACAAUGUCUAGUUGAGUAGUUCUUUAAAAGCACAUUCUACCAUAUGCAUCUUUAUGUCAAUAUUAAUUGGGGAUUCCAUAAACUGAAACUCUUGGAGCUCAAUAGUGUAGUUGAAAAACUUUUGUUGAGCCCACCACUUACAUGAAAUAGGAGACUUUUUUCAAUAAACUAAGUGGUUCCUUCUUUAUGGAUCAUCUUUUCGUUUCUCCUUUUGAAAGGUCCCCUGGUGAUACUUUUAUGUGUUAAUGAAACUCAGUCCUUAUGGCAUGCUUUUUGGAUAUGAUAGUACGUGACUAUCAAGAGCUUAUUUCUACUCAGUAUAGUCAUACUCUCAUAAGUCUCUCAAGAUUUUACACUCAGAAGCAUCGUUAGAUUGUAUGGCUACCUACCUUGUACUAUAAGCAUGUUUAUUAACAUUUAGGGAUUUAUUUAGAAGGAUAUCAUUUUUCAUAUUUUUUGUCUAACACCAGAUCUUUUUUCUCAGCUCAAUUGUUUCAAGUAAAACUAAGUGUCUUCUUGAUUCGACAACAAACCAUUGGUCAUCUUUCCGAUUUCAAGUAUUUUGCAUAUCCUCUCAAAACUUCUUUAUUUUUUAACACAAAUUCAAAAACUAUUAGGUAUCGGGAUUUUAAGGCUUCUUUAUUUUCACCCUCAAUUAGAUUCAUAUUUUUCAUUGCCUUGCAGAUUUCCUUUUUAGUUUGAGUCUAUUUAUCACGAGCCUGAAGUCAUUUUCUUCCCCUACCCUUGUUAGUUUUGGCUAUUGCUAGUGCACGUACUUCAUUGGCUAAAUGAGAAGACACCUCGAUAAUGGUGGAUGACUUGGUGAAAUUUAUAGGUUGUUCCUUAGGCUAUCCAAAGUGGAGGUAGAAGAAGACGCAUGAUGCUGAAUGGACAUCCAAGUCAUGCGUGAACACUGCCCGAUGGCUUGGCUAUGGAGUCUCCAUGAAGACGAUGCAUUCGAUUGGUUUAGAAUCUGGUCCCUCAUAUUUUCUCUCCUCCUUUUUGUCCCUUCACUACCAACCCACCGGUAAACACCAUUUCCACAACCUAAUGGGUUGAUUGUGGAAUGGUAAACUACCUAUGUGGCGCUGAGUUAGAAGGUGUUUUGGAUAUAACCACUCCCCACAACCUUAGCAUUAGAACAUCCUGAUGCUCCACAUGAACUAAGAACAUCACUUAAUCUUCAUUAAAUACUUUGGGGUUGUACUCAUAAAGUAAAAUAUCUCCCCCCUUAGACAUAUCAUCAUUUUCCUCAUCUGAUGACCAAGGAAUUUGUGGAGAUAUAUGUGACUUUGGAUUAAAGGGGGUUAUAUUGGUCAUCCUUUUUAGACAACUUUUUAAAUUAAUCAAUCCAAGCUCCUAUACCGACGACAUUUUCUGGAAUCUCUUUAGAUGGGGAUGAUGGUUCAUUAAGCGACGACAUUUUCUAACCGUGUACCGACGACAAGUCGUCACAGACAAGUCAGGAUAGGUCAAAAAAGUCGUCGGCAUAGGUGUCGUCGGGAUAGGUACCCCAUAUACCGACGACAUGACGUUGGUACAAGUACCGUCUGGAAUGAUUUUCGAGAAAAAAAAUAAAGUUUUAUUAAUUACUUGUGGCGACGACAUGUCGUCGGGACAGGUGCCACCUAUAGCGACGCCAUUUUGUCGCCACAUGUUUUCCACAAAUAUCAAUCAAAUACCUAUAGUGGCGACUAGUCGUUAGGAUAGCCACUGGGUGUUUUUUUUUUUUUUUUUUUUUUUUUUUUUUUUUUUUUUAGUUUUUACAGAUUUUGUACAUUUACCAUUCGUGCAUUUUUAACAAAUCCAAACAUUUUGCAGCAUAUAUCAAAUAAGAUACAAUAACUGGGUACCAUUGUUUAAAUUCAAAACAUCAAAUUCAAGUUUAAUAUUACAUACCGAAUUAGAUAAAAUAAGUAGUUAACAUUGUUCAAAAUAACACAAAACAUAAACAUCAUUAUAUUCUUUUUUUUUUCUUCUUCUUCUUCUUCCAUCCUCUCGGGUUCACAUUUUGUUGAGAGGUAUUUCCUUGUGAUGUACUUCCUUCUGUGUUGGAAUUGAAUAGAAAACUAGCAAACGGUGGUGGUUGUGUAACAUCCCAAAAAUUUUAACAAAUAUGAACUUUUCAAAACAACCCAUUUAUUAACAAAAGUGUUUACAAAAACAUGAUUUAAAAUUAGAGUCUCCCAAGAUCCACUUUGUUCUAAAACCGAGGAUGCGUACGGUCACGCCUUUGCCUUGCCAUGAAUCAUUUGAAGAAACUGAAACCAUAAACAAAUCGUAAGCAAGAAUCUUAGUGAGUUCCUCCAAAAUACCACCGCACAAACAGAUAGCACAUAAAUAACGACAACAUGUACUAGGUCCACAACUAAAAGACUGGAUUACCCCUGAGCCUAUAAUAUGAAUCUGGCUUGCCUAUUGGGCCCACAACUCAUAUCUGGUUUGCUCUUGAGCCCACAACAUAAGUCAGACUUGCCCCUGGGGCUCACAACUUAUGUCAGGCUUGCUCCCAACUCAAUCAGUCAUCGGACUAGAAUACCAAUGUUCAGCCCUGUGACAACCUGAAAUUUCCAUUCUGAACAAACCAUAUCAAUCCAAUAGAAGUUAGAACAGUUACAAUGAAAUUCCAGACUUUGGGCAUAAGUUUGACAGUUUUUCAGGAUUUACACUUAAGGAGAUAUCAGGAGAGUGGAUGCACUAGGGUUUUGUGCAACACUGUUAUUCCAAAACUCUAGGAUAUUAGGGUUCAAUUCCGGAAUAAAAAUAUUUUCUGCCAAAAAUCUCAGGACUAUAUAUAGAAAUCUGAGCCAUAUUCAUUCAUUAGUUACAUUUCCAACUAGAGAAAAGCCAAAUUCUCUCUCACGGAUCUUCAGGUUUUUAUCCCAAAUCGUGAGUACUUCUAUCUAGUUGUAUUAUAUAGCUUAGAUUGUUUUUUAUAACAUCAAAAUCGGAUCAAAACCCCAAGAUUUGGGAGUUUACCGCCCAAGAACACUUGGAGAGUAAACUCCUUUUUAAGGGCCAAAAGUGUGCCCAAUGUCCCUCAAAGCCUUGGGAAUGAACCUAGAAGCUACCAUUACAUGUUUAAGACCACAAAACAAUUAAGAAUCAUGGCUAGAAGUGAGUUCACGGCCAAGGAAGUUCUUCGUCCGUGAACUCCAUUUUUAUGUGCCAAAAUGCCCUAAAAGCCUUCCUUAAGCCAAGAGACUAAUUUAGACAUGUACCUAGAUGAGUUUAGGACUAGCAAACACCUUUAGAACACCAAGAGUAAGGUGUUCACGGCCCAAGAAGUUCUAGGGUCGUGAACUCCAAACAAUGGUGCCAAAUGGUGCUAUAAACUCUCCUAAAGCCUUGGACAAUUUCCUUGCUUCAUUCUUAGAUAAAUUAGGGACUUGAAAACACCACAAACACCCUCCUAAGGGAGAUUACGGCCGUAAUCUCCAUGGGAUAUGGUCCAUGGCGCGUGAACUCCUCAAAGGAGUUAAAAGGAAGCCCAAACACUUGUUUAAGCCUAGAAGCACUUCACCACUUAAGUUGUAAUAAUGUUAGGCUUCAUUUAGUGACCCUAUAGAGAGUUUACGGCCAAGAGUUUACUCCCCUAGGCCGUAAACUCCAACACAUAUGGUCUUUUGACCAUAAACUCCCAUAAGAGGUCUUGCACUCCUUUGUUGCAACCCAUUAGCCUCCUAGCACUUGACCAAAGUGUUUUCCUCACAUUAGGAUGUUUAUACAUGUUUAAUUAGUGUUAUAAUCACUAAUUGUUUAUAUACAUAUGUCUUCAUAUGUAAUUAGGACCAUUGUGUGUGUCUAAAGUCUUCACUUGACACCUAGCAGUCCUACCUCUUCAGUUCAUCCGUAUCACCCACAACAGGUGAGUUUAUACCUNGGGGAUACAAGUAGAAUUAUGCUAAUUAUUAUAUCAAUCACAGGUGAUUAAUAAGCAGCAUUCAAAUGAUUAGCUACUCAUUAGCCGUUUUACCAAACCGUUUCCUUCAAAUGUUUUUCAUAAACACCUUAUGUGUUUAAAACUCCUUAUUACACUGUACCUUUUAUUCUGUAUGUUUCAAUUCAAACUUAUUUACAAUUGUGUUUCAAACAAAUGUUUCUUUAUACUAAACUAUUUUGUCAAACCCAUGCCUUCAAAACCGUUUUAUAGAUUGACAUCAAGUCGAUCUUUUCUUAGAUAAUAAUUAUGUUCAAAGGUUUUACAAAACUUAUUUUAUGUUUUUAUAUUAUAAAUUGGAUGCCUAUAUAUGCAUAGUUAUAUAAUAAAUGUUGAAAGGACUUAGGAAGGCUAUCCACCCUAUUUCCUUUUCCUCGAUUUGGAUGUGGUCUGGUGGGAUAUCAGGUACCCGUCCGAAGGUUGUUUAAAUAUUAAUUAUAUAUCAUGUGUACGUAUAUAGUCAUAAAAGUCCUUCCAGCUCAGCCAAUGCCCUUGGGUAGCAAGGGUAUAUUUAACAUCCCCCUCUUGCACGUAUCACAAUAUUAUCCGCUUUGGGCCACUCGGCACGAGGACUUCCCAGGGGGUCACCCGUCCUGGUACUACUCCCGCCCGAGCACGCUUAACUACAGAGUUCUUAUGGGAUUUGCUGCCCUCACGGCUUUAAAACGCGUUGUGCUAGGGAAUGUAUCCACACCCCUUAUAAGGAAUGCUUAGAUCUCCUUCCCAGCCGAUGUGGGAUCAGAUCUAACCCACUUUCACCCCCCAUUAUAGGGUUCGACGUCCCCGUCGAACACAUCGACCCAUGCCCUGGCUCUGAUACCAAUUGUGACAUCCCCUAAUUUCUCGGCCAGAAAAUACCGAUUUAAUUUAUGCUUUUUAAAAUAAAAUCAGAGAAAUCUUUUUAAAAGAUGUUGCGGAAUUGGUCCCCAAACAACAUAUGAUAAAAGUUUAUCAAAAUCCUUCAUUAAGAAGGUAUAUAUUUUCCAUAUAUAUCAAAACCUCGGGAUUUCAUGUUCCGAUACAGAUCAAAAGCAUAAACAAGACAUUAUAAGCCUUUCAACAGUUAUUUACAACUACUGGCCUAUAAUCCAAAAAUUCUCUCGUCGUCCUCCGACUAUGCUCAGGGUCCACUACCUGUAAUCAUAAAAACUGAGUGGGUCAGGCUUGGGAGUCUGGUGAGCAUAUAGGGGUUUCAACCCACAAUAAUAAUAUACUUAUUAAGUUCACCAAUCAACAAUAACCCUGAUUACCCAUUCCCGUUGUCCUCACUUUACGUCCCUAAACACCUAUCACAAGGGACCUAGCCUAAGGAUUAUCAUCGGGAUGGACACUACUGCUAAGGGGUUUCCUCAGCCAUACAUGUCCUUAAGGCAACCAUGAGGGGGAUGAAGUACGCCAAUGAACAUUUAAUUCAUCAACACCUACAAGUUGCGAACCUGCUAGUGUUCGACUGGACUAUCUAGAAAGUCUGUGGUCGUCAUCUAUACUCCGCUAGAUGACUACAACAACAACAACAACAACAUCGAGGCCUCUCACCUUUUUAACACACAUCAACUAUUUCAUCUACCCAUGUUCUACCCAACAUAUUUUGUAGAUAAAAAGAAUAUACAGUUUGAAACUUGUAUAAAACAUCAAAUCAAUAGUCACCUUAGUUAAACAAUUACUAUAUUUACACAUAACACGUAUUUCAAGGUAAAUACUUCAUAUCUAUGUGUAAAUUGAAAGUAACUACACACUCACAUAUUUUGAUGAACAUCGGGCAACAAUUCAUUUCCUAAAACGAUCGUUUCUAAUAAAACCGGGAGUUUUAUUGAGAAACUGGGCUCUGCAAAAGUCGGGGUUUGAAACCGAAAAGAUAAAUUUUCCGGGCUUCACGGGCACUUCGUGGAGUAUUCCGGGCUUUACAAUCGAUACCGGGGCUUUGCGGGAUGUUAAGAUGAAGAAAAUAUGGGUUUAGGGGUUAAAUAUGGCAAAAUUUCAAAGUUACCUGGGAGGUCUCGCACCCUUCUAUUUAUAGGGGCGAGGCUUCUGAUCCAACGGAUAGAAAGAGGACACGCGUCGCAGAUCCGAAGGCUCGCAGGGAAGCCUCGCACGUGGCUGCGCAUGGCUCGCACCUGUGAGGGGCUCGCUGGCAGCUUGUGAUUGGACCGAGGUCUAGGGUCCGAAGUAGAGGGUUCGUGGCAUGUUGCGAGGGCUCGGUCUCGUGCAUGAGGGUACGUGUCACCUUCUCAGUGGACCACUUCGGAUAAGGCCAUGUGCUCGGAUGACUCAGCAGCUCGGGUGACUCAACAGCUCGGAUGACUCAGCAGGACACAUGGCACUUUUUCAGCGAGGGUGACGUGGCAACUCGUGACUAUGCGAAUUUUCUCGAUUUUCGCGCCAAAACUUCUAAAAUCCAUAACUUUCGCAUACGAGCUCCGUUUUUGACGUUCUUUAUAUGCACGCGUAGCUAAAAUUACGCUCUACAACUUCCGUUUAGACUUCGUCGGCUAAUUUUGAAUUUAAAUUUUAUAUUAUUAUUUUUAACAGACCGGGACAGGAAAUCCGUUAAAAAUUCAUAACUUCUUCAUCCGACGUCCGUUUUCAUCAGAAUUUUUACCGUUGUGCUCCUAAUGACGAGACCUUCAAUUCUCGUUUAGGUUGUGUCGGCUAAAAAUCGCUCGAUCUAAAAUUCGAGUUUUUUAGCUGUCUACUGCUAAGCUGAAACUUCGAAAAAUCAUAACUUCCUCAUACGAAGUCAGAUUUGGGCGUUCCUUUUAUCGAACUUCUCAGUUUAACGACUACUACGACUUUCAUUUAGAUUACUAAGGCUAAAAAGUAGUUUAUCGAAAACUCACUUUUUACAACAUUCAGCACCGUGCCGGUUUUGUCGCGAAACUUCGACAUGUCAUAACUUCUUCGUUAUAACUCGGAUUUUGGUAUUCUUUAUAUCCCCGAAAUCCUUGUUUCGACCACUACAAAUUUAUGUAAAGAUAUCGGGCUUAUCUCCCACUUUAAUUUUGACGCUUAUUUUUAUUCUUAACUAAUUAAGCCCUAAUAAUUAAGCAUAAAACACAUAAUUCAUAUAAUAUUCACAUAAUUCCUUUUCAUUUCUUCAAAAUGAGUUACAAAGGUUAACCUAGACUAUCAACUCAAUAUAAAUGCCUAGGAUAGAAACAUGAGUGUUACAAAUUGUAUCAAGACAUGUUAUAUGGACGUGUUGAACUUCCGUGUCCAUUUCUCCUUCUGCUGUUUGUUCUUCUAAAGAAUGAGGAAAGAUAUCCAAGUCUAGCAUAUGCAGAGAACUAGCAACAAGUAGAUCUAAGUCGUCCAAGUUGUUGGCAAUUUCGACUGGACUCGUCGGGUCUAGGAAAGUGACUCGGUGAGUCAGAUCAUAUUUCACCAUUUCCACUGUGUUUUCCGAGUCGGCUCCUUCCAGUAGCUUUUCUAUCUCCUCCAAGUCCUUGUUAACAUCUCCAUCCUCUCCAGAAGGUAGCAAAAGCUUGCUUGGAUCUUCUUCUUGCAAAAGUGCAAGUUCUUUUUGUAGUAUCUCAUCAUCCAAAUCGAUAAAUGAGAUAUCUUCUUUUCCUUCCUCUUCUUGCUUGGCUUCUGGUAAAGCUCUAAAUAUUGCUGACUCGUCUCCUACCCUUAAUGUUAGUGUAGACUCGCAUACAUCAAUUAAAGCACAUGCGGUGUUUAAAAAUGACCUCCCCAAAAUAAUCGGAAUUUCGGGGUCUUCUUCCAUAUCAAGCACCACAAAGUCUACUGGAAAUAUGAACUUGUCGAUUUUAAUAAGAAGAUCCUCACAAACGCCUCUUGGAUGAAUUGUUGUCUUGUCUGCCAAAUGGAUCUUCAUGUUUACCGGCCUUGGCUCCGAUAAAUUCAGUUUCUUGAAGAAAGAGAAAGACAUUAGGUUAAUGCUUGCACCUGAGUCGGUCAACGCUUGAGUGACAAAUGCAUUUCCAAAUUGGCACGGAAUUAUGAUACUCCCCGGAUCGCCCUUCUUUUCGAGUAACUCACUCAAUAUUAUUUCCGUGACUUCAGCCAAAUAUUUCCUAGCAGCAAAGAGACCCUUUAGUAAGUUGAAGUACUUGGGUGUUUUAAGCAUCGUUUCUACAAAUGGCACAUUGACUUGUAGGGAUUUAACAUGCUCCAUAAAAGCUCAAUAAGCUUCAACUUUUUCAACUGGCAUGGCUUUGAUUGGGAAUGGCAAAGGGGGAUUAUAUGGCUUUAAGGGAAUGACGGUUUUGUCAUUAACGCAUGGACUCGUCGAGUCCAUUAGAGGGACUCGGCGAGUCUUGUCGGGCUUAGCUGGAGCCGACUCUUCUGCCUUUUCUGUCUUCCUAUUGGAGAUCCUCUGUGCAUGUGUGAAAAUUUCUUCAUUGCUGGAAGUUACUGCACUCACAUUCUCCAUUCUCGGAUUGUUUUCGGUGUUACUUGGAAGUUGACCCGGUCUUCUUUCGUUCACUUGAUGUGAAAGUUGUCCCAGCUGUUUCUCAAUGUUGAGAAUGGAUGCCUGCUCAUUCCUUAGCAUAUUUCUGGUCUCGUGUAUUGCAGCAUCGUGAUCAUUGUGUCUCUUUUCGGACACGGCUAUGAAUCUAGUGAACAAUUCUUCUAAAUCGGCUUUCUUUUCCAUUACCGGUUCUUCCUUUUGAUAAAAUACCCUCUCCUUCUGCUUGUAUUUCUCCUCCUUAUCCUUCUUGUAUUCUUCGUAUGGGAGCCAUUCCUUCUUCGGUUUCCCCCAAUUCUCGUCGUAUCUAUCGCCACUUGAGUAGAACACUUGAGCCUUCUUGUUUCCAUUUUCAUCCAAAUCACAAUCCUUUGUGAGAUGGGGCCCUCUACAAUUCUCACAUCCAACAUGAAUAGCAUGGAUUGUUUGAUCCAUUUUUGUCAUCCUUCUAUCUAGACUAUCGAGCUUAGCUAUCAUCGCCGCCAUGCUAUCAUUUGCCGAGUUCACUACCCCCCGACUUACUUCAUUUAUUGGAUUGUGGUAUUCUCUAGAAUGCUUAGAGAAUUCUUCAAUUAACUCCUUGAUUACCGGGGGCGCCUUCUUCGUGAGCGGGCCUUGUGAAUCGAGCAAUUGCCUUGUGGUGACAUUGACUCCAUCAUAGAAAAUGGAGACCUCUUGUUGGAUAUUGAGGUCAUGGUGUGGGCAAUUUCUAAGCAAGCUCUUGUACCUUUCCCAAGCUUCAUAAAGAGAUUCUCCGGGUUGUUGCUCGAAGUUGGCAAUGGCUUUCUUUAGUUUAGCUAUUUUGGAGGGCGGGCAAAAGUGGUCUAUGAACUCUUCUUUCAUCUUGGCCCAUGUGGUGACCGAUCCGGGAGGAAGUGACUUGAGCCAAUCCUUUGCAUCACCCUUGAACGUGACUGGAAGCAUGCGAAGUAGUUGGGUCUCGCGAGGCAUAUUUGGUACAUUGAAGUAGUCAGCCACAUCAUUUACUUCAUCCAAGUGCUUGUAGGCGUCUUCGUGGUCCUUCCCAUAAAAAGGAAUCUCCUUGAGUUGAGCGAGAAUAUGGCCUUUUAGUUCGAACGUAGUGGUUGCGGGAAUUGCGGGUUGCACAAGUCCCGAGCCGGUGUCAUCGCGCAUCCUUUUCUUCCAUUACCCCAUGGGGACUUCAUCGAUAUUAGCCAUAGCGAUAGCUAAAUCGUCUUCAAACUCGGAUUCUUGCUCGUAUGUGGGUUCUUCUUCUUCCUCGGUCUCGUACUCGAUGUCUUCUUGAAUUGGGUCUCUGAUUGUCAAAGAGGCACUGGAUGCUCCUGAUUUGCUGCUCCUUGUCUUGCUGAAAACGGACUUGAGGUUUUUGAGUGGUAAGUUCUUUGAAGAAGCGGAUUCUCCAACGGUUUUGCCUUUGCUCCUCCUUAGUGCGGAUUCCGGGUCUUCAAGAGGAGGGACCAGAGGUGUAUCAGAUCCUCAGGUCAUGAAACAACUGUAAACAAAACAAAAAACGCGUAAAAAGAACAAAAAAUAAAUAAAAAUUAAAACUGUGAAUCAGCGAUGUACUCGCCGAGUCGGCACGAGUGCACUAGGCGAGUCUGGUCAAAACAUAGAAAAAUUUUUCUAGUUACUUUAAAAACGGAUUUUUAUUAAAACUUAUACUACUUACUAAAUUACCUUUUAAAUAACUUUGUGUAAGAUAAAUCCCACACAAAUGAUCGAUUAAAUUAGAAUUUAACGUUAAUUUUAGAACCGUUCCCCAGCAACGGCGCCAAAAACUUGAUGUGUGCAAACUCACUUAGUUUUAAACCUACUUUUAAUUUUAAAAUAAACACACAAAGGCAGUGGACCUAUCAAUUGUGGUAUAGUUAAAUAAGUAGGGUAUCGAACACAGGGAACGGCAAAUUAAAACUAAAAACUAAUUCUAUCUAAAUUAAUUAAUAAGUAGGAGGUUUUCUCUAGUUUUUCAAGACUAGAAACUUACUAACUAUUACUUAUUCUAAAACUUAGAAAAACAAAGAAUUAACUAGAUUCAAUAAUGGGAAGGAACUUCUGUUUAGUUCAACUCAAUUGAUCCUAUGGUUGAUAUCAAGGUAAUGGUGCAAUGGAUUAACUCUUUUGUUGGUUACCGAUUCAAGUGAUUAGAUUUGCGUUCACUACACUAAUCCUUAGCAAAUAAACUAACUUAAACAGUGGCCAGUUGUCUAAUUUAAUUAAAUUCACUAGAUUAAUUAUUCGGGUUAAUUUAGACUUGCAAUAGUUAACUAAUUUGGUCCUUUAAUUAACUUNUUUGUUGAUGGUCAUCACAAGCUCACACAUGAAUUUACUCAAUUUUCUUAUUAAUUCUAGUUUCAUGUUCAUUAAUCCUAGACAUAUGACAAAGUGGUCACAUAGCAUAUGAGGUUGAUAAUCAAUAGAUGUUCAUGCUAUUCAAUUACCUUCCUAUUAAUAGAAAAUUAAUUAUCAUUCACACACAAGGUUCUUUAGCAAGCUAAAAUAACAAAAAUCACUAACUUUAAAUUAAUCCUACCAAUAAUCAAACCAUAGUAUCAAUUUUGUAUCCCCAAACAGAAGUUUAAGAGUUUUAGCUCAUGAUUGAAGUAAAUUACAGCAAACAAACAGAUUUUAAUUGUUUAACCAUUAUGAAAAAUAAAAAAUUAAGUAGAAUGAUGAAAUUUGCCUCAAAUCUCCUUCGGAAUUGGAUUCUAGCUUGUAUCUUCGUCCUCUAGGUUUUUUCUGACUCUUCAAUCGCAGCUAACCUCUCCAGAAUCGUUCCAGAAUUCCUCCCCAUCGUUCUCAGAAGUUAUCUUUAUAUAUGCAAAACGACUCGUCGAGUCAGAUGCCGACUCGUCGAGCCCAUCUCUAAGUCCCCGUAUGCGAUAAGUCUCUAGGUCUCCGAGUCUUUAUCUUCUCGAAUAUUCGCUUGGGCUCGCCGAGUAGUUGACCCUACUCACCGAGUAUGUGUUGUUUUUAGUGUUUUUCUUCUUUGUUCGAUUCCCGAGCUCUCAACCGCUUCUCCUGCUUCCUUUUGCUUCCGAGCUUCACUUUUGGACUGAAAACAUAAUUCAAACACUUUUAAGUACCUUUUGUCCAUGAAAUGCAAUAAUUUAGCUAAUAAAUGAAUAAAAAUCUACACUUAAUAUGAACUAAAUAUGCACAUAUCACUUUCCUUAGAUUCAUAGUCUCUCCAACCAAAAUUCCUAGAUAAUUGAAUGGGAUGGAUGAAGGUUCACAUCCAAGAGGAGCUGCCCAAUUUAUUACUUCCAUGUGGGUAGCUCCUAUCCCAUACACCUUCGAUUUCCUAAAGUUCACCUUUAGCCCCGAUGAUACACAGAAGCACCUUAAUAUCCGGGCCAAGUUUGCAAUAUUUCGCCUUGACCAUUAGCCUAUAAACAGUGUGUCAUCUGCAUAGAAUAAAUGAGACAAACAUUGAUUAGAUUGUGAAAAUUUGAUGCCUUCGAAGAUUCCUUUUUCCACAACUGUCUUCAUCGCCUGAUUUAAUCCUUCAAUCACAAUGAUAAAAAGAAAUGGGGAGAGUGGAUCUCCCUGUCUGACACCUUUUGACAUAGAGAACUCCUUGGUCGGACUGUCGUUGAUCGACUGGGAAGGAGAACUAAGCAUUCCUUAUAAGGGGUGUGGAUACCUUCCCUAUCACAACGCGUUUGAAAACCGUGAGGGAAGCAGAUCCCAUAGGAACUCUGCAGUUAAGCGUGCUUGGGCGCGAGUAGUACCAGGAUGGGUGACCCCCUGGGAAGUCCUCGUGCCGAGUGGCCCAAGACGAACAAUAUUGUGAUACGUGCCAGAGGGGAAUGUUACAAAUGGUAUCAGAGCCAGCGCACAGUUCGAUGUGUUCGACGAGGACGUCGAACCCUAUAAUGGGGGGUGAAAGUGGGUUAGAUUUGAUCCCACAUCGGCUGGGAAGGAGAACUAAGCAUUCCUUAUAAGGGGUGUGGAUACCUUCCCUAUCACAACGCGUUUUAAAGCCGUGAGGGCAGCAGAUCCCAUAAGAACUCUGCAGUUAAGCGUGCUCGGGCGGGAGUAGUACCAGGAUGGGUGACCCCCUGGGAAGUCCUCGUGCCGAGUGGCCCAAGGCGGAAAAUAUUGUGAUAUGUGCCAGAGGGGGAUGUUACAGUAUAUAGCCAUGUUCAUACGUACCAGUUAAAUUACUAGUAAGCUAUUGACUAUCCUACACCUUGCUGCUUGCUACAGCCGGACGUCAUUUCUUUCUACAUAUAGAUCAGUUAAGUCUUGGUAGAAGACUCCCUGUUAUAGUAGUAGGAAUCAUAGGGAUUUCUAGAGUUUUUCAAACGUUUACAGUUGUUUUACAUACAUUUUCAAUACUUACGAUUUACAUACAUUUUCAAUACUUACAAAUUCUUACAUACAAAUUCUUACAUACAAAUUAAGACACUAAAAUACUUAUGAUCUCACCAGCUUCAAAGUUGAUACUCGCUUUCAAAAUUACUUGUAUCCUCAGGUCAAACAUAGACAGGUACCGAUGCAAGGUUUAGAGAAGAUGGAGCUCGUUCAAGACUCAUCUUUCAUUUUGAUUUAUGCCUUAGUGUUUAUCAAAAUUUGACAGAACACAGUUGUAUAAUAAUUAUAUUAUUAAUGCAAUGGAUGAUGUUGCUGCUUGUUUACUACUUUUCAUUGUUGUGAUAUUGUACAUGACGUCCUCCGCCCCAGAACGUUUCCGCGGUUCUUGGUUUUGGGGUGUGACAAGCCCUCAGUAAGAGUCUAGCAUACCAACUGGUCCUCAGAUCAUAUCUGGAAUGCUACUAAUCCCCCAGUAUGAGUCUGGCAUGCCCCAUCCGAGACUCAACUCAUAUCUGGAUUUCUCCGAUACCCUCAACCCCUUAGUACGAGUCUGGCAUACCAAUCGGGUCCUCAGCUCGUAUCUUGAAUGCACCUGAGCCCUUAGUAUGCGUAUGGCAUGCCCUAAUCAGCUCUUAGCUCAUAUAUGGAAUGCUCCAGGGUUUGUUGGCUACAGAACGAAGCAGUACAACCUCAACCCAACACAAUAUGUCGACAAAUAACCAACAUAUACAGAUAAUCAUGCACACAUAAUCAUAGGUACUCCUAUAGAUCUACCAUACUAACAUAUCGGCAACUAGCAUACUCAUGCAGAUCUAUUCCAUACUCAGAAUAUUAGUGAAUUGUAGGAUAACAAACCAAUACACCGGCAUUGGUGCCUUCGACUCGUAAAUAUAGUGAGGAAAAAUCACAUCGCACUGCUGAACAUAAAGACGAUCCAUGGUUGAUGGCUGCCAGAUCCCCGAACCGCCAAUAUCAAGACAACACCCCAUCACAGCUGAUCCCAUGAAUAAUUUCUGACUACAGAACCACUAUGAUCCACGUGCUAUCAAAUACUACAAUGACAACCCAUCAAUAGACCUGGCAAUGGAGCGGGUUUGGAGCGAAUCAGCCUUGAUCCAAACCCUUUUAACAAAUUUCAAAAUCCGAUCCAAACCCGCUCCGUAACCCACAGGGUUUUAAAUAAUCAGACCCAUACCUUUAUCCGCCGAAUCAACGAAUAUUCAAGCCCGCCCCAUAACCCAAAGUUUUUUUAAAUAAUCAAACACAUUUUAAUAAACUCCUAAAAUAAAAUUUCUUAAAUAAGAAACUGUAUACUAUAUCUUAAUACUUAAAAUAACAUUUUUUUAAAUAAAAAAAAUUGAUUUAGAAAAGGACAUUACAUACUCGAAGAAUUUCAAUCGGAAUUAAAAAUCACUAUUGCAACAACUUUGAAUUGAUUUAUGACUGUUGGUUGUAGUGAUAGCGAAUUGCAAUUGCCAUCUUUUUUCAUGUUAAAAAUUGAUUUAUUGAAUUAGAAAUGGAUAUGAUGAUUUCUUGAUGCAAAUAAAUUAAAUGACAUUAUGAUUCUUGAUAGAAAUCUAUAAGUUUAGAAUCUGAAUUAUCGAUUCCUAUGUAAAAGCAUUUUUUUUCUUUGGCCUUUGCAUUUUGGACUUUUGAUUGGUAUUAAAAUUAAACGUUAAGAAGUAUAAAAUAUAAAUAUAUAAUUCUAAAUUUAUAUGGGGCGAGUUAUAAAUGGAGCGGAUCGGUGAUGAUCCAUACCUGACCCAUUUAAUAAAAGGGCUAGUGGGAAUGGAUCGUUAACGGGUAAACGAAUCAAAAACUACACUCCAAACCCAUAUAAUUCUUACGAGUUUGGAUCGGAUUAGGGUCAAAACCCACUUCAUUGCCAGGUCUACCCAUCAACCUUUAGCCCCUGACUCACGUUAUGAGUGAAAAUUAGGGUAAAAGACCUUUUUAUCCUUCUUAAGCUUGGCCCGAAGCCAAGGCCCAACUAAAUGGUUAAUGGCCCAAAAUCCAAAAUAGACUUCUAAGGCCCAAAUAUGGCCCAAUUUUCCAAAUUGGGCCCAAUUCCUUUCUUGGGCCUUCAGCUAAGAAAGUCCAUCAAAACAAAAGCCCAAACCAUAAAAUCUAGAUGGCCUAACAUGGCCCAAGACAAUCCGAGCCCAAAACCGGAGCCAAAAAUGAAGGCCCAAUAGUACCGCAUACGCGGGGAGUACUCCAAAGGCACACUUAGCGUACAUGAGGCUGCGUAGAAUCCACCAUUGGGGUGGCAGAUUGGGUAUGCGGGGCGUACACCUCCCUACGCGGGGCGUACCCUCUUAAAACUCAAUUUCUUCAUAACUGCUUAAUGGCUUAGCAUUUGAGCUCAUACUUCAGAUCCAAGGUCCAGAGCCAUACUAUGGCCAUAAAAUUCCCAACUUUAUGAAUUUCCACGUCCAAAAAGUCCUUAAUGAAAGGUCUUAAUGGAUUAAUACUUUCUACAAGAAGUAUGGAGAAAAACUAGCUAAGGUGAUCUCACUUUUAUGGCUUAGAACCCCUCUUAGGGUCUGAAAGGACAGCCCAAAAUGACCAAAACCAAACAUGCAUAACAAUGGGACUUUUGGGACAAAAAGAACAUCAUAAUGCUACCAAAAUGAGAUCCAAGCAAACAAAGCAUAAAGGUAGAAACUUUUUACCUUCUGGAGCUUCCCAAGAAGAUGAUGAUCCAAGAUCCACAAGCUUGCUUCAACUACUAAUCUCCUUGAUGCAACUCCUUCUUCCUUAAGAACACAAAGAACACACUUUUAGCUCAAAACACUCUCUUAUUGGGUUAGGGUUGCCAAAAAUGACUCAAGGGUGUGGAGGCUGAAAAGAUGAGGCUAAAUGAUCUAUAAAGGUGAUUAAAUACCCCACAAACCCUAAAACUUAGGGUUUUUUCUAACAAGAGUACACCCAUCGUACAUAUGAGUACGCCCAACAUACUAGGGUACACCCUAGUAUGCUUAGCGUAUGCACAUGUACGCUUAGCGUACCACUCCUUCUCCCAAAAUUACGAUUUUUCCAAUAGGGCUUCUUGCGACCACUUCCUUCCAAAACAAGGACCAAAAUGGUAUACUCUAAAGCCAAGAGAUGAAUUUGAAAAUGCCUGAAAACUGGGGCAUUACAGGUUGGGAGUUCGGAAUACAUGUCGCCAAUGAUGCAUUAUAUUGUUGCAAGUAUUCUUGCAUUUGUUGUGCAUUAGAUUGGGAUUGAGAUUGGAAAGAUGUGGAAGUUGAAGCACAUUUAUUUGGAAUUAGACCGAAGUUGGUGACUGGUCUCCUACCCACUACGCGAGCCUGCCCUUGUCUCGUCCUGAGGGCACGUGCAAGCCAUUCUUCCUCAUCUACUUCUUCACCUUACCCGACCCCGCUUUGCAUUUUCUCGUAUUUAUCUUGAAUCUUCUUCUAAAAUAAACAAGAUAAUAAACAUACGAUAAUUAAAACAAACAACUAAACUUAAACAUUAAAAUAAUAAUAAUAUACCUUAGACAUAAACUAUAAUUAAUAAUAAUAACAUAUUUAACUAACGUAUUAAUUUCGCUUAUGACUUACCUAAUCUUGUUGUGCUCGACUUGUACACCAACCCUAGCCUUCUUUGUAGCGCAUUUGUCUCCAACCCUCAAUAUGUUGCGGCUUCAGUCCUAGUUUUUCCUGUAAUAUGUAAAAAACAAUAAAUAUAUUUAUACGAGUGAUAGUAACAUUUUUAAAUAAUACUAAUAUACUUUAUUACUUUUAAAUGACGUCGUUGAGCAUACGACCUACAUCCAUGAGAACUUGUGUCCGGAAGUUUAAUUCGACCUAGUAACUUUAUUUUUGGCCGAUGUGUGUAUAUAUUCAUCAGUAAAAAACAACAUGCCAAUCGUCUUAUUCUAAGCUUUGGCAGACCAAUCAAUCUGUGGAUGUUUUUUUGUCCUUUCCACAUCCGCAUAUCCACCAGCUUUUUCAAAAUGAUUUUCCAUGUCAUGCUUGCAAUCUCGAUAAGCUUUUUGCAUACUAUCUUGGGUACCCGCUCGAACGGGUUCCCACAACUCUGUGCCCUAGUGCAUAUCGGGAUCAAAAUAAGUCUGCAAAAAAUACAUAUUUGAUUAGUAAUAAGAAAUAUUUAAUAAGUGUAAAAUUCAAUACAUAUAAAAUAUUUUGUAUAUACUUACUUCUAGCUCGAGAUAUAAAUUAUCUUCGUACUUGGUAGAAACAUGGCGCCAAGAAUGAUAAUGCAACAGUACCUCUGAUCCCACCAGAUUUGAGAUCAAUCUAACAAAUAAGUGUCUGUUGUCCCGCACGAAUCGAUACGUCCUCCUGGAGGUAUCAAGGCUCACAACCAAAGGAUUACUACCUUUAUCUUCAUACUCAUCGUACAAUUUUAAGUUUCUCCAUCUGCCAUGUACAUUCACAUUCUUCACUUUUGUUACAUUUACACAUAGAAUUGGAAAUUUAGAAAUUUAAAUCCAAUACUUAAUAUUUUCAUGUAACUUACAUGAUUGGCAACCCGAUGGUAAACCAUGUGUGACCAUGUGUGGGGCUCUAUCACCACUGUCUCCUCCAUGUUACCUCAUGACUUCUGCCAUUUAUUUAACAAAUAUUAUAAACAUUCAAAAUCUAUAAUAAAGCUACUUAUAAAUAGGCAAAAUUUAAAAACUUAACACAUAUUAUAAACAAUCAGGAUAUAUAAUAACCGUAACAUACCAUCAAUGAGAAUCAUCACUAGAACAAUAUAACAUCAUCAUCGUUAUCAUAGUCUUUGUUAUUUAUUUCUUCUUCUGAAGAGUACGUAUCCCCACCAUCAUCGUCAUCGUUAAUUGUCACACCCCUGAACCAGACGACGGAAACGUCUGGGGGCUCGUGUGACUAACAAUUGAAUUAUCAUCACAAUGAAUAUACAUGAAACAUUACACAUUCAUCACCAACAUUACAUAUUACAACCAGCAUUGUUCACAGCAAGUACAUUGUUAAAGAUUACAUAAAUUCAAAGUAUUAAUAGUAAGAUAGGUGAUGUUACACAAAAUAAAUCGAUACACUUGAAAAUCUUCCUGCUUAACGAUUACCUGAGAAUACCAGUUAUUUUGAAAAACGGUCAACAUAUAUAAUGUUGGUGAGUUCAUAAGUAUGUGUGAAUAAAAGUCUUUGCAUCUUUUGUAAAAACCUAGAAAAUCUGAUAUUUUCUGUAAAAUGUCUUAAAAUGAUGUGAAAAUCAAGUAUAAAUGCAUGUGUGAAUUUCAUAGCAAUAACAUAUAUGAUUUCAGUUUAAAUUUCUUUGUAUUUUAAGUAAGUGAUAAAUGAAUAAUAGUAUUUCCCUAGAAAAUCUGAGUAUUUCCUGAUUUAUAAUAAUGUCGAGGUUCUUGUAUCAUUAAUUAAGUUGUUUCGUAUUGACACAAUCGAAGGGUUAAUCUUCGAAAUGUCAAAUUGGUAUUGGAUCUCUAUAUGAGCAGUUAUAACCAUGUAUGAUAAUGACUAGGUUGUCUUUCUUGGCAUUUUCCAAACGUCGGUAUUUGCUCAAGGUUUUGUCGCCCAAGACUGGCCUAGUCUAGUUGUAGCGAACAACUAAGGCGUGGGGGGUCACCCCAUAUAGAUCUAUACACAAACUCCCGCUCUCCCUCCAGGAAACUCUGGUUAUAACUACAGACUACGAUUGUACACUCAGAGGUGUCAACCGACAUGUCUCACUAGAUUCUCAACUUUUCAUACCAUGUUUAAUGUUUACGUGAAUGUUGUAUGUUUUCAAAUCCAAAGGUAUAUAUAUAAGUAUACGAACUUUAGGGCUGGCAAUUGUUGACACGAUACGCGACACGACAUGAAAUAAAUGGGUUUGGGUUGAGUUUUUCAACCCGCCAACCCGCUAACCCGUCAACCCACCAACCCGUUUAUUAAACGGGUCAUAUAUGGGUUUCUCAAAAAAUAAACGGGUUGACCCGCCAACCCGUUUAUAUUCUUAAUAAAAAAAUUAUUAUAUUUUUAAAUGUAUUUAUGUAUCAAGUAUUAAUAUUUAAUAUGUAUUAUAUAAUAUAUACCAUUUAUUCAUAGACCAUUUGAUUGUUUUGACAUUAUUACUCGUGGUGGAUGGUCUAAGGUCAUAAGUCGUAACCUAUAAGACUAAGUCUGUAACAUGUUUCUAUGAAUGUUUUUAAUUUUCAUUUGGAUGUUUAAGACUUAAAUAUCUAAAAUUUAGACCCACGAACCCAAAUCUGACCCACGAACCCGCCAACUUGUCAACCCGUAUAAAUAAAUGGGUUGGUGGGUCAUAUAUAGGUUUAAGUUCCAAACCCGCCAACCCGUGACCUGUAUAUUUAAAUGGGUCGUCAUUGGGUUGGCAUAUUUUGACCCGCCAACCCGCCAACCCGCGACACGCCAACUCGAACACAACACGAUUGCCACGCCUAACGAACUUCAAGAAUUAUGUAAAGGUAUAGUUACAAUCUACUAAGCAUGUGAAUUUCAGUCCAAGCCCAACUAGCAUGUAAAUGGACCACAAAGGUCCAAUGACAUGUAAGAAGGUAAUUUAGACCCAAUAGGCAUGUAAGUGGACCACCAAGGCCCAACAAACAUGUAACCUAUAGCUCAGGCCCAAAUUAACAUGUAAAUGGGUCGCAAGGCCCAAUAAACAGGUCAUUGAAAAUAUUGGGCUCAAUAUAUACUUGAAUGGGCCCUUAAGGCCCAUUGGCCAUGUAAUGUGAAUAUUAGGUCCAAUAAAAUUAUUAUCGAUGUAUUUCGUCAAUUCGUUAUUAUUUCAUGGUUUGCUUUAGCUCGAUGUUUACCGAAUUAAAUAUAAAAGUCCCCUUUUUGUAUAAACGACGUUCUUGGCCAAUAAGACUAAAAUUUUGAAUUAAGGCCCAAAGUUUUGUAAAAAUUAACACUUUAGUCCAUAAUGUAUAAAAAUUUGUAAUUUUGCCCCAAAUGUUUAGAAAUUUACGGAUCUAGUCCAAAAAAUUAUAUUUUGACAUUUAUGGCCCAGUUUCGCAGAAUAUUACAUUUUCAGACCCUUGUUUGUAAAAAUGACACUUUUGACCCAGUUUUUAUAAAAGUUACAUUUUUGGUCCAAUUUAGAAAUAUAUGUUAUUUUUACCCCUAAAUUUGGUUUAUUUACAUUUAUGACUAAAACUUUGGUCAAAUAACAUUUUUAAUCCCAAAACUUCCAUUUUUUCGCAAAUUUGGCCCCAAAACCGUGAGGCCCAAAUAUUCAGCCCAUUAGGCUAAAAUUUACGUUUUUGGCCCUUUGGAAAGCAUGUUUAUCAUAAAAAUCCCUUUUUAUACAAACAGGACCUGUUUGGUCCUUUAAAAACCGUAAAUGUCACUUUUUUCCCUUAUCUUUUGUUUUCUUGACAGUUUUGACCCUUAACAAGGUUUUUGCUUUAAAUUUUUGUAUCUUAAACAUAUAAACACUUUUAACUUGAUAAUAUGAUGUAUAAGGUGUUUUAGUGUUGGAUUAAUGUCUAAGUUUAUAACUAUAAUUGGUAAGACUUGACCCGAUCCGGCAUGGUCCAUUUGGGUUGCAUGGCAUCAUGCACUUGGAUAGACUAUAAUGAGAGAAAUAAGACACUUAUGGUUAUUAAUAUAUUAUAAGUUCUAGUAUAUUAAUAAUAAGAAUAAUAAGAUUAUUUAAUUAGUAUUGAUCAAGAAUUAAUCUAGGAUUAAUUAAGUGAUCAAAAGAAGACUAAUUAAAUAUAUGGGUUGAUUGUGUAAAUCAUCCAUACUUAUAUAGUGGGCUAAUGCUCCAUGGAUAAUCAAGUUGGGCUAAAACCCAUAGGAUGGUCCAUGGAUGCUCCAUGGUGUAUUUGAACCCAUGGAUCCAAGGAAAUGGAAAGUCAUGACAAUUAGGGUUUACCCUAAUUGUAACACUAUAUAAAGAUCUUAUUAUUGACCAAAAUCGGCCACUAGAAUCAUUCUAGAGAAGGGCUAGCCGAUUUCAUGUAGUGUAGAUUUCUCUCAAGUUAUUCCAAGUGUAUUUGGUGUUGUGUGAACCAUUUGAGGUGUCACACUUGGGGCACUAGACACUCAAGCUUCAUGAAGACUUUCUACAUCAAAGAAGUAUGUAUUCUAUCUUGUUACAUUCAUUGUUUUGUAUGCUAGAUUAGGAUAAUACCUUGGAAGUUCUUAUUUGCAUGUAUAAUAGAGAAAACAUAGAUCCAAGGUAUUUAGGGUUGCAUGUACACUUAGGAGUGUUAGAAUGCUCAAAACCCAACAGUGGUAUCAGAGCCUAGGCUUGUUUUCUUGUUAUACUUGCAAAAGAAGCUGAAAAAUCGAGUUUUGAUGCUGUCUGCCCAGCAGACUCGCCGAGUCCAUGAAUGGACUCGCCGAGUCCAAGGCAAAAUGCAUCCAACUCGCCGAGUUGGUUCGUGCACUCGACGAGUUGGACCCCCAGACAGCAUAAAUUCGACUUUUUUGGCUGGAAUUGGACUAGGAACAUUACCCUAAGAUGUUUUUGGACUUAUAAACUUGUUUUUGAUGUGGUAAUGUUCAUGCUAAUCCAAUUUCAAAGAUAAUUGUCAAUAGAUUCAUGUUUUGUAUUAGUUUAAGGUUUAGACUAAUUACAUGAAAAAGUUUGAUUUGAAUUAUCUUGUUCUUAUGAGUUGCUUAGAUUAAUAGAAAAGUUGAGUGAAAUAGUUGUUUUCAAUCCAAAUUAAUCUAAGAGUUGAUUCUAAAAUGUGUUUUUGUAACUUGUCCUCAAGUUAUAUGAAAAGUCACAUUUAAGUUUCAUAAAACUCAUAAAAGUUGGCAAAGGUUACAAAAUGAAGAGUCUAGUUCUAAUUAAAUGGUUUUAUGACUCCAUAACUUGUCCUCAAGUUAUGGAGGACCAAGAGUCUCUUCAUUAAAUAAUAAAUAAAAAAAAAAAGUAACCUUAAUUAAUUCCAUAAGUUAUAAAAUAAAGAAAAGUUAAUUCUUUUAUUAGUUUAAAGUCUUCCAUAACUUGUCCUCAAGUUAUGGAACUUGAAGAGUUUUUGGAUUAAAACUACUUUAAACACAUAAGUUAUGGAAUUAAUUAGUUUUGAAUAGUUUCAAAACUUGCCCUCAAGUUUUGGAAUUUGAAAAGUUUUCACUUAUGAAUACUUUAAUUCCAAGUUAGCCCUUAGAAUUUUAAAAGUUAAAAUUCAACCCUUAUACUUUAUAAUAUUAUAAGUUAAUAAUAUAUAUAUGUAUAAGAGUAAAGUCAGUCUUACCGCUAGUACGCCUCAUUCACGAAGCCGGUCUAUAAGGUGGGUAUAAGGUUGUUGCCUAUAAAAUGGCAACUUAAUGGGUGUCCACUCUCACCCACCGCUUGCUUGACUGGUGGAGGGUCGUUAGCCGAACGGGUUUGACAGGACUAGAAUUCUCCCUUCAUUAAAAGUAUUAAUGAUAAUACUAAGUAACUAAACUCUUAAUAAUACCCAAUCUUAGUUACUUAGGAAAAAUGUGAAUAAGGUGCUAAUCCAUGAAAUUACACUUUGCACUUUGUUUAAGUCGGUUAGUGGAGCGUGUGUGGUUAACCGGCACACUAACUCGUAUUUAACAAGGUAGGCAAAGGGUAACUUAAUGUUUAUCAUAGUAUCGAUGGAGCGUGUGUGGUUAACCGGCACAUCGAUUGAGGGGUAAACACUUAAGGGUACCAAGUAAUUUGCAUGGUUACUUCACACCUUGUUUUGUGAUCCUCGGCAUCCCAGUCACAAAACCUGAAGGGCACACUCGAGAUUGAAACAUGCCAUUGAACAGUUCAAUGAAUCUCAAAGAUCUAGGAGUUUCAAAACCAAUUAAAACCUAAUAAUACAUUUCGUUUAUCUUGGUGGAAAUUGGUGAAUCGUCAUUCACCUACCUUCAAAUAUUUUAUAGCUUGGAUUACGGCAUACCUCUUCUAAGUUAUAAAAUAGUUUGUUGGGUCCUAGCCUUAAUAUUUCAUAUUGGGUGUCAUAUUAAGGACUUUAAAUCAACUAUCUUGAAUAUCUCCCAAAAGAUGUCUGGUUUAGACACCUAUGAUCUUCCCAAAUCUCUUGAAACAAGGUUUCCUAAUGAAGAUGAUGUCCCAUGGAUAUCAUACUUCUUCACCUCUUCAAAUUAUUCUCCCUAACCCACAAGUUCUUGAAAAGUUUAAGGUCACUCAGGCCCUAUUGGCAAGGCAAGGUCUAGGUGUGAUCACAUCUUGGAGAUGUAGUCACAUAUUGACAAGCCGGGAGAGUUGGGUGUCAAAGUCUUGAGAAAGUUGGUGGUUCAAUCACUUUCUAAGUCACAUAGUGAGUUCCUUUGGGACACCUAUGAAACAGACUAUGACAAGACCCUUAAUGAUCUUAUCUAUUUGAUAAGAUCAACUUCCUAAAACUUUAUGGACAUUGACAAUGAUAACAUUGGAUAUCUAGUAAAGCUCUCUCUUCCCAGUGGAAAGGGAUCAGCCAUAGUCAACUGGGUUGACCAAAAUGGUAAAGAGAAAAGCUAAGUCUGUGAUAGUCCCGUGUACCAUUAUCAAAGGGUCCAUAUGUUUAUAUUGCCAAAGGAAGGGGGAUUGGUUGCGAAGCUGCCAAAUUUACCUAAAGAUGUUAAAGUCAAUAAGUUUGACUCUACUUCAUGUAAAGUCCACUAUCUAACUCUGUUAAGUUUCUAUUCUGAGAUUCCUGAUACAUGAUGUGACUGGGUCACAUGGUGAUGUUUUAAGAAUCGGAGCAUAUCCUCGAGUGUCUGGAUGGUGCACUCACUCUGACCAUCCGUCUGUGGGUGGUAGGCAGUGCUCAUAUCUAGCUGUGUUCCCAUUGCCUUCUGAAGAUAUUGCCAGAAACUUGAAGUGAAUCUGCUAUAUCGAUUUGAGAUAAUAGAUAUUGGCACUCCAUGGAGUCUCACAACCUCCUUGAUGUAGAUUCGGGUCAGCUUUUCCAUCUUGUAAGAUUCUUUUAUUGGUAGGAAAUGAGCGGAUUUUGUUAAUCUAUCCACGAUUACCCAAAUAGCAUCCAAUCCGUCUGCUAUCUUUGGCAAUUUUGUCACAAAGUCCAUGGUAAUCCUCUCCGAUUUCCACUUGGGUAUCACUGGUUGUUGCAGUAGUCCCGAGGGCUUUUGGUAUUCCACUUUCACUUUGGCACAAGUAAAACACUUGCCCACGAAAGUGGCUAUCUCUGCCUUCAUAUUAGGCCACCAAUAUUGUUGCUUGAUAUCCAAAUACACCUUAUCUGACGCCGGAUGAAUAGAAUAUCGCGUCUUGUGGGCUUCAUGCAUGACUACUUCUUUGAAUCCCUUAAAUUUGGGAACCCAGAUUCUAUUCAUGAAGUAGUGAGUUCCAUCGUCUUUAACUUCGAGCACCUUCUCCAUUCCACGUAGUGAGUCACUAGCGACAUUCUCUGGCUUCAAUGGUUCCAAUUGGUCUUCCUUGAUCUGUGAGGCUAGAUGAGAUUGGAUGGUGAUUGAUAGAGUUUUCACACGACGACUUGAAUACUCCUUUUGGAUCAAGGCAUCGGCUACCACGUUAGCCUUGCCUGGAUGAUAUUUGAUCUCACACUCAUAAUCAUUUAACAGCUCAACCCAUCUCCACUGCCUCAUGUUUAGUUCCUUUUGAUUUAGAAUGUGCUGGAGGCUCUUGUGGUCUGUAAAGAUGGUGCACUUGGUACCAUAUAGGUAGUGCCUCCAAAUUUUCAAGGAGAAGACCACCUCCCCCAAUUCGAGAUGUUGAGUAGUAUAAUUUACUUCAUGUGUUUUCAAUUUUCUAGAUGCAUAUGCAAUUACCUUCCCGCGUUGCAUAAGGACACAACCUAAACCAUGAUUCGAAGCAUCAUAGUAAAUUAUGAAGUCUUUAAUUCCCUUCGGUAAGGAUAACAAUGGAGCACUACAGAGGGCUUGCUUCAAGGUUUGGAAGGCGAUCUCUUGCUUCUCAGUCCAGUUGAAAGGUACGCCUUUCUGUGUCAAUGUGGUGAGGGGUUUGGCUAUCUUAGAAAAGUUCUGAAUGAAUCUUCGGUAGUAGCCCACAAGACCCAAAAAUUGGCGAAUUUAUGUUGGCGUUGUUGGAAUUUCCCAGUUUUUGAUUGCUUUGAUCUUUGAAAGAUCCAUGUGUAUUCCUUCCUAACUAACUACAUGGCUUGGAAAGUUUACACUGCGGAGCCAGAACUCACACUUGGAGAGUUUCGUAUACAACUUUUCAGCUCGAAGGGUCUUCAAGAUCUGUUGGAGAUGUUGACUAUGCUCUUCUUUGCUUCGAGAGUAUAUGAGGAUAUCAUCGAUGAAAACGAUCAGGAAUUUGUCAAGGAAUGGGCGGAAGACUCGAUUCAUGAGGUCCAUAAAUGCAGUGGGGGCAUUUGUUAGACCGAAGGGCAUCACGACGAAUUCGUAAUAACCGUAACGGGUUUGGAAAGCAGACUUAGGAAUGUCCUCAUCUCGGACCUUGAGUUGAUGAUAACUGGAUCUUAGAUCUAUCUUUGAAAAGUAACUAGCCCCUUGAAGCUGGUCAAAUAGAUCAUCGAUUCGUGGAAGUGGAUACCGGUUUUUGAUGGUGAGCUUAUUUAGUUCCCUAUAAUCAAUGCACAUCCUGAAGGAUUCGUCUUUCUUUUUAACGAAAAGAAUCGGAGCUCCCCAUGGAGAGAAGCUUGGUCUUAUGAAUCCUUUAUUCAAGAGUUCACUUAGUUGGCUUGACAAUUCAUGCAUUUCAGCGGGAGCCAACCUAUAGGGUGAUUUGGCUAUUGAAGUGGCUCUAGGCACUAGGUCGAUUCAGAAUUCGAUUUGUCGUUCUGGGGGUAUUCCUGGAAGCUCUUCUAGAAACACAUCCGGGAAGUCACAUGCCACUGGGAUGUUUUGAAUGUUCGCUUCCUCUUUGGUAUUAUCCACCACAUGAGCAAGGAAUGUGUAGUUCUUCUUUUGUAGACACUUUUGUGCCUUGAUACACGAGAUAAGGUAAAGGUUUGCACCGGGUUUAUCUCCGUAGAUUAUUAGGGUUUCGUGAUUAGAAAGAUGAAAGUGAAUGACCUUCUCGUGACACAUAAUAUCGGCAUGAUGGGGGCUUAACCAAUCCAUGCCGAUGAUGACAUCAAAACUCCUAAUAUUUACUGGCAUCAAAUUUAUUUGGAAAAAGUGGUUGUUUAGUGUUAACGUACAUCCUAUAUAGAUAUCUUUGGUUGUUUCAGUGUUCCCAUUAUCCAUUUCCACCGUGAAGGAUUCGUUGAGCUUCUGGGGUUGUUGAUUUAGAAAGUAUUUGAAUUUAUUACUAACGAAACUUCGCUCCGCCCCACUAUCAAAUAAGAUGCAUGCAUACGAGUUGUUAAGUAGGAACGUACCGAUGAUAACAGCUGGGUCCUACACUGCUUCAUCCUAACCCAUUGUCAACACUCUCCCUGCUGCUCCUGCCCCUUGAUUGUUUGCGUUGGGGAAAUUUCUCCUGAAAUUCCCGGUUUUCCCACAUACGUAACAGGUAUAAUUGGCCCCAACAUUGGUGUUGUUGUUAUUGUUGUUGUUGUUGGUGUUGUUGUUGUUGUUGUUUUUUGGCAUCUGGUUUUGUUGAAGCUGAGUCCUGCAAUACUUUGUUGUAUGGCGUUUCUGGUUGAACCUUGCGCAAAUCAUCUCUCUGUAUUCCCCAUGAUGGUGGAAGUUGCAUUUGUUACACUUGGCGAGAUUUCCUGAAUACUGCUUUGGAGCAUUUGGCGUGGAUGAGGCUGGAGCAUGGGGUGUGGUGGUAGCUUGAGUUACAGCAUGGACAGUCACAGUUUGUUGCUUCUUAGAUGAUUCUGAGUUAUGUUUUCCAUUUCUCUUGUUGUUUAUCCCUUUCUUUCUCUCUUCUUCCUUCUUAACCUCCGCUUCCACUGUUUUGGCACGCUUCUUAUUUCCAUGAUCAUACGAUUUCUUGUCCAGUCUCUUGGCGCUAUCAAACAUCUCAGGGUUUUGCUGCAAUAACAUUCCCUUAGAUAGGUGCAGUCAAUCCCUAGAUAAACCUAUCAAUCUUUUUCCCUUCUAAGGUGAUCAUUCCGGGACACAAAAGAGAUAGCUCACUAAACCUAGAUAUGUAUGCGGUUAUAUUGGAGUUUUGAACUGUGAGGUUCCACAACUCUUGUUCCAUCUUCUGAAUUUCACCUCCAAGACAGUAUUCUGCCAACAUCAUUUCCUUAAGCUCUUCCCAGAGCAUCGCGUUCGCUACCGGGAGUGUCAUGGCCUCUACAUGCCCAUUCCACCAGGAGAUGGCUUGAUCAAUGAAUUUGCAGGUUGCGAACAUGACCUUACACUCAUCUGGGCACCCACAGAUUUCAAAAAUGGAUUCUACUUUCUCGAUCCAUCGCUUCAGGGCUAUUACGCCUCCUGUCCCAUUAAAGGUUCGAGGUUUGGCAUUGGUGAAGUCCUUGUAGGUGCAUGUUCGUGUGGCUCCAUGGAUUGUUCCUUGAUUUGUGCUUCCGUUUCCCUGUCGGUUGCCUUCUCUAUUGUUUCCAUUGCGAAUCUGCACAAGUGUUGUAGUGACCGCAACAGACAAUGUUGCCUGGAAUGCAACCGAGAUUAUUUUCGGCGGGUUUGGUGUUGCGUUGUUUCCACGAUUGGGCCUUUGAGGCAUCUUUCUGUCAUGGAACGGAAAGAUGUAGAGUGACUAUUGUUUUGCGAGUUUGGAAUCCCCUAGGCUAGGUGUAUCGAGUGUGUAUUUAAGUAAUUUCAUACAUUAACAUAAAAUAGGGAAGUAAAACACAUAGCAGAUGACAACAUCAUGAUAAAACGUAAAGCAUUUUCAUUAAUACUAAUUGUUUUGAUACAUGAACAUUUGCCAGAAGGCAUACAGUACAUAGGGAAAUAUAAAAUAUGGCAGCAUUACAACCCUAUGAGCAGUGUGAUCACUUAAACAUAGAGUCGAUAGUACAUAGCAUAGUACACAUAAGGGAAACCUAAUAGUAUUAAGAGAUACUACUGGUCCUGAUCAUACUGAGAAGUGCCUAAUGGUGGUGGUGAAAUCAUAUCCCAAAAUGUUAUGCUAAUAACUGAUCCAUCUCGGUCAUCUCUCCGAUGACCUCAUCUUUUUCCUACUCAGUUUGCAUGGCUCGUGCCUCCAUAGCAAAUAGUUGUUGUCGAAGUGUGGCAACCUCCGCUUCCAGAGACCGAUCCUCAUCAACGGGGUUCCCUAGUGGACCAGGGUGGUCCUGGUGUGCCUCAUUGGUAGGUGGUUCGACGGGGGCUUCAUUUUUGUCCCCAUCCUCCUCCAUGUCUUCGUCAGUCCUAUCAAACUCAUAGUCUGUAUUAGUGUACUCGUCGGGCCCAAUGGUAGGGGCUCCUCCUUGUUCCUCCUCGGGAUUCUCCUCAAGCAUCCCAUGUGCCACUAGGGAUUGAUAAAAAUGGACUCCUUGCUGAGCGUCGUCCAUGGUGACUGCAUGAGGGCGUAUGAAUAAGUCAUGUUUUGAUUAUUCCUAUAGUAUAUUUUACUUAUUUAGGUUUGGUUUCCCUAGAGUUGUUGGAGAGUGAGGUAGGCUUUUGGAUUCAUUUCCCGCUAUGAUUACUCCCAAACACAAUUUGGUCAUAUUCUGAAUAAAUAUAGUUGAUCAGGCUAUAUUUAUCCCUAAUAGGACUACAUAACUGCCCAUGUUUAAUUAUAAUGUUCAAUAUCCUCCAAAAGCUUUUAUUAAAUAUUGUUAGGUUAUUAUCCUAAUAUGCGCAUAUAAGUAUGAAAUUUUUGUUUUGUUCACAGUUAUUUAGUCCCAUUGUGUUUAUAGUUGCAUAUCAUGUAUGGUUAGAUAUGCUAGUUCACUAUAAACAUUGCUUUGAUACCAACCUGUCACACCCCCGACCCAGACGGUGGAAACGUCUAGGGGCUCCUGUGACUAACAAUUGAAUUAUCAUCACAAUGGAUAUACAUGAAACAUAACACAUUCAUCACUAACAUUACAUAUUACAACCAGCAUUGUUCACAUCAAGUACAUUGUUAAAGAUUACAUAAAUUCAAAGUAUUAAUAGUAAGAUAGGUGAUGUGACACAAAAUAAAUCCAUACACACUUGAAAAUCUUCCUGCUUAACAAUUACCUGAGAAUACAAGUUAUUUUGAAAAAUGGUCAACAUAUAUAAUGUUGGUGAGUUCAUAAGUAUGUUUGAAUAAAAGUCUUUGCAUCUUUUGUAAAAACCCAGAAAAUCCGAUAUUUUCUGUAAAAUGUCUGAAAAUGAUGUGAAAAUCAAGUAUAAAUUCAUGUGUGAAUUUCAUAGCAGUAACAUAUAUGAUUUCAGUUUAAAUUUCUUUGUAUUGUAAGUAAGUGAUAAUUGAAUAAUAGUCUUUACCCAGAAAAUCCGAUAUUUCCUGAUUUAUAAUAAUGUCAAGGUUCUUGUAUCAUUAAUUAAGUUGUUUCGUAUUGACAAAAUCGAAGGGUUAAUCUUCGAAAUGUUAAAUUGGUAUUGGAUCUCUAUAUGAGUUGUUAUAACCAUGCAUGAUAAUGACUAGGUUGGCUGUCUUGGCAUUUUCCAAACGCCUGUAUUUGCUCAAGGUUUUGUCACCCUAGACUGGCCUAGUCUAGUUGUAGCCAACAACUAAGGCGUGGGGGGUCACCCCAUAUAGAUCUAUACACAAACUCCCGCUCUCCCUCCAGGAAACUCUGGUUAUAACUACAGACUACGAUUGUACACUCAGAGGUGUCAACCGACAUGUCUCACUAGAUUCUCAACUUUUCAUACCAUGUUUAAUGUUUACGUGAAUGUUGUAUGUUUUCAAAUCCAAAGGUAUAUAUAUAAGUAUACGAACUUUAGGGCUGGCAAUUGUUGACACGAUACGCGACACGACAUGAAAUAAAUGGGUUUGGGUUGAGUUUUUCAACCCGCCAACCCGCUAACCCGUCAACCCACCAACCCGUUUAUUAAACGGGUCAUAUAUGGGUUUCUCAAAAAAUAAACGGGUUGACCCGCCAANUGUAAGUGGACCACCAAGGCCCAACAAACAUGUAACCUAUAGCUCAGGCCCAAAUUAACAUGUAAAUGGGUCGCAAGGCCCAAUAAACAGGUCAUGGAAAAUAUUGGGCUCAAUAUAUACUUGAAUGGGCCCUUAAGGCCCAUUGGCCAUGUAAUGUGAAUAUUAGGUCCAAUAAAAUUGCUAUCAAUGUAUUUCGUCAAUUCGUUAUUAUUUUGUGGUUUGCUUUAGCUCGAUGUUUACCGAAUUAAAUAUAAAAGUCCUCUUUUUGUAUAAACGACGUUCUUGGCCAAGAAGCCUAAAAUUUUGAAUUAAGGCCCAAAGUUUUGUAAAAAUUAACACUUUAGUCCAUAAUUUAUAAAAAUUUGUAAUUUCGCCCCAAAUGUUUAGAAAUUUACGGAUCUAGUCCAAAAAAUUAUAUUUUGAUAUUUAUGGCCCAGUUUCGUAGAAUAUUACACUUUCAGACUCUUGUUUGUAAAAAUGACACUUUUGACCCAAUUUUUAUAAAAGUUACAUUUUUGGUCCAAUUUAGAAAUAUAUGUUAUUUUUUCCCCUAAAUAUGGUUUAUUUACAUUUAUGACUCAAACUUUGGUCAAAUAACAUUUUUAAUCCCAAAACUUCCAUUUUUUUGCAAAUUUGGGCCCAAAACCGUGAGGCCCAAAUAUUCAGCCCAUUAAGCUAAAACUUACGUUUUUGGCCCUUUGGAAAGCAUGUUUAUCAUAAAAAUCCCUUUAUAUACAAGUAGAACCUGUUUGGUCCUUUAAAAACCACUUUUUGCCCUUAUCUUUUGUUUUCUUGACAAUUUUGACUCUUAACAACGUUUUUGCUUUAAAUUUUUGUAUCUUAAACAUAUAAACACUUUUAACUUGAUAAUAUGAUGUAUAAGGUGUCUUAGUUCAUGGGUUUUUUACUUAAUGUUGCUUAAGAUGUCGAGACAUGCUAAGAUCUAACAUAUUUUUUACAAAAUAGACUAAGAAAUCACACACGACAUGCAUAUAACACAUAGAUCUACACAUUUUACUUGUAUUCUCCCCCAAAACUAAUAUGAAAACCAAAAACAAGGGGGUAAGAACUCACCUUUGCUUCGAUGUUUCGGUUUUGAAGAAGAAAUGGAAGAAGUUGAUGUGAUUUUUUGCUCUAGCAAGCUCCUUGAGUAGAUUUCGAGCUUAAGAAGUUUCCAAGAGUCUGACCAUGGAAUAAAGCUAUGUAACAAGGAAUUUUUUGAUGUUAAAAUAAAAGGAGAUGUUUGUGUUUGAUAACAACUUACCAAAGAUUGAAAAUGCUUGAUGAAGAUCCUUAAAACUCAAGCAAAAUUUUGAGAUCCUUGGAGAAAGGAGGAUGAUCUUUGAGAGUGUUUGGAGAGGAUUUGAAAGAGUGUGUGUGUGUGUGUGUGUGUGGUUUGCCUCUCGGCCGUGAGUAGAAGAAGAAGGGGGAAAGAGAAGAUGUGAUGGAUACUUAGGAGUAUAAGCUUUGUAUUUGCUUAAUGGGUAAUUAGCUUGGAGAACCACCAUGUAAUUAUCAUGUGUCAAUGCAUGGUAAUUCUCUUAUUUUCCUUUUUUUACAUGUAUAUGAAUGUACAUAUCUAAUGGGCCGAGAAAAAGAAAGAAUGGAGGGGCUUUGGCCUCUUUUUGAUUUGGUUCGAGUUUAUGAGGCCCAUAGAAAGAGGCUUUCGGCCCAUUGGGCCUUUAGGUGUGUUCACGGCCCAUUUCGAAAGAAGAAAGGGUGUUUAUGGCCCAUUACGGCUAAUUAAUUCAUUAAUGGCCUAAUAAGGCCCAUUAAGGAUAAACCAAUUUAUUUUGGACCCAAAAUGGCCCAAAAUGCUAAGUUUCACGGAAGUGGGUCCAAUUAGUGCCCAUUUAAGGGUCCUAAGCCCAAAAUAGUUAAAUUGGAACCUCAUUGGUCCAUUAGGCCCAAUAAGGAAAUCCUAGUCCAAUAUGGACUUAAAUCGGGAUUCUUAGGGUUUUCAAACUCUUUGUUGAACAUGAGAGGUGAAUUUAAAUGAGCAUUGCGUGAUAUUUACUUAAAGUAUAUGUUUUACACUAGUUGAAUGAUUACACGAGAAUAGAGUUUUCUAGCAAAAAUGCUAGUUGUGACAUUAAUGAAAUCGUGAUUAUUUAUAGUAGGAGCAACAUUCCUCAUAGCAACCACACUUGAUUUACCAACUUCACCUAAAGUCAUCUGCAUAGGCAAGGUGCUUAAGUUUACAAACAAGGUAAAAUCAGUUGAUCGAGUUUUGUUCACGACAUCUAUCUCAUUAACAACACUGAUACUUGGAUGAUCCUAAAGUUUUGAUGAUGAACCUCUUCCACAAAUAUCCGUUUAUUGUUUUGAGUAUGAUCUUUGAGAUAAAACACUUGUUUAGCUUGUGUGGAUAAGAUGUAUUAUUGAUCAUCAUACCUUCUUUUAUUGACAUACCAUCCAUGACUGGUAUCUAUAACGACCAUAUUAUUUAUAGUCUUUAAACAUCCAUUACGUAAUGACACAUUGAACCAUUUACCACGACAGAGUAAAAUUGAGUUACCAUAUAAAUAAUGCGAAUCUAGGAUCUCCUCUAAUUGUCCAUAGAAUGGUCUACCAUCUUCUUGUUGGAUUAGUGUCUAAUUCCAUAACUAUAUUUGGUAUGUACUUGACCCAAUUGGCAUGGUCCAUUUGGGUUGCAUGACAUCAUGCAUUUGGAUAGACUAAAAUGAGAGAAUAACACUUAAGGUUUAUUAAUAUAUUAUAAGUUCUAAUAUAUUAAUAAGAUUAUUUAAUUAGUAUUGAUCAAGAAUUAAUUUGGAACUAAUUAAGUGAUCAAAUGGAGACUAAUUAAAUAUAUGGGUUGAUUGUGUAAAUCAUCCAUACUUGUAUAGUGGGCUAAUGCCCCAUGGAUUAUCAAGUUGGGCUAAAACCCAUAGGAUGCUCCAUGGUGUGUUUGUACCCAUGGAUCAUGGAAAUGAAAAGCCAUGAAAAUUAGGGUUUACAUGGUGUAACCCUAAUUGUGACACACUAUAUAAGUAUCUUAUUCUUCCCAAAAAAAGAGCUAUAAAGGAAUGGUGAGGGCUAGCCGAUUUCAUGAAGUGUCUAAUUUCUCUCAAGUUAUUCUAAGUGUAUUUGGUGUUGUGUGAACCAUCUGAGGUGUCACACUUGGGGAACUAGGCUCUUAAGCUCCGUGGAAUCAAGCUACACCAAAAGGAAUGUCUUCUAACUUGUAUUAUUCCUCAUGAAUCAAUAUUUUGUAUGCUAGUUAGGAUAAUACCUUGGAAUAUUAAUAUUUGCAUGUAUAAUAGAGAAAACAUAGAUCCAAGAUAUUUAGGGUUGCAUGUACACAUAGGAGUGUUAGAAUGCUCAAAACCAUUCACUUCUCCAAAUUUAACAACACCACUAUUUUUAGUAGUGUGUCAGAGAUCACGAAUACUCACAACAAAACGAACACCGACAAUAUGUAUUAUGUUGGUCAUAGACAAUUCUUGAAUAUGAACCAUAGAUGGAGGGAGAGUCUAUUGUUUGAUGGUCCACCCGAUACAAGACCGUAUCCUAGACGAUUUAGUAAUUUAACUAUAUUAAAGUAAUGUAACGUCUGUGUUUCUGGGCUUGCCAUUUUUAGCAAUGUANNNNNNNNNNNNNNNNNNNNNNNNNNNNNNNNNNNNNNNNNNNNNNNNNNNNNNNNNNNNNNNNNNNNNNNNNNNNNNNNNNNNNNNNNNNNNNNNNNNNGACGAAGGUGGACCGGUAUGCGAAGGGACUCCCAUGGGAGUAUGACGUGCCAGUACGUCAGGCACAUACUUUAGAGGCAGCUAUCUGGGCUACCAAGUCUGUUGAGAACAUGAUAAAGGGGAGAACCACCAACAAGGUUGAGGUUGGUGAGAAGAGGAAGUUUGAGGGAACAUCUGGUUCCGGUAAGAAAAGCAAAUUUUCGAAAUCUGAUUCGAAAAGGUUUGGUGGGGGUAAAGGAGGGGAAGCGAAGUGGUGUGAAAAGUGUAAGAAAAAGCAUUUCGGGAAAUGUAGCGAGGAUGUAACUUGCUACAAGUGUGGAAAGGUUGGACAUUUUGCCAAUGAAUGUCCGAACAACAAAAGGAUGUGUUUUGGUUGUAAUGAAGAGGGGCAUAUUUUGAAAGACUGUCCGAAGAAGAAGGAGGCAGCUAAGCCCAACAUUCCACCAAAGCCGAAGGCGAGAGCCUUCCAGAUGACACUUGAGGCUGCGAAAGAUGAAGCUGAUGUCGCUUCAGGUACCUUUCUCGUAAACGAAUUACCUGCUCAUAUAUUGUUUGAUUCUGGAGCCAACUACUCCUUUAUUUCGCAUGAGUUUGGUAGAAAGCUAGCUUUGCCUAUUGAUAGACUAGAUGAUGCUUUAUUAGUCGAAGUAGCUAGUGGCAAGUUUGUACCUGUUAGUCAUCGUAUGAAAAGCAUCUUAAUUGAUCUGAAUGGGAAUAAGUUUCACGAGGAAUUAUUGCCUAUCGAACUAAAUGGUUUCGACAUCGUGUUGGGAAUGGAUUGGCUUAGCGCCAAUGAUGCCGAAAUUUUGUGCAAGAAGAAGAUAGUUAAAGUAAACCCGCCUGGGAAAGAUUCGUUUAUGGUGUAUGGGGACAAACGCAGAGUGAAUUCUGGAAUCAUUUCUCUAAUGAAAGCCAGAAAGUGUUUGACCAAGGGAUGUACAUCAUAUUUAGCAUUCGUGAUUGAUGCUAAGAAGGAAAAGAAGGUGAUGCAGAGUAUUCCAGUGGUGUGUGAUUAUCCGGAAGUAUUUCCCGAGGAUCUUCCUGGAUUACCACCUGAUAGACAAGUGGAGUUCAGAAUAGACUUGUUACCAGGAACCACGCCAAUAGCAAAAGCACCUUAUCGAUUAGCACCGACGGAGAUGAAGGAGCUGAUGAUGCAACUUCAGGAGUUAUUGGACAAAGGUUUCAUUAGACCUAGUUCAUCGCCCUGGGGAGCUCCGGUGUUAUUUGUAAAGAAGAAAGAUGGAAGUAUGAGAAUGUGCAUCGAUUACAGAGAGCUGAACAAGGCAACAAUAAAGAAUAGAUAUCCGUUGCCGAGGAUUGAUGACCUGUUUGAUCAAUUGCAAGGUUCGAGCUAUUUCUCGAAGAUCGAUCUUAGGUCAGGAUAUCAUCAGCUGAAAGUAAGAGAGCAAGAUAUCGAGAAGACUGCAUUCAGAACUAGAUAUGGACACUACGAGUUCUUGGUUAUGUCGUUUGGACUAACCAAUGCUCCAGCAGCGUUCAUGGAUUUGAUGAAUAGGGUUUGUAAUCCUUUCCUUGAUAAAUCCGUGAUAGUGUUCAUAGACGACAUUCUGAUCUACUCGAAAAGCCAGGAGGAGCAUGGCAGACACUUGCGAGAAGUGUUAGAAGUUUUGAAGAAGGAGAAGCUUUAUGCGAAGUUCUCCAAAUGUGAUUUUUGGAUUCGUGAGGUCCAAUUCUUGGGUCACGUGGUCAACCAAGAAGGGAUAAUGGUUGAUCCAGCGAAGAUCGAAGCUGUGACGAAGUGGGAACAACCGAAAAGUCCCACGGAGAUUCGAAGCUUUUUAGGAUUAGCCGGAUAUUACCGAAGGUUUAUCCAAGGCUUUUCUUCGAUUGCUACUCCAUUAACAGCUUUGACCCACAAAGGAGCUACUUAUGCUUGGAGUGAGAAGCAUAAAGAAGCAUUCGAGAAGUUAAAGAAGAAGCUAUGCGAGGCACCGAUACUUUCUCUACCCGAUGGAGUUGAAGACUUCGCUGUUUAUAGCGAUGCGUCUGGUGUUGGAUUGGGUUGUGUUUUGACCCAAAGAGAAAAGGUGAUAGCAUAUGCGUCUCGACAGCUGAAAGAGCAUGAAAAGAAUUACCCGACUCAUGAUUUGGAGUUGGCAGCGGUAGUUUUCGCUCUGAAAAUAUGGAGGCAUUACCUCUAUGGCACGAAGUGCAAACUUUUCACUGAUCAUAAGAGUCUCCAAUACCUCUUUAAUCAGAAAGAAUUGAAUAUGAGGCAACGACGCUGGCUAGAAUUACUUAAAGACUACGACUGCGAGAUACUUUACCACCCCGGUAAAGCUAAUGUUGUUGCUGAUGCUCUCAGUCGGAAAGUCAAUCUUGAAAGGAAGAGGCCAAGAGCGUUGAGAAUUGAAGUUGUCUCGACUAUUGUGGAAAGUAUAAAGAAAGCUCAAGAGGAAGCUUCUGAGAAAAAUGACCGAAAGGAGGAACGUUUGGGUAAAACGUUGGUGUUUGGUACUAACGGUCAUGGACUGAAGGUAUUCCAAGAUCGUAUUUGGGUACCUAAGUCAGGAGGAAUUAGGGAUCUUCUGAUGGAAGAAGCUCACAAAACCAUGUACUCAAUUCAUCCGGGUAGCACUAAAAUGUAUAGGGACCUGAAACCCUACUACUGGUGGCCGACGAUGAAGCUUGAUGUUGCAAAGUAUGUGGCCGAGUGUGUGACUUGUGCGAGAGUCAAGACACAACAUCAGAAACCUUACGGGAGUUUAGAACCAUUGCCUGUGCCUAUGGGUAAGUGGGAAGACAUUGCUAUGGAUUUUGUCACUAAACUGCCCAGAACAAAGAAUGGUCACGACAUGAUUUGGGUGGUCGUUGAUCGAUUCACUAAGAGUGCGCAUUUCAUAGCGGCCAGGGAGAAAUGGUCUAUGGAAAAGCUUGCGAAUUCUUACGUGAAGGAAAUUGUGAGGCUUCACGGUGUUCCGUUAACGAUUGUAUCGGAUCGUGAUAGCCGUUUCACCUCAAGGUUUUGGAAAAGUCUACAAGAGGAAAUGGGUACCAAGUUAUGUUUAAGCACAGCUUACCAUCCGCAGACUGAUGGUCAGAGUGAAAGAACAAUACAAACACUUGAAGAUAUGCUGAGAGCAUGUACCUUGGAAUUCCUAGGUAAUUGGGAUGAACAUUUACCGUUGGUAGAAUUUUCCUAUAAUAAUAGUUUUCACUCGAGCAUUAAGAUGGCACCUUAUCAAGCUUUGUAUGGACAGAAGUGUCGUACGCCGUCUUGUUGGCUUGAGGCUGGGGAAAAGCAGUUUAUGGGACCGGAGAUGGUUCAUCAAACUGCUGAAAAGUUGAAAAUAAUUAGGGAAAGAAUGUUAGCAGCUCAAGAUCGUCAAAAGAGCUAUGCUGACAAGAAGCGAAGACCGAUGACUUUUGAGGUUGGAGAUUCGGUUUUGCUUAAAGUCUCGCCGUGGAAGGGACUUAUAAGAUUUGGUAAAAGGGGAAAGUUGAGUCCAAGGUUUAUUGGACCGUUUAAAGUCCUUCAGAGGAUUGGGAAUCAAGCUUACAAGCUCGAAUUACCCGAAGAACUGAAUGGAAUUCACAACACCUUUCAUGUGUGUUAUUUGAGGAAGUUCACGGGAGAAGUUCCCGAUAUAAUUCCAAUUUCUGAAUUGAGAAUUGAUGAGAACAAAAGGUUGAUUGAAGAACCAGAGGCAAUUGUUGACCGAAAGACUAAGAAGUUGCGACGCAAAAUGGUUGGGUUAGUGCUUGUCCGAUGGAAACACACGAAUGGGCCGAAUCUCACCUGGGAGACGGAGAGUGACAUGUUGAGUCGCUAUCCGCAUUUGUUUGUUGAUGUGUGAUUCCGGGGACGGAAUCAUUCUAAGGUGGAGAGAAUUGUAACGCCUGUGUUUCCGGGCUUGCCAUUUUUAGCAAUGUAAUAGUCUAGGUUAACCUUUGUAACCCGUUUUGAAAUAAUAAGAUUGUAUUAUUUGAGUAUUAUGUGUUUUGUGCUUAAUUGCUUAAUUAUGUGGUUUGAUUAAUUAAGAAUAAAAAUAAGCGUCAAAAUUUAAGUGUAAAAUAAACUUAAUAUCUUUGGUUAAUGUUGUAGUAGUUGAAACGAGGUUUCCGAAUAUAUAUAGAACGCCCAAAUCUGACUUCGUAUGAGGAAGUUAUGAUUUAUCGAAGUUCCGGCUUAGCGAUAUACAGCCUGUUUUACUCGAUUUGAGAUCGAGCGGUUGUUAGCCGAAGCAAUCUAAAUGAGAAUCGAAGAUCUCAUUGUUGGUAUUGAAACGAUAAAAAGUUAGGCGAGAACGGACGUCAAACGAAGAAGUUAUGAAUUUAUAACGAAAGUUUCUGUCCCGGCCUAUUAAAAAUAAUUAAUAAAAAUAAAGUCAAAAUUAGCCGACGGAGUCUAAACGAAAGUCGUAGAGCGUGGUCUCACCUUCGCGUGGAUAUAAAGAACGUCGAAAACGGAGUUCGUAUGAAGAAGUUAUGAAUUUCCGAAGUUUAUUAAUCAUUUUGUAUUUAUUUUUAAUUCAAAAUUCGGAAGCAUUAUCCGAAGGAGUCACCGAUCUGAUCCGAGGUACGCCCCGCGUACUCGAGUACGCCCCGCGUACUCCGAGGGAUGUCGACACUCGCACUCGAGCACUUCGGAUACGUAAGCAAUGACGUUUUGGGCAGUACGCCCCGCGUAACGCAGUACGCCCCGCGUACUCCGAGGCUCCAGCCUCCUAUAAAUAGGAUGCGAGGGUUCCGGGUAUUUUUGCCAAUUCCCUCUCGUUUUCGUGUCGAAGCUCUGUGCAAAAACCCCCGAAGCUACCCCGAAGUCCCGGUAUCAUACUCUAGCCCCGAGGCAAGUCCCGAGAUCCUGAAGAUCCCGAAAAGUGCGGUUCCCGAGUCGAAGCUCUGCCCGCGAGAAGUUCGAUUUUCGAGAAGAUCUUCCAGAUCUGCUGUGGAUUACUACUUCUAUAAGCCGUAGUGCUGUCCGAUCAUCUUCUGAUCAAGUGAGUGUGUAGUUAUUUCUUCUAAUACAAUAAUACGAAGUAUUUUAUAUAAAAAUACGUGCUAUGUGUAUAUAUUUUGUUGUUAUAUAUGUGAAUGUAUACCCACUCUCUUCUAUCUUAUAGAUCUGAUUAUUUCUCAAUGAAAUACGUGUUAUGUGUGUGUGCCUCAUCUGUUAUGUGAAAAAUGUUUUGAUUGAGCAUGCUAUACAGGUUUUGAAACUACGUAUAAAAAUGUAUAUUUUAUCUACUAAUAUGUUGGGUAGAAUAUGGGUAGAUAGUUGGUGUGUAAUAAACAGAUGAGAGGCCUCGAUGUUGUUUUGAUCCAGUCAUCUAGCGGAAUUUAGAUGACGACCACGGACUUUUCUAGACAGUCCAGUGGAACGCUAGCAGGCUCAUAACCUGUAGGUGUUAAUGAACUUGGGUGUUCAUUCGCUGUAUUCCAUCCCCCCCAUGGUUGCCUUAUUUGACUUAUAUUGCUGAGGAACCCCCGAAGCAUGUGUAGUCGCCCCGAUGAAAUAUUCUUUGACUAGGUCCCUUGUGUUAGUUAUUUUAGGGACAUAAAGUGAGAAUAACGGGAAUGGGUAACUGGGUUAUUGUUGGAUGAUAAUAAUUAAUUAAAUUAUUUAUUGUGGGUUGAAAACCCUAUAUGCUCACCAGGCUCCCAAGCCUGACCCACUCAGUUGAUUUAUUUUACAGGAAGUGGCGCAAGAGCUUAAGAUGGGCGAACAUCAAGUUGUUUUGUUUACAAGUCUGUAUAUGUAUAUAUUUGUUGAAAGACUUGUAAUGCUAUCGUUUAUGCUUUAUGAUCUGUAUCGGAACAUGACAUCCCGACUUUUGAUUAUGAAAUGAAAUCAUAUUUCUUUAUGAAAUGUUUUGAUAAAUAUCUAUUUUAUCAUGUUUUGUUUUUGGGAACAAAUUCCGCAUCUCUUUUAAAAAUUAAAAGGAUUUACUCUGAAAAUUAUUUUAAAAAGCAUAAAUGAAAUCGGUCUUUUCUGGCCGAGAUUUUGGGGAUGUCACAAGUAAGUAGCUCGUCUCUCUGAUAAUAUGUAUUAUGUUGGUCAUAGAUGAUUCUUGAAUAUGAACCAUAGCUAGAGGGAUAGCCUAUUGUUUGAUAGUCCACCUAACACAAGACCGCGUCUUAGACAAUUCAGUAAUGUAACUAUAUUAAAGUAAGUAGCUCGUCUCUCUGAUAAUAUUCCAGGGGAAUAUCCUAAUCAUGGGGCUAAAAAAGAAAGCAUGAACAUGAAAGCAAAAAGGCAGAGUUGAAUCGGAUGAAACAAAGUAUCUUAUUUGAGCUUGAGUAUUGGUCUUCCCUCCACCUAAAACAUAAUUUUGAUGUUCUACAUGUUUUGAAAAAUAUGAAUGAGAGUGUGUAUAAUACUACACUGAUGAACGAUAAAAGAAAAUACAUAAAAGAAGUAAGAAUUGACUUGAAAAAUACGGUCAUUCGACCAGAUCAAUGGCCAAAAGAGAAAGUCAAGAAGAAGAAGACAGUACACCAUUCUAUGGUCCCUUGGUUGAUGCAUCUCUCAUUUGGACUCCUUCAACCCAUAACAUUUUCAACUCAGCCACCAAAGGCCUCAAGUAAACAUCAAUGUCCUUUGUAGGUGAUCUAGGGCCAGGAAUCAACAAAGUUAGCAUGAAAGAAGAGUCCUUCAUACAUAUCCAUGGUGGUGUAUUGUAGUUAGUAAAUAUAACCAUCCAAAUAAUAUAAGUAUUAUUAAAGUUGUUGAACGGAUUAAAGCCAUCAGCAGCUGAACCUAGACGAAUAUUUCUAUAUUCUUUAGCAAACUCUCGAUAUCUCUUAUCAAAUUAUUUCCAUGACUUCUCGUCAACCGGAUGACGCAUCUUACCAUCCAUUGAGCAUCCAGUAUUAUGACAACUAAUAUAUUUACCAGUGAAUCUGGAACUAUACAUUCGUCGAAGCCUUGAGUCAAAGGAAACUACCACAAUGCUUUUUGUGGUACUCUCUUCCCAUUUUGUUGUUGUGUCCACCCAUUUGCUUGCAUUACAAAUUCGGGCAAUUUUACAUGGAAUCAUUCUCCUUCCAAAACGAAGCACAAUCAUAUUUACAAGUAUGGAUGGAUUGAUAUCAAACCCUAUCUUUCUCAACUUAUUCUUAGCUUCAUAGUGUGAAGUUGCUCUUCGGGAAUGAAACUCUUAGUAACUCUACAAGUUGGUUAAAAAAAAUAUUUGUCCAUUUAUUUAUCACUUUAGUAUGCAACAACUUUGCCAGAAAGUUUAUGUAACGUCCCAAAAAUUAAGACUAAAAGUUUUUAAUUUUAAAUUAAUUAAAACCAUUAUCCAAACAACAUCUUAGAAAUCAUAGUGCAUCAAAGUGUAUCAAUAACAUCCAUGUACAUCAGCAAGAUAUAAAAAUGCAGAACGACGUGGUGGGUGCAUUGCAAUCAUCCCGUGUAACGCCCGUAAACUCGGGCUAGUCAAUUUAGAGACAAUGUGCGUCAAAAAUGACUUUUUGAUGGGAGAUUGUUUACAAGAAACAAUCUUAACCAAGUUAUAUUAUAUGUCACAAAGGUUCCUUAUAUAUAAAGAACGCCAAAAUCCGAGUUAUAACGAAGAAGUUACGACCUUUCGAAGUUCUACGACAAAACCAACACGGCACCGUGUAACGUAAAAAGUGAAAUCUUGAUAAAUUACUUUUUAGCCUUAGGGAUCUAAAUGAAAGUUGUUUUAUACAUUAAAUUGAGAGCAUGCAUAAAAAGAACGUCAAAAUCUGACUUUGUAUGAGGAAGUGAUGAUUUUUCUAAGAUUUCGCACAGAGUAUACAACCUGGAAUUCGAAUGUCAGAUCGAGUGAUUUUUAGCCAACACAACCUAAAUUAUAAUUGAAUAUCUCAUUAAUAGGAGUUCAACGAUAAAAAGACAGUUAAAAACGGAGUCUGUAUGCAGAAGUUAUGAAUUUUACACGGUCGUUAACAAAAUAAUAUUUUCAUACUGUUAUAUUUAAAAUUGGUUGAGAAUUAGCCGAUUCAAUCUAAAGGAAAGUUGUAGAUCUUGUCAAUACCUAUGUGUGGAUAUAAAGAACGUAAAAAACGGAGCUCGUAUGCGAAAGUUAUGAAUUUUUUAAAAUUUGUUGUUUUACCUGCGUCCAGCGCCACGUGUCAGCACCAGGCGAAGCCUUAGUGCCUACACAAGGCCACGACGUGGAUUAUAAGUCUAUGAUGUUGAUUUCCCCAGAUAACCUAUAAAUAGAGGUGGAAAUAAUCCAUUUCCUUCACACCUUCACCCUUCUUUCUGUCUCAACACUCCCAAUCUCUCCCUCCUAAUCCCUAGCAACUUCUAAGUGCUAGAGGCGAGUCCCGGAGCGCCAAAAGGGUCCGAGAAGAAGAGUUUUCGUCUCAAAAUUUCCGCCCCCUCAGAGCCCGGUUCCUAGCCAAACCCCCAGGAAGUGAGUUAUGCUUACACUACUUUAAGUAUACUUAUGUUUAAGUUUAUUAUCGUUAUUAUGAACUUAUAAACAAGAUUUAUCAGUGAUUCCAAGUCGUUAUACUAAUUGAUCUACUUACGGGGAUGAUAUAUAGGUUGUGAUUUAGUGAGGUGUUUAAAGUGGGAUUUCAAAACAGUAUACUUCGUAUACGAAACGGAACUUACCUCCGAUAUGAUCCUACAUGGUUGUUCCUUACUUGAUAGAUCAUGAAAGUAGACUUUGAGUUAAUGAUGAAUCUAGACUAAUAAUUAGUCGUGCGUAAAGAUUAGACUAAAACUUAGCGAUAAUAAUGCUAGGUUUCAUCGAAGGAAAAUAGAAUCAUGAGAAGCAAAGUGCUUCCCGAGUUUGGAAUUAUCACUUUGAUAAGUGAGUGCAUAGUUACUUUCAUCUUACACAUAGAUAUGAAGUAUAUUAUAUAAAUUACAUGCUAUGUGUUCAUAUUAUAUGUUUACUUUAUAUCUAUGCUAGAUGAAUGAUCCUAUACAUGUUUUGAAUGAUUUAAACUGUAUAUAUAUUUUUUGUAUCUAUAAAAUCUAUUGGGUAAAACAUGGGUAGAUGAAUGAUAAGGGAUGAAAGUUGAUAUAGAGGAACAUUGGCAGUUAUAGACAUAGUGUCCUAUAGGUGAACAUUGACAACAAUGGACUUAGUGCCCUAUAGAUGAGCAUUGGCAGCCGUGCCACCACCUGUAGAUGUUUUGAUCUACGAUGUACUCUAAACAUCAUAGCAGCUGCGCUCAAAGGGUAGUAUCGGCAGCUGCGUGUAACGCAUGUGUUUCUAGGCUUGUCAUUAAUAUUGAUGUAAUAGUGUAGGUUAACCAUUGUAACCUGUUUCGAAAUAAUAGAAGUGUAUUAUUUGAGUAUUAUGUGUUUUGUACUUAAUUGUGUGUCUUAAUUAAAUUAAGUAUGAAAAUAAGCAUCAAAAUUAAAUGUUACAUAAAGCUGAUAUCUAUGGAUAAUUUUGUAGUAGUUGAAACGAGGUUUCUGAAUAUAUAUAGAAUGCUGAAAUCCGAGUUAUAACGAAGAAGUUAUGAUCUGUCGAAGUUUCGCGACAUAAAUCGGCACGACGAUGAAUGACGUAAAAAGUGAAUUUAUGUUAGAUUUAUCUUUAGUCCUAGUGAUCUAAACGAAAGUUGUAGAGUUCGUUAAACCGAUAGCGUGCAUAAAAAGAUCGACCAAAUCUGACUUCGUAUGAGUAAGUUAUGAUUUUCCGAAGUUUCGACUUAGCAGUGUGCAGCCCGAAUACUCGAUUUGAGAUCGAGCGGUUUUUAGUCGAAACAAUCUAAACGAGAAUCGAAGAUCUCGUCAAUGGUAGAGCAACGGUAAAAAGAUAAAUGAAAACGGACGUCAGAUGAAGAAGUUAUGAAUUUAUAACAGAGUUUUCCUAUCCCGGCCUACUAAAAAUAAAUAAUAAUAAAAUAAAUUCAAAAUCAGCCGACAGAGUCUAAACGAAAGUUGUAGAGUGUAGUCUCACCUACGCAUGGAUAUAAAGAACGUCGAAAACGGAAUUCAUAUGAAGAAGAUAUGAAUUUCUGAAGGAUUUAUAUGAUUAAUAUUUAUUAAUUAAUCUUUAAUUCGAAUGUAUAUCCGAAGGAGUCACCGACCUGAUCCACACUAUGCCCAGCGUACACCGAAGCGUGACCCACCUCGCACUCGAGUGCUCCGAUGACACAUGCAGUGACGAAUCCGAAGCGUACGCCCCGCGUACUGAGCAUUACGCCUAGCGUAAUGCGAGGCUUCAGCCACUAUAAAAGGGCAUGCGAGGGCAGCCAAUCCUUUUGCUCAAUUUCUUUUCUCUCUCUCUUGUUUUCCAUCGUUUUGCGUUCAACUUAUACCCCGAAUCCCCAGUAUCAUUCCCGAGCCCCGAAGCAAGUCCCGAAGCCCCGAAGAUCCCGAGGAGUAGAGUUCCCGAGCCGAAGCUCUACCCGCGAGAAGCCAAUUUUUGUGAAGAUCUUCCAGAUCUAUCAAAGAAUACUACUUCUACAAGUCGUAGUGCUAUCUGUUCAUCUUCUAAUCAAGUGAGUGUGUUGUUACUUUCUUCUAACGCAUAAUUACGAAGUAUUUUAUAUGAAAUACGUGUUAUGUCUAUAUUUUGUGUUGGAUAAGGUGUCUAAGUCCAUAACUAUUUCUGGUAUGUACUUGACCCGACCCGGCAUGGUCCAUUUGGGUUGCAUGGCAUCAUCCAUUUGGAUAGACUAUAUGAGAGAAUUAACACUUGUGGUUUAUUAAUAUAUUAUAAGUUCAAAUAUAUUAAUAGUAUUAUUUAAUUAGUAUUGAUCAAGAAUUAAUCUAGAAUUAAUUAAGUGAUCAAAUGGUGACUAAUUAAAUAUAUGAGUUGAUUAUGUAAAUCCUCCAUAACUUAUAUAGUGGACUAAAGGGCUCCAUUGAUAAUCAAGUUGGGUUUGUUGGAUUAUUGUCUAAGUCCAUAAACUAUUUUGGUAUGUACUUGACCCGAUGGUGUAUGGUCAUUUUGGGUUGCCUUCACCAAAGCAACUUGAUAGGAUGAAUUAUAAAGAGAAAGGAUUAAAUAUGAUUUAUUAAUAUAUUAUGAUAAUACUAUAUUAAAGGAGAAAUCAUAUUGUUUAAUUAAUAUUAGUCAAGAAUUAAUUGAUAAUUAAUUUUGUGACUAAAAGAGAUUAAUUAAACUUAAGGGACUAGAACUGUCAAUUGUAUGAUAGUUGAAUAUUGAGCUAAUGGACUCCAUAUUAAAGGAGUGGAUGAAUUCUAUGGGGAAACCCAUUAGAAAUCGUCCUAGGCCUUUAAGGAAGGAGCCCAUGGGUUACUUAGGGCUUAAGCAUCCAAAUUAGGGUUUCCUUGUUAGAUAACCCUAAUAGCCUCACUAUUUAAGGACCCUUUGGGCACCAAAAACGUAGGCAACUGAAUCCUAGGGGUUUCUACACGUUUUUGGGUGUUUCUUCUCUUCUCCUAUUCAUCCUCUUGCUCUUGGUGUUUGUGAACCAUUAGAGGAGUGACAUUUGUGACUCUAAGCUUUCUAAAGUCAUUACAAAGGAGGAUUUGAGAUUGUUAUUGCUACAUAACAAUCAAGGUAUGAUCUAAACCCUAAUUCAUAUCUUAUACUGAUUAUCAUAUACUAGAUCCAAGCAUUAGGGUUUGUAUGAGCACAUAGGAUGUUCUUAUAGCUAAAACCCAUCAGUGGUAUCAGAGCCUUGAUUGGUUUCUAUUGUAUUGAUGCCUUGUUAAUUUGUUCAUGCUUGAAAAAUUCGAUUUUGUGAGUCUGCCUAAUGAACUCGGCGAGUCCCAUUGUGGACUCGGCGAGUAGGCCCCUACUCGGCGGGUCCAUAGGGGUACUCGGCGAGUUCGAGCGUCAGAAAGAGGGGACUUCGAGAUUUCUUGCUGAUUUACUCAUGGAUACUUGCCUUAUCUGUUUUAGAUCAUUAAAAUCCGAUUUUAAACAUAUUUAUGAGUAUAUCCUUGAUUAAACAAAAGAUAAUUACCAAUUGAUUAGAUAAUAACUUCCUUAUAUGAUAAAGUUUGAUUAUUUGUAUUAAUUGGGUAACUUAUUUUGCAAGAAAUUGAAAUUAGGUCAAAUAUAGAUAAUGAUGAGAUUAAUUGUUUAAUUUAUAUUAUUUGUUAUUUGAUCCUUGUGUUAUGAAAAGUUUCAAUUUUCCCCUUUAGGUUUUAUAGUUUAAAUUUGAACUCAAAAGUUUNUAGGGUUUCAUGUACACCACAGGAACGAUGUUUCAUAAACUUGACGAGUUCCAUAGACUCGAUGAGUUAAGUGUCCUGGUGCCGGGAUUUUCGAUUUUCUGGCCAAAUUUUAAUGAGGAUAACUGUGAAAACUCGUUUUUCUUUCCUAAAUUCAAAUCUUUAAGAUCGGUAUGGAUAUCCUUAUCAGAUUUGGUGGAUUUAGUUAAAUAUGGAUGAUAUAGGAUUAUUUUGAUUCAAAUAUUUAACCUAGUAAGUUUGAAAAGUUUCAAAUUACACCCUUUAGGUUUUAUAGUUUAAAUUUGAACUUAAAAGUUUUAGUUUUGAAAUUUAAAUAGUUAAACCCUAAUAUUUUGAAAAGUUUUAAAAUUUGUCCUUAAAUUUUGGAAUUUAAAAUUUAAUUAAAAGGUAUUACUUUUGCAAUAUUAAUUUCUAAAACCCUAGUGUUUUGAAAAGUUCAUAUUACACCCUUAUGGUUUUAUUAAAUUAAUUAAGUGCUUAAUUAAGAGAGAGAAUUAAUAAAUCCAUAACAAUAUGGUUUAAGAUUAAUCAAAUUAAAAGUGUAAUUUAUUAAUAGAUUAAACCACCUAAUAUUUUUAAAGUGUAAAAUACACCAUUAUACUAUAUAUAAAAUUAAAAGUCUAAUAUAUUAUAUAUGUAUAAGUAAAGAGUCUGUCUUAUCGUUAGUAAGCCUUAUUCACGAAGUUGGUCUUUAAGGGGUGUUUAAGGAAGCGGCAUGUAAAAUGACCGUCAUUGGAUAUCCACUCUUACCCACCGCACCAUUAACUAGUGGAGGGUCAUUAGCCGAAUGGGUAGGAUAGGACAUAACCUUCCAUUAUAAGUAUAAUGAAAUACGAAGUAACUAAACGUUUAUAUAAAUUCUCAAAUCUUAGUUACUGUAGGAAAAAUGUGAAUUUGGUGCUAAUCCAUGAAAUUGCACAUUGCACCUUGUUGGUCGUUAGUGGAGCGUGUGUGGUUAACAGAACACUAAUAUGGGACCAAUGAAGGAUGGCAAUGGGUUUCUCGUAAUAUUAUCAUUGAUCAAUGGAGCGUGUGUGGUUAACCGGCACAUUGAUUGGGUGGUGAUCGACAUCGAGAGUAUCAAGCUAAUUUGCAUGGUUAUUCACACCUUGUUUGUGAUCCUCGGCGUCCCAGUCACAAACUUGAAAGGCAUAAUCGAGAUUAAACAUGCCAUUGAAAAGUUUAAUGAAUCUCAAAAGAUCUAGGGCUUUCAAUUCAUUAAUAACCUAAUUUUCAUUUUUGUUUUUCAUGGUGGAAAUUGGUAAAUCGUCAUUUACCUACCUUCAAAUAUUUUGCGACUGGAUUACGGCAUCCCUCUUCCGAAUUGUAGAAUAUUGUGUUGGAUCCUAGCCUUAAUAUUCCCUUUGGGUGUUAUAUUAAGGAUUGAAUCAACUAACUUGAACUUCUCCCAUUUUGUAGAUGUCUAAAUCUAACAACUAUGGUAUUCCACAAUCCUUUGGAAAAAGUCUUCCACAUGAAGAUGAUGUUCCACGAUUCGAUCGAGGAACAAGAGAUCAUGCUUCACUUCAUCCUCCUCCUCCCGUUGUUCUCCCUAACCCACAAGAUCGAAGAAUUGAAAGGUUCAAUGUCACUAAAGCCCUAUUGGAAAUGAAACAUGAAGAUAAUGUUGGGUGCGUCAUUCCCCGAUAAGUUGGCUGUGAACUGGGUUCUGCAGUCGCUCCCUGAAUCAUAUAAUGAGUUCAAGAGAAUGUAUUAUAUGAUGGAUCAUGACGAUAACCUCAUUGACCUAACUUACAUGCUCAUUGCUGCUGAAUCAGAAAUAAUUUGGCAAAGCAAUGGAGCGGUUUUGUUGGGAAAGUCAACCAACCAUGCUUUCGAGGACGUUCUAGGAGAACCGACCUGCGUUUGCUGCCAAGAGAAAGGGCGUUGGAUACAAGUUUGCCCUAAGAGCCUGAAGAAUCCAAAAGAUGGGAGAGUCAAAGAGUAUGGUUGUGCUUCAGGUAAAAAUCCACUAUCUAACUCCAUUAAGUUCUUAUUCGUUGAUUCUUAAUACAUGAUGUGAUAAGAUUGCAUUUGAAUGUUUUGCAGGAUCAGUGAAAAGAGAGGAAGCUUGAUGGAAAAGCAAGAUAAGUCUAAUCACAAAGAAAUGGAUCUCGAUCGCAUGGACUUGAAGAUUAGAUUUUGAGCUUAGAAAGUUAUGAUAGAGUUGUUAGGAAUAUUAGACUACAUAGUUUUUCAGUUAAUUUUGCAUUGUAAGGAAAAAUGUUUUCCGCUGCUUUUAUGAAUAAAAUAAAUUUUGAUUUGACUCAUUUAUUUAUUUAUUUCCUUGCAAUGAAAUCGUUAUGAAAAAUUGAUGUUUGCAUAUUUCUACAACGAAUGGAUGUGAUUCUUAAUUAUGUUAAUUAUGGAAAGGUCAAGAAUUUACCAAAUAGGAAAAGUUUCUCAUCGCCCAAGUUUCAAUUGGAUAGAGACUUGGGUCAUGCAACUUGGUUGCACGAUGAAUGAGAAAUUUCAUAUGUGGAAAUAAGACUAAUUCGUUGACAAAGUGUCAAGUGAAGAACUAGGAGAUCGAGUACACAAAGUUGUGUGUUGAUCAAGUCCACCGCAAGAGUAACGAAGAUAUUCGUCAUGAUUUACUAGAGGUUUAGUAAAAAUGAUUAUACUUAUAAGAUUAAGUGUAAUUCUGAAUUGAUUGAAAAAGGUUUAAAUCAAUAGCAUAACGAAUAAGAAGAAUCAAGUAGACAGAAAGAUAAAAGUCUCUCUAUUCUAAGAAGAAGGGAGAGUAUCUUUAUGCUUUAUGAUAUGUCUUAAUGAUUAAGAACCAUAUCUCAAUUGAUCCUCUAAGUAAGUCUUAGUACAAUUGUAUGUCUGAGAAGAGGAAUCAAGAAUUAAAGAAAUGGUUAAAAUCAAGAAGUCAAUCGUAUUUCGUUCCAAACAAGUCUUAGAGUUAAGAUUGUGACAUAGAGUGACAAGUAUUAGGAAGGUUUAUGACAAUCAUCAAAUGUAGAAUUUGGAAAAGGGUUUUCUUAUUCUUGCACAUUUGAAAUUCGUAAGUUGUGAUGUCUUGGAUUAGACAAAGACCAACGAGGACCAAUUUGUGAAGUGUUUUGUCUUGAUAAAAGCUACACUAACUCUUGAAUAUUUGGUUGUCGAGAAAUGUUUAUUGACAAGAGAAUCUUAUAUGUCAAGGAGUCAGUGGGAGUCUUAAUGGUCUUGAAAAGGUUUCAAUAACAAAUCAAAAUAAACCUUAUCAAUCAUCACUAGCACACGAGUUGAGGUUUACAACCUAUCGUGUUGACAUUAUCUUGUUUCUGUGCCGUUCCAAUCGAGUUAAUUAUGCAUGUGAGUUCUAUGAGUUCUCAUUUGAAUGCAUAAAAGGCAAGGACCUUGAUCAAUGGAAAGUACAUUGAUAGGAAAGGGUGAGCUGCUUAACUACUUGGAAGACAUGGUGGGCAGCCGUGUUACCAUAAGGCAAGAAAUCAAGAUUAAGAGUUCGGUCCAUAUAAGUUUGAAUUUGUCAUAAACUUUGGUUUUAACAAAUUCACAUGGAUAGGAACACAUACACUAUUAAAAUCUAAGUGUCAUAAGAUUCCCUCCUUCAUGGAAAUGACUGUGAGGUAAUGCUUUCACUAAAAGAGAUUUUAAGAAGAUAGUAAUUGUGAAAAUUGGAUUCUCGAAUUCGAUUAUGGUUACAGUAUCCCUUUCCAUGAUUCGAAUUGUAAGAUUUGGCAAUUAGUCUGAAUUGUUUAGACACACAUAUGAGCUAUCUAAGGGAAAGGUGUAUAAGCUUAGAUAAAGGAUUAUCAAAGCAUUAGUUAUUAGAAACAUGAACUUAAGAAAUUCAAUAGGUAUUGUUCUUCUGAAAGUUAAGUUGUUUCUAAAUACAUGUCAAAGCUAGUGGGAGCAUAAGUGUUAUGUUUAUAAUAAUCAUCAUGAUAGUGGGAGCAUAAAUGUUAUGAUUAUGUGAUUAUUAAGGCAAGUAUUGCAAGUUAGCAAUAUUAAUUAUAGAAAACAAGAGUUAUACUUUGCAAAGUCACAAUGGUUAAAAGGUUGUUUUGCUAUAAUUAAGGGAGAGAAUAUUAUGCUUCAUUUCAAAACUAAAGGCUUAGGUUGUGGAAUGUUAAUUAUUUUAGUCAAGGAUACAUAGUAUUCUUAAAUUUCGAUUAUGAUUACGACAUUUCUCUUCAUAGUUCGAAUUGUGAGAACAUAGCACAUAAAAUAUUAUGGCAGAAGACUGAUAAAGUAUCAAAUCUUUAUGCAUCGUGUCCCAUGCGCUUCGGGUAUAGGAUCGAUUGCAAAUGCUAUAAUAUUUGACCAUUCCAAAAUUUUCCAAAUGUCUAGCGCAUUUAGAGGGAAAAGGACAAGAAUAGGUUUUGACUAAGAUAAUUAAACAACUAUCAAAGGACAAUCCAAAGUUCGCCAAGGAUUGGUCACUUAUGAGUAGUUGGAAGUAUAGUAUUGAAUAGACCAUAUCGACAUUAUUAUGAAUAGAAAAGAUUCUAUUAAGAAUGAGUUGUCAUAUGGAAAAUAUGGAAACGUUUCCAUAUUGGGAGUCGGAUAUUGAGAAUCUAUGUCUAGAUUAGAAAUUUUAUGCAAAAGGAUGUUCAAAGGAAUGUCCUUUGAGUGAGAGACAUCACAUCUAAGGAAUUGUCUUGUAACAAUCUCCAAUAGACAGCUUUGUAAUUCAUUGGCAAUAGUCAUUGUGACUUUGGUGCAGUGACAUUAUGAAAGGAUGAUUGCAUAAAAUAUUAGAAUCUAACAUAUUCCAUAAGUGGCAAGAAUUUGAUAUUCUUUCACUUGUGAAAAGGAUUGGGAGUUAUGAAAUGAUUAUGAUUGGAAAUGUGUUCAUUUGAUCUAUUUCACAAAGUAAGAACCAUAGAUAAACACUGUGUGCAUGCUAAGAGCAUGGGACAAGUGUUGUAAUAAUUUAAGUAAGAAGUUUAUUACCCGAAACAAGAAAUAAUGAGUAAUCGAUAUGGUGAUAAUAAAAGGUGUUUUAUUUAUACUCAAGGUUUGAGGCCAUAUGGGACUAGUAUUAUUCUUGUGUUUCACUUUGCAUGUUUUGACUUCCUAAAUAAUUUAAAUUGGUUUAGAACAGUUAAAUUAUUCGAACGGGCCCUAGUCGUUCAUAUGUUGGAAGUAGGUAUGAAUGAAGACUGUCAUGAAUUGGUGUGUGGAUUGUCUAAAGAGCAUUAGACAUAAGCAAAUGUUUGCUGCAACGUUCAUGAGUGCUUAUAAAUAUGAUUUGAGCAUUGCAUUAAACCCACGCUCACUUGGAUCACUUCAUGGAUUUUAUCACGAGUGAUUGGUGAGACGAUAAUAUCUUAUAUUCUUGAAACCGAGAUGUGUGAGUUGUAUCUUGCGAGUUGGUUGCACAUUGAUAAUACGUAAACGCACCAGUAACUUGGUGUUAUAAAACAUAUUGUUGUGUGUGAUUCGGUGAGUAAGUGCAAUCGAACAUUGAGUCAAAGUUUAUCCGUUCCUUUUAUCAAAAGUAGGAUAAAAACGAUUUCUGUGGGCCCCUCGAUUAUUUAGUGAUGGCACCUAAGCGCUUGGCCAAGCCGGGACUAAAUUGAUGUGUUCAAUUGUAGUCUAUUGUUAGUCGUCAUAAAUCUGAAUUCGGGAAACAACACAUAGACAGAGAGAAUGUUUUAGAUCCAUGUCUCAGUCUAUACGAUAUCUAGAAUGGAGGAAUAUAUGAUCCCUUAUCUAAAGGAUACGCGAAUAUGAUAAGAUCAGAGUUGACAGCGGCUUUAGAAAGCUACGAUUGCAGAUCAGGAUCUGAAGUCAUACGCAUAAUAGUUAUUAGACUUAUCCAAGUGGGAGACUGUUGGAUUAGUGUCUAAGUCCAUAAACUAUUUUGGUAUGUACUUGACCCGAUGGUGUAUGGUCCUUUUGGGUUGUCUUCACCAAAGCAACUUGAUAGGAUGAAUUAUAGAGAGAAAGGAUUAAAUAUGAUUUAUUAAUAUAAUAUGAGAAUAAUAUAUUAAAGGAGAAAUCAUAUUGUUUCAUUAAUAUUAGUCAAGAAUUAAUUGAUAAUUAAUUUUAUGACUAAAAGAGAUUAAUUAAACUUAAGGGACUAGAACUGUCAAUUGUAUGAUAGGUGAAUAUUGAGCUAAUGGACUCCAUAUUAAAGGAGUAGACAAAUUCUAUGGGGAAACCCAUUAGAAAUCGUCCUAGGCCUUUAAGGAAGGAGCCCAUGGGUUGCUUAGGGCUUAAGCAUCCAAAUUAGGUUUUCCUUGUUAGAUAACCCUAAUAGCCUCACUAUUUAAGGACCCCUUGGGCACCAAAAACGUGGGCAACUGACUCCUAGGGGUUUCUACACAUUUUUGGGUGUUUCUUCUCUUCUCCUAUUCAUCCUCUUGCUCUUGGUGUUUGUGAACCAUUAGAGGAGUGACAUUUGUGACUCUAAGCUUUCUAAAGUCAUUAUAAAGGAGGAUUUGAGAUUGUUAUUGCUACAUAACAAUCAAGGUAUGAUGUAAACCCUAAUUCAUAUGUUAUAUUGAUUAUCAUAUACUAGAUAUAGGGUUUAUAGUCUUGGAUGAGUUGCAUGUACAAUAGAGAAACCUAGAUCCAAGCAUUAGGGUUUUUAUGAGCACAUAGGAUGUUUUUAUAGCUAAAACCCAUCAGGGUUAAACCCAUUGGAUGCUCCAUGGAGGCUCCAUGGGAGUUACAAACCCAUGGGUAAUGGAAAUGAAGAGUCAUGUCACAUUAGGGUUUACAUGGCGUAACCCUAGAUGUGACACACUAUAUAAAGAACAUCAUACUCCCUAAAAUCGGCUACACAUAGUGACAAGAGGGCUUGCCUGAUUUUUUGAGUGUUACACGUUCUCUCAAAGUUGUUCCAAAGCAUUUGGUGUUGUAUGAAGCAUUUGAGGAAUCACACUUAGGGUGCUAGGCUCUCAAGGUUUCAAGGAAUCAUAACAACAACAAGGUAUGUGUUUCUAGCUAUCUUUUAUAUUAUAAAGUUCCCCAUGUAUGCUAGAUAGGUUUAUGAACCUUGGAAAAAAGUAAUUUGCAUGUAUCUUAUACAAACAUAGAUCCAAGGUUCUCUAGGGUUGCAUGUACACUUAGGAGUGUUAGAAUUGCUCAAAACCCUUCGAUGGUAUCAGAGACUAGGCUUGCUUGUUUGAUAUUUGAUGCAAAAUAGUGAAAAAAGUCGAUUUUUUGUUGUCUGCCUGCUGAAAUCGCCAAGUCCAUGGGGGGACUUGCCGAGUUCAUGUGUAAAAUCAUCCUACUCGUCGAGUAGGUUCAUGCACUCGACGAGUAGGAGCCUCAGAAUGCAGUUUUUUGACUUUUGCUGCUGGAAAUGGACUAGAAACGUUACCCUAAACUGUUUGGGUGUUAUUAAACAUGUUUUAGAUGGUGUAAUGGUUGUUCUAAUCCAUUUAUAAUGACUAAUAUCAAAAUUCCAUGAUUUUAUGUUUUCUUGAAAAUUUGAUAUUCAUAUUCAUGUUCUUAUGAGUUUAGAUGAUCAUAGGAAUUAUGUGUAACUUCUUGAUAGUUUUAAUUCUUAAUCAUUAUGUGUUUUAAUGGAAUCCAUAAUUUGUCCUCAAGUUAUGAAUUACCAAAAGUUUUAUCUUUGAAUGUCCAUUGAAGAAACACAUAGGUUACAUAAAAUGAAGAUUUACUCAUUUUAAUGAACCAAUUAAUCUCAUAAGUUAUGGAUUGAAGAGUUUUGUUAAGUUACAAAACUUUCCCUCAAAUUUUGGAACUUGUAAAGUCACCUAAUUAACUUUAGUUCCAACCCCUAGAAUUUAAAAUGUUAAAAUUCAACACUUAUACUUUAUAAUAUUAUAAGUUUAAUAUAUAUAUAUAUAUAUAUAUAUAUNNNNNNNNNNNNNNNNNNNNNNNNNNNNNNNNNNNNNNNNNNNNNNNNNNNNNNNNNNNNNNNNNNNNNNNNNNNNNNNNNNNNNNNNNNNNNNNNNNNNNNNNNNNNNNNNNNNNNNNNNNNNNNNNNNNNNNNNNNNNNNNNNNNNNNNNNNNNNNNNNNNNNNNNNNNNNNNNNNNNNNNNNNNNNNNNNNNNNNNNNNNNNNNNNNNNNNNNNNNNNNNNNNNNNNNNNNNNNNNNNNNNNNNNNNNNNNNNNNNNNNNNNNNNNNNNNNNNNNNNNNNNNNNNNNNNNNNNNNNNNNNNNNNNNNNNNNNNNNNNNNNNNNNNNNNNNNNNNNNNNNNNNNNNNNNNNNNNNNNNNNNNNNNNNNNNNNNNNNNNNNNNNNNNNNNNNNNNNNNNNNNNNNNNNNNNNNNNNNNNNNNNNNNNNNNNNNNNNNNNNNNNNNNNNNNNNNNNNNNNNNNNNNNNNNNNNNNNNNNNNNNNNNNNNNNNNNNNNNNNNNNNNNNNNNNNNNNNNNNNNNNNNNNNNNNNNNNNNNNNNNNNNNNNNNNNNNNNNNNNNNNNNNNNNNNNNNNNNNNNNNNNNNNNNNNNNNNNNNNNNNNNNNNNNNNNNNNNNNNNNNNNNNNNNNNNNNNNNNNNNNNNNNNNNNNNNNNNNNNNNNNNNNNNNNNNNNNNNNNNNNNNNNNNNNNNNNNNNNNNNNNNNNNNNNNNNNNNNNNNNNNNNNNNNNNNNNNNNNNNNNNNNNNNNNNNNNNNNNNNNNNNNNNNNNNNNNNNNNNNNNNNNNNNNNNNNNNNNNNNNNNNNNNNNNNNNNNNNNNNNNNNNNNNNNNNNNNNNNNNNNNNNNNNNNNNNNNNNNNNNNNNNNNNNNNNNNNNNNNNNNNNNNNNNNNNNNNNNNNNNNNNNNNNNNNNNNNNNNNNNNNNNNNNNNNNNNNNNNNNNNNNNNNNNNNNNNNNNNNNNNNNNNNNNNNNNNNNNNNNNNNNNNNNNNNNNNNNNNNNNNNNNNNNNNNNNNNNNNNNNNNNNNNNNNNNNNNNNNNNCUCCUGGAAGAAUCGCGGGGCCACCCCGACUCAACUCGCCGAGUCUGAAGAACAACUCGACGAGUCCCAGUUAAUCUUCAAGCUACUCGCCGAGUCUGUUCAUCGGACUCGGCGAGUCCAUGCCAUGCAACCGCUCAAACUGCUUUCUAAGGUCAGAACUGCUCCGACCAUUCAUAGGUCUGGCCUUCCUAGACUGAUUCAUCACGUAAGGUCCUCAUUUCGGUGCUCAUAAUACACCCCAUGACUCAUAAUUUACAUUUUGACCUAAGGCAUAAGGAUUCCAAUCCAAAACCUCCAUUGAUUCCUGAAAUGCUCAGGCAUGGGACAUUCUGGACUUCCAAAGAUCUCAAUACAGGGUUCCAAUCGUUUGGGGGACUAAAGUAACACUCAAUCUAGCCACAAAAGGGUUCAAUAAAUCCUAAAUCCAUAUACACAUCAACAUAGAAGAAUGUAACUCGAAAUAUUACCUGAAUAACGUGCUCUCUGUGUCCCCAAUCCACAGAACGUGGCUCUUCCUGUUGUUCCCUUAACCAAGCCUCUUCUUCCUUGCAAAACCACACUUCCAAAAUCAACAAUGGUCUUCAACCUUGCUCCAGACGCUCACAAUCGAAUUAGGGUUUCUCUCAGAGGACUAGGGUGAACAAUGACGGCCAUAAAGUCCCUCAUAUACGUCCCAAACCUGAACGGUUAGGGUUUUCGCUAAAUAGCGCAGACUCGCCGAGUCCAUAUCCGGACUCGUCGAGUCCAGUCGCGAACCCGCAACCAGAUCCGCGAUCCUACUCGGCGAGUCUAGGCUCCAACUCGCCGAGUCCCCUCUUAAAACACCCAAAAUCAUAAAUAUAACAAUACCUGAAAUUCCAGGCUGUUACAGUAAUCGGGUUAUUGUUGGUUGGUAAAAGUAAAUACAAUUAUUUAUUGCGGGUUGAAAACACUAUAUGCUCACCAGGCUCCCAAGCCUGACCCACUCAGUUUAUUUGUAUUACAGGUAGUGGCGCGAGGGCAUAAGAUGGACGAAUCAUCAAGUUAUUUUGUUUAUUAGACCAGUUGUUAUAUGUAACUAUUGUAUGGUCUAUCUUUUGUUGUUUAUGCUUUUGUGUCUGUAUCGGAACAUGACAUCUCGAGUUUUGAUUUUAUAGUGAAAAUACAUUUCUUUAUGAAAUGCUUUGGUAAAUAUUAUUUUAUCAUACUUUGUUUUUGGGAACAAAUUUCGCAACUCUUUUAAAUCAAAAGGAUUUACUCUUAAAUUAUUUUAAAAAGCAUAAAUGAAACUGGUCUUUUAUGGCCGUGAUUUUGGGGAUGUCACAGUGGGUAUCAGAGCAUUAGUUUAAGCGAACUAGGAAUUUGUAAGAUUUCUAGACUUAAACUUAGAAUGCUAAGUGGAGAUUGUGAGAAGUGUGUCUGUUAUAUUAUGGACACGAGCACUAGUAUAUUUUAGGAAGUUGCCUAAAAUGCUCUUAGGUGCUAAAUGUUAUAUGUUGCCAUAUAUGAUAUUAUUUGUUUGGAUCUAUGGUCUGUUGCCGACCGGAUCAUGAAACCUUAUGUGUGUAGGAUUCUAAGCAUACGUCUACGACAUUAGAACUAGCAUGUAAACGUUUCGGAGUGAUAUGGAAGAUCGUAAUAUCUAUCAUGAAUAAAGAUCUAAAUUUCACCUUAUUCGGUGUAUUGAUCAAGAAUGGCAAGAACAAGAAGCAGUGAUGGAAAUGCAAACAAGAACAGGAAUCAACCGCCUCUAAUUGAACAAGUAAUUGUUGAAACUGCUGCACCAGAGCAAAUCACUCUGGCUGGGGUGCAAGCCAUGAUUCGGGCUAUGUUAGCCGAACAAAAGGAAGAAAUGCGACAGAUGUUGCAUGAAAAUAGGGACGAACCAAUCAUACCCAUUGAGGAACCCAAACUGAUUCCCGAACAAUCGGAGGAAGGAAACAAUAGUCGCGUUGUGAGUCAAGUUGGGAGUCAAGGAGAACGAAGGAACGACCCGGAAAGGGGAAACAAAAAGGAUGGGAGAAUGUAUAAGAAUUUCUUGGGCGCCAAGCCGCCAAGUCUUUCUGGGAACCUAAAGCCCAUUGAGAUUAUGGAUUAGAUCUCCGAAAUGAAGAUGGUAUUUGAAAGUUGCGACUGUAUCAACAAACAGAAGACUGUCUUUGCAGUUAGACAACUGAAGACCGGAGUCUUGAGCUGGUGGAAGUUGUUGGCAGAUAUUAUGUCAUGAGGAGAAGCCCUGAAAAUGUCAUGAGAGGAGUUCUUAGAACAACUAAGGGCGCAGUAGUGUUCAGAGAUAGAUCUGAUUGAUCUGAACAAUGAGUUCCAAAACUUAAAGAAGGGGAGGAUGAGCAUAAAUGACUAUGCUAUCGCAUUCACUGAUAAAAUGAGGUUAUUUCCAUACCUAGUGCGAAUGAAACUCUCCAAGAUUGAGAGGUUCGCUAAUGGACUACCUUCCGACUUUUGCCCGAUAGUCAAGAUGGCAACUACUCUAAAAAUAGUUGUUUGUGCGGCUAAGAAUGUGGAGACCCAGCAGAAGGAAAAGGGUCUGGAAAGAAUAGAGGUUGGUGAGAAAAGGAAGUUGGAUGGACCUUUAGGGUCCAACAAGAAAAUCAAGUUUUCGAAGUCUAGUUCGAGAGGAGGAGGAGGAAGAGAAGCCAAAUGGUACGACAAAUGUAAGAAGAAGCAUCAUGGAAAAUGUGAAGUAGUAGCCACAUGUUUUAAAUGUGGAAAGCCAGGGCACUAUGCCAAUGAAUGCACUCUCACCAAGAAAGUUUGUUAUGGCUAUGGUGAGGAGGGGCACAUCUCGAGAGAUUGUUCGAAGAAGAAGGAGGCAUCAAAACCCAAUAUUCCCCCAAAGCCGAAGGCGAGAGCAUUCCAGAUGACACUGGAAGCUGCAAAAUAUGAAGCUGAUGUCGCUUCAGGUACCUUUCUCGUAAACAAAUUGCAUGCCCAAAUUUUAUUUGAUUCUGGAGCCAACUACUCCUUUAUUUCGCAUGAAUUUGGUAGAAACUAGCUUCUCCUGUCGAUAGACUAGAUAAUGCUUUAUUAGUCGAAGUUGCUAGUAGCAAAUUUCUACCUAUUAGCCAUCGUAUGAAAAACAUCUUAAUUCACUUGAAUGGGAAUAAGUUCCAUGAGGAAUUAUUGCCUAUCGAACUAAACAAUUUCGACAUCGUGCUGGGAAUGGAUUGGCUUAGCGCCAAUGACGCCGAAAUAUUGUGCAAGAAGAAGAUUGUAAAGGUAAAUCCGCCAGGNGCAAGAAGAAGAUAGUAAAAGUAAACCCACCAGUGAAAGAGUCAUUUAUGGUGUAUGGGGACAAACGCAGAGUAAAUUCUAGAAUCAUUUAUCUAAUGAAAGCCAGAAAGUGUUUGGCCAAAGGAUGUACAUCAUAUUUGGCAUUUGUGAUAGAUUCUAAGAAGGAGAAAAAGGUGAUGCAAAGCAUUCCUAUCGUAUGUGAUUAUCGGGAAGUAUUUCCCAAAGAUCUUCCCGGAUUACCGCCUGAUAGAAAUUUGGAGUUCAUAAUAGACUUGUUACCAGGGACGACGCCUAUAGCAAAAGCACCUAAUCGAUUAGCACCAUCAGAGAUGAAGGAGCUAAUGAUGCAACUUCAGGAGUUAUUGGGCAAAGGUUUAAUUAGACCUAGUUUAUCACCCUGGGGAGCUCCGAUGUUAUUCGUGAAGAAGAAAGAUGGAAGUAUGAGAAUGUGCAUCGAUUAUAGAGAGCUGAACAAGGCAACAAUAAAGAAUAGAUAUCCGUUGCUGAGGAUUGAUGACUUGUUCGAUCAACUACAAGGUUCAAGUUAUUUUUCAAAGAUCGACCAAAGGUCAAGAUAUCAUCAGCUGAAGGUGAAAGAGCAGAUAUAGAGAAGACUGCAUUCAGAACACGAUAUGGACACUAAGAGUUUUUGGUUAUAUCAUUUGGACUAACCAAUGCUCCAGCAUCAUUCAUGGAUUUAAUGAUCAUGGUUUGUAAUCCGUUCCUAGAUAAAUCUGUGAUAGUGUUCAUAGAUGACAUUCUGAUUUAUUUGAAAAGCGAAGAGGAGCAUGGCAUACACUUGCGAGAAGUGUUAGAAGUCUUGAAGAAGGAGAAGUUGUAUACAAAUUUCUCCAAAUGUGAUUUCUGGAUUCGAGAAGUCCAAUUCUUGGGUCACGUGAUCAACUAAAAAGGGAUAAUGGUUGAUCCAGCAAAGAUUGAAGCUGUAAUGAAGUGGGAACAACCGAAAAGUCCCACGGAGAUCCGAAGCUUUUUAGGAUUAGCCAGAUAUUACCGAAGGUUUAUCCAAGGCUUUUCUACGAUCGCUACUCCAUUAACAGCGUUCACCCACAAAGGAGUUACUUAUGCUUGGAAUGAUAAGCAUAAAGAAGAAUUCGAGAGGCUAAAGAAGAAGCUAUAUGAGGCAGCGAUUCUUUCUCUACCCGAUGGAGUUGAAGACUUCGCUGUUUAUAGCAAUGCGUCUGGUGUUGGCUUGGGUUGUGUUUUAACCCAAAGGGAAAAGGUGAUCGCAUAUGCAUCUCGACAGUUGAAGGAGCAUGAAAAGAACUACCCGACUCAUGAUUUGGAGUUGGAAACGGUAGUUUUCGCUCUGAGAAUAUGGAGGCAUUACCUCUAUGGCACGAAGUGCAACUUUUCACUGAUCAUAAGAGUCUCCAAUAUCUCUUUAGUCAGAAAUAAUUAAAUAUGAGGCAAUGAAGUUGGCUUGAAUUACUUAAGGAUGUACGACUGCGAGAUACUUUACCACCCUGGUAAGGCUAAUGUUGUUGCUGAUGUUCUCAGUCGGGAAGUCAAUCUUGAAAGAAAAAGGCCAAGAGCGUUGAGAAUAGAAGUUGUCUCAACAAUUGUGGAGAGUAUAAAGAAAGCUAAAGAGGAAGCUUUUGUGAAGAAUGAUCGAAAAGAAGAACUUUAGGGAAAAAUGUUGGUGUUCGGUAUAAACAGUCAUGGACUGAAGGUGUUCCAAGAUCGGAUUUGGAUACCUAAGACAAGAGGAGUCAGAGAUCUUAUGAUGGAAGAAGCUCAUAAGUCCAUGUACUCAAUUCAUCCCGGUAGUACUAAAAUGUAUAGGGACCUAAAACCCUACUACUGGCGGCCGACGAUGAAGCUUGAUGUUGAAAAGUAUGUAGCCGUGUGUGUGACUUGUGUGAGAGUCAAGACACAACAUCAGAAACCGUAUGGGAGUUUAGAACCUUUGCCUGUGCCUAUGGGUAAGUGGGAAGACAUUGCUAUGGAUUUUAUCACUAAACUGCCCAGAACGAAAAGUGGUCACAACAUGAUUUGGGUGAUCGUUGAUCGAUUCACUAAGAGUGCGCAUUUCAUAGCAUCCAAUGAGAAAUGGUCUAUGGAAAAGCGUGCGAAUUCUUUUGUGAAGGAAGUUGUGAGGCUUCACGGUGUUCCGUUAACGAUUGUGUCAUAUCGUGAUAGCCAUUUCACCUCGCGAUUUUGGAGAAGUCUACAAGAGGAAUUGGGUAGCAAGUUGUGUUUGAGUACAUCUUACCAUCCACAGACUGAUGGUCAGAGCGAACGGACGAUACAAACACUUGAAGAUAUGCUGAGAGCAUCUACCCUAGAAUUCCAAGGUACUUGGGAUGAACAUUUACCUUUGAUGAAAUUUUCCUACAAUAAUAGUUUCCACUAGAGCCUAAAGAUGGCACCUUGUCAAGCUUUGUAUGGACAGAAGUUUCGUACGCCGUCUUAUUGGCUUGAGGCUGGAGAAAAGAAGUUUAUGGGACCCGAGAUGGUUCAUCAAAUUGCUGAAAACCUGAAAAUAAUUUAGGAAAGAAUGUUAGUAGCUCAGGAUCGUCAAAAGUGCUAUGCUGACAAAUAGCGAAGACCGAUGACUUUUGAAGUUGGAAAUUCGGUUUUGCUUAAAGUCUCGCCAUGGAAGGGACUUAUAAGAUUUUGUAAAUGGGCAAAGUUUAGUCCAAGGUUUAUUGGACCUUUUAAAGUUCUUGAGAGGAUUGAGAACCAAGCUUACAAGAAUGAAUUGCCAGAAGAACUGCAUGGUAUUCAUAACACUUUCCAUGUGUGUUAUUUGAGGAAGUUUACUAGAGAACUUCCCGACAUGAUUCCACUUUCGGAGUUGAGAAUCAAUGAGAACAAAAGGUUGAUUGAAGAACCAGAGGCAAUCGUUCACUGAAAGACUAAGAAGUUGGGACGCAAGAUGGUCGAGUUUGUGCUUGUCCGAUGGAAACACACGAAUAGGCCAAAUCUCACCUGGGAGACGGAGAGUGACAUGAUCAGUCACUACCCGCAUUUGUUUGUUGAUGUGUGAUUCCGAGGACGGAAUCAUUCUAAGGUGGAGAGAAAUGUAACACCUGUGUUUCUGGGCUUGUCAUUAAUAUUGAUGUAAUAGUCCAGGUUAACCAUUGUAACCCGUUUCGAAAUAAUAGAAGUGUAUUAUUUGAGUAUUAUGUGUUUUGUGCUUAAUUGUGUGUCUCAAUUGAGUUAAGUAUGAAAAUAAGCGUCAAAAUUAAAUGUUAGAUAAAGCCGAUAUUUAUGUAUAAUGCUCUAGUAGUUGAAACGAGGUUUCCGAAUAUACAUAGAAUGCCGAAAUCCGAGUUAUAAGGAAGAAGUUAUGAUAUGUCGAAGUUUCGCGACAGAAACCGGCACGACGCUGAAUGACGUAAAAAGUGAAUUUACGUUAGAGUGAUACUUAGCCCUAGUGAUCUAAACGAAUGUUGUAGAUUUCGUUAAAUUGAGAGCGUGCAUAAAAAAAUCGCCCAAAUCUGACUUCGUAUGAGGAAGUUAUGAUUUUCCGAAGUUUCAACUUAUCAGUGUGCAGCCCGAAUACUCGAUUUGAGAUCAAGCGGUUUUUAGCCGAAACAAUCUAAACGAGAAUUGAAGAUCUCGUUAAUGGUAGUGCAAUGGUAAAAAGACAGAUGAAAACGGACGUCGGAUGAAGAAGUUAUGAAUUUAUAACGGGGUUUUUCUGUCCCGGCCUACUAAAAAUAAAUAAUAAAAAAAUAAUAUCAAAAUCAGCCGACGGAGUCUAAACGAAAGUUGUAGAGCGUAGUCUCACCUACGCGUGGAUAUAAAGAAAGUCGAAACGGAGUUCAUAUGAAGAAGAUAUGAAUUUCCGAAGUUUUUAAAUGAUUAACAUUUAUUAAUUAAUCUUUAAUUCGGAUGUAUAUCCGAAGGAGACACCGAUCUAGUCCGCACUACGCCCAGCGUAGUUGAGUACGACCAGCGUACACCGAAGUGUGACCCGCCUUACACUCAAGAGCUCCGAUAACGCAUGCAGUGACGAAUCCGAAGUGUACACCCCGCGUACUGAGCAUUACGCCCAGCGUAAUGUGAGGCUUCAGCCUCUAUAAAAGGGCUUGCGAGGGCAGCCAAUGCUUUUGCUCAAUUUAUUUUCUCUCUCUCCCGUUUUGCAUCGUUUUGCAUACAAAUUAUACCCCGAAACCCCGAUAUCAUUCCCGAGCCCCGAAGCAUGUCCUGAAGCCCCGAAGAUCCCGAGGAGUAGUGUUCCCGAGCCGAAGCUCUGCCUGCAAGAAGCCAAUUUUUUUGAAGAUCUUCCAGAUCUACCGAAGAAUACUACUUCUACAAGUCGUAGUGUUGUCCGAUCAUCUUCUGAUCAAGUGAGUAUGUAGUUACUUUCAUCUAAUGCAUAAUUACGAAGUAUUUUAUACGAAAUACGUGUUAUGUGUAUAUUUGUUGUUAUAUGUGUGAAUGUAUAUUCACUUUCUUCUAUCUCGUACAUAUGACUAAUUCUCUAUGAAAUAUGUGUUAUGUGUAUCUGUCUCAUCUGUUGUUUGGAAUAUGUAUUGAAUGAGAAUGUUAUACAGGUUUUAAACUAAGUAUAAAAAUAUAUAUUUUUAUCUACUAAUAUGUUGGGUAGACCAUGGGUAGAUGGUUGAUGUGUGAUAAACAGAUGAGAGGCCUCGAUGUUGCUGUUGAUCUAGUUAUUCAGCGGACUAUGGAUAAUGACCACAGACUCUUUCGAGACAGUCAUGUGGAACGCUGUGACAUCCUCAAAAUCACGGCCAAAAAAGACCGUUUUAAUUUAUGCUUUUAAAAUAAUUUGAGAGUAAAUCCUUUGAUUUAAAAGAGUUGCGGAAUUUGUUCCCAAAACAAAAUAUGAUAAAAUAAAGUUUUUCAAAGCAUUUCAUCAAGAGAUGCAUCUUCAUUAUAUAACAAUAUUCGGGAUGUCAUGUUCCCAUAAACAGACCAAAAAUAUAAACAACAAAAGAUAGAUCAUACAACAGUUACAUAUAACAAUUGGUCUAGUAUCAAAAGAUCUUGAUAAGUCAUCCAACUUAUGCUCUCGCGCCACUACCUAUAAUACAAAUAAACUGAGUGGGUCAGGCUUGGGAGCCUGGUGAGCAUAUAGGGUUUUCAACCCGAAAUAAAUAAUUAUAUUUAAUUUCACCAACCAACAAUAACCCAAUUACCCAUUCCCGUUAUCCUCACUUUACGUCCCUAAAACAACAUCUAUCUCAAGGGAUCUAAUAUAGGAUUUUCAUCGGGACAGACACUGCACAGGGGUUACCUCAAUAGUAGAUGUCCUAAAGGCAACCAUGAGGGGGAUAGAGUACACCGGUGAACACAUCGUUCACAACACCUAGCUAGCGUUCCACAGGACUGUCUAGAAAGAGUCUGUGGUUGUUAUCCAUACUCCGCUGAAUAACUAGAUCAACAACAACAACAUCGAGGCCUCUCAUUUGUUUAUCACACAUCAACUAUCUACCCAUGUUCUACCCAACAUAUUAGUAGAUAAAAAUAUAUAUUUUUAUACAUAGUUUAAAACAUGUAUAGCAUUCUCAUUCAAUACAUAUUCCAAUCAACAGAUGAGACACAUACACAUAGCACGUAUUUCCUAGAGAAUAAAUUAUAUCUCUGAGAUAGAAGAAAGUGAAUAUACAUUCACACAUAUAACAAAAAAUAUACACAUAACACGUAUUUUGUAUAAAAUACUUCAUAAUUAUGCAUUAGAAGAAAGUAACUACACACUCACUUGAUCAGAAGAUGAUCGGACAACACUACAGCUCUAAGAGUAGUAUUCUUCGGUGAAACUGGGUUCACUUCACUCACCAGGCUUCUUGCGGGCAGAGCUUCAGCUCGGAAACUCUUUUCUUCGAGGGAUCUUCGAGCUUCAGGACUUGCUUCGGUUGUCGGGAUGAUACCGGGGCUUCGGGGGUACUUUUUCACGUAAAUCGAGGUAAUAUGAGUGAGAGAGAAGAGAUUUGGCAACCACAAACGGUUGCCCCUUCAAAUCUAUUUAUAGGGCUAUUUUCUCAUUUUCCACGUCGUGGGCACUUCUUCCACGUCGUGAGCUUGGUCGUCAUUGCAUGCGUCAUCGUCCACUUGCUCUGCCAGGCUCCAGAAGGCGUCAGAAGCCAUGCCACGUCGUGGUCUCUGACGGUUUUGGUGUUUCGCACCCCGAACUUCAGAAAUCCAUAACUUUCGCAUACUUACUCCGUUUUCGACGUUCUUUAUAUCGACGUGUAGGUAAAAACAAGAUCUACAACUUUCAUUUAGACUUUGUAUGCUAAUUUUGACUUUAUUUUUAAUAUAUUAAUAAUAUACUAUUGUUAGUAGGCCGGGACAGGAAAACCCCGUUAGAAAUUCAUAACUCCUUCAUCUGACGUCCAUUUUCGACUGUCUUUUCACCGUUGGAGUACAAUCGAUGAGAUCUUUGAUUCUCGUUUAGAUUGUUUCGUCUAAAUAUCGCUCGAUCUCGUAUUCGAACUUCGGGCUAUACACUGCUAAACAAAAACUUCGAAAAAUCAUAACUUCCUCAUACGAAGUCAGAUUUGGGCCUUCUUUUUAUGCACGCUCUCAGUUUAACGAACUCUACAACAUUACUUUAGAUCGCUAAGUCCAAAUAUUUUUCUAAUGUAAACUCACUAUUUACGUCUCGCUGUGUCGUACCGGUUCUGUCGCGAAACUUCGACAAGUCAUAACUUCUUCGUUAUAACUCGGAUUUCGGCAUUCUUUAUAUAUUCAGAAACCUCGUUUCAACUACUACAACAUUAUCCAUAGAUAUUGGGUUGAUCUAACAUUUCAUUUUGACGUUUAUUUUUAUUCUUAAUUAAAUUAAGACAUACAAUUAAGCACAAAAACACAUAAUACUCAAAUAAUACACUUCUAUUAUUUCAAAACGGGUUACAAAGGUUAACCUAGACUAUUAUAUCAACAUUAAUGACAACCCCAGAAACACCGUCAUUACAAUUCUCUCCACCUUAGAAUGAUUCCGUCCCCGGAAUCACACAUCAACAAACAAAUGUGGGUAGCGACUCAUCAUGUCACUCUCCGUCUCCCAAGUGAGAUUUGGCCCAUUCGUGUGUUUCCAUCGGACAAGCACAAACUCAACCACAUUGCGUCGCAACUUCUUAGUCUUUCGGUCAAAGAUUGCCUCUGGUUCUUCAAUCAAUCUUUUGUUCUCAUCGAUUCUCAACUCCAAAAGUGGAAUCAUGUCGGGAACUUCUCUCGUGAACUUCAUCAAAUAACACACAUGGAAAUUUUUAUGAAUUCCAUUCAGUUCUUCUGGUAGUUCGAGCUUGUAAGCUUGGUUCCCAAUCCUCUAAAGAACUUUAAACGGUCCAAUAAACCUUGGACUCAACCUUCCCCUUUUACCAAAUCUUAUAAGUCCCUUCGACGGCGAGACUUUAAGCAAAACCGAAUCUCCAACUUCAAAAGUCAUCGGUCUUCGCUUGUUGUCAGCAUAGCUCUUUUGACGAUCUUGAGCUGCUAACAUUCUCUCCCUAAUUAUUUUCAACUUUUCAGCAGUUUGAUGGACUAUCUCUAGUCCCAUAAACUGCUUUUCUCCAGCCUCAAGCCAACAAGACGGCGUACGACACUUCUUUCCAUACAAAGCUUGAUAAGGUGUCAUCUUUAUGCUCGAGUGGAAACUAUUAUUGUAGGAAAAUUCUACAAAAGGUAAAUGUUCAUUCCAAUUACCUUAGAAUUCCAGGGUACAUGCUCUCAUCAUAUCUUCAAGUGUUUGUAUUGUUCGUUCGCUCUGAGCAUCAGUCUGUGGAUGGUAAGUUGUACUCAAACACAACUUGGUACCCAAUUCCUCUUGUAGACUUCUCCAAAAUCGCGAGGUAAAGCGGCUGUCACGAUCUGACAAAAUCGUUAACGGAACACCGUGAAGCCUCACAACUUCCUUCACAUAAGAAUUCGCACGCUUUUCCAUAGACCAUUUCUCAUUGGAUGCUAUGAAAUACGCACUCUUAGUGAAUCGAUCAACGACCACCCAAAUCAUGUCGUGACCACUUUUCAUUUUGGGCAGUUUAGUGAUAAAAUCCAUAGCAAUGUCUUCCCAAAUACCCAUAGGCACAGGCAAAGGUUCUAAACUCCCGUAUGGUUUCUAAUGUUGUGUCUUGACUCUCGCACAAGUCACACACUUGGAAACAUACUUUGCAACAUUAAGCUUCAUCGUCGGCCAACAGUUGUAGGGUUUCAGGUCCCUAUACAUCUUAGUGUCGCCGGGAUGAAUUAAGUACAUGGUUUUGUAAGCUUCUUCCAUCAGAAUUUCUCUGACUCCUCUUGUCUUAGGUAUCUAAAUCCGAUCUUGGAACACCUUCAGUGCAUGACUGUUUACACCGAACACUAACGUUUUGCCCAAACAUUCUCCCUUUCGGUCAUUCUUCUCAGAAGCUUCCUCUUGAACUUUCUUUAUACUUUCCAUUAUUGUCGAGACAACUUCAAUUCUCAACGCUCUUGGCCUCUUCCUUUCAAGAUUGACUUUCCGACUGAGAGCAUUAGCAACAACAUUUGCUUUGCUGGGGUGGUAAAGUAUCUCACAGUCAUAGUCCUUAAGUAACUCUAGCCAGCGUCGUUGCCUCAUAUUCAAUUCCUUCUGAUUAAAGAGAUAUUGGAGACUCUUAUGAUCAGUGAAAAGUUGGCACUUCGUGCCAUAGAGGUAAUGUCUCCAUAUCUUUAGAGAGAAAACUACCGCCGCCAACUCCAAGUCAUGAGUCGGGUAGUUCUUUUCAUGCUCUUUCAACUGUCGAAAUGCAUAUGCGAACACCUUUUCCCUUUGGUUCAAAAUACAACCCAACCCAACACCUGACGCGUCGCUAUAAAAACAAAGUCUUCAACUCCAUCGAGUAGAGAAUGUAUCGGUGCCUCGCAUAGUUUCUUCUUUAGCUUCUCGAAUGCUUCUUUAUGCUUAUCACUCCAAGCAUAAGUAGCUCCUUUGUGGGUCAAAGCUGUUAAUGGAGUAGCGAUCAAAGAAAAGCCUUGGAUAAACCUUCGGUAAUAUCCGACUAAUCCCAAAAAGCUUCAGAUCUCCGUGGGACUUUUCAGUUGUUCCCAGUUCAUUACAGCUUCAAUCUUUGCUGGAUCAACCAUUAUUCCUUCUUGGUUGAUCACAUGACCCAAGAAUUGGACUUCUCGAAUCCAAAAAUCACAUUUGAAGAACUUAGCAUAUAGCUUCUCCUUAUUCUAGACUUCUAACACUUCUCGCAAGUAUCUACCAUGCGCCUCUUGGCUUUUCGAAUAAAUCAGAAUGUCAUCUACAAACACUAUCACUGAUUUAUCAAGGAACGGAUUAGAAACCCUGAUCGUUAAAUCUACGAAUGUUGUUGGAGAAUUGGUUAGUCCAAACGACAUAACCAAAAACUCAUAGUGUCCGUAUCGUGUUCUGAAUGCAGUCUUCUCUAUAUCCUGCUCUCUUACUUUCAGGUGAUGAUAUCCUGACCUAAGAUCGAUCUUUGAGAAAUAGCUCGAACCUUGUAGUUGAUCAAACAGGUCAUCAAUCCUCGGCAACAUAUAUCUAUUCUUUAUUGUUGCCUUUUUCAGAUCUCUGUAAACGAUGCACAUUCUCAUACUUCCAUCUUUCUUCUUUACGAAUAACACCGGAGCUCCCCAGGGUGAUGAACUAGGUCUAAUGAAACCUUUGUCCAAUAACUCCUGAAGUUGCAUCAUCAGCUCCUUCAUCUCCGUCGGUGCUAAUCGGUAAGGUGCUUUUGCNNNNNNNNNNNNNNNNNNNNNNNNNNNNNNNNNNNNNNNNNNNNNNNNNNNNNNNNNNNNNNNNNNNNNNNNNNNNNNNNNNNNNNNNNNNNNNNNNNNNNNNNNNNNNNNNNNNNNNNNNNNNNNNNNNNNNNNNNNNNNNNNNNNNNNNNNNNNNNNNNNNNNNNNNNNNNNNNNNNNNNNNNNNNNNNNNNNNNNNNNNNNNNNNNNNNNNNNNNNNNNNNNNNNNNNNNNNNNNNNNNNNNNNNNNNNNNNUCUUUCCCAGGUGGGUUUACUUUGACUAUCUUCUUCUUGCACAAUAUCUCAGCAUCAUUGGCGCUAAGCCAAUCCAUUCCAAGCACGAUGUCAAAACCUUUAAGUUCAAUAGGCAAUAAUUUCUCGUGAAACUUAUUCUCAUUCAAAUCAAUUAAGAUGUUUUUCAUACGAUGACUAACAGGUACAAACUUGCCACUAGCAACUUCGACUAAUAAAGCAUUAUCUAGUCUAUCGACAGGCAAAGCUAGUUUUCUACCAAAUUCAUGUGAAAUAAAGGAGUAGUUGGCUCAAGACUCAAAUAAAAUUUGGGCAGGCAAUUCGUUAACGAGAAAGGUACCUGAAGCGACAUCAGCUUCAUCUUUAGCAGCUUCCAGUGUCAUCUGGAAGGCUCUCGCCUUCGGCUUUGGCGGAAUGUUGGGUCUUGCUGCCUCCUUUUUGGGGCAGUCCCUAGACACGUGUCCCUCCUCACCACAACCAUAACAAACUUUCUUGGUGAGAGUGCAUUCGUUGGCAUAGUGCCCUGGCUUUCCACAUUUAAAACAUGUGGCCACUACCUCACAUUUUCCAUGAUGCUUCUUCUUACAUUUGUCGCACCAUUUUGCUUCGCCUCCUCCUCCUCUCGAACUAGACUUCGAGAACUUUUUUUUCUUGUUGGACCUGAAGGUCCUUCGAACUUCCUCUUUUCACCAACCUCUAUCCUUUCCAGACCCUUUUCCUUCUGUUGGGCCUCCACAUUCUUAGCUGCUCGAACAACUUUUUUCAGAGUGGUUGCCAUCUUGACUGUCGGACCUAAUUCGGUAGGUAGUCCAUUAGCAAACCUCUCAAUCUUGGAGAGUUCCGUUGGCACCAGGUACGAAAAUAACUUUAUUUUCUCAGUGAAUGCAGUAGGAUAGUCGUCUACGCUCAUUCUCCCCUUCUUCAAGUUUUGGAAAUCAUUGUUCAAAUCAAUCAGAUCUAUCUUUGAACAGUACUGCACCCUUAGUUGUUCCAAGAAAUCCUCCCAUGACAUUUUCAGGGCUUCUCCUCAUUGCAUAGUAUCUGCCAACAGCUUCCAAAAACUCAAGACACCAGUCUUCAGUUGUCUAAAUGCAAAGACAGUCUUCUUUUUGUUGCUACAGUCGCAACUUUCAAAUACCAUCUCCAUUUCGGAGAUCCAAUCCAUAAUCUCAACAGGCUUCAGGCUUCCAGAAAGACUUGGCGGCUUGGCGCCCAAGAAAUUCUUGUACAUUCGCCCAUCCUUGUUGUUUCUCCUUUCCGGGUCGUUCCUUCGUUCUCCUUGAGUCCCAACUUGACUCAUAAUGCGACUAUUGUUUCCGUCCUCCGAUUGUUUGGGAAUCAGUUCAGGUUCCUCAAUAGGUAUGAUUGGUUCAUCCCUAUUUUCAUGUAACAUUUGUUGCAUUUCUUCCCUUUAUUCGGCUAACAUAGCCUGAACCAUGGCUUGCACCCCAGCCAUUGUUAUUGGUUCUGGUGCUGCUGCUACAACAGGUAUUUGCUCAAUCACUGGUGGUUGAUUCCUGUUUUCAUCUGCAUUUCCAACGCCACUCCUGGUUCUUACCAUUUUUUAUCUACACACCGAAUAAGGUGAAAUUCGAUCCUCAUCCAUGAUAGAUAAUUAAAUCAUCCUUAUCACUCCGAAACAUUUACAUGUUAGUUCUAAUACCGACGUCAUACGCUUAGAAUCUUACACACAUAAGGUUUCAAGAUCCGGUCGGCAGUAUACCAUAGAUCCGAACAAAUAAUAUCAUAUAUGGCAACAUAUAACAUUUAGCACAUAAAAGCAUUUUAGGCAGCUUCCUAAAAUAUACUAGUGCUCGUGUCUAUAAUAUAAUAGACACACAUCUCACAAUCUCCACUUAGCAUUCUAAUUUUAAGUCUAGAAAUCCUACAAAUUCCUAGUUCGCUUAAACUAAUGCUCUGAUACCAACUGUGACAUCCCCAAAAUCACGGCCAGAAAAGACCGUCUUAAUUUAUGCUUUUACACUAAUUUCAGAGUAAAUCCUUUGAUUUAAAAGAGUUGCGGAAUUUGUUUCCAAAACAAAAUAUGAUAAAAUAAAGUUUAUCAAAGCAUUUCAUUAAGAGAUACAUUUUCAUUAUAUAACAAUGUUCGGGAUGUCAUGUUCAGAUAAACAGACCAAAAGCAUAAACAACAAAAGAUAGACCAUACAACAGUUACAUAUAACAAAUGGUCUAAUAUCAAAAGAUCUUGAUAUGUCAUCCAACUUAUGCUAUCACGCCAAUACCUGUAAUACAAAUAAACUGAGUGGGUCUGGCUUGGGAACCUGGUGAGCAUAUAGGGUUUUCAACCUGCAAUAAAUAAUUACAUUUAAUUUCACCAACCAACAAUAACCCGAUUACCCAUUCCCGUUAUCCUCACUUUACGUCCCUAAAACAAUAUCUAUCUCAAGGGACCUAAUCAAGGAUUUUCAGCGGGACGGACAUUACUGCAAAGGGGUUUCCUCAACAGUAGAUGUCCUAAAGGCAACCAUGAGGGGGAUAGAGUACACCGGUGAAUACAUCGUUCACAACACCUACAGGUUAUGAGCCUGCUAGCGUUCCACAGGACUGACUAGAAAGAGUCUGUGGUCGUUAUCCAUACUCCGCUGAAUAACUAGAUCAACAACAACAACAUCGAGGCCUCUCAUCUGUUUAUCACACAUCAACUAUCUACCCAUGUUCUACCCAACAUAUUAGCAUAUAAAAAUAUAUAUUUUUAUACAUAGUUUAAAAACUAUAUAGCAUUCUCAUUCAAUACAUAUUCCAAUCAAUAGAUGAGACAUAUACACAUCGCACGUAUUUCAUAGAGAAUAAAUCAUAUCUAAGAGAUAGAAGAAAGUGAAUAUACAUUCACACAUAUAACAACAAAAUAUACACAUAACACGUAUUCUGUAUAAAAUACUUCAGAAUUAUGCGUUAGAAGAAAGUAACUACACACUCACUUGAUCAGAAGAUGCUCGGACAGCACUACAGCUCUAAGAGUAGUAUUCUUCGGUGAAACUGGGUUCACUUCACUCAUCGGACUUCUUAUGGGCAGAGCUUCGGCUCGGAAACUCUUUUCUUCGCGGGAUCUUCGAGCUUCUGGACUUGCUGCGGGUGUCGGGAUGAUACCGGGGCUUCGGGGGUACUUCUUUGCAUGUAAAUUGAGGUAAGAUGAGUGAGAGAGAAGAGAUUUGGCAACCACAAACGGCUGCCCCUUCAAAUCUAUUUAUAGGGCUGUUUUCUCAUUUUCCAUGUCGUGGGCACUUCUNUUCACAUCGUUACAUCAUCGCAAGUUGGGUCUGGUAGACUCCAGGAGUCGUCAAAAGACAUGCCACGUCGUGACCACUGAUUUCACAUCGUGGUCUCUGACAGUCUUGGAGUUUCGCGCCCCGAACUUCAGAAAUUCAUAACUUUAACAUACGAACUCCGUUUUCGACGUUCUUUAUAUCGACGCGUAGGUAAAAACAAGGUCCACAACUGUUAUUUAGACUUUGUAGGCUUAUUUUGACUUUAUUUUUAAUAUAUUAAUAAUAUACUAUUUUUAGUAGGCCGGGACAGGAAAACUCCGUUAGAAAUUCAUAACUCCUUCAUCUGACGUCUGUUUUCGACUGUCUUUUCACCGUUGGACUACUAUCGAUGAGAUCUUCGAUUCUCGUUUAGGUUGUUUCGGCUAAAUAUCGCUCAAUUUCAUAUUCGAACUUCGGGCUGUACACUGCUAAACCGAAACUUCGAAAAAUCAUAACUUCCUCAUACGAAGUCAGAUUUGCACAUUCUUUUUAUGCAUGCUCUCGGUUUAACGAACUCUACAACAUUCCUUUAGAUCACUAAGUCCAAAUAUUGCUCUAAUGUAAACUCACUAUUUACGUCUCGCUGUUUCGUACCGGUUCUGUCGCGAAACUUUGACAUGUUAUAACUUCUUCUUUAUAACUUGUAUUUCGGCAUUCUUUAUAUAUUCGGAAACCUCGUUUAAACUUCUACAACAUUAUCCAUAGAUAUCGACUUUAUCUAACAUUUCAUUUUGACGCUUAUUUUUAUUCUUAAUUAAAUUAAGACACACAAUUAAGCACAAAACACAUAAUACUCAAAUAAUACACUUCUGUUAUUUCAAAACGGGUUACAAAGAUUAACCUAGACUAUUAUAUCAACAUUAAUGACAAGCCCAUAAACACAGUCAUUACAAACGCUAGCAGGCUCAUAACCUGUAGGUGUUGUGAACGAUGUGUUUACCGGUGUACUCUAUCCCCCUCAUGGUUGCUUUUAGGACAUCUACUGUUGAGGAAACCCUUAGCAGUAAUGUCCGUACCGAUGAAAAUCCUAGAUUAGGUCCCUUGAGAUAGAUGUUGUUUUAGGGACGUAAAGUGAGGAUAACGGGAAUGGGUAAUCGGGUUAUUGUUGGUUGGUAAAAGUAAAUAUAAUAAUUUAUUGCGAGUUGAAAACCCUAUAUGCUCACCAGGCUCCCAAGCCUGACCCACUCAGUUUAUUUGUAUUACUAGUAGUGUCGCGAGGGCAUAAGAUGGAUGAAUCAUCAAGUUAUUUUAUUUAUUAGACCAGUUAUUAUAUGUAACUGUUGUAUGGUCUAUCUUUUGUAGUUUAUGCUUUUGUGUCUGUAUCGGAACAUGACAUCCCGAGUUUUGAUUUUAUAAUGAAAAUACAUUUUGUUAUGAAAUGCUUUGGUAAAUAUUAUUUUAUCAUGCUUUUUUUGGAACAAAUUCUGCAACAAUUUAAAAUCAAAAGGAUUUACUCUGAAAUUAUUUAAAAAAACAUAAAUGAAACUGGUCUUUUCUGACUGUGAUUUUGGGGAUGUCACACUGCGCCUAAUCGAGAACAUCAUAAUCCUGGCAGCUACGCCCAAAGGACAAUAUUAGCACUUGCGCCUAAUAGAGAAUAUUAUAAUUCUGGUAGUUGCGUCUAAAUGAUAAUGUUGGUAGUUGUGCUUAAUAGAUAACGUUGACAACUGUGUCAUUAGGAAAACGGUGGACUGCGUGCCUAUUCCUUAGGAAAAUCCUUAGGAAUGAAUGAGUUAAUGAUAAAUGAUUCUUAGGAUACAUCCUUAAGAAAUAACGAAGAUAAUGGGGAUGGAUAAUUGGGUUAAUUUUUUAAUGAUUAAACAUAAUUAUAUUAUUGUGGGUUGAAAACCCUAUGUACUCACUAGGUUUCCCAAUAUGACCCACUCAAGUUUAUUUGGAUCACAGGUGUCUAUACGAAGCUACUUUACACUGAGAGAUUAAGGAGACGUAAAUCACUAGUGUAAAUGAAUGGAAGGUCUGUUUAUGCUUAUAUUUAUGUAUUAACGAUGACGUCCUAAAGUUUUAAAAAGAAAUGAAAUACAUUUCUUCGAAAAUGCUUUGAUAACACAUUUAUCAUGUUUUUCUGGGAACAAAUUCCGCAACAUUUUUAUAAAAAGGGUACUCUCAUUUUUAAAUAAAGCAUAAACAAAUCGGUCUUUUCUGGCUGUGAAAAUGGGGAUGUCACAAUUGGUAUCAGAGCAUUAGUUUAAGAGAACUAAGAAUAAGGGUUUAUUUCUAGACUUAAACUUAGAAUGCUAAGCGAUGAUUAUGAGUUGAGUGUGUGAUGUUGCGCAUAAAAAAACACAAAGAUAACCAAGAAUGAACCUGUUGAUUCUAAAAGAAUAGCCAGGACAAUCUCUUCAAAACCACGUUGAUUCUACGAAUACUGUGGGAUUGGCUUCAAAAACUGGGUUAACACGCACAAAAUUUGGGAGAAAACUGAAAGUUCAUAAAAUUGAUGAUCGACCAUCCAAAUUACAUAAAAAACAGUUAAAUAAAAAGCAUAAAUUAAAAUGAAACCCUAAAAGUCCAUGGGCGAAAUACAAACCCAAAAAUUAAGGAAAAAUAACAAAAUUGUUCAUAACUCCAUUUAGAAAGCGAUUUCUGGACUCAAAAUGGGUAAGUCCCUUUCGGGGACUUAUCUAGAUGUGCUCCUUGCUCCAAGCUUCGACUUGACUGGUCGUAGGCCCAAAACGGAGACUCGUAGCCAAAGUUAUGGCCAUUUCCGUGAAGCCCCUUUAAUCACACGAUCGUGGGCCUCUAGGAAUGCAAUGGCCCGAUCCUCCACACUAGGGCCCGCAUCUGUGUGUCUAAUAUAUUUUAGGUAGUACACCUGAAUAGACACAGCCACUAUCUUAUUUUGGGAGGAUGCCUAAAAUGCUUUUAUGUGCUAAAUGAUUUGUGAUACUUUAUGAUGCUAUUGUUCGAUCAGAUAUAUGGUAUGUUGCCCACCGGAUCCAGAAACUUUAUGUGUUUAGAUUUCAAAAUGUUUAAUUACAGUAUUAGAACUGGCAUGUAACUUUUCGGAGUGAUAAGAAGAUUUACAUGUGGAUCGUAAAUAAAACCUUUCCUAUCUUAAUUAUCAUCAUUACACAUCAAACGUCUGAUUUGGUGUAUAGAUCAACAUGUUGAGAACUCGAAGCGGAUUAGGAGACGCUAAUGGAAAUGUUGAUCAACGGCCUAUGAUUUAACGUGCACUAAAGGUAGCAGCUACACCAUAGCCAAUCACAAUGGCAAGAGUCCAAGCAAUGAUUCAGGCUAUGAUAGCCAAACAAAGGGAGGAGAUGAGGCAAAUGUUGCUUAAUAGGGAUGAACCUACCAUGCUCAUUGAAUAACUAGAACUAAAUGAUGAACAGUUAGAGAAGGGAAUUACAGUAGAACCGUUGGUCAAGCUGAACUGCCAGUGGUUAGGAGGAAUAACCAAGAGGAAGGGAUCAAGAGAAAUAGAUGCAAGUAUAAGGAUUUCACAACUUGCAAACCAUAGAUUUUCACUGGGAAAGAGGAUCCAAAUCGGAGUUACAGACCGGAUCUCGGAGAUGGAUUUGGCUUUCAUAACAUGUAGAUUCAAAGGAAAGCUAAAAACCAUAUAUGCAGUGCGUCAGUUGAUGGGUGGAGUUGUUCACUAGUGGAACACUUUGGGAAAGAUCAUGAGUCCUAAUGAGCUGCUGCAACUGACGUGGGCAGAGUUCCUAGUGCAUUUCAAACGAAAGUUUUGCUCGGCCCAAAAUCUGUUGGAGCUAGAGAACCAAUUCCUAACAUUGAAGAAGGGCAUCAUGCCUAUUGACGAAUACAGCAAUGCCUUCACCGACAAGAUGGAAUUUUCUUUGCGCAUCGUCCCUGGCGAACUAACUAAAGUCGAUAAGUAUACAAAGGGACUACCAUGGGAAUAUGUUGUGCUAGUACGCCAGGCACCUACCAUCGAGGCGACUAUCUGGGCUGCUAAGUCUGUUGAAGAAAUGAUCAAGAGUAGGGCCACCAACAACGUCGAAGUUGGUGAAAGAGAAAGUUUGAAGGAUCUUCAAUGUCCAAUGAGAGGAGAAAAUGCUCGAAGUCUGGUUCGAAGAAGUUUGAAGGAGGAGGAGGUGAAGCAAGAUGGUGUGAUAAGUGCAAGAAGAAACACUUUGGAAAAUAUGGCAAGAAGGUGACUUGUUUCAAGUGUGGAAAGUCUGGGCAUUAUGCCGAUGAGUGUAUAUUCAACAAAAGGGUGUAUUACGGAUGUAAUGAAGAAGGGAAUUCAAGCUGGACUGCCCAAAGAGGGAAGGAGCUACAAAGCAAAAUGCACCGCCAAAGCCGAAGGCAAAAACAUUCCAUAUGAUCCUUAAUGAAGCAGAUGAUAAUGCAAGGAAUCAAGAAUGAGGACUGAUACCCGAAGAUCAAGUUAUGAAGUAGCCAUGCAGAUAGUAUCAGGAGGUGUAGCCUAUUAGAGGCAUAUUAUAGGUUGAACUUUAACAUCCAUGUAAUCAUUUCAAGAAGUAAUAUAAGCCUUGGUUUUGUUAUCUGGUGCGUUAAGUUGUUAUGUGAUUUUCAAGUAUGGUGACUUGGAAAACUGCGAGACAAUACUUGGGACAAGUAUGAGUAUAUGUGAAUGGUAGUAGAGGCCUAUACUACCAGAAGCACAGGACUCGCACUUGGAUUAGGGAAAGUCACAAGGUUACCAAGGCACUAGUAAUUGAUUCUUUUUUGUUCAUGUUUGUCGUCACCAUCGUUUCGGUAAUGACUAAGAAGAUGAUUGUUAGUCCAACCCUAGUGGUCAUAUCAAAUCGAGUCCGACUAAGAUGAAUAUGUUGCGUGGUUCAAAAAACCAAGGUCGAUGUUGCAUCUGACUUAAGCCAGACGAUUGAAGUGAAAGAUAAUCGAACCGAUCAAUAGAAGUAUCGUAACCUUUGUUAAGGUAAGAAGCUUGUAGCUAGAAGUGCUACAUGCUAGAAUAUGAUUAUAUCACAUUAGAACAUGAAGGAAGGUAUAUUUUGUUCUAUAGUUUGACUCUAAAAGACCUAAGUCUAAGUGUUGCAUCAUACGAUAAGAGGUCAUUACAACAUGACCCAUCGGUUUAUUGUGGUAAUCAAAUAACUUCUCUUAAUAUAAGUAUGUUUAACAAGAAGUAGGAGUCUCUGAUUUGGAUCGAUUUUGUAACUCGAAGGUUACGAUUGGAAGUCCAACAUAGGAUAAAGAACGGGUGCAAGAUUGAGUACCUCCUGCGGUCAAGAAGUCCAAGAGUUUGAUACUCAUUCGAAGGAACAUAAAAGUUACGAUUAUUACCUAAUAUGAAGAGAUAACAUAAGGAUUCAUUAUACAAGCCCUAUUUUGUUGAUUAUUCUGGGACGUAAUCAUCCUAAGGAGGAGAUAACUGUAACGCCCGCAGAUUCAGGCUAGUCAAUUAGAGAUAUUGAGCGUCAAAAAUGACAUUUUUAUGGGAGUUUAUUUAGAAGAAAUAAUCUUAACCUAGUAAUAGUAUAUGUCACAAGGGUUCCGUACAUAUAAAGAACGCCGAAAUCCGAGUUAUAACGAAGAAGUUACGACCCGACGAAGUUCUACAGCAAAACCGGCACGACACCGCGUAACAUAAAAAGUGAAUUUUUGAUAAAUUACUUUUUAGCCUUAGAGAUAUAAAUGAAAGUUAUAAUAUAGGUUAAACCGAUAGCAUGCAUAAAAAGAACGUCAAUAUCUAACUUCGUAUGAGGAAGUUAUGAUUUUUCUAAGAUUUCGCAAAGUAGUAUACAACCCGGAAUUCGAAUUUCAGAUCGAGCGAUUUUUAGCCAACACAACCUAAAUGAAAAUUGAAUAUCUCAUUAAUAGGAGUUCAACGAUAAAAAGACAUUAAAAAUGGAGUUCGAAUGUACAAGUUAUGAAUUUUACACGGUCAUUAACAAUGUAAUCUUCUCAUACUAGUAAAUUUAAAAUCGGUCGAGAGUUAGCUGUUUGAGUCAAAAGGAGAGUUGUAGAUCAUGUCAAUACCUAUGCGUGGAUAUAAAUAAUGUCAAAAAUGGAGCUCGUAUGCAAAAGUUAUGAAUUUUUGAAAAUUGGUUGUUUUACCUGCGUCCAGCACCACGUGUCAGCACCAAGCGAAGCCAUGGUGCCUACGCAAGGCCACGACGUGGAUUGGCUCCAGAUAGCCUAUAAAUAGAGGCGGAAAUCAUCCGUUUUCUUCACACCUUCACCCUUCUUUCUCUCUCAACGCUCCUAAUCUCUCCCUCCCAAUCCCUAGCAACUUCUAAGUGCUCCGAGAAGAAGAUCUUUCGGCUCAGAAGUUCCACCCCCGCAUAGCCCGGUUCCUAGCCAAACCCACGGUAAGUUAGUUAUGAUUACCCUACUUUAAGUAUAACUUAUGUUUGAGUUUAUUAUCAUUAUUAUGAACUUAUAAACAAGAUUUAUCAAUGAUUCCAAGUAGUUAUAUUGAUUGAUCUACUUAUGGGGAUAAUGUCUAGGCUGUGAUUUUGUGAGGUGUUUAAAGUGGGGUUUCCAAAUAGUAUACUUCGUAUACCAAACGAACCCUACCUCUGAUAUGAUCCUACCUGGUUGCUCUUUACAUGAUAGAUCAUGAAAGUAGACUUUGAGUUAAUGAUGAAUCUAGACUAAUAAUUAGUUGCAAUAAAGAUUAGACUAAAACUUAGCGAUAAUAAUGUUAGGUUUCGUCGAAGGAAGAUAGAAUCGUUAGAAGUGAAGCGUUUCUCGACUUUGGAAUUAUCACUUUGAAAAGUGAGUGCAUAGUUACUUUCAUCUUACACAUUGAUAUGAAGUAUUUUAUAUAAAUUACGCGCUAUGUGUGCAUGUUAUCUGUUUACUUGAUAUAUAUGAUAAAUGAACGAUCUUAUACAUGUACUCUAAACAUCCUAGUAGCUGUGCUCAAAGUGUAGUAUCGGUAGCUGUGCCGUCACACCCCCAAACCAGAACGACGGAAACGUUCAGGGGCGGAGGACGUCAUGUAUAGUAUCAUAACAAUGCAUAAUAGUAAAACAAGCAACAACAUCAUCCAUUGAAUUAAUGAUAGAAUUUAUACAUGUGUGUUCUUUGUAAAGUUGUAAGACACCAAAAAUAUAUAAUCAAAAUAAAGACGAGUCUUGAAUACGCUCUGUCUCCUCAAAACCUGGUCAUCGAUACAUGUCUACUGGUGACCUAAGAAUACAAGUUAUUUUGAAAGAGUAGAUCAACAUUUAAGCUGGUGAGUUCAUAAGUAUAUUAGUGUCAAAAAUUUUCAUCUGUUUCAUGAAAAUGUUUGUAAGUAUUUAGAUGUAAAUGUUUGUAUGCUUCCAAGAAAAUCCUAUAUUUUCUACUAAAAUGAAAAGUAGUCUUCUUCCAAGACUCAACUGUUUUGUAUGUUUGUUUUCUCGUAAAAAUUGAUGUAAGAUGUAUGUUUGUACUUGUAAUAGUAUAAAUGUGGGUUUUCCAUAUUUUUUUAAAACUUUCUAUACACGAAAAAUAGUAUGCAUUUCUUACGUGAGAAUAUCACUGUGUGAAUAUGAUGGAAAAAUGACGAUAUUCAGUAGUGUUGUAUAAAAUAUCUACUGAAGCACUAACUACCUUAAAGCAAAUUGUUAAUUAAGGUAAAACGUGAUGAGGUUAUAACCAUGCUUGAUUGACUUGUAUAAAACACAACGAUCAAAAUACAUCGAAAUGGUAUGACAUUUGUCACUUGUAGACCUGUAGGUCCCAUUGUAGCUAGCAACAAGGUUUAGGAUGGUCAAUCCAGUAUAGAUCUAUACACAAACUCACGCUCUCCCUCCAAGAGACUCUGGUUACAAAGCGUGACACAACAAGUAUAUUGAUAUGCCAUGAAGUAGUGGCUCACAUUAAUGUUAUCUUGUUCUAGUUAUAGUAUGUAUGUUCCUUUCUGUUCUAGUUAUAGUAUGUAUGUUCCAAUCUGUUCUAGUUAUAGUAAGUAGUAAUACUCUAAACUAUACCUAUUAUAGUUUACUAGUAUGAUUGUUUGACUGUUACUAAUUUGCAGAAAAGUCUCAAUUACUCACAUAAGCAACUAACUUAAGUAUGUAACUUAAAAAUGGGUUUAAUAUUCAUAUAUGUAUUUAAUAAGCAUAACUAUGAUUUUGCUGACAUUCGAACUAGUGAUCCUACCCUAAGCCCACAACCAAACAAAGAAACAGGAGUUAAGGUAUCUCGCAGUAGUCCUAAGCCCGUUAAAGCAUACUUACACGUAAACAGAUAGACGAAUAUGAUUUGAUAUAAAAGAAGUUUAUAAAAGAUUUAAAAGAGUUUUAACAAGUUUUGAGUAUAAGAAAUCCCUUUGGAUGUUGUUUUCACAUGUAAAUGGUUAACAAAAUUUAAUUGUGUUCUACUUGUUAUCCCCCAUAAAAGCAUUUAAAAGGUAUUUAAAAGUGUAUUGUAGGGGUAUGAACUCAUAUGUAGUGAGUGAUUCGAAUGAAAGAUCGAUAUAGGAUGAUAAGUAUGCCAAGUGAAGUAUCGAGCACAAACGGGUCCUAUUAAGCAUAUAAUAACACAUAUAUGUAUACAAUUAGUAUAUAUAACAACUAAAAUGUAAGGGAAACAACCUUAGGAACUAGGAAACACUUUGAAUGAAGUGUUAGCAUCACAAAUGAUUGGCUGAAAGGUGUUCACGACUAAACAAGGGGUGUUCACGGCCUUAGGAGGGUACAUGUCCAUAGAACGCAUGAUGUGUUCACGGACCAAGGUUGAUCUUAUGAAGGUUUCACGGUCCUAUGAUGCAUCUAUGAAGGGUUCAUGGCCCUAUGAAGGGUUCACGGUCGUGAACUCUUGAAGAUCUUGCAAAUAAGUGUUUGUUUCAUGGGUGGAAUCAAGUGUUUCUAAGGGACAACAAGAUGAUGGAUGAGAUACUUAUGUUUUGGAAGCCUUUAGAAGUGUUCACAGUUGAAGAUAGUUGAGAGAGAAGUGGUGUUCACGGCUAGGGUUUAAAGAAAUGAAGAAAAAUGAGCCAACUCCUUAUAUAUAAGACUUGUUCACGGCCAAGGAUGGGUACACGGCCAUGAACCUAGAUGUGGCCGUGAACUCCUUUUGGUGGUGUUUCCGGCUCGAUUGCAACUCAAUGAACUCAAGCUAACACUUCCUAACUCACAAUCCUUGAGUGUACUAGGCUUAGAAAUUCUCAAACAUACCCUUAACACAACAUAAAGGUAACAGAAACAAGUCUGACUUUAGAUUGAAUUGAUUGACUUUACAAGAUAGAAAUUCCAGGUUGUCGCAUGUGCCUAAUAGAAAACAUCAUAACCCUGGCAGCUACGCCCAAAGGACAAUAUCGACUGUUGUGCCUAAUAGAAAAUAUCAUAAUUCUGGCAGCUGCUCCUAAAUGAUAAUAUUGGCAGCUAUGCUUAAUAGAUAAUGAUGAUAUAUGGUCCAUUAGCAUGGCCUAGACUGCUCUAGCGCGCCAUAUGAUGCGACAUCGGCUCCGACCACCUGCUCUAAGGAGAUGCUUCUGCACCAGAGAUAGAUCUGUGAGGUCACAACAAACAAGACCGUUAGAGCUGCCCCAAAGACUGUGCCCUGGGAGAGAGCUCCGACGGUCAAGUUAGAUCAUUUGGUAGAUCUGAGAUGGAUCUCUUUAGCUAGAGAGGAUCAUCCUUGUGUUGGUGGUGUUGUAUGGUGGUUGACGGCGGCGGGUGCCGGCUGAGCCACCCGGCCAAAGUAUAGGGCGGCGGCUGAGCCAAGGGGAAGAUCCUAAUGGUGGCAGAACCACCUAGGAAAGAGUCCUCCUUCAUGAAGGAGGCACUAUUCUAUUUAUAGGGGGACAACUAGGUCAAGGGGAAUUAGGUCAGGCCUUGGGCCAACCCAAUUCAGGCCCAGCUAGCAAGGAGCUGGGUAAGGCCGCCCGGAGGCGCCGCGCGGGACUUANUGACGGGCGCGUACCAGGAAAGGACGGCAAGGGUGCGCCAGGAAAGGGAGCGUCAGGUCGGGCCUGCAAGAGAUUCCCCAGCAAGGCUGGCAAGGGAGUCCCCAACAAGGUUGUCAAGGGAAUGCCAGGAGAGGCUGGCAGGAGCGCGCCAGGCCAAGAUGGCGCGCUAGAGCAGUGUAGGCCAUGCUAAUGGACCAUAUAUCAUUAGAUAACAUUGACAGCUGUGUCAGUAGGAAAAUGAUGGACUUUAUGCCUAUUCUUUAGGAAAAUCCUUAGGAAUGAAUGAGUGAAUGAUAAAUGAUUCUUAGGAUAGAUCCUUAAGAAAUAACGAAGAUAAUGGGGAUGGAUAAUUGGGUUGAUUGUUUAAUGACUAAACAUAAUUAUACUAUUGUGGGUUGAAAAACAUAUGUACUCACUAGGUUUCUGAACCUGACCCACUCAAGUUUAUUUGUGUGACAGGUGUCGAUACGAAGCUACUUUACACUGAGAGAUUAAGGAGAUGUAGAUCACUAGUUAAAAUGAAUGUAAGGUCUGUUUAUGCUUAUGUUUCUGUAUUGACGAUGACAUUCCAAAGUUUUAAAAGAAAUAAAAUACAUUUCUUCGGAAAUGAUUUGAUAACACAUUUAUCAUGUUUUUCUGGGAACAAAUUUCACAACAUUUUUCUGGCAUCGGGCCUCGCCCGGUAUACAAAUAACAUAUAAGCACAUGCAUAAAAAUCACUUAAACACAUGCAUAAAAAUCACAAUGAUAAAUAGCAUACAAUAUAAUCAUUACGCCCCGCCCGGUAAUCAUAUAAACACAUAACACAUGCAAGAGUAACACAUACAACUAGUAAGGAAACUCACCUCAAGCUGCAAAAUCACUCGGAUAAAAUCUCAAUCUGUUGGUCCGGAAGAUCCUCGCGCUAACCUCAUAAUAUAAAUAUCCAAUUAAUAAUUGGAUCUCGACCCAUAAUAACCAAUCUAAGUUCCUUUUCCAAUAUCCAGGGUAAAAGAUUGUUUUACCCUUUUUCUUACAUGGCCCAAAACCAAGGCCCAAUCCAUUGCUCAAAAGGGCUAAAUUCCAAAAUGGCAUCCAUAGGCCCAAUAAGGCCCAACUUCCAAAUUGGGCUGAAAAUCAUCAUGGACCUAAUCCCAUGAAAGUCCAUAGUCUAUCCAUGACCCAAAGUCAAAAUUCUAAUGACCUAACAAGGCCCAAAUCUUAAAAACCCAAAAUAUGGCCAAAACCCAGGGAAGUCAAACCAAAAGUCAACCUACUGUACGCUUAGCAUACUCCUUCCAGGGCAAGUAUGUGCAUCGUACCAACUGGGUAUGCCCAACGUACUCCCCAGAUUAUCAACCCAACCCAUUAAUAACUUAAUUGGUUAAGCCAACAUGCUAAACUCUCAGAUCUGGUUCUAAAUGGCGACUUACUAUGUAAAGUUGACAACUUUACACCCAUGCAUGAAUUAAUGGGGCCCAACACUAAAAAAGAAGCUUAAUAAGACUCUUAACACUUGCAUGGAAUAAUAUCUUACAUAAAGUUUGCAUUUUUAUGGGCAAAGGACCUCAAAUCAGCGAAGAUCUAACAUCCAUAGCUUCUGGAGUGGACCAUAACUUCAUAUAUGACUUAAAAGACCCAAAAACGCAUAAAUAUCACCAUAAAAUGGAUCUAGCACAAAGGACCAUCCAGAUGAGAGAUUUUUACCUCAAAAGGCUUGCUAAGGUGAAGAUAACUCUAGAUCUACAAGAUUAAGCUACUCCCAAGAAACCUCGAAGUGUUCCUCGUUUUCUUCUUCUUCACCACAAAACACCAACAAACUCACUUUCAAGCUCAAAUCUGACCAAAUACACUUAGGGUUUCGAUAUUGUGACAUAGGGUGAUGGAGGCUGAUCAAUAAAAUGUCCAAAGGUGGUUUAAGAUGUUUAAGUAGGCUGCAAACCCUAAAAAUUAGGGUUUGCCCCUGCUCUACGUAUGUCAUGCAUACUCUACGUACGCCCCACAUACGUGGGUGAAUCUUGCGUCCAGAAAAUAGAUAGUAUGAUAAGCGUACUCAUAGAGUAUGCCCUGUGUACUAGCUAUGGACCAAAAUGAUAAGGAUUUUGCAUUAAGGGGUUAGAAAGAAACUUACCAAAUUACGAAUGUUACAAUUCACUUUAAUCAGAAUUUGUCCUUGAAGUAUGCUGCUCCAAACAACUUUGGGUAGUGCUCUCUCAUCUCGUCCUCCGGCUCCCACGUCCAUUCUGAACCCUUUCGAUGCUGCCACUGAACUUUCACCAAUUCAACAACCUUGUACCUCAAGGCUUCGUCUUCCUGUCAAGAAUUGUUACCGGUCUCUCGAUAUAAUUCAUGCGAUCAUCCACUUAAAUAUCCUCUAAUAGAACCACCACGGAAUCAUCAAUUAAACAUUUUUGUAACUGAGAGACAUGAAAUAUGCUAUGGAUCAUACUAAGAUCCUCGGGAAGAUACAAGCGAUAAGCAACCCGAACCACCCGUGUGAUAAGUCCAUUUUAUGAAUGUACUAAAUUGUCAUAAAUCUGUUGAAUUGAUGUAUAAUUGUCCAAGAAUGGCACUACAUUGCUGAGUUAUUGAACUUCAUAUGCAGGUCAAUAUAUUGUACUAAAAGUGGGUGGAACCUACAAGUAAAACGGAUUGUUAAAGGAAUGAAGAAACGUUGCUGGGAAAAUUGACCAUUCUUCAAUGUUUUGGUCUAAUCUCAAGUUCUGGAGCUCCGAUUGACAUGAGUAUAGAAGUUCUGGAAACUAGACAAGAUUUUCUACAACUUUCGUGUUUUGUGCUUCUGCUAGUUAUGUCGUUUUGACUACCAAAACUUGCACAGAAGAUGAAGGACACCUCCAGACAUCUAAGACGUCCAGGUCAAACAGCCAACAUCUGGUCGUUAUUUCAGAGCAGAAAAGAAGGAAGAACCCCGUCAGCAUCUAACAUGGAAUCUAAGAUGUCCCCUAGGAUGUCUUGGCAUUUUAGGGACGUCCCGUGUUGGAACGGUGUGUUUAGGAAAGUUUAGAAAACAAGGCACGACGUCCUAGAACGCAUCUAAGACGUCUCCUAAGACGUUUGACGUUUUUGGCCAUUUUUUAGUAUAUUUCAAGGACGUACAAAGAUCGCUUGGGCGUUAUACACGACGUCUAAGAUGUCUCCUAGGACGUCCAACGUCCCACAUCGCCCAAUUUCAUUAUUUUUUAUCCCACACUAUAAAUAGGAGCCUAUUUCGUUGGUUAAAAUUCGGAUUCAAAGCAAGAUUCGAUUCAAUUCAUCAUCAAGCUAUAAGUGAAGAUCAUUUCAUUGGUUAAUUUUCAUCAAUUCUUUAUUUUCCAGAAUUAUUUCUUCUUCCCCAAGGUUUAUUUGUUCUACACUUCGAUAAUCAUUAGGCUACAUUUGUUUGAUGAUUCUACGUUUGUUUAUGAAUUCUAUAAUGGAUUUUAUUCAUUUUAAUCAAGUUAUUUGUCUUAUGAACUCAAUGGAAGGCUAAAUCAUUAGGGUUACUUCCGGGGAUGUUUAGGACUUUUUGAUGAACACACUUGAUUAUUACUUGAUUCUAGUUAAUUUCAAUUGUUGUUUUAUGCUUCAUGUGAUGAUCUUUUGGUAAUGAUAAUUGAAAUUGGGUUGUAUGAAUUGUUUGAUGUCAUAAUUAAGAUAGUCUAUUGUCAAUUCAUCAUUUGUUCCAAGUUCACAUAGUUUAGGAAUAAAGACAAGUGAUUGAAUCAACAUAUAUUAUUCCAACUUAUGAUAUUGAAUCUUAAUGCGGUAAUAGGUACUUGUAAGAUAUUUUAUUGCUAGUCCACUAAUUGUUCUUAAUCCAUUGAGGCAUAAAGGAGUAAGACAACUAGUUAAAUGAACAUUUAGUAUGCCCAAACUAUGUAUUACAAGUUAAUAAAUCCCAAUUGUAUCUAAGUAAUUGAAUUAGGAUUUAAGGGAAGAAAGUGUGUGAAUUUAAACUGUCCAUAACUGAACCGGGAGUACUCUAGUUUUCUCAUUGAGAUUUUCGUUGUAAUUAAUAAAUUUCCAUGCUUUUUGUUUGAUCUUUGCGUUAAAUUCUUUUUCGUGACAAUUGCUAGUAGCUUUUUUUCGUUGACUAUUUUAACACAAAGUUUGACAACAAACUCCCUGUAGAUUCGACCCUUACUUACCCUAGCUAUCUAGUGGUUUUGAGGUUAUUUUUGAUUGAUACAACGACAUCAAUCAUAAUUUGGCGCCUUUGUCGGGGAGAUUGUGCGCUUGAGCUAUUGUUUUUAAGUAGUUAUAGCCUUUUACUUUCAUUUUCAAUUCUCGUUUGUAGUUCACAUUUUGUUUUAUUUGUGUUGUGCAGGCACACUGGUGCAUGCAUACAAGACAUAGCAGACGCUCUUCACCGCUUGCAUUUGAUCCGGAAAUCGAACGAACAGCUCGCUCAAAUCGGGUCGCCAGAAGGAACAUCAACACUAUGAGUGUAGAUAAUGUUGUCGUGGAAGAUGUGGUUGAAGGGCAUGAGGAAGAAGCCAACAAUCCUCCACCACUAGUUCCACCACCAGCUCCUCAAUUCCCAAACAACAACAAUGGGAAUAACAACAAUGCCGGUGCACCAAUCAUCCAACCAGUGCAACCAUAACUGAAUAGAAACAACCGUGGCCAAAAUGGUGGAAACGGAGGAAAUUGGGCAUAGAAUAUGGGAGGCAAUGUAGGAAACCACACUGGUGGUAAUGUUAGAAAUCAUAACCAAAAUCCUAGAAAUGUUGGUCCUCAAUUCGGUAAUGGUGGUAAUGGUGGUAACGAGGAUGAUUGGGAUUUUGACGAUGGAAGUUACAACGGACUUGGUUGGAAUCAUAACCACAACGGUGGUAAUAGGCGGAAUCAAGGAAAUCGGGGUGGAAACGGGUACUAAAACAAUAACUGGAACAACCUGAAUUUCCCUAAUGGUGGCAACAAUUACUACAAUGAUGGGUUCGGAAAUCAAGGCUUUGGGAAUCAAUAUCGAAGGAAUCCAAAUGGUGGAUUCAACAAUGCGAAUGGAGGAUACUAAAAUGAAGGUAAUCAAUUCCCUCAUCUUUACUUUCUGCAGCCUAAUAGACAAUCUGUGGCGUCUCAUUUUCAGCCGAGAGAGUAUGAUGAUGCUUCACCCAUACUCUUCGCAGAAGUAAAUGAGCAUCAUGUAGAAGUAAGACCACAACUAAUUAGUGUCUUACCCGUCUUUAGAGGCCAUAAAACUAAUGAUCCAUACAAUCACCUCUAUGAGUUCCUUGCAAUUGCUAACGCGAAUACUCCGCGAGGAACUAAUAGAGAUUCAUUUAGACUUCUCUUAUUUCCGUUCACUUUAAAAGAAAAAGCUAAGUAUUGGUUCACUUCUCUUGCCCCCAUAGUAUCACUACUUGGGAGCAAUUAAAAACUAAAUUUUUGCAAGAGUUUUACCCAGCUAGUAAAACAACGGAAAUAAGAAAAGCCAUAGAAGAUUUUGCACAAAAACCCAAAGAAGAAUUUCAUGAUGCAUUUGAACGCCUCAAGGAAUUGUUCCGUUCAUGUCCCUAUCAUGAAUUUCCCCGUUGGCAACUGGUAGGUUUCUUUUAUGAUGGAGUCGAUACUGCCAAUCAAAGCAUGAUUAAUGCCUCGUCCGGCGGCAUUAUUAUGAUACAAGAUAGUGAAGACGCUUGGCGAUUCUUAGAGUAGUUGAGUCAUGGUUCAAAAACCAAUUACUCAGCUAAGAAACGGGACAAUCCAGUUUCAUCUGUUGCUUCAGUUGGACUAGACAAAAAACUGGAAAAAUGAAGUCAAAUCUGAUAUUAAUUCUUUAAAUAAAAUUUUUGACUUACUACUCUCUAGUCUAGGCAAAAAGAAAGGUGUGUUUUUUCGCAGGGACAGAAGAUAUGUGUAAGCUGUGGAGAUUCAUGACACAUUGCAGAUGAGUGCAUGAGAAUUCAAGAGGAAAUCAAUCAAGUGCAUGGUUAUGGUCAAUUCCAAAAUAAUCCACGAUCAUUCAAUCGGAACUACAUCCAAGGCGGGAACUACAACAACAUUGGGAUUUUCAACAACAACAACCGUCAAGGGAAUUACCAAAACCAAAAUCAGCCAAAACAGUUCCAGCAGUCCAACUUUAACCAAGGUGGAACAUCAAAGAAGGAGGAAAAUGAUGGCAACAAGUUGGACAAAAUCAUGGAGUUCAUAACCUAAACAUAUCAGAAAACCGACACUAACUCCAAGUCUAUAGCUGCUAUUGAGAAGCAAAUUGCUCAACUGGCGGAGCAAAUUGGGAAAAGAGAAGAUGGCAAGUUUCCAAGCACCACAACAGUGAACCCAUCUCAUACCCAGAGACCCCGAAAAGAGCAUCAAGUGAACGAGGUAAUUACCUUGUGUAGUGGAAAAAAGGUUGACAACAAGGUAAGUGCUUCUACAUUAGAUAAUGACAGUGACACUGAAGUCAUCUUUGAUGAAAAAGAAGAGUUUGAGAAAGAUUUUAAAUCCGAAAAACAAAAAGAAGAUAAGGUUAAAAAUGACUCUAAAGUUGGGGAGCAUGGUGUGGAGGUUAAUACCGCACCAUACCCUUCGGCUUUAGAGAAGCCGGCAUCCUUCCCUUUUGGGAAGCGAGGGCUAAAAAUGGAAGACAUGUGAGAUCUAUUUAGUCAAGUUAAAAUAAAUAUCCCAUUAGUCAAACUUAUUAAGGAGGUACCUUCUUAUGCUAAAUUUUUGAAGGAUUUGUGUGUUCAAAAACGCAAACUCCAAGCAUACCUCCCUAAAAAGAUUGAUUUAGUCAAGCAUGCGAGUUCGAUAAUAUCAAAUAAACUUCCACCCAAGCUUAAGGAUCAUGGAGCACCUUUAAUUUUUGUUACGCUAGGUAACAUUAAUAUAAAAAAGGCGCUCCUUGAUCUUGGAGCUAGUGUUAAUAUAAUCCCGGGAAAUUUUUUUGAUCAACAUGACUUAGGCACUUUGGAACAAACUGAUAUUAUUUUACGAUUGGCCGAUAAGUCAACAAAAAUUCCUUGGGGAAUAUUAUCAGAUGUUAUUAUUAAGGUGGGAGAUUUCUAUUACCCAGUUGAUUUUCUUAUGCUUGACACCGUGAGCACUUAUAAAGAAAGUCAACCUUCUAUUAUUUUAGGUCGUCCGUUAUUGACAGCAAUAAAUGCACAAAUUAAUUGUAGAACGGGUGCAAUGGAUAUCUCUUUUGGAAAUAGGAAACUUAGAAUUGAUAUUUUUAAUACGUUUCCUAACUCACCAUCAGAUUAUGAAUGUUAUCAUGUGGAUGUGGUUGAUGACUUAGUGCAUCAAUUCACUCUUAAAAUCUUACACCCUGAUCCAUUGGAGUUUUUUCUUUCUAAUGACAGGGACGAAGUUUUAGAGUUGGAUGACAUCAAGAUGGUUGAGGAGGCAUUUGAAAAUGUUAUUGAGCAAGAGAGGCCACCAUGGAGUUAUCAAGUUGAAAAAUUGCCAACAAGUUUUUCGGACCCACUUAAGCCAUCUUUGGAGGAGCCACCCAGUCUUGAACUCAAAACUCUUCCUUCACAUCAUAGAUACUCUUUUUUAGGAUCUAAGGAGAACUUACCAAUUACCAUAUCUUUUGAUUUGACAUGUCCACAGGAGGAAGCAUUACUGAAGGUGCUUUCGAAGUACAAGGGAGCAAUUGGAUGGACCAUAGCAGACUUGAAGGGAAUUAUUCCAGCCACAUGUAUGCAUUGAAUCAUCACUGAAGCUAGAGAAAAGCCAUCCCGAGAUGCACAACGAAGGCUCAACCCGAAUCUGCGAGAAGUUGUUAAAAAGGAGGUGUUGAAAUGGCUUGAUGCGGGUAUUAUCUACCCAAUAUUUGAUAGUGAUUGGGUGAGCCCGACACAGACAGUGCCAAAGAAGUCGGGCGUUACAGUGGUAGAUACAGAAGAUGGAGAGAAGAUCUCAACAAGAUCGGUCACCAGAUGGAGAGUUUGCAUCGACUAUCGCAAACUCAAUGCUGCAACAUCAAAUGACCAUUUCCCUCUCCCUUUUAUUGAUCAAAUAAUUGAGAAAUUGUAUGGUAAAAAGUUUUAUUGUUUUUUGGAUGGAUACUCGGGGUAUAAUCAAAUUGCCAUCCACCCCGAGUAUCAAUCCAAAAUGACAUUCACGUGUCCAUAUGGCACCUUUGCUUUCCGAAGGAUGCCAUUCGGCUUGUGUAAUGCCCCUGCCACAUUUUAAAGAUGUAUGAUGGCUAUUUUUUUAGACGUGGUGGGGGAUGCAUUAGAAAUUUUCAUGGAUGAUUUUUCUAUUUUUGGAUCAUCUUUUGAGACAUGCUUAGACCAAUUAGAAAAAGUUUUGAAACGUUGUAUUGACUCUAAUUUGGUUUUAAGUUGGGAGAAGAGUCAUUUCAUGAUAAAAUAGGGAAUUGUACUUGGCCAUGUUGUCUCCGAGCAUGGCUUUGAAGUCGACCGGGCCAUAGUACAAAUUAUUUCUACUCUUCUCCCACCAACUUCAGUAAAAGGCGCCCGUUCUUUUCUUGUACAUGCCGGCUUUUAUCGAAGAUUUAUCAAGGAUUUUAGUGCAAUGUCAAAACCUCUUUGUAAUUUACUUUUAAAAGAUGCACCAUUUUCCUUUGAUAAAGCAUGUCUUGAAUCUUUUACCACAUUAAAGAACAAACUUGUUGAAGCUCCUAUCUUGCAAUCACCCGAUUGGACUUUACAUUUUGAAAUUAUGUGUGAUCCAAGUGAUUACGCGGUAGGGGCAAUUUUGGGACAACGGGUGAAUAAAAAACCCAUUGCAAUUUGUUAUGCGAGCAAAAAAAUUUCGGAUGCACAAUUGAAUUACACUACUACCGAAAAAGAGUUGCUUGCGGUCGUGUUUGCACUUGAAAAUUUUAGAUCUUACAUAUGGGGAUCUAAAGUUGUAAUUUUUACCGACCAUAGUGCCAUUCACCACCUCUUGGAAAAGAAGGAUGCCAAACCACGUCUCAUAAGAUGGAUCCUUCUUCUUCAAGAGUUUAAUCUUGAAAUUCAGGACAAAAAGGGUUCUGAAAAUGUUGUGGUGGAUCAUUUAUAUAGAAUAACUAAUAAUGAUAACUCAACGAAAGUUAUUCAAGAAAACUUUCCAGAUGAGCAUAGUCUUGUUGUCAAAACUAUACCAUGGUUUGCUAAUUUAAUUAAUUACUUUGCGACAGGGGAAACUCCAUUGUAUUGGAAUGCUCAACAAAUGAGGUUCUUCCACUCUCAAACAAAAUACUACAUAUGGGAGGACCCAUAUAUUUUCAAAAUUGGAGCAGAUCAAGUGAAUAGGAGAUGUGUACCACAUACAGAGCAAGAAGACAUUCUUCGACACUGCCAUUCAUAUACAUGUGGAGGGCAUUUUAGUGCCAAAAGGCAGGGCAUCGGGUUCUACAAAGCGGUUUUUUCUGGCCCUCUAUUUUUAAAGAUGCACAUACAUUCGUUAAAGCUUGUAUUCGUUGCCAACAAGUUGGGGGGAUCUCAAGACGGGACAUGAUGCCAAUGACCCCAAUUUUAGUAGUUGAAAUCUUUGAUGUAUGGGGCAUUGAUUUCAUGGGUCUGUUCCCCACUUCUUUUGGCAAUCUAUACAUUCUUGUAGCCGUUGAUUAUGUAUCAAAAUGGCUCGAAACCGAGGAUACACACACGAAUGACCAUAGUGUUGUUUGUAAAUUUGUUAAAAAGAACAUAUUUUCUACACACGGAAUCCCUCGAACUAUUAUUAGUGAUGGGGGCUCCCAUUUUAAAAAUUGGCAUUUUGCAAAGUUACUUAAACACUAUAGUGUCACACAUAUGAUAGCUACUCCAUAUCACCCACAAACAAAUGGACAAGUAGAAGUGUCAAAUAGGGAAAUAAAACGAAUCUUGGAGAAGACUGUUCAUCCCGACCGAAAAGAUUGGUCAUUAAGAUUAGAUGAUGUGUUAUGGGCAUAUCGAACAACCUAUACGACGCCCAUUGGAAUGUCUCCGUAUCGGCUUGUUUAUGGAAAGCCAUGCCAUCUCCCGGUGGAGUUAGAACACCGUGCCAUGUGGGCCAUAAAAAAUGCUAACUUUGAAUUGAGUGAUGCAGGUAUAGAAAGGAAACUCCAAAUUGUUGAAUUGGAAGAGAUUCGAAAAGAAGCUUACGAAAGCUCAAGGAUCUAUAAAGAAAAGACGAAGGCAUUUCAUGACCGACAUAUUGUCCGAAAACAAUUCGUUAAAGAACAAUUGGUGUGGCUAUUCAACUCUCGUCUCAAACUCUUCCUCAGAAAGCUUCGGAGUAAAUGGAAUGGACCUUUUGUGGUGAAAAAUGUGGCGGAUCAUGGAUCUAUUGAAAUCAAGGACACGAAAGGCAGUGAACCAUUCAAGGUAAAUGGACAAAGACUCAAACCUUAUAUUCGAAUGGUAAAUGGUGAAACAACAUUCGUUGAGAAAACAACGCUCAAGGCAACACAAUAUUUAGAAACAACUUAGUCGAGGUAAACCGUCCGGCUGAAGACAUAAAACUUACCGCUUUUCGGGAGGCAACCCGUGGUUUGGUGUGUUUUUACUUCUAUUCUUCUUUUGGUGUGUUUUAAUUCUUUUCGUAUCGAGGACAAUCCAAGGUUUAAAGUUGGGGAGGGGGUAUUUAAUUUUUGUUUAAAAUUAAAUAAUAUUCGAAAAAUACUCAAAAAACAGCAAAAAAAAAUAGCCUCAGGCAUCCUAGGGGUGUCUUAGACGUUGUCUAAGACGCCGUCGGGCUGUCACUUCUUUUCCCCCCGAUGAAAACCCUUCGCGAAAAUUAAAAAAAUACCCUUAAUGUGUAUGACGUCCUAGGACGCGUCUAAGACGCCGGCUAGGACGUCGACGUGUUUUUCAACCGUUUUAUGCCGUUUUCUGCAUUAUUGUUGGUAUCUUUCUUCUCCAAACUGCCAUAGCCGAAAACCCACUUGUUCUUGCUUAUUUCCUUUGAUUUCUUGGCCAAAACUCAACCAAAAUUCGUGGUUUUUGUUGCAAUCUUCAAGAAAUCAAGUAAGAAACAUCACAUUGCAAGAUUUACACACUCUAAUCACUUAUUUGGGGCCGAUUUCAAAACCCACAAAAACUAGGGUUUCGAAAUUUUGACUUAUUUUGAGAUUUUACUUCAAGUUCUUGGUUCUUCUUCACUAGAAACACAAUUUCAACAAGGUAUAUGCUUCAAAACUCCAUCUUUUAGUUGAAUUUCAGAAUUUUUGCAUGUAUGUUCAUAUAUGUUUGAAAUUUUGAAAAAGAUGAAGAAUAUGAUAUAUAUUGGUAUGAAUUCUUGUGAAUUAGUGUUUGUAGUUGUUAGAAGUAUGUUCCAAACAAGUUGCAUGUGUUGAUUCGAGAAAUUUCUAAAAAUUGAAUUUUUGUUGUUAGUUGUUAAAAAAUAAUAAUAAUAAAUAAAAGCACAUAUAAUGUUGGAAAAUCAUUCUUAUGUUUAUAUUUGUGUUUGAAUUAAAAAUUCAAGUUUUUAGAAAAUUUCAGAAUGACACUGAAUUUUGACAUUGCAUUGUUAGUCUGAAUAUUUGCCUGUUACAGUUCUGUUCUGGUUUUAGUUAGAACUUGUCAGUUGAAGUUAACUUUUGGUUUAACUGUGUUUUUACUGAUUGGAUAAAUUUUUGAAAAAUAUUUAGUUACUAAAAACAUAACAGGACUUAAAACGGUUAUUUAUUUAGACUGGAUUUAUUUUAACUUUGUUUGGAACAACUUGCCAACUGAAUUAUUUGUUUUAUUUUUGUGACAUUUGAUAUGUUUAAUGGCAAGUUUUGUUUUGUGGUUUUGUGUAUGAAUUAUUUUGCAGAUGCCAGCAAAGAGAUCAAGGGUAGCAUCAUCAAGCAGUGCAUCUAGACAACCAGCUAGACAGUCGGAGCCAAAUGUACAUGUGGCUUUCAACCCACAGUAUCAGACAUUGCAUGAGCAUCUAGAUGACAUUCGUCCAACAGUUUAUGAGGCAACUCAUCCGAAUAUGGGUUUUAUUGUAGAGUACAUGGUGGAGCGACCGAGCUUCACUAGGUAUAAUAUUGUGGAGACGUUUGAUCGCUAUGGAUGGGGUGGAGUGCUAGACUUCAAUCCCACGCAGAUUUAUGUUGAUAUAGUGCAGGAAUGGAUGAGGAAACUUCGACGUGUCGAGGUGCCUGGUAGGCCGGAGGAGUUGCCGCUGAUUGGGACGGUCCGUACUCAUGAUAUAGUGAUAACUGUGCAGGGUAUUCGGGACAUGUUUCAUGUAGAUACUGGCUGUCAUUUUCAUUAUCUUGAGAAUCAUCUGACUGAGUAUAGAUGUAUUGACACGAGGGGGUAACCCUGGGGUUAGUAUGACUGAAGUAUACCGUAUAGUGUUCCAUGAGGGGACGAGGGCAUACGACAGAUUCCGCGAAUUGGUGCCUUUAGCAAAGGCAUUACAUAACAUUAUCACGAAAAAUGUGAACCCAAGGAAUAGUGAUCCUAGGGCGGUGAGGCCACAUGACUUAUAUGUAUUAUAUGGAUUGAUGAUAGGAUCUAUCUUUAUCUCUUAUGCAUAUAAUGCUAUGUGCAACAUAUGGUCCUGUUUUGAUAUCCAGCACAGAGUCACUACCCCCCAUGUUGCCCUGAUAUCGACAUAUGUUGCCUUGCUACUUCUUUUAGACACAUCUCAUUUCAUGUUGAAAAUGGGAGACAUAUUCUGAGGGAUUCUACCACAAAUCCGACAUACACGGCACCACUCGGAGUGGGGGAUGAGGAGCCAUUCGUUGGUGAUUUUUAGGGGGAUCAGUAGCAGCAAUAGGCAUAAGCAGCAGGUCGGGGAUAGAACAUGCAGGCAGCUUGGGAGGACUUUGUGGGGAGGCAGAACAUGCAUAACCAGGAGGUGCAGGCUUGGAUGGGGAGAACGGAUAUAUGGUUGAAGGGUGUCGAUACGACACUAGCUGAUAUUACUGAGCAGAUGCGACAGAUUGGCAUUACAUCUAGCAACACUUAUAGUGUUGCCACUCGUCAGUUGUACCAACAGGAGUACUAUGCAGAUGCUGCCUACACAUAGAGUCGUGUCCAGUAUGAACCGAUGGACAUUGAUCAACCACAGUAUCGAUACCGAGCUCCAGCUCCGUUCUUCUACCGAUCCGGGAAUCUGAGCAACUAUCCACCGCCAUCCGAGCAUGAGCAUUAUCAGCCACCACCAGCUACAGAGGACUCUACUCGCUUUGAGGAUUUAGUUGGAUCGAUCUUUGGGUAUCCUCCACCAUACCCACGUUAUCCUCCACAGUCGCCCCCACAUUGAACUUUGGUGAGAUCCUCUUUUGAUUUUUAUUUUUAUGGUUGUUUGAUGAAGACUUUUUUUAUUUUUAUUUUUAUUUUUCGUUUGCUUUUCAUGUCUUUAUUUGGGAUGAAUGUACUAUUAUUAAACUCAUUAUUAUUAUUACUCUCUCUUGGGUUGGUUCCAUUAAAUAUGUGAUGAGUUAGUAGCAUCUCUAUAUCUUGAACGUAACUCAUCAAAAUGGAAAAUGAUAGGAGUUUCGUAAAUUGAGUCAUAAUAUUUAUUUAAUAUUGAUUUUGUGGAUUGCUCAACCGAUUUGGGAAUAUUUAUAUUUAGUUAAAAAAUUGUUAUGUGAAAUACCCAAGUGUUUGAAAAAUGACGGUUUUUAGCUCGAGCCUACGAUCUUUCAAUUGAGGACCCAACCGAACAAUAUGUGUCAUCACGCUCUGAGUACUUGGUCUUACUUACUCUUGCGCCUUUGGGGUUGGGAGGGGACUAUUAUUGUUUUCACACAAUAAAAAAGCAUCAAAAGACAUUGAAGAACUUCCAAGUAUCUAUAUUCAAGCUCAAGUCAAAUACCAAAAUGAUCAAAUCCGAUGAAGCCAUCAAAGAACUUGAAGAAUGCAAAAUCAAGAUAAAUAUGAAGAAAAGUUCAAGUUGAAGACAUUGUGUGAAAUAAUGUGUGACCCCUCGAUAGCGGGAGCGUAUGGGUUGGUCCAUUAAGUGUUACCGACCGCGCUAACUAUGUUAGUGAACCUUGAAAAAAGGGACUUUGGCAAUGAGUUCAACUGAUUACUCAUGAGGGUGAUUAUUGGAAAGGGUUCAAAAAGUGGAGGGUUUCAAACAACAAAGUAAAAUAAGCAUAACAUGUGUUUUGAGUUUAAAAGUCUGGAUAAGAAAAUAAUAAUCCCCAUAAUCAAUAUAUUGUGCUAUUGGAAAUGUUGUGAUAAAAAGUACAGAAUUCAUGAUUCCAUUGAGUUUUUCUUAGGAUAAGAGAGUAAAGACUACGCUGAUUAUUUCAGGCCAAUCUCGGGACGAGUUUGGAAUAAAGUUGGGGAGGUUUGAUAAGUCCAUUUUAUGAAUGUACUAAAUUGUUAUAAAUCUGUUGAAUUGAUGUAUAAUUGUCCAAGAAUGGCACUACUUUGAUGAGUUGUUGAACUUCAUAUACAGGUCAAUAUAUUGUACUAAAAGUGGGCGGAACCUGCAAGUAAAACAGUGCUAAAGGAAUGAAGAAACGUUGCUGGGAAAACUGACCAUGCUUCAAUGUUUUGGUCAUAACUGAAGUUCCGCAGCUCUAAUUGACAUGAGUAAAGAAGUUCUGGAAACUAGACAAGAUUUUCUACAACUUUUGUGUUUUGUGUUUCUGCUAGUUAUGUCGUUUUGACCACCAAAACUUAAACGAAAGAUGAAGGAUGCCUCCAGGCGUCUAAGACAUCCCCUAGGACGUCCACAUCAAACGGUCAGCAUCUGGCCGUUAUUUCAAAGCAGAAAAGAAGGAAGAACCCCCGUCAGCGUCUUACAUGGCGUCAAAGAUGUCCCCUAGGACAUCUUGGCAUUUUGGGGAUGUCCCGUGUUGGAACGGUGUGUUUCGGAAAGUUUAGAAAACAAGGCAGGACGUCCUAGAACGUGUCUAAGACGUCUCCUAAUACGUUUGACGUUUUUGGCCAUUUUUUAGUGUAUUUCAAGGACGACAGAUGGCAUGCAAGGACGUACAAAGAACGCCUGGGCGUUAUACACGACAUCUAAGAUGUCUGCUAGGACGUCCAACAUCCCACAUCCCCCAAUUUCAUUAUUUUUUAUCUCACACUAUAAAUACGAGCCUAUGAAUUCGUUUUUAGGGUUACCACCUCCGAUUUUCAGAGUUUUUCAUGUGUUUUUGAGGCUUCUAAAACACUUGGAAACAUUUGAAAACACAAAUCCAUUCCAUUAAAAUCCGGAUUCAAAGCAAGACUCAAUUCAAUUCAUCAUCAAGCUAUAAGUGAAGAUCAUUUCAUUGGUUAAUCUUCAUCAAUUCUUUAUUUUCCAGAAUUAUUUCUUCUUCCCCAAGGUUUAUUUUUUCUAUAAUUUGAUAAUCAUUAGGCUACAUUUGUUUGAUGAUUCUACAUUUGUUUAUGAAUUCUAUUAUGCAUUUUAUUCAUUUCAAUCAAGUUAUUUGUUUUAUGAACUCAAUGGAAGGCUAAAUCAUUAGGGUUACUUCUGGGGAUGUUUAGGACUUUUUGAUGAACAUAAUUGAUUAUUACUUGAUUUUAGUUAAUUCAAUUGUUGUUUUAUGCUUCAUGUGAUGAUCUUUUAGUAAUGAUAAUUGAAAUUGGGUUGUAUGAAUUGUUUGAUGUCAUAAUUAAGAUAGUCUAUUGUCAAUUCAUCAUUUGUUCCAAGUUCACUUAGUUUAGGAAUAAAGACAAGUGACUGAAUCAACAUAUAUUAUUCCAACUUAUGAUAUUGAAUCUUAAUGCGGUAAUAGGUAGUUGUAUGAUAUUUUAUAGCUAGUCCACUAAUUGUUCUUAAUCCAUUUAGGCAUAAAGGAGUAAGACAACUAGUUAAAUGAAAAUUUAGUGUGCCCAAACUAUGUAUUACAAGUUAAUAAACCCCAAUUGUAUCUAAGUAAUUGAAUUAGGAUUUAAGGGAAGAAAGUGUGUGAAUUUAAACUAUCCAUAACUGAACCGGAAGUACUCUAGUUUUCUCAUUGAAAUUUUCGUUUUAAUUAAUAAAUUUCCAAGCUUUUUGUUUGAUCUUUGCUUUAAUUUUUUUUCGUGACAAUUUCUAGUAGUUUGUUUUUUUUCGUUGACUAUUUUAACACAAAAUUUGACGACAAACUCCUUGCGGAUUCGACCCUUACUUACCCUAGCUAUCUAGUGGUUUUGAGAUUAUUCUUGACUGAUACAACGACAUUGAUCAUCGUGCCAAAACCCUAAAGAGACCGAUGUGCCUGGGGCCCAAUUUGCUCUUCUUCCUGAAUCGGAUGACACCUUUCCAAUGUGACAAGUUCAGGGGGACCAUAUCCCUAACCUGAAACUCUAAAUCUGAUUGGUGCUUGUCGGCAUAGCUCUUCUUCCGGCUCUAAGCUGUCUGGAGCCUACUCCAAACUGCUGAAUCAACUUGGUAGUCUUGAGUACCGCUUUGGUACUCCCCAUUAGUAGCUGACCGUCCUCACCCCAACAUAUCAUGGUACUGCAUUUCUUUCUAUAGAGCAUCUCAAAAGGAGGUCGAUUAAUGUUGGCGUGAUUACUAUUGUUAUACAAAAACUAUUGGAUUAGGUGUCUAAGACCAUAACUAUUUUGGUAUGUACUUGACCCGAUUGUGAGCAUGGUCCUUUUGGGUUGCCUUCACCAUAGCAACUGAUGGGAUGAAUUAAGGAGAAAAAGGAUUAAUUAUGAUUUAUUAAUAUAUUAUAUGAAUAAUAUAUUAAAAGAGAAAUCAUAUUGUUUAAUUAAUAUUAGUCAAUAAUUCAUUUUGUGGCUAAAAGAGAUUAAUUAAAUAAAGGGGACUGAUAUUGCAAUUAUAUGAUAGUUGCAAAUUGGGCUAUGGAUUCCUAAUGGAAAUCGGAUUGGACAAAAUCUAUGGGAAGCCCAUAUGGAUUUCGUCCAAGGGCUUUCCAAGGGAACUCCAUGGGUUGCUUAAGGCGUAAGCAGUGAGAUUAGGGUUUCCUGAUUCAAAACCCUAAUAGCCUAAGUAUAAAAGGAACCCUUGGCAAGCCAAAAACGUCCCUAACCUUAUAAGAGAAACCCUAGGACGUUUUUGGUGCCUCCUCCCUCUCUCCUUGUUCAUCUUGUUACAUAUGGUGUUUGUGACUCCAUUAGAGGUGCAACAUUUGAGGCACUAGGCUUUCAGAAGUCAAUUACAAGAAGGAUUCGGAUUGUUAUUGCAACAUAACAAUCAAGGUAAGAUCUAAAAUCUAUCCUUUUGUCAAUUUUGAUUAUUGUAUACUAGAGUUAGGGUUUAUGAGCUUUGGAUGAUUAUUACGUAUAUCAGACAAACUAGAUCCAAAGCUUUAGGGUUUGCAUGUACACCAUAGGAUUGACGUAGUGCUCAAAACCCAUCAAAAACUACGCCAAAGGGAUAUAUGUAUCCCAACUCCCACCAAAAUCCAGAACACACGCCCGAAGCAUAUCCUCCAAGGUAUGAAUAGUCCUCUCGCUCUGACCAUCAGUAUGUGGGUGGAAAGUCGUACUGAAAUGCAGAUGAGUACCCAGCUCGUCGUGGAACCUCUUCCAAAAUCUGGAAGUAAACCGGACGUUCCUGUCUAAAACCACAAAACGGGCACACCAUGAAGUGCCACUACCUCCCUGAUGUAUACCUCAGCUAACUUCUCUGAGGAGAUACUAUCUUGAGUCGGAAUAAAAUGUGUGAACUUGGUCAAUCAAUCCACGAUGACCCAAAUCGAAUCCACUCUAUGUUCACUCUAAGGCAACAUCGUAAUGAAAUCCAUGGUAAUCUCCUCCCAUUUUCAAACAGUGAUAUCUAACGGUUACAUCUUGUCGUGAGGCCACUGAUGCUCGGCCUUGACUUUCCUUCAAGUCAAGCAUCUCUCCACGUACCAAGCUACAUCCCGCUUCAUACAGGGCCACCAAUAAUCAGGAUGAAGAUCAAUAUACAUCUUCGUCGUGGUGGGAUGAAUGGAGAAUCUCAAUUUGUGUGCCUCCUCCAUCAGAACUUGACGCACACCAGCCCAAUCGGAACCCACACUCUUCGAUGGAGAUUCAAUAACCCUUGGUUUUCAUAAUAAAAGGAAGCCACCUGACUCACUGUGCGCUCACUCUUCCCAUCACAACCUCAACCUGAGCCUCUCAAAUCUACUCUAAAAGUGGAGUGAUCACAGUCAUCCUGAAACAAAUAUCCUUGAACGGAGCCGCGAUCGCCUUGCUGCUAAGAGCAUCGGCCACCACAUUAUCCUUCCCCGUAUGGUAAAGGAUCUCACAAUCAUAAUCCUUCACCACAUCCAACCAUUGGCACUGCCUCAUGUUCAUAUUUGGCUGAUCCAUCAGAUACCUCAAGCUCUUGUGAUAUGUCUAUAUAGUACAGCGGGCCCCAUAGAGGUAAUGUCAUCAAAUCUUGAGGGCAAAAACCAUAGCCCCAACUCUAAAUCAUGCAUCGGAUAAUUCGUCUCAUGAUGCUUCACUUACCUUGAAGCGUAAGCGAUCACGUGACCCCUCUGCAUCAGAACUACACCUAAACCUGUGAUCGACGCAUCAUAAUAAACCAUGAAAUCUUCAACACCCUCCGGCAGGGUCAAAAUAGAUGCCUCACACAAUCUUUAUCUUAGGGUCUCAAAAGUUGCAUGUUGGUCGGGCGCCCAGCGAAAAGUGACAAUCUUCUUCGUCAACCGAUUUAGAGGAACCGCUAUCUUGGAGAAAUCCUAAAUGAACCUCCGAUAAUAGCCUUCCAACUAAGGAAACUCCAAAUCUUAGAUGGAGACCUCGGUACCUCCCACCUCAUCACGGCCUCGACCUUGGCCGGAUCGACCAGAAUACUGUUUUGGUUGACAAGGUGCCCUUGAAACUGCACCUCGUGCAACUAGAACUCGCACUUGGAGAACUUUGCAAAAAGUCUCUCCCUCCUCAAAGUUUCCAAUACCUCCCUGAAGUGCUCCUCAUGUAGCUCCUGGGUCUUGGAAUAGACCAGGAUAUCAUCAAUGAAUAGGGCAUUUUGUAUAAUCAAUUGUUGAUGUUAUUGAAAAUAAUGAUGUUAUUGAAACAUAUGCAUGGCAUGUAUUCCCAAUAAUUAUAUUUAAUUAAUUGGUUGUUGUGCAUGUUAUUAUAUUGGGAACAAAUUAGAAAGUGGUCCAUGUGGUAGUACAUGAUAUGUAUGGGGACCAUUUGUAGUUAAUAGUCAAUGGGUAUUUUUAUAAUGGAAAAAUGGGACCUUUGAACCCAUUAUAGAACCAUAUCCAUGACUAUAUAACAAAUUCACAUGCAUGCACAUUAUUCCAAAUUUUUCCAUGCAUAAAUAUUCAAACCCAUUGGUCAUGAGUUUACUUAAAAAGGCAACAUACUUUCAUAAGUGAGUAAAAUAUCAUUUCAUGUCAACAAUUUACUUACAAAGGCAACAUACAUUCAUUAGUGACCAAAAUACCCUUUUAUGUCAUGAGUUAACUUAAAAAAGCAUCACGCAUACAUAAAUGACUAAAAUACCCUUUUAUGUCAUGAGUGAACUUAAAAAGGCACCAUGCAUACAUAAAUGACCAAAAUACCCUUUUAUGUUAUGAGUGAACUUAAAAUGGCACCAUGCAUACAUAAAUGACCAAAAUACCCUUUUAUGUCAUGAGUUAACUUAAAAAGCCACCAUGCAUACAUAAAUGAUCACAUCACAUGUAUUCAAAUACACAUACUUUAAAUCCAAAUUACCAUCAUCCUAAUACACAAACUUAAAAUCCAAAUUACCAUCAUCCUAACACACAUACUUUAAAUCUAAAUAACACAAAGGAAAAAUCAACACUAAUAAAUUAGAAGAGCUUUUCCCUUAGAAUUUCCUGGAUCAUCAACACCACCAACUUUCUUGCCUAAUUUCAACUUGAAGAUUCUCUUUGACUUUCUUCUCCUUAUCCUGUUCAAAAUCUUGGAAAUUGGUCUAACCCUUACCUGUUGAACCUAGAUAAUAGGAGUAACCUCCUAAAUUUGAACAUUAUCAACAACUUGGACAUUAGGAAUAACCUCAUCAUCUUGAACAUUACCACCCUCCUCAACUUCCUCACCCAUAACACCCCCAUCACCUUCAUAACUUCUAGGUGGAAUAACUUGCAUAGACUGACUAAAAUCCCUUGCACUACUGGAUUCAACAUGAGUAGAAGUAACUUGCAUAUCAUUUUGAGUAUUAUCCAUCUCAAUUGGAGUCAUUUAACCUCUUCUUGUUGUUGUGGUUCACUUGUACUACCCUAUAUGGCAUGAUAUAAUUAUGUUAGUGGCAAAUCAUAUGUAAAUAAAUUUAAAUUUUAAAUGGUUUUACCUGUUCUGCAUUUUUCUUCACAUAAACUUUUUGUUUCUUCUGUUUCUUUACAUUUAACUUUUGGGGCCUUCUCUAUGGACAAGUGGCCUUACUGUGACACAUCUCCUUGCAUAUAAUACAUCUAAUUUUCUUUCCAUCCUUAGAAACCCUGUGUGUUCCUGUAUUCUUUGUAGUGGAUUUCUUCUUCUUAGUAGCUGGCCUACCAUGCAUCCGUCUACUAAUAAGAGGCAAUGGUGGAGUAUAAUUUGUCUCUGGCCACAUGUCACUGCCAUUCAUGGGGGAAAUUCUGUAAUUGUAUGCCUUCCGAAUUGUGGUGGUGUUAAACAUGUUGUCUACAUAGGCUUCUACAUCUCUAUUAAGAUUGGAUAUGGUAGCUACAGAAUGAGCAUAUCCAUAUCCAUUUAACCGCCACAACCUACAUGAACAUGUUUUCCUUUAUAAGUCCACCUCAUAUGCAUCUGUUUCUCCCUUACCUCGAACUGGUUUAAUCCACUAGGUAGUACCUGAUAAUGCCUCUGAAUUUUUUAAGCAAAUUCACCUUAUCCCUUAUCUCUGGACAAAUAUUAUUUCCCCAUUGUUGUCCCUUUAAUUUCAUGUUGUACAUUUUGUCCAUCAUGUAUAAUCUUAACUCCUCUAACAUGGUUAUUAUGGGCUUCUUCCUGGUAUCCACUAUUACAACAUUAAAACUUUCAGAGAAAUCAUUUUCAACUGCAUCACAACACCUUCCAGCUUGAAAGUAAGCUCUUGACCAUGUUUUAAGAUCUUUCUCCAUGAGAUAUUGAUGGGCAUCUGGGUUUAAUGUCUCAAUUUCCUUCAUCACAACUUUAAAAGCAUGCUCAUUUGUGGUUUUAGAUGCUCUCCAAAACAAGGUAUGAUAUAUGACACCAGUGAAUCUCUUCUGCAAAUUUUGAAAAAUAUGUCUAGCACACUGCCUGUGCAUAUGGAAGAAACUCUUUAACAGCCUCUAUCAAACCUUGUAUUAAUAAAAAGGUUUAAAUCAGAUAGUAUAAAAUAAAUAUAAAUGAAUUACUAUGUAAAAUACUAACCUUAUGUUGGUCUGACAUUAAACUGAAGCAAUUGCCUAAACUUAAGUUUAGAUUAUUAAUGAGAAGCUCUAAAAACCACUUUUAAUUCUACUUGUUCUCCACACUAACCAUUGCCCAAUCAAUAGGAUAUAUCUUGUUAUUUACAUCCCUCCCAAUAACACAAAGCAAUCCCCCCUUACAAACACCUUUAAGAAAACAUCCAUCAAGACCCAUUAUCCUUCUACACCCUUUAAUCCAACCUUGUUUAAUUCCUUGAAAACAAACAUAGAACUUGCUAGAAUAUUUCUUUCCAUCUGGACCAUCCUCCACAUCUAGUUUCACAGUUGACCUAGGAUUUGUCCUUAAAAUCUCAUCAACAUAUUACCAUAGCUUACCAUAAUGUUCAACAAGGCUACCUUCAACAAGAUUUAAUGCAUACUUCUUUGUUCUCCUACAUUAGCCCAUACUAACUUGGAUACUAAACUUGGUCAUUACCUUUACCCUAAGCUUCCUUACACUCAUUUUAUGACUUUGUACAAUCUCUUUGGUAUAGUGACUCCCAAUCCAUGCAUAUGUCACCAAUAAUCCAAACUUGAAGUUCCUAGCACAAUUAUGAUAAGCUUUUUGUGACUUGAUUUGGAAAGUCUCUCCAUCAUUCAUCCAAGAAGCCCAUAAUAUAAAUGUGCAAGCACCCUUGCUACAUCUCACCAAAAGUCUUUUCCUAUCAUAUUUUUUCAAAACACAAUUGAUAUCCAUUAGCCACAACAUAGUUGCACAACCUUGACUUUACUUGCCCUGGACCCUUAGAUCUCAUUCCUAGAAUUGGUUUUUGUUUUUUCCAGUGUAAUAGCUCAUUAAAUAUGGAAAUAGUUUGGAUGUUAGGUUCAACUUCUCUCCCAUUAUCAUCAUCUACAAUGUUGUUAUCCUCCUCAUCAUCAACACACAACUUACUCACGAAAGGAUCAUUUGAUGUCCUAUUCAUAUGCACUGCAUCCUUAUUAAAUUCAAAGACAACAUUCCUAAGUUCAUCUAUGUUAUCUUCAUCUAUGUUAGCGGCGCAGCUUUUUGCCCGUUUGCCUUCAAUCGAUAUGUAUUGAACAAAAAUGUUUGAAUGUCUAUCAAUACAAGGCUCAUGUUCAUCAUCAAACCACCCACCAACACCAACCCCAAUAUGAUCCACAUAAACCGAAAUUACACCAUCUGUUCCAUCAACAUCAAAAAUAAAAGCAGCAUAGUCCACAUCAUCUGAAAAUGGGAUUAAGCUCUUCCAUCAGGGAAUUGCCUGGUUUACAGUAGUAAAACUUUUUACACUCUUCAUGCAUGAAAUGUUCACAGAAGGUCACAAGCUCAGAAUAAGUCAUAGAAGAAAAGUCGACAUCAGUGAACAUGGUUUUCACACCACCAGUGUAAGAGAAAGGAUUUCGAUUAAAUACCCCUUGGUAGUUGAGUUCCACCAUCACAAACACUCCAUUAGGUUCCGAUUGUGCCAUUUUUGCGACUUCUUUGGCUCUUCAGCUCGAUCACAAAAAUGCUUCACAAAACCUAAAUCAAUUUCUUUUAAAACUAAAUAAUGAAGACGAGUGAAGUUCGAUAGCUGAAGACAAAAGGCUUAAAGCUUCGUAUAUCAUCUAUUGAUGUGGCAUAUCUCACAUGGCAUCAGAUUAGCUAAAAAAGAUAUAUUAAUUGACAUAUAUAAAAUGUCAACCAGGAAACCGUUUACAAGUAUGGAAAUGACUAAAUUAAUAAGUCAGAUACCAUUUUAAUGGUCUAAUGUACCCAAAAAACUUUAAUGACCAAAUUAGCCAAAUGUAAAAAGUUUCAUGUGCUACAGUGACAUUAUCCCUGAUGGGUUUUGAGCAUUCUAACACUCCUAUGGUGUACAUGCAACCCUAGAAACCUUGGAUCUAUGUUUGACUAAUAUACAUGCAAAUAAUUAUUUUCCAAGGUUCUUAUCCUAUCUAGCAUGGCAUGGGAACUUGAAUCAAAUAGAGCUAGUAGAAUUACUUACCUUGUAGUUGUUUAAAGCUUCGUAUAUCAUCUAUUGAUGUGGCAUAUCUCACGUGGCAUCGGAUUAGCUAAAAAAUAUAUAUUAAUUGACAUAUAUAAAAUGUCAACCAGGAAACCGUUUACAAGUAUGGAAAAUGACUAAAUUAAUAAGUCACAUACUAGUUUAAUGGUCUAAUGUACCAAAAAAACUUUAAUGACCAAAUUAGCCAAAUGUAAAAAGUUUCAUGUGCUACAGUGACAAUAUCCCUGAUGGGUUUUGAGCAUUCUAACACUCCUAUGGUGUACAUGCAACCCUAGAAACCUUGGAUCUAUGUUUGACUAAGAUACAUGCAAAUAAUUAUUUUUCCAAGGAUCUUAUCCUAUCUAGCAUGGCAUGGGGAACUUGAAUCAAAUAGAGCUAGUAGAAUUACUUACCUUGUAGUUGUAGUUGAUUGCUUGGAGUUUUAGAGCCUAGCACCAAUAGUGUGGAUGCCUCAAAUGUAAAUCACAAAUCACUACAAACUUGGAACUUUGAGAGAAUAGUAACCACCUUUCUUGAAAUCGGCCCUCUUACUUUACUCACCACAACUAGUAUGAUUUCAAGAACCAAAGCCUCCUUUAUAUAGUGUGGUGGAUUAGGGUUACAUCCAUGUAAACCCUAAUACCCAUGUCUUUUCAUUUCCAUGAGAUCCAUGGGUUAAAGCUCCAUGGAGUAUCCAUGGACUUUCCAAGCAAGCCUAGCCCAUUCCAAAUAAGCAUUAGCCCACACUAUAUAAAUAUAAGAGCCCAUAUUUAAUUAGUAAUACUUUUGAUCUCUAAAUUAAUUUUAGAUUAAUUAUAGAUCAAUACUAAUUAAAUAAUAUGGUUUUAUAUUAAUAUAUUAGAACUUAUAAUAUAUUAAUAAAUCAUAACUUAUACUAUUCUCAAAAGAUUAUCCAUAAAUUGUUCGGGUGAAGUGCAACCCAAAUGGACCAUGACGGGUCGGGUCAAGUACAUACCAAAUAUAGUUAUGGACUUAGACACUAUAUCCAACAAUCCCUACAUAAAGUCAUAUGUAGUCAAGGAUCAGAUAGAUAAUCGAACAUAUGACUCACCUAAGAGCGAACAAUCAGAAAAGAACAUCACAAUCAAGCCUUAGAUCAAGAGUUAUCAGUCUAUCCAACUUAAACUAGAUAGACCUAAGAUAUUAUUACCACCUAACCAUGUGACAUAAACAUUUAACAGAUACUAGCAUAUUUAUACACUUAGCAACUAUCCUUCCCUAGUUACCCUGUCAUUGAUCACUUCUCAAUCAAGUGAUCAUCUGGUCAGUCAUGCAUAAUCAUGAUAAUUGACCUACCCCAAUUUCCCUAACUAAACAUAACUCAUAACAAUAUCAUACAAUAAAUAGGAAAGACCUCACAAGAAUAGCAUACCCAGACACCAAGUGUUCUAAACUGCACAUGCAUAUCCUAGCCAACUAGCAUAUUUGUACUCUAACAGUAUCUCCAUCCUAUCAUGCACAGGAUAUAUAAUGAGAUAUGUGGCAUACUAUGAAACUCACCUGAACUGAAGAACCGGAGAAGCACAACAACACUCUUACACAUUUCACUACUCGAUCAUGUGAACCAAUUAACACCAAAAUAGAUAAAUCCUCAAUCAAUAAUCCAAAUCCUCCAAGUUUGACCCUAAGUCAAACUGGUCAAAAGUCAAUAGUCGAUGUAACGCCCAUGUUUCUUUCCAGACAUUAACUAAAUAAUUAGGGUCAACAAUCACCACAACGUGGUAACCUCUUGGCCACAUCCUGGGAAUUUCCAUACAAAAUAGUUACGAAGCUUAGGAUCACCAUGUCGUUGCAAGCCUAUUGCCACGUCGUGGAAAUUCACAGGAAGUCAUAUUCUUCAUUAUGAGCUUAAUGCUUACAGAUCUAAGCUCAAACUUUCAUAUUUGAUUCUUCUUGAUGAAUUAAUGGAUCUUAAACCAUAAGUCUAUUAAGUCUUUAAUAUGACCAAAACUAGAGCAUGGAGAAAAGGGAGCUAUGAAUUAACGCUUUUUCCAUCAAACAAGACCAAAAGAUGGUCACCAAACAAUUCUAAAGUUCUGGAGUUGGCCAAAACUCCAAGAAAAUGCCUUCAAGGGACUUCAAAGCAUGAUAUGAGAGAAAAGGAUGAUAAAGGUGGAAGCUUUAUACCUUCCCAAAAUCCACAAGACAUAGGAGAUGCAAGAUCUGAAGUAGAUACACCAUUCAAACUAGCAAACACACUGUCGUUUCCUUCCCAAAGUGCAACCCAAGGCUUCAAACUUCAAGAACUCCAAGAACUCAUCAAUAUCACUCAAAUAGGGCUAGGGUUUCGAAAUAGGAGGAUGGAGACUGAGGGAAAUGAGCUAACCCUAGAGUUAAGGCCAUUAAAUAUGGGAGAAAAUAUAAAAAAAAAAAUUAUGUGCUUGGGCUACAGCACUCACAACGUCGUGGCAACCCUCUAGUCAUGUCGUGGUGCUCUUCAAAAUGUGCGUUCCCGAAAAUAUGUGUCACGUCGUGGUCAUCCAUGCACCAUACCAAGGCAUAGAUUUUUCUCCUAAAACCCCAUCUUUGAUCCUAUUAGCUCUUUAGUUAAACUAUUAUAGAAAAUAGGUGUUAUAGCCACCAUUCCGAGUUCCUUCUGUGACUGCUAAAUUAGUGUUUGGCGGGUUGGGGAGCCCGACUUCUUUCUCUUAUAUCUUCACAUAUAUAUAUAUAUAUAUAUAUAUAUAUAUAUAUAUAACAUUUUUUUUUCAAAAGUGUAAUACUAUCAAGGGAAAUUGACUUAUCAGGGUAAUUACUGUUUUGUUUUGUUCACAUCGGGGUAACUCUUUUUUUAGUACACAUCUAGGUAACAAACUUUUUGUAAGUGUUCACAUGUGACCAUUAUAAUUGGUUGUAGCAAGUUACAACCGAACGUAAUUGUCAUAUAUGAACACUUCCAACAAGCUCGUUACCUCGAUGCAUACAAAAAAAUGAAGUUACACAUAUGUGAACAAAACGAAAAGGUAAUUACCCUGAUAAGCCAAUUUCCCUUUUUAUUAAGGUGGCAAAUCAUAAUGUUUGUAAUAUUAAUAUAUUCAUUUAAAUUUCUUUAAAACAACAUUUGUAACACCCGGAAUCUAGAAGAUUAAUUAUGGAAACAAAUUCCCUUACCUAAGUAAAAACACGAUGAGUUGAUGGUGGGAAACUCGAUGUGUUGGAGGUUUUUGGGACACACGUUUUUAUGAACCAACUCGGUGAGUUGGUGAAGGAAAAUCGGCGAGUUGGACACUGACUGAGAAACCCUAAUUUUUAGGGUGUUACACCCUAUUUAAAGACCUUAAGUUCUUUAGCUGGCCUCCUUACCGGCCUCCUCUAUCCAGAAACCCUAAAACUGAGCCUUGUCUUCCAUUUAUGAGUGUGAAAGCUUGGGGAGAGCCUUGAGAGUUCAUUUUUGGUGCUUUUUGAAGGAGCUAAGGAAUUAGGAGUUGCUUGGCUUGAAGAAGAAGUCUUGGAUCCAGAAUCUCUGCCUCAUUUGCCAAGUUUUUGAGGAAUCGUGUUCUUACCUUGCUUAUUUGUUGCUUAGAUCUCUUCUUGGGUUAGAGUUUAUGAUUUUUAGCCAUUUUGGGUGAAUGUUGGGGAUUAGGAGGUCCCAAGCAAUUAUUAUUUCAGAUAUAAGGGCUAGCGGCGCUGCUUGUUGCCCGUUCGCCUUCAAUCGAUAUGUAUUGAACUUUCAUUGGAGUAUAUUUUCUUAAUAUAAAUAUAUAAUAGAUAUAAGGUCUACAUGAGCUCUUUAGGCAUAAAGGUGCCAACUUUAUGGAUUUAAUGGCUUCAUGUAUUCAUUAAGUCUUUCAGUUAGCCCUUUUUGAGCUUUUGAUCACCUCCUAGUCAUGCUUAAGUGUAAAGUUGGAAACUUUACACGGCCAUCUAGCCUUAUGGGGACAGAUCUGCAUUAUGGGUUUUAUCUUUGAUGAUUAAGUGAUUAAUGAUUAAGCCUUCACUCUUUUAAGUUUAGGGUUUGGGUUUGGACCCAUUAGGUGAUUCCUAGGGGUAAAGUUGGAAAAUUUACCCUUCUUGAUCUCAUUUUGGUCGAGAGCAGAGCUUUGGAGCCUUUGGACUCGAUGAAGGUACCUUAAUGCAUUAAGAUGUUGGUUCUUGAGAGAACUCGGCGAGUUGACUUGGUUUCCCCGAUUUGUGUAGUUGAUGGAGAAACUCGACGAGUUGGGUUAACUUGGACCGUUGACUUUGACUUUCGAUUUAUGUCUUUGAACAAGUUUGUCCCAAUGGGUACUUGAGGUAAUCUGAAUUGUAAUUAAGGGAAUUAUGAGAUUAGGAUAAGGCCCAUAUGGGGUUGGUCCCAAUUUGGAAAAUUGGGCCAUUACUGGGCCUUUGCGGAUCUUUUGGUUUUGGACUUUUUGGUUAAUGGAAUUUGGGCCUCAGUUUUGGUUCAUGACGCGUUAGGGUUAAAAUGGUCAUUUUCCCCCAAGUAUGGAUGGAGGGCUUUAGAAUGGAACCCAAUUGCUAAUUAGGUGUUAUUUUGAUCUCAUAGCUCGGAGGUCUCAUCAGGGCAGCAGCUAGGGACUUCUUUCUGUGAGUUUCUGCGUUCGAGGUGAGUCUCCUUACUUUUCUAUGGUUUGAAGGCAAUAAUGACGGCCCAUUUGGUUUAUGUAUUAUAGGAAGACCUGGGGGAUAAACCUUGGCAGUUUGUAUGAAAGACCAGGAGGCGGCUCCUGGCAAACUGUAUGCAAGACCAGGGUCUGAACUCUAGCAGUUGACUAGUUAAGUAGUGUAGAUUUUAUACUAUUUGUCUUUGUGACACUUUCAUGGAAGACUCGAAGGUGGAUCCUGGCACUUGUCUGUAAGACCUAGGUUUUUGGCCCCCGGCCUGACAAGGAAGACCACAAGGCGGCUCAUGUCAUAAUGGCAAGACUAUGGAUGGCACAUAUCACCUUUACUAAUUGGGGUAUAUGUAUGCUAAGUAAGACUCAGUGAUAUUAAUGUUAUUUAUAGUUUUGAGUUGAGUUUUCUCCUGCGAUUGAGGUGCAACAGUUGGUGCGAGAGUUUCUGGAUCUCUGUCAGACUACUGAGACUGUGGCAGAUUGUGGAAGGGUGGAAGUGAUGUAAGACUGAGGGGUGGCCCGUAGCAUUCACUAGUUAGAAGUUGGUAUAAAAAUGUUGUAAGACUGUGGGGUGGCACGUAGCAUUCACUAGCGAUCAGAUAGUGUGGGAAGUGUUGUAAGACAGAGGGGUGGCCCGUAGCAUUCACCAGUCCCUAUACAGCGGUGAGAGUGUGGCAAAUUUGUGAUUUGCUCACGGUUUUCUUCGGAUGAUUUUGGCCAGGAUGGAUCAGUUCGCAAGGCUAUGGGAAGGACACAACAUGUUUGGAAUCAAGAUAUGGGAGGUCGUGGGAGACCGGGUUUGAGGUAAGACUAUAGUUGGUCUGUAACGUUCAACCUAGUAUCAGAUUAUUGACGAGACGGUUUGGGUAGUUAUUGCCAGUGAGGCUUUUUUUCAAAAGUUGCGAUGGGCGAUUGUGUGGAGUUUCAAAAGCAGCUACGAGGCAACAAGCUGUUUUGGGCAGUAUUAGUGAUUUUUGGGCAGUAUUUUCGGGUAGUACUAGUCAUUUGGAAUUUGUGUGUGAAUAUGUAAUUUUUCAAACAAUUUUUUUUUCAUUUAUAAAACUCAUAAAAACUCAUAUAUUUCAUUUCAUAAAAUCACAAGUGUCUCAAGUCAACAUAAAUCCACAAGAAAAAUCAAAUCCUAGAAUCCUCAACAUAAUCUCGAACAGGUGUGUACAAUCACGUCGGUGCCUUCCCGCGAUCCUCGGAGGUACUUGAAACACAUAUCACAUAGCACGGUAAGCAUAAAGCUUAGUGAGUUCCUCAAAAUACCAUGCACACACAUAAUUAGCCACUCGAGGCUAUCGCUCUGUAAGACCCUCCGGUUAAUGUGUCUUAGCGAGACCCACCAGUCCUACAAAUCGUCAGACCCUCCGGUCCGGUCUAAGUGAGAACCCUCCGGUCUCACUACUCGUUGGACCCUCCGGUCUAGUCUAAGUGAGGACCCUCCGGUCUCAUAGUUCGUUGGACCCUCCGGUCCGGUCUAAGUAUCUCAUAAUAUAGUACACAGUAUAUAUCACACAGAAAUACAUAACUCAAGCAAGCACAUAAGACCCUCUGGUCACACAUAAUGACCACACUAGGUAAGGUAUAAUGAGAAGACUCACCUCCUAAGAACUCGGAUAAUCUCAAACUCAAAUCACAGGUUUAGCCUCCGCCUAAUAUACACAAUAAUUAUCCCUAAUUAAUAACGGCUCUCACAAGGCUGAACUAACCCUUCCAUACACUCACAGAAGGGUAAAAGACCAUUUUACUCCUCCAUGGGCUUAAUAGACCACAUGUUGACCAAACCCUAAAAGUCAACCGAAAGCCAACAGCAAGGAGUACGCUGUGCGUACCAACUCCCUACGUUGGGCAUACUCGGCUGCCAUGCAGGCAUCGUGGAGACUCGACCUCUACGUUGUGCGUACUGGGAUUAUGCCCAGCGUACAUCCUAGUUUCACUCUCCUCACAAUUUUGGUCUUAAACAGUUAAUACAUUGGCUCAUAAUUCAGAUCUGGACUCCCUAAUGUCUCUUAAUCCAUAAAGUUGGUGACUUUAAGCCUUUGCGUGGCUAAAUAGGUCACAAACACUGAAAACUCCCAUCCCCUUUCCUCAUGAAACUCAUAACUCAUGCAUGGCUUACUCCUAAUGUCCAAGAUUAGAUUUUUAUGACUUUACUCCACAAAAUACACUGAAAAGGGAUAGAUCAAGGCCUCUAGAGUGCAUUAUCUCAUAAAGUCUCCAUCUUUUGGGAAAAAACCCUAAAGUAAUUCAUAUGAAUGCACCAAACAAACAAAUGAGAAAGCUUGAAGAUUUAUACCUUUAUGUGAAACCUUCUUCACAGCUAAGCUCAGAUCCAACUCCUGGGGCUCUCACUCCUUCUUCUCUAAAGCUUCCUCUCUACUUCAAGAACACAAGAUUACACCAACAAGCUCUCAAAUGCACUCUCCAGCUAUAAUGACGGAGAUUUAGGGUUAGGAGGGGUUGGUGUUUGGGAAUGGUGGCCAGGAAUGAGGCCAUCAUGUCCUUUAAAUAGUGAGCUCAUUAAAAUUUAGGGUUUCAUUAUGGGCCUAGCAUGCCCAGCGUACCCACUGGUACGUCGCGCGUACUAGGUGGCCUCCACAUCACUAACACGCAUUGGAGUAUGCUGAGCGUACACUCAAGUACGCCCCGAAUACUCGUUUACCACCUUUUCUCUAAUAAGGCCAAAAUGGACAAAUGCUCAAUAGAUCAAGGUUUACAAGGUAUACCUGGACUUGGGAUGUUACAUCGUGUGUGAGUCUCUUGUAGUUCGGGGAAUAUAAUAAGUUGCUUGUAGUGGAUUAAAUAAUCUCAGAGUGGUUGAUUUGAUUCUAUUGCGCAGUUCUCGUCUGAGUCUAACCAUUGCAGGGAUGAAUCUUCUACUCAAAGGAUUAUCUGAGCCUAUUGUCGAGUAUAAGUGUUCUGUAGCUGCAAAUGAUCUGUUUUUUGGUUCCUUUAAAAGCAUUAAGAUAUUGGUUUUAUAGUGGUUCAGAGAGGGGGAGGGGGUGAUCAGCCAGGAAGUCAAAUCAAAUUGAGAUUUCAGGUAUCAGGAAAGGUAAAGGUGGGUUUUUCUGCAAGGGAUUAAGGUUCGUUCUGCUAGGGUUGGUUUCAGUUGCUAUGGGAAGGUGGUAGUAUUAUGGGGUUGUGAAGAUGAGUCCUUAUGGGGACAGUGUUAUCUGGUGCUAUCUGUCAUGGAGUUCGGCAAUGUCCAGGGUUUUCCAGGUUCAAGUUUAAUGGUUAGGGAUCUUCUAUUUUGGAUUUGUCAUCGGUAUGGGUGGGCGGUUAUCUAAGCGGGGUGACUUCCUUAGUCUUUUGGGGUUCAAGGAGUUUAGUCAGGAUCAUCAGUUCGGUACACGAGAUUUUAGGGAAUGAUUUCGAGGAUGAAAUCUAAUUUAAGUGGGGGAGAGUUGUAACAUCUGGAAUUUACAAGAAUAAUUGUGGAAAUAAAUUCCCUUUCUAGGGACCAACACGGCGAGUUGAUCGUGGGAAACUCGACGUAUUGGAGGCUUUUGGGAUGAGCGUUUUUAUAAACCAAUUCAAUGAGUUGGUGAAGGGAACUCGGCGAGUUGGACGCUAAUCGAAAAACCCUAAUUUUUAGGUUGUUGUACCCUAUCUAAAGGCCUUAAGUUCUUUGGUUGGCCUCCUUACCAGCCUCCUCUGUCCAAAAACCCUAAAAUCGAGCCUUAUCUUCCAUUGUUGAGUGUGAAAGCUUGGGGAGAGCCUUGAGAGUUUAUUUUUGGUGCUAGUUGAAGGAGCUAAGGAAUUAGGAGUUCCUUUCCUUGAAGAAGAAAUCUUAGAUCCAGAAUCUCUGCCUCAUUUGCCAAGUUUUUGAGGUAUCAAGUUCUCACCUUGCCUGUUUGUUUCAUAGAUCUCUUCUUGGGUUAGAGUUAAUGCUUUUUAGCCAUGGUUGGGUGGAUUUUGGGGAUUAGGACAUCCCAAACGAUUAUUAUUUCAGAUCUAAGGUAUAUAUGAGCUCUUUUGGCAUAAAGGUGCCAACUUUAUUGAUUUAAGGGCUUCAUAGAGUCAUUAAUUCUUUCAUUUAGCCGUUUUUGAGAUUUUGUGCUCGUCCUAGUCAUGCUUAAGCGUAAAGUUGGAAACUUUACAUGGCCAUCUAGCCUUAUGGGUUCAGAUCUGCAUUAUGGGGUUUUGUCUUUGCUGAUUAAGUGCUUAAUGAUUAAGCUAUCACUCUUUUAAUUCUAAGGUUUGGGUUUGGACCCAUUUAGGUGGUUCCUAGGGGUAAAGUUGGAAACUUUAACCUUCGGGGUCUUAUUUUGGUCAAUAGCUGAGUUUGGAGCUCUUGGAUUCGAUGAAGGUAGCUUAACGCAUUAAGCUGUUGGACUUUUAGAGCUCAUAUCGUGAGUUCGAUCUUAUCCAUCCGCUGAAUCGACUUCUGACAGCCCGACUCUGGAACCCAUCCAUCACUGGCUCACGUCGUGAGCUUCAUGCUCACGUCAUGAGUCCUCUUAUAGUGUGGGGUUGAGUCUUUUACUCGAAGGAUUAUUUGAUCUUUGUUGCGUGUGGCUAUAUUAAUGAGGAAGCUAGUUGACAUUGGUGGGAUUCCUUUAGCAGUUGAGGGUUUGGUGAGGUCGGGAACCUAGGAAAGCCUAGGAUAUGCUUUAGUGGGUUAGUGGUACGGUUUAGUGAGUUUUGGUGCAUUGUGCUGAAGAAGUGACUUAGAGGAUUCGAGAGGAUUACUGAGGAAAGUAUGGAUAGGUGGGCUUUAGAAUGGAACCCAAUUGCUAGUUGGGUGUUAUUGUGAUCUGAUAGCUCGGAGGUGUCGUCAGGGCACUAAUGUCGGCCCAUUUGGUUUAUGUAUUAUAGGAAGACCCAGGGGAUAACCCUGGGCAGUUUGUAUGAAAGACCAGGAGGCGGCUCCUGGCAAACUGUAUGCAAAACCAGAAUCUGAACUGUGGUAGUUAACUAGUUAACUAGUGUAGAUUGUAUGCUAGUUGUCUUUGUGAUGCUUGCAUGGAAGACUCGGAGGUGGCUCAUGGCACUUUUUUGUAAGACCGCAGGUUUUGGCCCCCGCCCUGACAAGGAAGACCACGAGGCGGCUCGUGACAUAAUGGAAAGACUAUGGAUGACACAUAGCACCUUUACUGAUUGUAGUAUAUGUAUGCUAAGUAUGGCUUGUUGAUAUGAAUGUUAUUUAUGGUUCAAUCGGUAUGUUUGGUAUGUGGUAUUUGGGGAACUCAAGAAGCUAUGUGCUUACAUUUUGUGCUUUAUGGUUUCAUGUAAUUCCAUUUUGAAAGGAAAGGGUUCGGCUUAAUCGCAACGCAUACACCCAUGUUUUCCGCAAUGUGUGAUAUUUAGGAAUGAACUCUGAUAAUUGUUUUAUUUUGAAACUCUUCUAGAUGUCGGAUUAAAGGUUAAUGAAUGUUUUGGGCAUAAUAAAAACGAAAUUUUUACCCCUGAUUUUCGGGAUGUUACAACAUUUAUUACCAUUUAUUGACAUUUAAAUUGGCCACGACAUGUUUGAAACCAUUUGUGAUAGCAUAAUUAUCAAAUCAAAUAACUCUAUAUAUUGAGACAAGAGCAAUGUUAUCCAUGUGGAUAAAAUGUAUUUCUAUUUUUUGUAUUUUAAAUUCAUGUAAUACAUGGAACAAAAUUGAAGAUGAUAUUCUAUUUCAUGUUAUUGGUCUCAAUAUCUGACACUUUUAGUAUCUAGUAAAUUUUAAUUUUCAUAUGUAAUAUCUUAAACAAUAAAAUUCUAUAAAAUGACGAUGUAUUUUUUCCAUGUCAAAUGUGAUUUUUUUUUUGUAUCAAAGUAGUGUAUUUUAAAAAGAUAUUUACCAAGUUGGAUUGAGUGACAAGUGGAUUGAGUUAACUGAAAAAAAAAAUUAUUUUUCAUGGGUUAGAAAAGAUGAAAAAAAAAAGUUGAUAUAGAACUCACACCACAUGAAUGAUUUGACACCGUUCUACUCCUACGACCUUUACCCCCAACAUCGAAUUCAUUAUGAUUGUUAGCCUAUCUUACGAGACAGACAUGACCUCCUACUACCAUGUAUACUAAGUCCCACUAUUUAUAACUCUACCCUAUAAAACUCGACGGAGCGCUGGGGUGAAGGGUUACGGGAUCCUUUCCCGCUCACCGGAACANNNNNNNNNNNNNNNNNNNNNNNNNGGGGGGGGGGGGGGGGGAAGGCUGCUGCACUCUCUCUCUCUCUCUUCUUCCUAUUGGCUGGUUUUUUUCCCAAGCGAACUGUUUGAAAUAAAUAACAAAAUUAAUUUUUUUUUCAAUACAACUAUUGAAAAACAACAAUGAAUUUAUAUAUAUAUAAUUUUGUUUUUACCUCUAUAACAUCUAUAAAUAUACACAUACUUUAACCUUUCAAACUCACACCUCCUUCUAUGAAUUUCUCUGUACUUUCUUCAAAAAAAGGAAUCCAUACAACCAAACCCCAAACUUCGAUAGAAGGAAAAAAACCAAUGUUUCAAAUUUAAGCACCCCAACUCGAAACAUUUUUGAUAUCGAUUCAUCUCAAGGGGUUUAUCGUCCACAACUCGAUGCUCACAUUUAAUCUUCACUACAAUCACAAUACCAAAAUAUUAGACAAUUUUACCCGAUGCAAGUUCCAAAUGUUACUCCAAAUAUGCUAUUAAACUUUGUUGUUUUUCCUGAUCAACUUUCGCCAAAUCAACCCCAAACUCAAAUCCCACUCUUUCAAUCUCAAACCCAAACCCAACCUAAGCCCAAACACAAUAUCAACAACAAUACCAAAUCUUCGAUGAGUCGGAUGAAGAGAUUGUACGGGAAACUCAACCCACAACCCCCAACCCCACAAAGUAAAACAACAAGUGAGAGAGGGUUCCAUACAACCGGGACGACAGAAGCCGCAACCAUGGACUAAACGAGAAGAGAUAAUUGGGGUAAAAGCUUGGGUUGACAUUUCAGAUGAUUCAGCGACAGGAAAAUGCACAACCUGAGGAUCAUUUUUGGUUUCACAUUCUUGAGAGGUUUCAUAAGGAGAUGGGAAAAAGUGACGAGUAUCGUACCAAUCAUCAAUUGAAUUCAAAGUUUCGAGAAAUAGCGUGGGCCGUUUCAAAAAUGAGCGGGUGUACAACAACCUAAAAACCUAAUGGAAAAGCAGCCAAGGAGAUGAAGAAAUACUUCAGGAAGUUUUGCAUUUUUUCGAGAGGAAGUGGGAAAGUCAUUCAAGUGCCACGAUUGUUGGAAAAUAUUGAUUAAAAGUCGUAGGUGGAAAAAAUACGAGCAAGAGUUUAUACGUCGAGUACAACAAUCAAAACGAACAAAAAUGAGCUCUAGUGGUUACACAACUUCCUCCGAUGCUCGGGUCGGUCUAGAUUUAAAUGACGAGGACGCACUCGAGCUAGAAGAAAUUGUCCGACCGAUAGGUAGGGACAAAGCAAAAAUGAAGGGAAAUGAGACUUCUUGGGGUGAAUCGAAUUUCAGCAUGGACGCGGACCAAGUGCGAAAAAUGGUGGAGAUAUUUGAUCGAUAUAAUCUUAAUUUUGCUGAAAGUUUUGGCAUUCGACAAAGACAAAGAAGGAGAAAAAAAGAAGGAGAACGCAUAGAAACAAGAAAUGGAGGAGAUGAUGUUAUUGAUGAAAAAUACCGACCAUCUUUCGGGACUAGCUUCGGAGCUCGUUUUGAAAAAAAAAGGUGCGGAUUAUGCAAAAAUAUUUUCCCUAAGAGUGUUGUUUGUUUUUUUUUUCUAGUUAUUUAAAUCUUAGGUUUUUAUGUAAUUUUUAUUAUAAUUAACAAUGGCGGAGUUACUAUAUCAUUAUAAAUAAUAUUUUGUUUCUUAUAAUGAUAAUCUUUCCUAAUAAAUAAAGAACUUUUUGUCACAUGUCAAACUCUCAUUGAUUUGACCACAUGUCAUUUUGUGGUUAUUUUCAAUUAAUUUUUUUUUACACAUGUCAUUUUGGGGUUUUUUCAUUUUAUUAAUUUUCACAUAAUAUUUAAAUGUAAUAAUUACAAUAAAUAUAAUAAUAAAAUGCAUAUCAAUUUUAUUAAUUGACUUCCUUUUAAUUUUAAAAUUUCUAAAUUAAAGUUUCAUUAGUUUCCUUUAUUUAUUUAUCUAAAUUAUUUGUUUAAUUUAAAAGAAAAACAAACAAUUUAAUUUUAAUAAUUAAAUGUUUUUCUAUUGUUUUCUUAUAAAUUCAAACUUGUCAAAUGUUUAAAAUUUUAUAUGUUUUUCUUUAAAAUGAACUCAUGUAAUACAUGAGUGUUACACCUAGUGAUAGAUUAUAUCACGAGUACAAUUCAUUUAAUGAAACAUAUGUACGUAUAAUUAGAGAAAAUUUUUAAUAUUAGCAUGUUAAUCCUCUCUAAAAAAUAAAAAUAAUUUUGCCACAUAUCACUCUUUUAUUAAUUUGGACACAUGUCAUUUUUUGGUAUUUUUGAUUAAAUGUUUUUUCCAUUUGUCAAUUUUUUAUUUUUUAAUAUUUUCUUAAUUAACACAUCAUAUAUACACCUCAAUUAAUAAUUACCUUAAUUGAAAAUAACCAAUAAAUUACAAUAUUAAUAGUCAUAUAGUAUUUAAUAUGUUUCCUUUUAAAUUUAAAUUUUAAAAUUUUAAUUUCAAAUCUAAAAUUUCAAAUUUGAAUAAAAUUUGUUUGAACUUUUAUAUUUAAUUUUUGUUUUAUCAAACUCGUAUAACAUACGGGUCUCACACCUAAUGGAGAAUUAUAAAUCAACGUUUAUUGUCGGUCUAAACUUUUGAAAUGUCAUUUUUGCAAUGAUCGGUAUAACUUCUCCUUAAAGGAAUUUUUAUAGUCAUUUUCUCUUUCAAGAUUGUAGACUCUUUUACAUUAUUUUGAUAAAAGAUAUAUUUGAAUAUAUUUUUACGACGUCGGCUUUCCUUAUUCUUAAAUCCUGGCUCCGUUCCUUUUAAUUAAUGUAGUGGUUUUUAUUUUUAAUUAUAUAUAUAUAUAUAUAUAUUACUUAUUCAUUUAUAAAAUUAUAAAUCAUAAAAUCAAUUAUUUUUACUUAAAAAAGAGUGAUACACCUUUACAAAAUUAUAAACCAUAAAAAUCAAUUAUUUUUACUUAAAAAAUAGUGAAAAAACCUUCCCACAUACACCUUGGUUUCUAACUAAGAAAAAAAAUGUAGGAAAAAGGAUAAAAUGAUAAAGAAAAAUAAUAAAAAAAAAAAUAAAAACCUUCCCGUACCCACCCUCCGGCAUAAGAAGGUGCGUCCCUACGAGUACAAGAUACACAGGUGUAGAUACAUAUGUAAAAAGCUAGUAAUUAACCAACUAAUUAUUAAUUAUUAAAUAAAAUAGGGAUAUAAUAUUAAUGAUAAACACAUUAAAAUAUUCCAAAUGCUCAUGAAGUCAACAUGAGAAAUUAUAUUGCAAUAAAUUUCUUGUUGGGUGAGAAAUUCACAAGUAAAAUUUGUAUAGUAAAUAACAAACCGAAAGUUCCAGAAACAGGUCAAAACUUAAAACCCUAAAUGAGCUUACAAAUUUCCAUUGGCCACAUACCCCACCACAAAGGCACAAACAAUCAAUGAAACAAGUGUAGAUGUAGAGGCCUUUUUCACCACAAUCACCCUUCAUCGGCCAUUUCGAAGGCCACGUGAAAUGUCACUAACGUGGCCCUCUAAAUAUCCACUACUUUGUCUUUAACCCCUCCCCCCUCCCUUAUAAAACACUCCAUCCUCCUCCUUAAUCACCAUCACCAACAACCUUCUCUCCUUCCUCAAAAGUACCACCAUCUUUUCCGACAUGGCAGCUUCUUCAAUCUUCAUGGCAACUCCCAUCACACUCCUCAAAAAAACUCCCACCUUCUCCGUCAAAUGCAUGUCACAAACACCUCAAAGCGGUGAACCGGAGAUUUCAAAAUCAGCAACCACCCCAACACCACCACAGAUCAACAUUCCUCCUCCUCCGCCACCUGCUCCAAAGGUCAGCACGAAAUUCUCUGACGUGUUGGCGUUUAGUGGACCUGCACCGGAGAGGAUCAACGGAAGGUUGGCGAUGAUAGGGUUUGUGUCGGCGAUGGCUGUGGAAGUGAGCAGCGGUCAAGACGUGUUUACCCAGAUCGGCAACGGCGGAGUUGCGGUGUUUGUGGGGACUAGCGUCGUGUUGACGUU
rnacentral:lncRNA from 1 species